GUCUUCAAGACCUCCCUCCUCGGAGAGCCUGCUGUCGUCUUUGCUGGCGCUGCGGGCAACAAGUUUUUGUUCUCCAACGAAAACAAACUUGUUCAUGCGUGGUGGCCUAGCUCCGUCGACAAGGUCUUCCCCUCCUCCACCCAAACCUCAUCCAAAGAGGAGGCCAAGAAGAUGAGGAAGUUGCUCCCUCAGUUCCUUAAGCCUGAAGCUUUGCAACGUUACACCGGCAUCAUGGAUCACAUUGCACAGAGGCAUUUUGCUGAUAGCUGGGACAACAGAGAUGAAGUCAUUGUAUUUCCCCUGGCCAAGAGGUUCACUUUCUGGCUAGCUUGCCGCCUGUUUAUGAGCAUAGAAGAUCCUGCCCACGUCGCUAAAUUUGAAAAGCCCUUCCACGUCUUGGCCUCAGGACUCAUCACCAUCCCAAUUGACUUGCCUGGGACACCUUUCCACCGCGCUAUCAAGGCCUCCAACUUCAUCAGAAAGGAGCUUAGAGCCAUCAUCAAGCAAAGGAAGAUCGAUCUGGCUGAGAGCAAGGCCUCAAAAACUCAAGAUAUAUUGUCCCACAUGCUUCUGGCUACAGAUGAAGGUGGAUGCCACAUGAAUGAAAUGAAUAUUGCUGAUAAAAUCCUCGGUUUGUUGAUUGGUGGCCAUGACACUGCCAGUUCUGCCAUUACGUUCCUUGUCAAGUACAUGGCUGAGCUGCCUCACAUCUACGAGAAAGUCUACAAGGGUAAAUCUCUUUUACGCACCUGCCAUAUUUUCUCUCUUGAUAUUAUUUUAUUUAAUGUUUUCUUUUUCUUCAAAAUAAACCUUUUUCUUUUGUCUUUUCUAAAGAAAAAACAAUCAAGGCUUCAAAAGAAGGAGAAAAGAAAGAUAAAAGGGCAUGAAGCAAAUCCACAUGCAAUAUUUUUUCAUGUAUUUAACAAAUAAUGAUAACAGUAAUAAAAUUAUUCACAAAAAAGUAAAUAAUAAAAGUAUUUUCUCCAUGACUAACUUUUCCAAUUAGUUUGCUUUGUAUUUGUUAAGAAAUAAAAAGGUGAUAGUGAUAUCUGAGAAAGUGGGGGAACAGUCCUUAUUGUGACCAAUUAAAUUCCAAUGGCCACGCCUGUUGAUGAUUCCAUUAUUUAGCCUCAUUUUACUUUUUGGCCGUCAUAGUCGCCGGCCAAAAGAAUAAUAGUUUCUAACUUUUUUCUUUGGGUCCAUGUUUGUGACCAGAGCAAAUGGAAAUUGCCAAUUCAAAAGCACCAGGUGAAUUGCUGAACUGGGAUGAUGUUCAAAAGAUGAGAUAUUCAUGGAAUGUUGCCUGUGAAGUGAUGAGACUUGCACCCCCACUCCAAGGAGCUUUCCGGGAAGCAAUCACUGACUUCGUGUUCAACGGUUUCUCCAUUCCUAAGGGUUGGAAGGUAUAAUAUUAUAUUAUUUUAUAACUCAUAUGACUCAUUUUUUUAAUUCUAACACACCCUCAUCAACCACUUGCAGAUGCAAGUUACUUAAUUAACAGGCGCUUUUCUUAAUUAUUUGCAGCUGUACUGGAGCGCAAACUCAACCCACAAAAGCCUAGAAUGCUUCCCUCAACCCGAAAAAUUUGACCCUACAAGAUUUGAAGGAGCCGGGCCUGCUCCUUACACAUUCGUUCCCUUUGGUGGCGGACCUAGGAUGUGCCCUGGUAAAGAGUACGCCCGCUUGGAAAUACUUAUCUUCAUGCACAACUUGGUUAAAAGGUUCAAAUGGGAUAAAUUGCUUCCUGAUGAGAAGAUAAUCGUUGACCCCAUGCCCAUGCCUGCUAAGGGACUUCCAGUUCGCCUCCAUCCUCACAAACCAUAGUUCUAUUUGGUCACCCAUCACCCCACUUUCCAAAUUUAUCUACCAUAGACUUGUACUCGUUUUUUUCUUGACUUUGUUUUUGUUGUCAUGUGGUUGAGCCAUUCACAUGUGCACCUGCAAUGCUACUUCAAUUGGCUUAUCAAAGACAUGGAUGUAAAAUGAAAAUAUAUAUAUAUAUAUAUAUAUAGUAUUUAUGCCGCUGCUGCAGCCAGAUGGCUAGCUUAUCAUGUGAUGUGUAAGUAUAACUGCUAGACCAAUUGCAUUUAUCUCAAUCAUGGAUGUCUUAAUGGUGUUUAAUUGCCACCUGGGCCUUUGCUUAGAUGUUAUCUUUUUAGGCAUAUUUUGUAAUUGAUAAGACUACUAAAACUAGCCAAUCUUGGAUUCAUACUACACAUUUUUAUUUCAUGCCAUAAAGUCCAAAUUAAAUUUGCUAGGCUUGUUUGAAAGUAAUUCCUAUAAAAAGUGUUUGUACUCUAUAACAUUCUAUUAAUAAAAAAAAAUCAAUUAAUCUUUGACGUAAAUAAUAAUAAUAAUAAAAAUAAUCGGUAGCAAUAGUAUUUACUAAUAUAUAAGUGAAUUCAAAAAUCUAGUUGGUCGGGACGAAUACUAAAAAGUAUGGUUUUAGUAGGUGACAUAUGAUUUGGAUUCGGAAUCUUGUCACUAAUGAUAUCUUGAAUUUAUCCGAUAUUAGUUGUUGAGGGGUUUAACCACUAAAGGUAUCUCAGGUAUAAAUAAAAAAUAAAAAAUAAAUGUGAAUUCAAAAAUCGCUUCAAUUAAUUCUUUUAAUUUUUAAAACUCUACCAAUCAAGUUAAAAUUUCAAAAAAGUAAGAAUUUAUUCCAAAGGGUGUUAAUCAAACAUUAAGUCAAUCCUCUUAGAACUAAAGUUCAUAGAAAGCAAGAACCCCUUUUAAUUCCAAAAGUUUUAAAGUUGAAAACAGUAAUUAAUUAAUUAAUUAAUUGUUUAUUCUUACAAUCACUUAUAAAGGAAAUUAAGUCUAGGAUCUCCUAAGCCAUAAAUUUAGUAGGUAGGAAGGUGCAGUAAUAAAAGCCUCUACAAAAAUGAUUCCUUCCUUUUCCUGACUAUGUUUACUAUCAAUAUAAAUUCCCAUCAAGUUGAGAAGACAUGAAAUAUUUUCCUAGUAGGUGUGAACAAGGAUUGAAAUAUCGGUUUUUACGGAUAUAUCGGUACUUCAAUUUUACGGAUAUAUCGGAAAUAUCGGAGAAAUAUCGGUGGAUAUUUUUUCAUAAAUAUCGGUGGAGUGAAAAUUAUUUAAAAUUAAUAGGAAUGCUUGAAAAAACUUCAAAAAAUGAUAAAAUAAGUAAAAAUACACAUUUUAAAGUUAUCUUAUUAGUGUAAUUGAUAUAUAUAUAAUUAAGAAGAAAAAUAUCAUAAAUAGAGAUAUAUUGGUAGAUUCGACAUUUGAAUUUUAAAAAUAAUAUAUAUGAAUUUUGAAAGUGUAUAAAGUUAAAAUUGAGUUAAGAAAUAUUUAAUUUUAUUAAAUAAAAACAAUUUAUAUAUAAAUAUAAUAUAUAUGAGAUUGCAAUAGUCCUUAUACUAAGGAAGAUAUCAAUGUGAUUUCAUUAUAUUAUUAGAUGAAGGGAGUUCAUCUUGAAGACAAUAUUUAUUUUAAAAAUUUUAAAAUACUUUUAUUAAAAUAUAUUUUAUUAUAUUUUAAAUAAAAAAUUAAAUUAAUUUAUAUAAAAUAUCUUAUUUGAGAUUUAAUUUUUAAAAUUUUAUUAAAAAUAUGUGAUAACAAUUUUUUCUAUUAAUAUUAAUUUAUUUAAUAAUCAAAAUAAAGGUUGAUAAUUAAUAAUUAUUUAUAUAGAGAGUGGAAAAUUGUUCUCAUGAUUUUUUUAUUUUUUAUUUUUUAUUUUUUUAUCUCCACUAAAUCUAAAAAUAAAAAAAUAAAAAAGGCACCCACUUCUCUCUCGGGCACGGAGCAUCAGGAACCCUUUUCUGAAGUUGUCCUCCAACGAGAGAAUCCCUAAAAAAAAAGCCCUAUUUUCCUUUGCUACUCUCAAAUCUCAAUCCUCGCAGGUACUAAUCUAAUCAUGUUAUUAUUUUUUUCUUUUUGCAACCCCCGUUUGAUUCCCAAGAAAAUCCAUCCCCCAUUCGAUUUCUGGGAAAAUUCAUCCUCGUUUGAUUUCCGAGAAAAUCCAUUCAAAACCCCCAAAGAAAACAAAAAAAAAUUGCUUUUCUUUUGCUUCCUGUGUUUUCUAGAUCUGUUUUAGGGGUCUCUUUGCUGUUGUGCCAUUGGAUUUAAAUUUCACGAACCCUAAAUCCACGAUUUUUGAGCCAGGCUGAAAAACACAACUGCGCGGGCUGGACUGGUAGGAAAUAUCAGGAAAUUUUCCGAAAAAUCGGUAAAAAUACCUCCGGUUGCUCCGCGCGUCAGAUCCACUCGCGAUUUUUCUCCGAUUUAUCGGUGCUUCACCGAUAUUUCGCCGAUAUAUCGGCGAUUUUGCCGAUUUUUUGGCGAUAUUUCCGUGGAUCGAUAAUCGGUGGCGAUUAUCAUUUCGGUGACGAUCGAUAUCUGAUAUUUCUUCGAAAUAUCGGCGAUAUUUUCCGAUUUUUCAAUCCCUGGGUGUGAAGUAGUUCAGGUGAUACUAGGGAUUUUUUUAACUUCUACAGCUAGUUUAAAAAAUAAUUCUUAAAAAAUAGUACUUUGAACAAAAAUUCUUAAAAUAUAGUAGUUAUAAAACUAUUGAUAAAUCUACAAUACUUUUUACCAUUUUAAAAGGUAUUUCUUGAAAAAACAUCUUCCAUAUUUUUCAUAUCAACGAUACAUCUUAAAAAAAAUAAAAAAUUGAAUUUACACUAAAAUGAUCGAGAGUUACUUGCUAUUUAUAUAGAAAUUUAAACAAAGUCAUAAGAGAGGGUACGAAUUUUGUAAGAUAGAGUACGAACUUUGUAAGAUAGGGUAUAAACUUUGUAAGAUAGAGUACGAACUUUGUAAGAUAGGGUACGAACUUUGUAAGAAAAGGUACAAACUUUCUAAGAGAUUGUACGAAUUUUCUAAGAGAUUGUAUGAACUUUCUAAGAUAUGGUACGAAUUUUGUAAGUAAAGAUACGAACUUUGUAAGGUAUGGUACGAACUUUCUAAGAUAGGGUACAAAGAGAUGGUAUGAACUUUCUAAGAGAGUGUACGAACUUUAUAAAAAAAUGUACGAACUUUGAAAAUAUAAUAUUUUACAAUUACGUAGUGUUUUAAUUUUUUAAUUUUCUUGAAAAUAGUUUUCAUCAUUUCUAAGCUUGAUUAGUAUCAAUAAACAAUAUUAUUUGUAUUUUUAAGUGGAGAAAAUCGAAAAAAAUUUAAAUUUUAGGAUAUGGAGAAUAUGAUGUAGGGUAUAAAGAAUGUGAGAAUUUCUCAUAAUCUUCAUACAUUUUCUCACAUUUUUCGUAUCUUCUCUAAUUUUUUAGUGUUUUAAUUUUCUAAUUUUUUUUAGGACAAUUUACAUUAUUUCUAAUUUUAAAAUUUUAAAAUUCUUUUUUUUUUUUUUGUAACAAUUCUAUCAAUAAUAACUCAAAAUAAUAUUAUUAAACUAUGUUAUUGUUAUUUCAAGUUAAAAAGUGAAUAUGAAAAUUUAAAAAUAUAAAUAAUUUAGGGUACGAAACAUAUGAGAACAGUACGAAAAAUGUGAUAAAUACAUGUUUGGUACUUUCAUCACAUUUUUCAUAUUGAUUUUUAGUUUUAAAAUUUUUGAAAUUACAAAUUUAUUUUCGAAAAUACUAUCAUUAGUAACUCAAAAGAGUAUUAGUAAUUUAUUUUAUUAUAAUUUAACUUUAAAAACCUUAAAUUCAAAAAAUGUAAAAUUUGGAGAGUACGAAAAAAAAUUAGGACGAUCUAAUUACCUAAGUUUUACAUAUGAUUAUCAAAAUGUUGAAUUUUAAUGAAAAUACUCAUUUCAUAUUAAAAUAUUACUAUAUUCAUUUUUAUGUUGAAUUUAAAUGUUUAAUAAUUUGUUAAAAAUAAAAUAAUUUAAUUAUGAUAUAUGAUGAUUUUUUUUUUGUUAAUAAAUAUGUUUUCAAAUUUUAUAUCAUUUUUAUUUUUAUUUUUUUCCAAUUCUAUUUUUAUUUCAUAUUUAUUUUAUUUAAACCAAAAAUUGUUGAGAAGGGAGGAAGAAAGAAGGCCACUGGUUCUUCCCUUAAUUGGUUAAGUGGAAAUUUUAUUUCAAAUUUAAAAUGGAUGGCCAAGAUAUAAUAUUGAACAUCCAAUGGUCCUCCCUGGUAUUUCUUGGAUCUCUUCCAUUCUUUUCUCUUAUUUUUUACUUUGCGCGUGGUUACUCUUUAAAUAUUUAAAUCAGGGACGGAAUGGACGGAGCCACCAUAGGCUCAGCAUGGCCCCCUCAGAUUUUAAUAAUUUUUUUUAUAAAAAAAUAAUUUUUUGAAAAGUUGUUUUGAAAAAUGUGUUUUCAAGGAAUAUAUUUUAAUUAUAUAUAUUUGAAAAUAGAAGACGAGUUUUGCAUCAUAGAAAAUAGUCUUUUAAGAAUUAAUUUUGACAGUAAGUUAUUUUUUUUAUAUCAAAUUUAAAAUAUUUGAGUCAUUUUUUAUAAAGUGCUUAUGAGUAACAAUACUUUUCUAUUUAAAAUUAAUGAUUUAAUUAAUAUAAAUGUUGAAUAAAAACUUAUCAAAAAUUUGUACAAAACAAAAGUAUAUAUGCUACAUCAUCAUACAUAAUCAAUAAGAAUACUUUUCUUAUUAUAUAGUAGUGUUAGUUGAAAUAAAGAAAAAAAAAUACUAACUUUUAUGUAAAAUAUUUAUUAAAUAAAGCAAUGGGAAGAUGAAACAUUUUUCAAAACAAGAAUCUAAUUUUGUACAUUUCAAUCCAUAAGAGAGAGGAGAGAGAUUAGUUUAAAUGGUACCUGCAUUCGCAUCAAAAGAUCAGCGCUUUGUUUAAAUUGGAAGCGGUUCUUCUUGAACUCCUCGCGAACCCUUUCAACUUCAGCUCGUUCUUGUGGAGAUCCAGCGUCUGGGUCAAAUUCCCAGUGUUGUCGGCCGAUGUGAUUGUUCACUGUCAUCAGCCAUGGCCCCUUGCCUUCUGCUAUUUUCAGCUUCCACAUUCCCUAUGGAAAUUUAAACAAAGUCAUAAGGUGUAUAAGUGGAUGCAGAAUAAUUUUCAAAAGAGAAACGAAUUUGAAGACAGAAGAAAAAAGAUCAUGCCAAGACAUGCAUGGUGAUAGGGUUGGUUGUGGUGCAAGAAGCUCAAUGUAGUGAGGGUAAAGGAGGCAGAAGUGAAAGGUUUCCAAUCGCAGAAAAAGUGAUGGAAAAGAAUUGGACUAUGAAAUGAUAGAAAAGGCAAAUACAUACCUGUAGAGCCUAAAUGUUAAGAAGGAAAUAUUGUUGUUGGCAAGAGGGAUCAAAAGUUGGAGAUAUGUGCAACUGGAGGGAGAGGGCCUUCCCUUAUAUAUAAGGGAAAAGACUAGUUUUGAGUGCAAGUUUACUCAAACUUUAAAUAUAUAUAUUUUUGUGUUGUUUGCAAGAGGGAUCAAAAGUCGGAGAUAUGUGCAACUGGACGGAGCCACCAUAGGCUCAGCAUGGCCCCCCUCAAAUUUUAAAUAUAUAUAUAUAUAUAUAUAUAUCCCCUUUAAAAAAUUACUUUUGAAUGUGAAAAAAAAAUAAAAAAAUUAGAUAAGCAUAAAUAUUGAAUAGAUUUUAUAAAAUAUUUGUUUGUUUGUAUUUUAAAAUUUAUUUAAUAUUAAAAUUAAAUUUAUUUAAAUCCUAAUAUACAUAAAAUAAAUCUAAAAAAUAUUUUUUUUUUUAAUUUUGUAUUUGAUAUUUUAUUAAAUAUUUUUUUUAUUGUGAGCUAUGUUUUGUUUAAUUUUGAGAUUUUUUAAAAUAUUUGGACUUUUAGGUUUAAUUAAAUAAUUUUUAAUUCAUGAAUACGUAAGUACACAAUUAUUCAAAUAUAUGCUAUUUAAUUUUUGAUAAAAUUUAAUUUUAUUUAAAUAUUUGAUAUUUUAUUAAAUAUCUUUUUAUUGGUAGGCACUUUUUAGUUUAAUUUAAAGAUUUUUAUAAGUGUUUAGAUUUUUAGGUUUAACAAAACAUUUAUUAAUUUAGAGUUGAUUACCAAAAUUUUACCAUUAUUAAGUAAUUUAUAUUUAAUUAUUUUAAAAAAUCCAAAAAAAUUAUUAGUGAGACUUUUAAAUUUUUUCUAAAAGCUCUGUAACAAAAUAUUUUAAAAAUUAUUAAAAAUGUUUUGAUCAAAUUUCUUAAUAUUUUUAUUAAAAAAAAUUGCAAAUAUUACUUGAAUAGUUUUUAUAAACUUUUAAAUAUUUUAGUUAUUUAAAUGAUAUUGAUACUAUCAUUUCUAAAAUAUGAAAAUUUAUUAAUAUUUAAUAUAGUAUACGAAUUUUUUAUUUUGCCCUCGUCACCAAAAUUUCUAGCUCCACUAUUGCUUUAAAUCAUAUUAAUUAAGAAAGCAUUUCACAAUACUUUAUUUGAAAUGUUUUUAGUAAAAAUAUUUUCUUUAAAAAUAUUUUUAAGAGAAUUAUUUAACCUCCUUUUUUAAAUGCUGAAUGUUUAAUUUUAUUUUAUUUUAUUUUUGUCCAUUUGACCCUCUUUUAAUCGCACGUCGUGUUGGCCCUUCUUUUUUUAAAAAAAUAAAAAAAUUCAGACAAAACCAUAUUUUGAAGAUUAAUUUCAAUACAAAUUAUGAAAAAUAUUACCUUAACCUAAUUUGAAAAAUUAAAUGAAGUGGUUUCUAAUUGUAAAAGAAGUAGUUUGGACAUCAAGUUUUAGUCAUUCUUACAGUGUAUAUACGUUAGUCCUCCAAUAUUAACUAGUGGUUCUUAAUUUUAACAUUUUAAAAUUUAAUUAUAAUAUAUCGAUGAGAAUUGAGUUUGGGUAGUUGUGAAAGCAGCCUUAAUCGAUGGAAUGUGAUAGAAUGCCGGUCUGGUUUUUGUUGCAUGCCCUAUUAUUUGGGGGUCCUGCGGAAACAGCUUUCACUUGAUAUCAUCUGGCAUCCGCCUUGAAUGCUUUGGAGCUUCACCAUUAAAUUAAGUAACAUCUAUAUUUGUUGAUAAUACCUAUACACACACAUCUACAGGUCUCUAAAGACUAUGUUUAAUUUUAUAAAGUAUUCGGGAAAUAAAAAAAAUUUAAAAAUUAUUUUUUAAAAGAAAAUAAAAUAUAAUUAAAAUUAAUAAAAAUUUUAAUGUUCUAUGAAAUAAGUUUCAUAUAAUGUUUUUCCUCAACCACUUUUUUGAUUUCGUCCUUGAUUUUAUAUAUUUUUAAAUUAUUUAAUUUUAUAUAAAAUAUAAAAAUAAGUAAAAUAAAAGUUAAAACGUGUAGAUCUAUAUUUUAUUUUUUUUCUAAGUAAAGAUUUUGAAAGUUUCUCAAACUUUGUAAUUCAAUCCUUUAUAAGGUUGAAUGAAAAGGGUUAAUCGAUACCAGGACACUAAUGGGCUUUAUUCAUCCCAGUCAUAUUCUUUUUUUUUUUUUUUUUUUGUAAAUUGAAUUGACAAUAUGAUAACCCAGUGAACUAAAUCCGAAUUUCUUUUUCCAUAAAUAUAUUGAAAUGAAAUGUUUUACAUUUCUUCUAUAAAAUAACAAAUAUUCAUAUAAUAUGAUUUAUAUAUAACCAAAGAGGGUUUUCCUAAGGAGUAGUAUAUUUUUUUAAAAACUGUAAUAUAAAAAAUAAUUAUAAAAUUAUGGUACUUUUUAAGUUUGAACAGAAUUUAUCUUUUGAAAAGACAAAUUUAACAUAAAAGCCAGUUUAGUGAAAAAAAAAAAAAAAGUAAAGUGGUGUUUAUUUGUUUGUUUGUUUUAAAGCAAUUUGCUUUUGAAUUUUUAAGUCAUUAGUUUAUUUUUUAUAACUUUUUGUUGAUUUAUUAUUUAUUUCAUAAUUUUUUUAUUAAAUAGAAAAAAUUAAAAUGUUUGACCUUUUUCAUACUAAAUAUAAUCUAUUAUUAUUUUUUUUACUUCUUAAUAUUUAAUAGAAAUAAAAUAUUAAAAAAUCAAAUAACUUAAUAUUUAUCACUAUUAAACAAUUUUAUUUAAAAUUAAGUUAAAAAAAACAGAAAUUAAAUAAUAUUGAAAACAAUAGAAGUUGAAUUAUGAAUUAAAUUUUCAAUGGAGUUGAUACUAAAACAUAGUUUAAAAGUGAUGUAGAGAUAGAAUUCUAUCUAGAAGAUACUUUAUGAUUUCAAUGGCUAUAAUUCCUAUAUUUUUAUAAAAUUCACAAUAAAUAUUUAGAUUAAAAUUAUUUAUACAUGUGUAAAUUAGAUUUAUGGGCAUAAAUUAUUCCUCAACUAAAAAUGGCGUGCUAAGUCAAUUUAAUUUAGGGUCAAACCAAAGAAUUCCUUAUGAUAUCAAUUAUAGAUUCUUAACCCUCCAACUCUAUGAUAAGAGUUAUGAUGUGAUGGAUCAAUUUAAUUUUUUUAUCACUUGAUAUAGGUCACAACCUUAUGAUAUCGUCAACUAUAAAAGCCAGUGAUUUUAAUUGAUUAACUAUAUUUAUUAAAAUUGGGAAUGAUAGGUGGCAAUCACUUGUAUCCCACAAUUGAUUAAUGUAAUAUUCACAUGUUAGGUGUUUUAUCAAAAAUAGAAAUAAAAAUAAAAUAUAAUUAAAAUUAGUUUUAAAAAUAAGGAUUUUAUAUUAUUUAAUUUUAAUUUAAAAUAAAAUUUAAAUAAAAUGAAUUUUAAAAAUAUAUAAAAAUAAUUUAUAACUUCUAAAUUAAAUUUUCUCAUUUUUCCUUCGAUUUUUUAUUUUUUAUUUUUGUAGGAAAAUUUCGGAUUACUUUUUUCAAAUACCUAAGAUUUAAAAAAAAAAAAUUCACUGUUCAAUUAUUCGUCUAAGUUAUGAAUGAAACCACACUAAAAUUAAAAAACAUUGUUUCAUAGUACAAAAAGUCUUUCACAUUUUUUAAAGAACUUUUCUUUCUGACUUAUAUCAGUCUUUCUUUCCACAAAGAAGUAAGAGAGGGUGAUAUUUCCAUUUUUUUAAUGGAAUGGUUUCUGUGCAGUUUCUGACCAUUUCAAGAAACUGCUCCUCUGAUAUCUUAUUUGAUUGGAUCGGGUUGAGUUACUCUAACUUAGACACCUGCUCGACUCCAACAUUUUCUUUAUAUAUAUAUAUAUCUUAUUUGAUUGGAUCGGGUUGGGUUACUCUAAUUUAGACACCCGCUUGACUCCAACAUUUUCUUUAUAUAUAUAUAUAUUCCCAAAUUUUAUAUUGCACAAAUUUUCUAUGGUAGGUGAAGAUUUGAUGUGAUUGAAUUUUUUUUUCAUUGCAAUCGACAUUUCACAAGUUGCAUUUUAGAUUACUUGUUCAUGAAGUUAGAGUGGAUCACACAAUUUGAUUUUUUAUUAUUUUUUUAAAUAAAAAAGACAAAGGGAGUCAUGUGAUUGCACUUGAGUUGACUUUGUUACCCUUUGGUAUGUCAUGCAAUACACUGUAGUCGCCUUAUAUGUGAGGUUAAACCCUAGCAAACCAUGUGAUUUGCUUACUUAAUAACAAGAAAGAAAAUGAAUGAAAAUUUGCUCAUUAUCACGAAGGAUAUGUAGAGAUUGGGUUGUUGAAGGAAAGGUUUUAAAAUAGUUUUUUUUUUGUUAAUUUUCAUUGAUAUGAAGACAUGUAUAUAUACAAGAUACAAUUGGCUUUUUAGUGUAUCACUUCCUAUAAUUAUUGUGGCUACUUUACAAGAAUAAAUUGAUUCCUAAACGUAUUAAAUCAAAUAUUUACACAAUAUUCAAAAUAUUUACAGAAUAUUCCAAAAUAAUAAACUAUCCCAAAGAGUCUCCAACAUGCCCUCACAAGAUGAUGGUUCCAUUGGAGACGCCAAUCUUGGAAUGAAGAUGAUGAAACCGAAGACGAGAUAAUAGAUUUUAAACUUGCCUUAAUUAGUGUUAAAAACAUUUGUUAAGCUUAGAUUUUAUUUUAGUGAUGUAAGUUUACUUAAAAAAAAUUAAUUCCAGGAGUUUGUAUUUUGCUUUAGUUAUAUUUAUUUAUUCACACGUUAUCUAUUUAUUUAUUUAUUAAUAAGAUUAAUUUUCUAGGUUAGAAAUUUAGUUUUAAAAUUUGUUUUGGAUAGUUUUAUAAUUUAAUUUUUGGUUUAAGUAAAAUUGUAUUUGGUUAAAAUAAUUGAUCUUAUGUGUUAAAUAUUGGAUUUUUAAAUUUGCCUUAAUUAAUAUUUAAUUCAUUUUGAGUUUAGAUGUCAUUUUAAUAAUGCAAAUUUAUUUAGGAAGUUGAUUCCAUGAAUUCAUAUUUUGUUUUAGCUUGCUUUCAUUUCGUUUGAUUCAUUUUAAUUAUUUUAGGUGUUUUUCUUUCUAUAGUUUUAAGUUAUUAACAAAAUCAAUUCCACAUUAAAAGGUGUCUAUGUUUAGUUUACUCUGAUUUAGUCUCACUCAUCUAUUCAGUUUAGAUAUUUUCUAUAAUAUUAGCUCACUAAUAAAAUUAAUUAUAUGAUUGAAAAUUCAUGUUUGCCCUGAUUUAAUUUGGUCCAUCUUUAUCAAUCUAGAUACGUUUGUGUGUUUAAUUGAUCACAUGCUAAUUCUUGAUUGUUCCUCUUAAUUGAUGUGUUUCUUGAAAAUUAGUCAUUAAUUCUCGGUGAGUAUCAGGUUAGCUUAUUUGAUCUAAGUUUUAAUAGUUUAUUACUUUGGUAGUCUCUCGUCAAAUUUAUUUUUCAGAGGCCAUCGAAAAAUAAUGAAGAUUGGCCUCUAUUCACAUCAUUUCAGUUUGCUUGGUUGCUAAAAAUUUUACUUUAUGAUUUUGUUUCCGUUUGUUUCGUUUGGUGUUCUGUUUCUCAUACAUUUUAUUUUUUUCAGAUUAAUUUCUUUUGUUUUAAAAUAUAACACAUUUCUCAACGGAUCCCUUUAAAAAUCUAUUUUAAAUAAAAAAAAAACUCAUUUAAAGCCCUUAGAAUCAAAACCUCAUUUUCUUAAGUAAUAUGCAACCAUGUUUUGGUCGGUUUGCAUCUUCCUCAGUGUUUUUAAAAAAUUCUGGUUUUGAGUGGAAUGCGAAUUCAAGCUUAUGGUCUCAAACAAAUGGGAUAAUUAUAGGCUAAAUUCGUGUAUAUCAAUUGGGGAAUUGGUGAAACCCCUACAUAAGAAAAUAUUUUCAAAACUCAUUUUUUUUCUGCCGCCUUUACUACUUGUUGUAAUCAUAUUUAUAUUUAUUUUUCAGGAAUUGUAUACAAGAUAUGUGAUAAUUGAUGUUUUCGUAUACUUUGAUCAUUUUUGCUAUGCUAAUUAGAUAACAAGCAUGCUAGGAUUUCUUUAUUUUAUUAUUAUCUUACCCCUCAUGUCUUAUGGAAGCACAUUAUAAGUUAUCUAUGCUAUCCAGGUACACCCCCAUAACCCCCACCUUUUAAAUUUAGUGAAUAUGUGUGUCAUUGUGAACUAUGCCUAUGAUCGAUAGUGUUUGGGUGUAUUAGUAUUUGUUUCAUUGUUCAAUUAUUUUUUAUAAAACGCAUGCUAGAUGAUAUAUUAUUUGAACUAACUUUGGUGUCUUGUGAUAGCGCAUAAGAAGCAAUCUAGGUACGCACUCUAAAUUUCCUUUCUGAUUUGUAAUUAGUUUUCUUGUUUAGCAUAUUAUUUUUUGGAAAUCACCUUAGUUUACCUAGAUACCCUCAAUCAACCGAUUAAUUGUCACAUUCCCCUCAAAUUAGUUAGUAGAGACCUUUAUAGGGCUUAGAGGGGUGCUACCUCCUAGAGGUACCUUCCCAAUAGGUAACCUGAUCCCUAGACCUAGACUCGGGUUUUUCAAAGGCAUGCUUUUCCAAAAACUAGGGAUUCAUUUUUUUAGGGUUUUAUUUCUUGUUUUAUUUUCCUUUUAAAAUAAAAUAAAAUAAGUGGCAAUUCCGACUUUUUCCAAUUUUUUCACCAAAUUAAAAGCGAGUUUCGCUCAUUGAGUGGGGACGCAUGUGAAAAAUGCGGGUGCACAAUGGGCUUCAAAAUUAAGGAGUUUCUCAUGCAAUUCUUCAACUGAGAUUGGGGUUUCAUGGGCCCGGACUGUUGAGGCAAUGUCUUUGUAUUUUGCACUAAGUCCUUCAAUGAUUUUGAUGGUCAAGUCUUCAUUGUUGAUUGGAGCAUCCAUCAUGGCGAGUUCAUCGGCUCGACUUUUAAUUUACUGCAUGUAUUCACUGACACUUUGAGAUCCUUUAGAAAGAUUAGCAAGUUGUCAUUUGAUUUGCAUAACACGCCCUCUCGACGGUUUAGCAUAGGUUGUAGCGAAGGUUGUCCAAGCAUCCUUGGAUGUUUUUGAAGAGGCAAUGAAUAGAUAAUUGUGGGAGAUAGUGAUCCAACAAUAGCAUUAAGGAUCAGUUUGUCCUAGCGAAUCCAAAGUGAGUAUUCUAGGUUGAUCGUGUUAACACCAUUUACUUUGAGAAUAGGGUGUGGGCAAGGUCGGGUUCCAUCAAUAAAACCCAUGAGAUUCAUAAUCGACAAGAAGAUUAUGUAAUUGAAUUUUCCAUGAUGUGUAGUUUGUUGUGUUGAGUUUGAGAGGGGCUUGAGCAGAGACAUUAAUGGAGAUUAAGGAGUGUGUGUUCUUAAACGAGUUGAUGAUGGAUGGAGGAGAAGAGGCAAACAUUGCAAGGGUAUUUGGUUCUAGUUCAGCCAUGAUCUCGUUAGAGUGCUGCUCUGAUACCAUGUAGAGAUUGGGUUGUUGAAAGAAAGGUUUGAAAAUAGUUUUUCUGUUAAUUUUCAUUGAUAUGAAGAAAAGUAUAUAUACAAGAUACAAUUGACUUUCUAGUGUAUCACUUCCUAUAAUUAUUGUGCCUACUUUACAAGAAUAAAUUGAUUCCUAAACAUAUUAAAUCAAAUAUUUACAGAAUAUUCCAAAACAAUAAACUAUCCCAAAGAGUCUCCAACAGGAUCAAGAUUUUUAUUUGACUUUGUUGAACUUCUUAAUUUGUAGUUAUUCAAAUUCUGAGUAUCCCUUAGAGUUGGGAAGACAUUCGUGGACACCAUAUGUAAGUGGAAUCACACUUAUGGUUAGUUUCCUUUAUCUCGUGACUCUCUUUAACCAUACAUGCUCUAAAUACAAGUAGGAUCAUAUUUUAGUUCCUUUAUACAAUGAACCUUUCCAUUUUGGUAGGUUCACCUCAUUUAUAAUCUUAUUUGUAUCAUAGUAAUCUUAAUUGGUUUAACUCAUUUAUAUAUUCAUGUCAUAUUAACCUAUUAUAUGAUCGUGUCAAAAUGACUUAUUUAUGAUUCAACCUAUUUUUAACAAAUUUUAUUCGUAUAAAUUUAUUAAUUUUAUAUUUUUAAUUAUUAAAAAUUAUAAGAUUUAAAUUUAUAUAUUUCAUUAUAAAGAUUAAAAAUAUUUUAUAAAAACAUUAAACAAGUGUGGAAUAAAACUUUUAAUUUAUUUUUUAUAUUAUAAUUAAGGUUAUAUAAUUAAAUUAAUUAAUAUUAAAAAAAUUAAAACUUAAACAAUCAAAAGAAACUAAAAUGUAAUUUAAAAUAAUAUAUUUAUAAAUUUAAAUUUUCAAAUAGGCUCAAUAGAUAACAAUCAUGUUAACAAGUUAAGUUGGUUAGAAUCAUAUGUAUUAACAGGUUUAAUAGGUUAGAAUCAUGUUAAUGGAUUAUCCAUGUCAACUCUUAUAUAAAUCAACUUUACUUAUUUAUUAAAAAGAUUAAACAGAUCAUGUUGUAUUAUCCAUAUAAUAAACAAGUUGUAUUCAUGUUAGAUCAUUAUAACAUAAUUAUUAAAUGGAUCAUAUUUUGAUUGAGUAAAUAUUUACUGCUUCUUACCCCUACAUUAUACAAAGCCAAUACGACAUGAUCCAUGCAACCCCUAACUAGUUAAUUUCCCUUACAUAAUUUUACUAUUUGGUCCCUUCUAACUAGGAAACUUACCAUGUAAUUGUAUAAUUGUAUUGUAUUUCAAAGAUAAUACUAUAUAAAAUUUAGUAUAGAGAUUAAAAAUAAAAAUAAUUCAGUUGAAUGAAAAUGCAAUUUUUUUAUAUUUGUUUUUGUUGCAAAGUUAUUAAAACUAAAGAGUCAUUUGUGGCCUUAGGAGUGAGUCCACCUUGGUUGGGCUUGAUUUAGGUUGUAACCCAACCAACCCCUUAAAGUUAUAUCCUUAUUUUCAACCCUAAUUUUAAUAUUUGUUGGUGUUAAAUUCUAAAAGAAUAAGCCAAGUAUGAGUUUUUAAACACAACUAUUCAAUCUUAGGAGUUAGGAUAUGUAAAAGGUUCUAAAACAAGUUAUCUAUCAAAAUUCUUGUGAGGCAAUUUUCCUUUUAGGAGGUUUCAAGAAAGAUAGGAGCACAACUCAAGUUGAGACCAAUUAACAUACCUAGUGUUACUCGUGGCUCAAACACUUGCUUUGCGCAAAAUUUUUUUGCCUUUUUUUAUUUUUAUUUUGCUUUUUAGUUUUAUUUUUUUUUAUUGUUAUAAAGUAGAAUUUGAAUUAAAAUUUAGAAGUUCAUCAAAGAGAUGGGAUAAACUUGUAGAAGGAAAUUCAAUUGAGAAUAUAAGUCCCAUGCAAAUAAUCUCUUUUAUUGAAAUGGGAUCCAAAAUAAGAUUUAAAUUUUUGCAAUGAAUAUCAAACUACAAUGAGCUAACUAAUGGCAUAUUCAGUUAUCUUUGUGAUUUUGUAGUUAAAUGUAUUAGUUUACUUGGUUUGCAAGACACUAAACUCAUAUUUGUAUGGUGGCAAGUGAUAUAUGCUCUUUAUAAAAAGAUAAUUCAUCUUCAUAUGUUAUCAUACUAUUUGUGCUAUCCGACCACCCAAAAAAUAAAGGAAGUGAGUCCCUACAUUUUAAUGUUAAAGAGGAAACCUCAACUUAUGUUGUAUGUGACUAUCAAUUAUGUUUUAAAGUGAUAAGUUCAUGACUACUACUUUGGUAUGUUACCCGUGGAUAUUGGACAAAUUUUCAUUUAGAACAUGUCUAAAAAAGCGGUUAACCUAAAAUGGAAUGACCUAGGGCUUUUUUAACUUCUACAAAAAAUUUCCUAAAAGGGGAUAGUUGUAAAAAAGAAAUUGAAUCUAUACUAAAGUUGUUUCUUGAAGAGAGACUUUUCAUAAUUUUCAUAUCAAUUAUACAUUAAAAAAAUGAAUUUAUCUAUAAUUUUUAUUAUCAGUCACACAAAAAAGAAAAUUGAAUUUAUAUUAAAGUUGCCUCUUGAAAAGACGCAUUUCAUAAUUUUCAUAUCAAUCACACAUUGAAAAAAAAAUAGAUUUAUACUAAAGAAACACCUUUCAUAAUUUUCAUAUUUGUCACACAAUGACAAAAAAAAAAAAAAAAAAAAAUGAUUCCAUAAUUUUUAUAUCAUUCACAUUUGGGGAAAAAAAAAAUUUUGAAGUUAUACUAAAGGUAUCUUUUGAAAGAACACUUUCCAUAUUAAAAGUAUUAAGGAUGUUGUCUCUUGAAGAGACAUCUUCGACAUUUCAUAUCAAUCAUGAUUAUUUUAUACUAAAGGUGUUAUGCUGGUACUCUAUAAGUCAAAUAGGAGAGAAUUUAAAUUCUUAUAAAAAAAUAAAAAUAAACUUCAAUAAAGAGCUAAGACAUAUACAAAUUACUAGUAGCUUAUGAAAGGACCUAGUCCGAGUAAGAAAUUGAUGAGUAAUGGAAUGGUACCACACCAUGUAUGGAUCAUGACACUUUAAUGGACCUAUAGUCAUCUCACUCCUAACAAUAUGCUUGCGCUUAGAACCCUAGUGUAGAAUUUAGUGUUGAUGUCGACCGAUGUAAUCAACAUUAUAUCUAACUUUCAAAUCACAUUUAUGUAAGAUGGACUCAUUAUCACAUGGUUGAGGAAUCCCUUGACGAAAUCCAAAUGGCCACAAUACUUGAUUACUUUCAUGUCAUUCAACUAUGUGGAAACAUAUCAAAGGUGAGAUAGUGCACUAUAUAUCUUUCCCAUAUGUACAAUAAUAAAAAAACUCCAACAUUCAUGUUAUUAACAUAUGGUUUUCAUAUAAUCUGUAGUCAAGAAAGGUUAGAUAAAAUCAAUGGUUUGAAAUUUGUUAACAAAAAAAAAAAAAAAUUUGAGAAAUAAAACAAACUUUUUUCACUUGAUCUACUAUAAGGUGAUUAAGUUGGUACCUAUAUUGAGCUAAAACGUGCAUGGAUUUUGAAGUAGUAUAAAAAUCAUUUCUCCAACUAUAAAAAUAAAAAAACAAACAAACAAAUAAAUAAAUGGUAGGAUUUAAGUUUUUAUAUCCUCAUAAUAGUAAAAUUGGUGGUAAUGAUGCAUUAUGACCAAUGGAGAUAGAGGCAAUUGGUCAUUAUCUAGAGCUCUAUGUAAAUGAUGAGGUGCAAUAAAUGAGAACCUAUCCCAUACCCAUAAUUGAAGUAAAAUCGGUGGAUCAAAUAUAUCAUGUGUAUAAAUUUGAGAAGCUCAAUACAACAAUCAAUAAAACCAAGCUAAAUAGACGCUACCCUAACUAUAACCACUAGCAACCUAAAAAUCCUCUAGAAAUGGUAAAAACAUAAGAUGCGCCUCUUAUCGCUAAACUUUAUUAAAAAAUGAAAAACUCCAAUGAGUUAUAAGAUAUAUGCUCUUUUAUAACAUUGAAUAAACUCCUUAUCAACAUCCAAUGUCAAAGUAGGGAAACUUAAACCAUGUAAGAUGAAGGUGUUGCCCAUGUAUGUCUCUAUCCUUAGGAAUGAGCCUUAAUAAAGAAUGACAUACAUGUCCCCAAUCUAGACAUGUGCUACUAGUAACUAUUAUUCCAUCUACUACUAGUCCAAUAAGAAUGACAAGGUCCUAUAGUGAAAUCGUGCACACCUCCUAAGGUAAGUGGAAGGUAUGAGUCUUUGAUUGCCAUUUCUUGACAAAUGUAGUGAUAAGAUGUUAAUAUAAGGAAAUGAAUUCUAAGUGUGCAACACUAUAUAAGCUUGCUUGUUGCAAUCAAGGAAUAAUAUGUCCAUCUAGUGCACUAGUGCAAUGGAAAAUUACCUCGCAAUGUAGACAAUGGAGCUCUUUUGAGUUAACACCUACCCAUGUUAGAGAUGACCUCUCUGUGUGUGUCCUAUCUAUGUGGAAUUAUAUGAUCUAAUGGUCCUGGCUCCAUAGUGUGAUAAUAUAUGCAUAUAGUAAAUAUGCAUUAAUUAGUGUGACUAGAGAUUUAAAGAUAUUGCAUUAAAAUAUCAUAUUUUGAAAUAAAUUAUCUUUCAUACUUUAAUUAUCUUCAAACAAUAUUUGUUCCAAGAUUAGUUAGCUGAAGGAUGUUCAUCUGCUUAGGCAAUGUUUGAUAAGAUUCAUCCCAAUCAUCGAAUACUCUAAGCAUUGCCUUUCUCUUAGCUUCCUAAAUACUCUUAUAAUGGACAUCAUAGCCAAAUUUAUUCUUCAUUAUUUUAUGCAAUGUUGCAAUAGAGGUGUUGUGAUCCAUUUGGACUACAUUUUGGAUCUUUUUUGCAAUCAAUGUACAAUUUAGUUGAGAGUGAUCUUAUGAUAAUUUAGAGUAUUUGGUGAGGGUUGUGUACUUGGUUAUCUCAAACAUUCCAUGGUUUUUAUGAUGACAAGCAUGAUGCCUCCAAUUACAUUUUUCCUACUACUUAUAUCUCACUACUCAUAAAUGUGGCUUUGAUUAAGAAACAACAAAUGUUGAUUUCGACAUAUUGAAUAACGUUUUAUAGCAUAUUAAAGGGCUUCUCUACUCUCAAAUCUCAAUCCUUUAAACAACUCAUUCAAUUUAUUCCAUAAUCCAGUAUGUGAUAUGAGAUACUUAGAAGUUAUGCCAUUUAUUACAUGCAAAUUCAAUUGUUUAAACAUUGGGGAAUGAGAGAAAGAGGGAAAUGGUUUAAGGUUUUUUUGCUUGGGGAAAUGGGUGAGGUGUUUGGAUUUAGAGACUUUUAUUAAAAUCCAAUUUCUUCGUGUAAGAAUCCAAUAUGACAAAAACUAUCGUAGAAUUGGAAAUAUUUUAUAAUAUGUUAUAUUUUUAAAUUUUAUUUUUAAAAAGACUGUACUUUCAUAAAAAUCUUGACAUGGGGAUGAUAAGAAGAUUUUUUUAGGAUGAGUUUUAUUAUUAUUAUUUAUUUGACACAUGAAUUCACUAGUGGACAUAUUGCAUGUCUCUUAUCUAAUGAAGAUACAAUUACGAGUACAUGAUUAAGUUAUGCGCAGUUUACUGUAGCUUUGAAAGCUCAAGUAUACAUGGACUGGUGUAACAAUUAAAUUUGAGAUACAAUGAAAAUAAUAUGCUUCUUAGCCAUUUUGUGCAUUAGUGACAUUCAUUUAUUUUAUGAUUCUUAAACAAGAACUCUUUCAAAAAAUUUUCUAUAAUGUUAUUACAUCAUGUGUAAACAAGGAUAAAAAUAUUAGUUUUGAUGGAUAUAUUGAUAAUUCAGUUUUACGAAUAUAUUGAGGUAUAUUGAGAAAUAUUGGUGCAUAUUUUGACAUAAAAUAUUGAUGGAAAAAAAAUUGAUCAAAACUCAUGGAAAUGUUGGAAAAAACUCUUAGAAAUGAUAAAAGAAAUAUAAUAAACAUGUUGAAAUUGUUUUAUUGAAUAAAUUGAUAUAUAUAUAUAUAUAUAUAUAUAUAUAUAUAUAUAUAUAUAUAUAUAUAUAUAUAUAUAUAUAUAUAUAUAUAUAUAUAUAUAUAAUAUAAUAUAAUUUGUGAUAAGAAAUAUGAAUCUUGUAAGUAUACUCAUUAUUAAACUACCUUAAAGAUUUGAUUUCAUUAAAUGUCAAUAAUUUGUACAUAUUAUAUUGUAAGGACCCUUUAGUACCAAAAUGAUAAUCGAUGUGGUUCAAUAGAAUUGCUAGAUGAAGGAUUCAUAUUUUGUUGGAGACAAUAUUAGUAUCGACUCACUGAGUCUCGAUAGUAUUAAUUAAAAAUCUGAACAUGUCAUGCAUAGAUCUCUUGAGUCUUGCCCAUUACUUCUAUAUGGAUGGGAUACUUGAGGUUCACCCAUGUGCUUAUUACAAAUCCUUCUUGCAUCUGAUAUGAAAUGUGGUAUGACAUUUAUGCAGAAGGAGAAUAGUUAAACAUACCAUAGUCUUCAUCGGUUGAACUUGAGCCCAUCGCAUAAUCUUGAGGAGGUUGACCAUAACCCAUCAUAUAAGGAGGGUAAAUAUUAGCCUUAGUUAGUGAGUCACUAAAUUGAGUCCUUAUACUCAUAGACUCAAAACUAACUAAAAAUGAAUCCUUGUUAAAUGGUGUCAUCCUUCGUUCUGUUCCUCUAUACGACUUCUCAAUGACUCCUAUACUUGGACUAGCUCCUCUAAAGCCAUGGUCUUUAUAUUAUGUGCAGUGCAUGAAAUCAUCUUCACAAGUGGAUGAGCUCAUUGGAUAUUGACUUUGUUGUUGUUAUCUAACAUUAUUUCUAUCAUUUCUAGUAUCAUCAUUACCUUUAUCAUAGUUCCACCUCCUCUAAAAGCAUCAAAAUUAGAAGUAGAAGUACCAGUAGUGUUAGGUCUACUACUUUGUCUAAUACUUGUGGAAUCAAUUGAAGGUUGGGAAUUUAAUGCCUCCUGAAAUGAAUCCCCUAUGUCUUUGUUGAAACUCUCACUAUAAACUUCUUCGAAUAACAUUCGUUUAACAUCAACACCUAAUUCUCAAGCAUGAGCGGCAAUUCAUGGAUUGGGAUUCUCGACAUCAUCAUUUAAGUUUAAAGGUUUGACUCAUUAGAACAAUUGAUUCUCCUCUUUUUCACCCACCUUCAAGGAGAUCAAGGUAAUCUUUAUCAAUAACUUUAUCAUUUUCUGUCUUUAUAUCGUGUAACUCUAGUUUCAUAUUAUAAUAACCAAAAACUAAUUGUUGAAGUUGAGGGUAACCCAGACGACUUUGUUGGUUUGUGUGGAUGAGAGUGAAAGUACUCCAAGUUCUCUCACAAGCAAAAUAUGAUGUAGUUAGUGAUAGAACUUUGGCAGCUAGCUUUCUCAAUGUAGGCGUAUAGUUUCCAUGCAUGACCACCAUUCAACUGUAGCCAAAUUUAUAACUUUAUGAAUACUUACGUUGUAAAUCUAUAAUAAUGAUUAUAAAUUUUAGUUUCCCAUUAACAAAUAGUACUCACUUGAGACUAUCUAUGACCUCCCUAUGAUUGUCGCUUGAUAUUUGAAUCCUCUCUUCUUAUCUUGAUAGAGUAUAAGCUAUGCAUUCAAUAUUUAAUAUAUUAAUAUCAUAUUUUUAUUAAAUGUUGAGAUAAAAUGAUGAGUGAAAUUAUUGUUUGAUUGGAUCGUGCAAAAUAACACUUUUUAGUUUACCUCAUUUCCAAAUUGCUCAAGCGCUUUGGCCAUUGGGUCUAUAGUAAAAACCUCAUGGAUAGCUUGAAGUAGCUCAGGAUCUAUACCAACUCUAGGCCUGUAUUGAAACCUUAGAUUUAGGAAGUAUGCUACAACAGUUAAGUAAAAUUAGUAUUUGGUAAAAGAAAAUUAAAUAAUUUAAAACUAACAACUUAGGAAGAUAGAUAAAACUUAAUUACUUGUAGCAUGAAGUGGAUGUUUGAGUGUUUUCUCCGGAUGACCUUUAAUUAUUUGUGUCAUGCCUCAAAACUCAUUCCAAGGGCAAGUUUCACACCUUAAGCCCAAAGGCUCAAAGUGGAAUGACACAAACAAUUAUCUUGUAGCCGGAUGGUUUCCAAUUAAUAAAUUCAUGUUCAUGGUAGUAAAAAUAAAUAAAUUCUAUAAUCCUAAAUUCUCAACUUUAAAAGUAACACAUCAACCUAAGUGUUAUUUUUCCAAAUAACUCCAAACUAAAAUAAUUUAAACGAGAAUUAAAUUUUAACAUCUAAACAAUGCCCAAAAUAAAGUUUGAACCAAAAUUCUAAUAAAGAAAAUUCCCUAACCUAACCAUCACUCAUUGGCUGAACUAAGAGUACCUAACAAAUGUCAACGAAGGGGAAUGAACUCAAAGCCCAAUAAAAAAUAUCAAUCGAGUUUCAUGGAUCAAACAUUUUCAAUUAUAAUUACAAACAAGGUCUAAUCAUUUUUGUAAAAACUUUUGAGUUCAAAUGUGCUAAUAUAUUCAAAACUUUUUAACUAAACAUUCUUAUAUCUAUUUCAAAACAAUUUCAUAUCAGAUUCAAAUCAAGUACAUUCAAAAUAUUUUUACUUUGGUUAUCAAAUAAUAAAUGGAGUCCUCCAUUUAAGUGGGACUUCAUAAAUGAGUGGCUAGCCUCAAAUUUGUUCCUUUUAAGAUGGACGAAACCAAAGAUCAACAAUUAUAACCCAUUGACUAGGGUCAUAAGGUCAACUAUUAUAGCCCGUUGACUAGGACCGAAAAUGUCAAUAAUUAUAACCCGUUAACUAAGGCCGUAAAUGUUAAUAAUUAUAACCCAUUGACUAGGAUCAUAUAAACCAGAGUCAAACACUUUAUUUCAUUAAUUCAAACUUAUAAAAUAAAGCAUCAUAUCUCCACAAUUAUCAUUUUUAUAACCAAAGGAAAUGAUAAAACAUAUUUUUAAUGCAAAAUAUAUAUAUUGAUCCAUGCAUAUAAAUAAAAAAUUUCAUAAUUCAAAAUAACAUAUAAAAAGAAAUAUUUUCUUUUACAAAAUCUGUAUUAAUUUCUCUUGCCUUGAAUAAGCACUCACAAUCUUGAAGAAUUAUUCUCACCUAACAUAAUAUCAUACACAACUAUUACUAUUGAAUAUUUAUCUAAAAGUAUAAAGUUGAAAAUCUUAAAAAUAUUUUAUUUAGUAUUGGGAAUCUUAAUUAAUUUCCUAUGUUAAACAUUAUUUACCCUAAUAUUAUAUUCAACUUUUCAAACAACGAUAAUUUAAUUAAUGAGUUUCCAAAUUUUUAUAAAAGUUGGGUUCCUUCCAAAAUUUAUUCAUAAUAGUUUAUUUCUCUUUCCUAAUUUAUCUAAAUUAAAACCCUUAAGAAUAUUUAUCUACAUUAAAUUGUUUUAUUAAGAAUAAUAAUAAUGAUAAUUAUUUCGAUUUAUUAGCCUCAUCUUACAUUCUCUUACCUUUUGAUUAUUAUUAAUACUACUUUCCUCCACAAACAAUACACAAAUGGAUUAUUAUUAUUAUUAUUAUUAUUAUUAUCAUUAUUAUUUUCCUAUGCAAGUAGUACACAAAUUGGCUUUUGUUUAUUAUUAAUACUAUUUUCUUCCCUUCCUAGGUCACCAUGAAGGCCAUUUCUUAGCCCUUCUUUAUUUUUUUUUUCUUUUCCCAACAUAUCUAAUUCUUCCUAUCUAGAUGCAUCCUUAUUCCUUUUUUUUUUUUUUUUUAACUAUCAAUGUACACACGACCAUAAACACUCAAUACCCAUACUUGCAAUUCACAUGUAAGGAAUAUUUAAAAUAGGUAAAGAAAUUCUACACAUACUCAAAGAAUAUAAAAAUAUACUAAUUACUUGAUUCUUAUGUAUCAAUUAUCAUUUUCUUGAAGUAAUGAGAGUUUGUUUUAUAUGGUGCAACACUCUCAUAAAUGAAGAAUUUGCUAAUCAAGUGUCCCAUGUUUUCUUUGAUAGAACCACCUUUGAAUAGAUUUUUGAUACUUCUUUGUCUUGUUGUGGAAGAUUUGUACACUAAGGGGGAAUAACUAGUGAUGGAGAAAUAUCAAACAUUUCUAUGAAUUUCACAUUUGCCUUGGUGCAUCACUAGGACAUGAAGGCUCCCAUGUUUUAUGCUUACUUCCCACAAACAUUUCUUGUUGUUGUUGAUCUCAUUCAAUAGCUUUCGAGGCUCAAACUGCAACUUGAUAAGCAUUGCGCUCAUUAGGGUGCAUAUCAACUGGGUAGAUGUUCGUAUCAUAAUUGUCAUGAUCAUCAUAAUCCUCAUCUAUGACAUGUCUUUGACUACCUCCCGUUGUGCCACAUAAUUGAGCUUGAAUCUCUUAGAUAUCUGCAGCUUUCUUUACUUUUGCUUUACUUUUUUUUUUUUUUAAUGCAAAAGCUUUCUUAACUCUUAUUUCACUUUGGGAGGUACUCUUAAGACACAUUUUGGUGUUCGAGUUCAAUUCUAUAUGUGAUAAAUGAAAUUUAAAUCAAGUAAUGCCUCCACUCUUAAUUAGUAGAUCAUAAUAGUUACAAACUGUGUCAUUUCUAUUUCCCUCCACAAGUGUACAAUACUUCCAAGCAAGAUCUUGUCCCAUUGCACCACUCCUAUAUGUACUUCCACUUCCAUUUCCACUAAUCAUUCUCUAUAACUUGUAUAAUUAAACCAUUAAUUUAAUUUCUUAAACAUAUUGAACAAGUACUAAUUAGACUAUUAAAAUAUAGAGCAAUGCAUAUGAGUUAAAUUGGAUAUACAAUAGAUUAUAAUUUAGCUUGAAUAUAAAACUAACAUUAAAUUUAAUUGCAAUUGAAUGUGAAGUAUAACAUGAAAAUGAAUAAACAAUUGAUCACUAUAAUUUAAUUUCAAAAGUAUACUAAUUGUAAAAAUACUAAAAUUAAAUCAUUAUUUUAAUUUACUUAAAUAUAUUGGACAUGUACUAAUUACUUAGAUGACUAAAAUGUAGAACCAUGCAUAUAAAUUAAAUUGGAUAUAUAAUAGAGUAUAAUUUAACUUGAAUAUAAAAAUAAUAUUAAAUUUAAUUGCAAUUGAAAGUAAACUACACAAAACAUGAAAUUGAAUAAACAAUGGACUAUAAUUAAUUUCAAUGCUAUACUAAUUUUAAAAGAAAAACUAAUCCAUUUUUUUUUGUAUUAAACCAUUAUUAAAAAAAACUAAUAAUUUCUAUCAUUUAAAUUAUUAAAUAUAUGCUAAUUGUAUAAUUUAAAUUGACUUAAGUGCAUACUUGAUACUUUAAAUUAAUUAAACAACCUUGAUUUGGAGUUCAUAUAACACAUGAACACCAAAUUCCCAAAUUUAUAAAAUUUUGAGAAUAAUCACAAAUAAAAUUUGAGCAUUAUGAAAUUAAGAUAAUUUCAAUUGAAUUAUGGAUGAAAUGGAUUGAGAAUAAAGAUUUAUAGAAAAUUUUAGGCCAAAAUAGUCGUUGGAUGGGGAUUUUAAUGAUACAAUUCAUUUUUGGAUGUUAGAUCAAAAUCUAGAUAAAAUUUGACCAUUAGAUCUUCAAAUAAUCAUUGGAAUCAUGUCCUAAUUAGAUCAAGGCCAUAUUUUUAAUCUUGGCCCUUGGUUAGGCAUUCGACCGUUUGGAUUAGCUUUAAAAAACACAAGUGUAAUUAUGGUCAUUGGAUCAAGGCCAAAUUUAAUCUUGGCCCUUAGAUUAGGAUUUUAAUUAUUUGAAUGCACCUUUAAAAUACACGAGCAUGAUUUUGGCCUUUGGAUAAGGCCAGAUUAAAUUCUAGUUGUUAGAUGAAGUCCAAUUUAUGCCACCAAAAUAAUAAGCAAAAUCAACAUUUUUUUUCCAAAUUUAUCGCCAAUUUUUUUUGCACUUAGGGACGAAAACUUUGUUAUGUCACCAAUUUUUUGUUGCACAUUGAUAUAUGGACGAUAUAUCACUGAUUUAUUGAUGAUUUUAUGGAAACAUCAAUUGGUUGAGAUUUUUGUGAUCUAUUCCACUUCGACCAUGGUCGAUAUCUAAUUUUUCACUAAUAUUUCUCAAAAAUUUCAUAAUUUUUUUUGUUCUUGUGUGUGAAUGAUAGAUAACAUUAUGGGCCAAAUUGGGGCAUCUAUUUGAGCUAACCCAAUCUAACCUAGUGUGGACCCGCAUUUUUCACGGGCAUCCCUACUCGAUGGCGAGUGUUGCAUUUUAGAGUGUAAAAACUGUAUUUUAUAAAAAGUUGCCACUCAUUUUUAUUUUUUUAGAAGGGAAAAUAAAACAAGAAACUAAAACCCUAAGAAAAAUGACUCCUUGAACUUUUGGAAAAACCCGAGUUUAUGUCUAUGGAUCAGGUUACAAGCCUUAAAAAGGUCUCUACUGACUAAGUUGAGGGAAGUGUAGCGAUUAAUUGGUUAAGUAAUGGAUAUUAAGGAGAUAAAGUAAGUCAUGCAUAAUGAAAGAGAAUAAAAUAGCAAACAAGAUGGAGAUGAGGCAUACCUUAGCAACAAAAGGUUAUACAAGGUUAGUGUGUGAUAACAGAUACAAAAAUAUCUCACAUGUAUCACCAUAACAAAGCAAAAUUGAUUAACAAUCAACAAGUAUAUCAUAUAGAAUCAAUAAUCAAAUGACAAACAUCUCAUAUGUUGGACCUCACCAAUGUCCAAUUGAUUUUUACAUGAAUUAAUUCCAUAAAUUCUAUUUUUCUGAUGAUCAUGGAAAAUGAUAAAAGGAAUUUGGAUCAAUUUCAUUAUUUGUGGAAUUAUAGAAUUUAUUUAUUUUUAUUAAAAAUCAAGGAAAUAAGAAAAUAAAAAAAUAAAAAGGAAAAUGCAUACCAGAACAAAAUUUGGCAGCAAAUUUAUUAAGAAAACAGAUUUUAGCGACCUAAAAAUUUCUAAGGAGGAAUUAAAAAAAAAAGUUAAAGAAUUAAAAGUAUUUGAAAAUUAGAUUUUGAAAACAAUUUUUUUUUAAAAAGGCAGGCAUGAAGCAUUGAGGAAUGAAUCACAGGGGUUAUAAAAUAAUGGAUGGAAGGGUGGACAUGCAGGAAAGGGGCCCGGGGUGCAAAACAGCUAUUAGUUCUCUCUGAAUUUCUCUUUCUGCCGACCUUUUGGUUUGACCUAGAUGUGUAUGCCAGCUGUAGGUAAAUCAUGCAUGAGAAGGCAAUCCAUGAGCAACUGCCUCUUCACUCACUGAAAUAAUCAGCGACUGCAGGAAAUACCGCGAGGGUUGUUUCCGGAAUAAGGUUGAGCUGAAGGCGUUUUAUGACUCUAUCAGACCAUCAUCCCCAAGGGGACCAAAUAUGUUGAGGUUUCGAUCCAUUGAUCCUACUGCCAAGUAUUUUACAUCUGGACCAAAAUUUACACAAGUUGCUUUGCCUAUGCCAGACAAAUCAGAGAAUAUUUUGACACAAUUUCGCUCUGAUUUUAUAUUAGCAACUUGGUAAACCCUUAUAUCUGAGCCUCAAUUUUGCGUAGAUCCCACAGCUAGACACCAUCAUGAACUGUUGUCGCAUGGAAGUAACCAUUUUCCGGGAAAGAUAUAGCAGUUACGGUCCUAACAUGCCCAUCAAAUGUAGCCAUAUGAAAGUAGUAGCUAUAGGCAUUAUGUAGCUCUCUGUGCUCAACACCUCCAGAAUUACUGAUGAAAAUUAGAGAGGCAGCUUAGUCAACUAGUCCAUGCCGUGAUCCGAGAUAUAUAGAUAUCAAUAAAAGCUACUUCAAUGGGUGAGCACUUAAGUGCAAUGAUUGCUAUGGUAGUCACGUGAUUAAAACACACUUAAUGCUUUGUUACACUCGGCGUGAUCAGAUACUGCUGUAUGAGACAUCAAAGCUUCCUCUUCCUAGAACUGCUACUUUCCUCGUUUCAAUAACCCAACACUAGCUUUGAGACCCUUCGGAAUCAAUUUGACAGCAGCAUUCCCAAACUCACAGUGAGCAUCCGAGUUAUUAAGAUAUCAUUGAGGGUGCAGGGUCUAUGUAGACCCUCAAUUUUGUCCCUUUAGCACAUGUCUUUAAAUUCAUUUUCAGCGCUCCACAGUAGUUCCUUGGUGGCCUAUUACUGUUCGUACAACUUAUCUUUUUCUGAGCCACCUCGGAGAUUUUGGUUGAGGGAUUAUCUGACCCCUUAUUGUGACUCUUAGCAGCCCUAAUUUAGACUUAGGCUUUUUCGUUCAUUUUUAGGAUAGCUUUUAGGUACACUUGGCCCAUUAGGCACAGCUCUAGGCCCAUUUAGACACACUUGGCCCAGUAGGCACUUUUAGACUCACUUUUUGUAUGACUUGCAUGGCCCGCAUAGGAUUGACUAUUUUAUUCAAUUAUUUUGUUUUACUUUAUUUUUUUUUUAUGUUAAUCUUUGAUAGGUUGCAAGAUUGCUAACUCUUUUUGUUUUUUUAUUCUCUCUAUUUUUGUUUUUUUUAAUUGUUUGAUAAGAGAAUAGGGGCUGCUAUUCAACUCUCACUAAGGUAUGUGCACUAAAAAAGGUAAGAGAAAUAUUUUGUGAGGAAAAAGGAAUUAAUGUGGCUGCAUACAUAUGGAAAGAGAAGAUCCUACAUGAGAGGAGAGGAGCAUUCUGAUUUUUGAAAAAAGGAAGGGAAAUAGAAGAAAGGAAAGGGGAUUCUCUUGAGCAGAUUGAGUUUGAGAGGCUGAUACGAAUAUAAGGAGAAAAGGAAAAGAACAAGAAGAGGCGCAGGAAAGGAUCGUCUGAAAGGAGGCAUAGAAGAGAGGGACUUGGAACACGUAUAGAGAGGGAGAAGAUUGGUGGACGGAAAAAGGUUUGGGGAGCAGAUUUCUCAGUCGGGAAAAGGUGCAGCAGCCUGGAACCAAGCAAUUGGAGAGGAGAACGUGCAGGUAUGUUUCCAGAUUUUUGCUAUAUCACCAUUUAGUUUCAAUUUUUCCUGACUUCUUAGUUUUCUGAAGAUUCAUUCUUGUUGUUUGGUGUGGACGCAAGGGCCACAAUUUGAUUAGUUGAGACUGGUUUGCUUGCAUGUUUAUGCUAUUUUAAUAUUCCUUUUAAUGUCUUUGGUUCCAUCUGAAAGCAAUCUGAAUAUAAGUUUACCUUUGAAUUUGAUGCUAUGGGUCAUGCCCCCAUUUAUGUCCCAAUCUGGCUUUAAAAUACCCACCGACUGUCUUCUUUUCCCCUGUUUUCUUUUCUUUUCUUUUCUUUCUUGGUCUUAUUGCGUGCUUCUGUAUCUACGUUUCUUCCCUUUCUUUACCUUGGUAUUCUCGGAUAUGGAGACCAUGAGCAUUCCGAGAAAGGUGGGAACUUGAUAAAGGCUGUGUAAAACGAGUUUUUCUUGGAGUUAAACAGAUGCAGAGGUUACCAUAGUUCUUGAGGGUUCUUAGUUUAUGGCAUCGCUCAUUCCACCCGGACGAAAAUUCUCACUAAUUCCACCCGGAUGUCUCACAUCCGGAAUUUUGCUCGGCCAACGUUCUACUCUUAUCCGGAUGUCUCACAGCCACAAUUCUAUCCGAUCGACGUUCCACCUUCUCCGGAUAUUUCACAUCCGGCGCCCGUUGCCGGAUGGGAGAGGAGGAUGAUUCAACUUCCCCGGGCAGACAUGUCCGGAUCCUUCAAUAACGCUUAUCCGGAUAGCAUAUGUGGCCAACGAUUCACACUCCACCCAGAUAGCUUGGCUCGUCAGAUACUCGCGAUUCGCCGGAUCCAUUUCCGCCCACAAUCAAAAAGCAAACUCCGACAAUACUGCUGAACCAAGUCUCGGUGGUGGGAAAUAACACAAAAUGCAGGAAAUACAACAAUGCAUAAAAUUGGAAAUUCUGAACCUUCAAUUCAGUAUUUGACUUUUGUUGAGGAGAAUCCAAUUGAGCUUACAAAUCAAGAUGUCUUUUAAGUUGAAGCAUUUGACAGUUGAACACUCUUGCAGUGAAUUGGUCCCUUCUAUCUAGAAUUUCUCAGCUUCACUUCAUAGCAACCUUGCUAUACACACCUCUUCCUCUAUUUGCUUCUUUGAUUGGGAACUUAUUGUUUUAAAUUGAAUUUUUGAACCAUUGUUCAACUAAACAGUCCUGGCUUUGAAAAAUUCAUCUUAGAUCCUUUCUAGGUAUAAAAUCCAUAUUCUAACAUACUCUUGCUGCCAUUUUCCUUCCGGCAUGCAUUUUCACUAUUUUAUUUUCAACCGAUUUUCUUGAUUUUUCUCAAUUUUCUCAAGCAUGAACAAACUCCAUAAUUCCAAGUCAUGGAAUUUAUGGAAUCAACUCAUGCGAAAUUAAUUAGGGCUUUGGUGGGGGCCCGACAUUCAUGAUACCUUUUUCAAUAUUGUUUGCUUGAUAUGUUGAUUUUUUAUUCUUCUUGAUGAUAUACAUGAAUUUGUUUCGUAUUUACUGUUGAGAUGCUCUUGAUUCCCAUAGAGGAGUACUAGCUUGCUAUCCAGGUACGCUCUCUUCUCAUCUAUUUUUUAGAACUCUAUGGACUUGUAUGCCAUUGAUGACCAUAUCCAUAUUUGACGUGAUUCUUGGAUGUCUUGAUAUAUGCCUGAUUUGCUUGAAUAAAACAAAUGUUAUGUGCUACAUUUCUACACUAACUUUUAUGUUUUAUGAUAGCGCUUGAAGAGCGGUUCAGGUACGCACCCUAACUCUCCUUUAUUGCAAUUUGAUUGUGUUUGGCAUGACACUCUUUAAAAUCACCUAGCCUAUUUAGGUAUCUAUAAUUAGUUGAUUAAUUGUCAUACUUCCCUUAACUUUGUCAGUAGAGACCUUUAGAGGGCUUAGAGGGGUGCUACCUUUUAAAGGUACCUUCCCAAUAGGUAACCUGAUCCCCGGACUUAGACUCAGGGUUUUCAAAGACAUGCUUUUUUCAAAAAUUAUGGAGUCACAUUUUAGGGUUUUUUUUUCUUGUUUUAUUUUCCCUUUAAAAUAAAAAUAAAAUAAGUGGCGGCUCCAACUUUUUUCCAAAAAUUAAUUUUUCACAAAUAAAAAGCGAGUCUCGCCGAUCGAGUGGGGAUGCACAUGAAAAAUGCGGGUCCACAAUCUCUUCAAUGAGUCAUUGACAUUUUCCAGGGCUCCAAUAUCAUCAAACGUGACCUCAAUGUCAGAUGGUGGAGUAGCAUCAGCUAGAAGUCUUUUCUCAAAUUCAUUUUCUGUUACAACAUCCUUGAGUGACAUUUUCAAGUUCUUAGAUUCAUUUUCAAUAGCCUGGGGAGUUCCGAUUUGUGAAGAAACUGUUUGGUGACUAAGAAAAGAAAAUGGAAGAAAACGAUGGAGCCAUAAAACAAAUAUUGGAGGGACUGAAGUUUAUUUUUCUCAUUACUAGAACAGAGGUUGGUUGUACUCUGUUUAUAUAUACAAAGGCAGAGUGUUCUGUUUUGCUUACUAAUCUGCUAACUGAUCAAAACAAAAUCUAACAAAUCUCUAACUAAUAGCUGACAUGGCAUGAGCUUCCGGAGAGGACAUGGUUGAAGCUGUUGCAAUUCCGUUCUUCAGAUGUGCACUGUUUGUCUUUACACGCCCCUUCAAACAAAAAGGGGAUUCUUUCACCUGGAGUUUGCCCUUAAGUUUCAAGAAUUGAGUGAUUGAAAGUGGUUUUGUAAACAAAUCAACUAUUUGAUCAACUGAAGGUACAAACCGUAUAUCCAAUUCUUUUUGAAGUACUUUAUCACGAAUAAAAUGCAUAUCAAUUUCAAUAUGCUUGGUUCUAGCAUGAUAAAUGGGAUUAGCAACUAGUGAGGCAGCUCCUUGGUUAUCACACUAGAUUACCGGUUUUAAUCUCAAUUGAAGGCCCAAUUCUGUUGCUAGGGACUUGAGCCAAAUCACCUCAGCUAUCACAUGAGCUAAGGCUCGAUAUUCUGAUUUGGUGCUAGACCUAGCAACAACACUUUGUUUCUUUGAGCUCCAAGAAAUAAGAUUGCCUCCUAGAUACACACAAUAGCCAUUUGUUGAUCUUCUAUCAUCCGGACAGCUAGCCUAGUCUGCAUCUGUGAAACCCACAAGAUUUAAAGAUUGGUUUGGCUGGAUAUGCAAACCAUGAGUGAUGGUGCCUUUCAAAUAUAGUAAUACUCUAUUACAAGCUUUCCAAUGUAUUUCUGUUGGACUUUGUAGGAACUGACUCAGCUUACUAACCAUGUAUGAUAUAUCAGGUCUUGUGAUUGUAACAUAUUGCAAGGCUCCAACUGUGUUUCUAUACAUGGUUGGAUUAUCCAUAGGAUCACCAUCUGAUUUGGAGAGUACUUUUCUAGAAAUAGUUGGUGUUGGUAAGGGCUUUGCUACAGCCAUAUUUGUCUUUUGAAGCAGGUCGGCAAUGUAUUUGGACUGAGUUAAAUAGAGACAUGUUUCAUCUUGAAAGGCUUUAAUUCCUAGGAAGUAAUGUAAUGAACCAAGGUCCUUUAGAAGAAAACUCUUAUUGAGGUCAUGAACCAAGUCCAAAAUUGUUGUGCUAUUAUUUCCAGUAAUCAAGAUGUUGUCUACAUAUACCAAUGGCAUUAGUAUGAUUCCUUUGGUCUUAUAUAGGAACAAAGAUGCAUUAGACUUUGAAUCUUGAAAACCCCACUGCAAUAAUGCAUCUUUAAGUCUAUCAAACCAGGCCCUUGGUGCCUGUUUCAAACCAUACAGGGCUUUCCUUAGUUUGCAAAUAUGAUGAGGCUUGGUAGGAUGAAUGAAAUCUUUAGGUUGAGACAUAAACACAUUUUCUGGCAGAUAUCCAUUGAGAAAAGCAUUAUUGAUGUCCAGUUGCCUAAUUUCCCAUCCUUGAGCAAUUGCUAGAGUUAAUACAACUCUAAUUGUGGCAAGUUUAAUCGCAGGACUAUAAGUUUCUGAAAAAUCCACACCAAGGGUUUGAUGGAAUCCCUUGGCAACUAACCUAGCUUUGUGUUUAUUAAGAGUGCCAUCUAGGUGAAACUUCAACUUAAACACCCACUUAUUGCCCACUACAUUAUAUUGGGGUUGAUAAGGUACCAAGUCCCAUGUGUCAUUUCUCAUUAAAGCCUUGUAUUCUUCUUUCAUUUCUAUCUUCCAAUUUGGAUCAGCAAGAACUUGCUUUACACACAUAGGUUCAAUAGGACCAAGUGAGAAACUUAAGGGAUGUUUGAGGGCAGCAUACACUUUUGGUUUAAAAAUGCCAGCUUUGGCUCUAGUAAUCAUGGGGUGACAUGGAGCUGGAGCAUGAGCAGAUAAAGACAUAGAUGGUUGUGAGGUAGGUGAGGUAUGAACAUCUAAGAGUGGGAUUUGAGUUGGUUGUGGUAACCCAUAUUGGAUUCCAGAAGCUAUGGCGGAAGCUACAGGAAGUAAGUUUGUUCUAGGCCUGAUCAUGUUCCUCACUACAGCUGCAUAACACGAACAAAAAGUUGUGAACAACGAUGAAGACUCUUGAAGAGAUAUGGGAUGAGAAACAUCAUAUUUCAAACCAAGUAGUUCAGAAUAAGGGAAUUCAUGCUCAUUGAAUAUUACAUUACGAGAAAUGUAAAUUUUUCCAAAAGGAUGUAAACAAAGAUGACCUUUAUGAGUUGAACUGUAGCCCAAAAAUAGGCAUUUAGAAGAGCGAAACUGCAACUUGUGAGAGUUAUAAGGUCUCAGAUGGGGAAAACAGGUGCAUCCAAAUGUUUUGAGGAAAUGAUAAUCUGGUGUAUAACCAAACAGUUUUUGGAAUGGUGAAUCAUGUGAAAGAAUAGGAAUGGGAAGUUUAUUAAUCAAGUAAACAGAGAUUGAAAAAUGCCUUCCACCAAAAUGAGAGUGGUAUAGACGCUUGGGCUAAUAAGGUAAGACCAAGUUCUACAAUAUGACGAUGUUUUCUCUCUGUUUUACCAUUUUGAGCAAGAAAAUUUUGAAAUGAGCUAUAUUCUCCACCUCAAUCUGUUUGGACACACUUGAUGGAUUUAUUCAGAGAUUUUUCUAUUAAAACCUUGAACUGUUUAAAGACUGAAAAGGCUUCAGGUUUAAAUUUAAGGGGAUAGAUCCAUGUGUACCUAGUAUAAUCAUCCAAGAAGUGAAUGCAGUACCUGUAACUAGCAGUGGAAUUUACAAGUGAUGCUCCCCAUAUAUUCGAGUGAAUGAGCUCAAGAAGGGCAGUAGUUUUGGUUUCUGAACUUGGAAAAUGUAACACAUGACUUUUACCAUAUUGGCAAGCUGAACAAUCUGAAUUGAAGAGCUACAAGUCUUUAUCACUUGAAUUAAAAUUCUGGUAGAGGGCUGACCAAGCCUUCUAUGCCAGACAUUGGGAUCAUCAUCAGAAACAAUCAUUGAGCAACAAACUGAAUUACAAGAGUUGUUUGGAUGAUAACUGCUAAUAGACAUGUUAGAAUUUGAAGUAAAAGGCCUUGGAGUUUUUCUGUUUUGGGAUGCAGCAGUAGGUUGAGGUUCAGUCAGCAGGUAUAGGCCAUCUUUAAGUCUACCUAGCAGUAGCACAUUCUUUGUAGUCUUGCCCUUUACAAGGCAAAAGUCAGAGUGAAAUUCUAUGAAUAUAUGAUUAUCAGCAGUAAGUAUGGAGAUGUUGACUAAGUUUUUAGUAAUUUCAGGCACUCUAAGGAUGUUUUUGAGGUGUAAUGAUUUGACAUAAGGUAUUGGAAAAUAUGGGUGACCUAUGUGUGUAAUGUCAAGACUCUUACCAUUUCCAAUCAUUAGCUUCUCCUAUCCUUCAUAUCGUUUCUUCAAGCUCAGAUUAUUCAUCUCAGCUGUAACAUGAUUUGUAGCUCCACUAUCAGCAUACCAACUUGGGUCAAUCACUAUAUCUGGUGUGGCCAUGUAGACUGUUGUCUUAUAGUUGUUGUUGCUGUUAGUAGAGGAUGAUGUAAGCUGAAAGUUCUCAUUCAUUCUAUGCCAGCAAUUAAGAACUAUGUGCCCUUGUUUUCCACAAAUUUGGCAAAUAGGUUUAUUUCCAUUGCUUUUGCUGAAAAAACCUCCAUUUCUUCCUCUGCCUCGACCUCAAGGGUUCAAGUUUCCUUUUCCAUGACCAUGAUUUUCUCCAUUUUUAUGAGCAACAAAAUUGGCAGAUAAAUGGUGUGAAUAUGAAUUGGUUGCAUAUAAUUGCUCAAUUCUAUUUUCUUGAUUGAGUAGAAGAGCAUGAAUCUCCUUUAGAGAAAGAUGAUCAGUGCUAUUACGGGUGGUAAUACUGGAUACAAUUGGAUCAUAUUCUGAUCCUAGUCCUGCUAAAAUAUAAAGUAUCAAAUCUUCUUCACUGACAAAACAACCAGCCAUUGCACACUGAUCUGCAAUAUUUUCCAUCUUAGCAAAGUAAUCACUCAUUGUCAUAGAUCCUUUUCUUAAUGACUAUAAUUGCAUCUUGAGUUGUAGCAGUUUUGCUUUUGAUUUUGAGGUAAACAAGUGCUCCAAGGUUAUCUAGAGUUCAUGUGAAAUGGUGCAGCGAACAACUUGGCUCAGGAUUACAGUUGAUAAAGACGAAAGCAACCAACUCAGUAGUAAUUGAUCUUCUCUGUUCCAUUGUUCAAAUUCAGGAUUAAUAAUCCUGACAUUAUGUCCAUCUCAAUCUUGAGAUUCCAGGAAUUCUGGUGGUUGUAGCCAAACAGGUAGCCUUCAAUGCCGUGACCUCUAGCUGCAGGUAAUACUUGAGAUUUCCAUAUAUAAGAGAAAAUUAUCUCGAUCGAGUUUGAUUGAGUGUGUUGUGCUAAGAGUGGUUGUGAAUCGAGAAGACACAUUUGUCUUUUGCAACACGUUCAGGCUUGGUGCAGCAGAGACAAAUCCAGAAUGUGAUUGAGACAUUCUCUUGCUUGAAGAGAGAAAAAUGAGAGCUCUGAUACCAUGUGAAGAAACUGUUUGGUGACUAAGAAAAGAAAAUAGAAGAAAAUGAUGGAGCCAGAAAACAAAUAUUGGAGGGACUGAAGUUUAUUUUUCUCAUUACUGGAACAAAGGUUGGUUGUACUCUGUUUAUAUAUACAAAGGCAAAGUGUUCUGUUUUGCUUACUAAUCUGUUGCUAACUAAUCUGCUAACUGAUCAAAACAAAAUCUAACAAAUAGCUGGCAUGGCAGAAGCUUCCGGAAAGGACAUGGCUGAAGCUGUUGCAAUUCUGUUCUUCAGUUGUGUGCUGUUUGUCUUUACACGAUUCCACACUAGAUGCUGUCACUAGUCAAAACCAGUCUUGUAUCGGCAUCAGCUUCAGGAAUUGCACACCUAAAAAAAGGUGGCCAUGCAGGUAUGGGGCCCGGGAGAAGAUGCAGUUUCUGCAAAAGGAGUUCGCGGGUUCCAGAUGCUUGGUUUGAAGAGUUUGGUCGCAACUCGAUCAUGUAUGAGUCUUCUUCUGUAGAACCACUUGUUCAUGAACUCAAAUCAAAGGCAAAUUUUGGAAAGUCUCUCUGGUUUCGGAUCUGCUUGUUUCCGGGAAGACUGGAAAGUAAGCACUGCAUCAUUUGCGAUAUAGCAGGAUUUUGCGUAAUCUGACUUAGUGAAUCGCUAUCUAACAUGGAGCCAAACAUGCUUUCACGCUCUGGGAGAUCAGGUCCACCCAAUCCAUUGGGUGUUGGCGUCCUAACAUCACCACGGGGUUUUGACCUUGUAGUGGUGUUUGUUUCUCUGGAGCAAGUAGAAUGCCCCAUCAUCGUAUUUAUCAAUGCUGUCAAAAAGCCUCCUAAGAUUGCAUCUUGCUCCUGACAUUCUGCACCCUAGAUACUCUUACUCUUAGUUUAUAUGUUUUGCGUCUGAGAAAUCAAAGCACUGCUUUUAUCAUUUCAGUGCAAUCAAUCUGCCGAGUAUAGAUAAUGGUCAUCCAGAGAAAUCAGGAAAUUCAAUUAUAAGAGACGACAUUUUAGGAAGGAUCCAGUUUACACCUCCAGUAGUUUUACUGAUGUUGCAACCUAAUCUCUGAUGUCCAUCUUGUCAAAUUCAUCCAUGCAACGUAAGCCAUUAUUCUUAAGGGUUACAUUCUUCCCAGCUAAAUAUUCUUUAAUCCUGGUACCACUCUCCAGCAGAGAAAAUUCUCAGUUUCUUCAAGUUGUACCUCUUGUGCACCUUUGGAAGUGGCUUCUCAGAUUUCUUUGGGGUGGGAACUUCCAUGUCUGUACAUAUCGGUGCCACACUCUGGGCCGUAGCCAUGCUAGGAUGAGCAUAGAGGACCUCAUGAGGAUAGAGAGCAGGGUAUGGAAGUGGAGUUCCACUAAUCAGGUUUCUACACUUUUUUAAGUGGUCAUCCAAUCAAACUCGUCUUUCCGGGUAUCAGCUUGGUUAUAAGCUUGGCUGUGAAGGUACCAAUGAGGGUGAGAAGUGAAAAACACGAUAACAGGACAAGGGUGAGGAGCCAGUGGUAAUGUCUUCGGUGGACAAAAAAAGGAGCUGGUCAUCUUCGAAGCUACUGUAUUCAACCAUUGUCAAUGCCCUCUCUGAUUUAGGAUACCAGUUUUCAGAGCUUUCUGAAGUUGGCUGCCAUCAUCCAUAUGAAGAACCCUUUCGAUGAGCCAAGCAAUUCAUGCAUUCAAAUCCAGCUUCUAACCUCUGGGCAGCAUUCUCUGUCAAUUUUUCUCUCCACUUCUCCAGGCUGUUUCCUAGGCUUAUUGUCCUUGACUUACGGAAUCUCAAUAUCUGACUCCUCAGUGCCAUUUUUCUGUGCACUGAGCUUCUCAUUGUGGUCCUCAGGUAAAGAAACCUUCAUUUUCCUUUGCACUUCGUCCUCGUCCGCUACAAUAGCAUAUUGUUCAAUGACCUCGUAUUUCCUAGUAACAGGAGGCACAAGGCUAGUUUUAGUCAUGCUAGCACCACAUUCCGGAUUAUCAGUUACAGAAUAUAAACCCUCAUCAGCUGUGAAGUAUGUUGGAAUUUUUAUGUAUGGACUUACAUAAUUAAUUUGAUAAUGCCAUAAAUUAGUGUUAAUUUAAUUUUUGCAUUGUAGUCCAUAAUGGGGUUGGACACAUUAUUGCUUGAUUUCUAUAGGUUCACCCUAAUUCACUUGACUGACCCAUCAAGUCAAGUGGUCCAAACUGUGUAUGUGUGAUAUGUAAUAUACAUAUGAAUUAUUAUAUAUAUAUAUAUAUAUAUAUAUAUAUAUAUAUAUAUAUAUAUAUAUAUAUAUAUAAGGGAAAAAAGGCAGGUUGUUAUCCUAUUUUGUUUUGUUUUCUCUUGGGGCUGAGAAGAGCACGUACUGCACGAACUCUUCAGAGCACACACAGAGAUUGUUUUGGGUGUAGAAAGGGAAGAGCCAAUUGAACCCGAGGUUUCUCUCCAUCAUGAACUGAUCGUAUCCUUGAACACCAGAAGAGCACAGGAAUGGCUUUCCAUGGGAUCAAUCAAGGUUAGCAUUUCUUAAUUCCCAAUUUUUAUUGUAUGCUUUAAUGUCUACAUGAGAUCCUGUUUGUGGUUUAGUUUUUCAACAAAGUAUCCAUCUACUCUUGACUCUGCAACACCGCCUUCCGAACAGAAAUACGUCACUUUCUGUAUCUGAAGCGGUACCUUCACUACCACUACUGCCACCUUCUGAAGAUCUGUCAAGGUCUUCACAUGAAUCACUUACUGAGUCCAUAAAUUUUUUAUUCAAUUUGGAUAAACGUCUUCUGAUUUCUCCAUCAGAUGCAUUUUGUCCAUAAUCAAAACCACUUUUGCUCCUAUAUUUCCUUUCAGUCACUAUCUUAUUAAGCUUAUUCUUAUGCUUAGACCCAGAAGAGCGUAACCCUGAAGGUGACUCAUCUUUCCAACCCCUCGUUAUCUCCUCUUCCAUUUGAAACACUUUCUGUUGACAGGCAUUUCAGUUUCCAUGGAAUUGAGCAUGCGGCCAGAGACUUUGGGGAAUCAGUACCAGUUCCUAGUUCUAAUUUCGUGUCCCUUAGAGUCUUUUGCCAUCAAAUGAUGCCCAUGUAUGGUCUAUGCUAUUGAAAGACACCUGCAUACAGAGAGUUACAUGCUCAUGUAAUAGUAGAGGCCUAAAGGAUAAGGAGUGUGAGCAGAUUGGUGUAAACAGAAUGCCAGGAAGCUCGGGAUGGACAAUUGAUCCUCUAGUUGCCAAGAAAGUUUGAAGUCUUGCUGGUCCCUUAAGGAAAUUUACAUGUGCCCUGGAGUCAUUUAACUCUAAAGAGAUAAUUAAGAGUUACAAGUCUCUAUGGCUUUGAUACCAUCUGAGUUGAGUGCCUCUAUGACACUUUUUGCAGUUUUCAAUUGCAAAAGAGUUUCAGUGGCCAGUGCUUGGGUCGUUUGAAACAGAUGGUGGGGAUGCAGUACUAAUUCUUACCAACUCUAAUCCCCAAAGAAGCUCAACUCAAUUUGAAAGUUUGUCCAGCUCCAAGUAUUUAUGUCUCAUUCUGUCACGCCCCAAGACCCACUCCAAGGGCGUGACGGUCAAUUCACACCUCAAACCCGAAGGCUUAAAGUAUAAUCUGACCCAAACAAUCAUAUUGUAACUGGAUGUUACCAAUUACCAAAUACCUGUUUAGAGUAGCGGAACAAAAUCUAAAAUACUCAAAAUUCAAUUUCCAAACUAAAACAUCCACUAUCCAAAAUCCAUUGUCCGAAUAUUUGCAAACUUAAACAAUUCCAGUACUAGAACAAAUUUCAAAAUCUCCAAAACUCAACUUUGAUCUAACAUAAAAUUUGAAUGAUCAAUAUCCAAAUAACUUCCAAAUACCAAAGGAUCCAAAUGAACAUAACUAACAGUUAAACAAAAUCCAACAUAAAAUCUUAAGUCAAAUCCUAAUGAUGACCAUUCCUCAGCCUAGCCAUCACUUCUUACCCGAACUAAGAGUACUUGAAAAUUUUUCAACAAUUGGGAAUGAGCUCACAGCCCAAUAAGGAAUAUUAAUGCAGUUCAUGGAUCAAAUAUUUUUAUUUCAAAUAGGAGAUAUCAUUUUUUUUUUCUCAUUAAAUAUCAGAGUUUCAAAAAUACCAAUAUAUUCAAAUUUCAACCAACCAUUUUCGUAUCAAAUUCAAACACUUUCACAUAAGAUUCAAUCAAAUCCAUUCAAUUUUCAUUACUCUGGUUAUCAAAUAUCAAAUGCCUAGUUAGGUGGGACUUUUCAAAUGGGUGGCUAGCCUCAAAUUGUUCCUGGUGGACGGAACCAAACACUACUAGUACUAGUAACCUCUAACCAAACCCCUAGAGGCUGGGGUCCAAAUCAAUUACAUUCCCACCAUGAAAUGUAAAGGUCAACUAUUAUAUCCCGUUGACAAGGGCCAAAUAAACCAGAGUGAUGUUUUUGUUCAAGUAUUCAAAUUUACACAACAUAAUAUCUCCAUAUUUUGUGUCAUAAAUAAAACAAAAUAUUCCAACAUAAUAUUUAGUGCAAAACAGUUUGAUCCAUGCAUGGUAACAAAAUAUCAUUUUCUUUUCCAUAAUUUAAAAUAACAUAUAAAAUAAUUUAAUUUUAUAAAUAUUGCAUUAACUUCCCUUACCUCAAAAGAAGUCCUCAAAAACUUUGGAGAAAAAUAAUCCUGAAAAUCUACUUUUCACCUAACAAAUAUAAGAGAAAUAACCAUUACUAUUUAUCUAAAAUUACAGGUUUGUCAAUCCUAAAAUUUUAGGUAUUCAAAUUAAUAUUUUUAAUUAUGAAAGACAAUUUAAUCUAUUCAUAAUUUUUUUUAAAUUAAUAAAUUUUUAAUUCAUAUAAAACUUAAUUUAUUUAAUUUAAUUUUUUUUUGGGAAUACAACUUAAUUUAAUUAAACUAUAAUUUAUUUCACUAAUUAAUUUCUAUGUUAUUUAUUAACUUAUACUCAUCAUUAGUAUAAUUAUAAUACCAAAAAAAACUUUACUUUCUUUUAUUUAAAACUUCUAUUCUUUUUUUUUUUUUUUUCAAACAUAAACUUUAUCCAUUAUUGUCAAUAUAAUAAUAUAUAUAUACAUAUAUAUACAUUAACUACCAAACACCAUCCAUCCCUCCAUCCGUACACACACCCACACCCCAUAUAUAUAUAUAUUUCCAUUCUCCAAGUGUGCACAUGCGUCCUCUAAUUUUUUUUUUAUCCUUAAGCCAUUCUCCAAUUCCACAGUGUGCACAUGCGUCUUCCAGUUUUUUUUUUUCUAAAAGCUUAAGAAUUUCCAAUUUCCAACAAUAAAUUAAAAUAUUGAAUUUUCACUAUUUUGAUAUUAAAACGAAAUAAUAAUAAUAAUAAUAAUAAUAAUAAUAAUAAACUAACCCUAAUCUAAAUCGAAAUCUUCACAGGAAUUUUUUUUUUUCUAAUAAAAAAACUUAAGAUCUCCCCAAUUCCAAUAAUAAAUCAAAAUCUUAAAUUUUCACUAUUUGAUAUUAAAACGAAUUAAAAAAUAAUAAUCUAACCCUAAUCUAGAUUUGGGGUUUUCCAAAAAAUAUACCUAAUGUGCUUGAAAUUAACUAAUGAAUCUAAAAUAAUAAUCUAGGGGUUAGAAACUUACCUAUAAAGGUUUGUUCUUCAAACCUUGAAAUCUAACCUCAACUUCACGUUCUCUGGAAACUCUCUGCGAAUAAGAAUACGACUAAAAAAAAACAGGAAGAAGAGAAUUUUCUAUUUAUACCUAGGGUAUUAUUCGUAAAAUUACCUUUUCACCCCUCUUCCAUUUUAUUAAAUUAAUUAAUUAAUUAAUUAAUUUAAUAUCAUUAUUAAGAAUUUCCUAAAUUACCCUUUAAAAAGAAAACUUGGGCAUUACACAUUCUAUGCUUGCAGAAUCUUCUUUGAUGCAGCAUGAGAUACAAUCUCCAUAAACCCAUAGCUCUCUGGCUGGCCAUGCAAACUAUUUCAUACAUAUUCCCAUGCAGCAAAUGAGUAACUCAGUUUUCUUAUGUUUUGCAAGCUCGUAUAAAGGAAACCAACUUAUUCCAGAGCUAGAACACAAAAUCACAACUUCUUAAACAUAUCUUGCCCAAGGUUUUCUCUUAGUCUCUGCCUUGCUUCCAUGACUUGUUGUCCCUUGCUUCAUUAUUUAAAUUCUCCUCCACUUUCCUGGCAAAAUUUCCAGCACUGACCUCCAUCUCAGAAAAGAAAUUUGAAUAUGAUCCAAACCCCUUACUCCCAUUCUGUGCCCAAUCAGCAUAAAAAGAACUCCACUGCACUUCCUUAUUGCACAUGGUCUUUGUCACGCCCCAAAUUUUGGGCAACCCAGAACUCGACUCGUGACCCCAGGUCAAAGGUUUGACCCUAAAGGUUACUCCUAUCCACACUAGUAAUCAAUCCAAACACCCUGACUUUUUUUAUUUCUUAUUUUCAAAACCAACCAUCACACUAUCUCCUUAUCACAAUUAUAAUAAAACCACCAAUCAUCUUUCCACCCAAAAGCUCAAAUAUUUACAAUAAUCUUUAAGUCAAAAAGAAUAUUUCAAAAAAUAUUUUACAAACUAACAAAAUAUAAUUUAACUUACAAAAGUCCAUUAUACAUAUCAAAAGGGUAAUAUACAUUUAAAAACAACUAUUAUUACGGUUUUUUUUGUUUUCUGCAACAUUUCUUGAACUUCCUGUAGUCCCUCUGAAACUAAAUCUAGAUCUAAAAAUUUUAGAAAAUAAAGAGGUGAGCAUUUCCACGUUGCUCAGUAGGAUGUGUUACACCCAAAUAGGUUAGAAAUUCUAGUAAAUUAUUAUCUUAACUCCCUUAAACAAGUUUAUAGUUUCUUCUACUCAUUGUCGUCGUUUUUCCCUUUAGUAAGAUACAUGUUUCGACCUCAAUCUACUAACAAGAGUGGUCUCUAGAUAAGAUUUCUCACUAAUACGUAUAGAGUUUAUUUGUUUUCUUUUUGUUUUUCAUGAUUUGAUAGACUAACAAUUUACUAGUGUCGUAUAUCUUAUAACUCGAAUGCACUUAUAUUUUUAAAUAUUUCAUUUAUGCAGCCCUAAAUGUCCCAAUAAUUGUAACGUUACUUAAUUUUAUUUAUUUCCUAUUAGAACCCCUUAGUUUGAAUGCCUUAUAUAUUUUCAGUACUUUUAGUCAAUUAAUUUCCCUAUGUCACCUUCAACACUUCCUUUUUAUAAAAACUGUUUUUUUUUUCUUGUCAUUCAACAACACAUCAUAUCUCCCAAUAAGAUGCAUAUAAUAUAAACAAUCAUACUAAAUGUCACAGUGACAAGGCAAGGGAGAUGUGAUAAACGAGAUAAAACAAAAAUAAGGCCUCACAGUCCCUAGCUGGUAAACUGGUUGGCCUACCAGUUGACCACUCAGGGUUUGAAAGAAAUUACUUAAUCUCCAACUCUAUCUCGAAUCCAAUCACAUCUCUCUUCAACUUAGGCAACUUUUCACAUCAUAUACAAACAUCUUCAUGAUUAAUACAAAAUACAUGUCGUUUUUGAAUUCAAUAACUAUUAACCACAUAAACAUUACUAAAAUUGUAACCACUGGAAUUUGGAUCAUCCAAGAACAUCUAUAUAAGUAAUAACAAUACUACUCAUAUUUGGAAAACUCCAAAAUCAUACAAAUGUUAUGAGAUGCAAUUCUAUUUUUUUUUUUCUCACAUCAUAUCACCUCAUCUGAGUCUUUGGGACAUCCUAAUCCCAUGUCCAAAUCCUUCACUCACUUUAAUCAUUCAACUUAAGAUUAAUAAAACAUUUCAAUCAAUCUAUCACAAUAUAAUCAAAAUUACAGUAAGGCAUAACAACAUGAUUGGAAUUUAAUAUUAACUAGUAAUAACAACAACAAGUCAUACUCCAUUCAAUCAUUAUCAACAAUAUUAAUUACAAGCAAUUCAUGCACCCAUUACAUGUAAUUUGCAUGCUCAAGCUAUUUUCAAUACUUAUUCCAAUACAAUUUCUUAAACACAUAAAUUGAAAUCCACUAACAAACUAAUAUGACAUAUCAAAGUAUCACAGAAGGAAAACAUAAGAAAGUAAGCACACAUAACACACAAGCUCAAGCAUUAUCGCAACCUUGAGCUUUGAUACCACGCUAUCACAUCCCAAAUUUUGAGCAACCCAGAACUUGACUCGUAAUCAUAGGUCAAAGGUCUAACCCUAAGGGUUACUCUUAUCAACCUUGAGCUUUGAUACCACGCUAUCACAUCCCAAAUUCUGAGCAACCCAGAACUUGACUCGUGAUCAUAGGUCAAAGGUCUAACCCUAAGGGUUACUCCUAUCCACACUGGCAAUCAAUCCAAACACCCUGAAAUUUUAUUUUAUUUUAUUUUUCAAAACCAACCAUCACACUAUCUCUUGAUCACAAUUAUAAUAAAACCACCAAUCAUCUUUCUGCCCAAAAACUCAAAUAUUUACAAUAAUCUUUAAGUCAAAAAGAAGAUUUCAAAAAAUAUUUUACAAACUAACAAAAUAUAAUUUAACUUACAAAAGUCCAUUAUACAUAUCAAAAGGGUAAUAUACAAUUAAAAAUAACUAUUAUUAUGGUUUUUUUGUUUUCUGAAACACUUCCUGAACUUCCUGUGGUCCCUCUGAAACUAUAUCUACAUCUAAAAAUUUUAGAAAAUAAAGGGGUGAGCAUUUCCACGUUGCUCAGUAGGGUGUGUUACACCCAAAUAGGUUAGAAAUUCUAGGUCAAUAACACAAUCAUAUGGCAAAACAUACUAUUACCUUUACAUUAUACACACUAAAAGGAACCCCAACCAUACAAAUUUAAACCAAUCAAAAUUGUCAUUUUCCUUAUUCAAUCAUAUGUCUAGCAUAUCAACAAUUCUAAAUUUUCUAAAUAAACAAGUCAUUUUAGUUUUGAAUAAUAUAUUCAAACAUAGACUUGAUAAAUAAUACAUAUUCUUCUUCCAAAUGCAACCAUGAUGCAAAUGCUUACACACAAUCACACAAUGCACUGUUGUUCUCGGGCUUUCACCGAAGGAUACGUGUCCAUACCCAAAUACACUCCCCAUUCAGAGUCUUCCCAAGGUAAACUUUUGGAUCUUUCACCCUAGGGAUCUCACUCCCUUCUUAAUUCACCUCACACGGGCCUUUACUUUUCAUUACUAUUUUAUUUUUUCCUUUCUUUUUCCAUUUCAUGAACUUUUCACAAUUUUUAUCCUUCCAUCACACAACCAUGAUGCAAAUGGAAUGUCAUGAGGUUAAUUACCCUCAUUUACAAGUAUCACCAGUAUCACAUAAAUUCUCCAACUAGUCCAAAUAUCAUUGAAAUUACAAUCAUACCACAAUUCCAAAAUUUUCCAACAACUCCAAUAAUUCCAAUAAUCAAAUAUAAUUAUUUUCUUCACACUAAAAUUAUCAAAAGCAACCAAAUAAAUUUCCAAUAAUUAGAAUCUCAAUUAAACAUAAUCUAUACCAAAAUUCCAUAAUUUUCCAACAACUCCAAUAAUUUUCAAUAAUCAAAUAUAAUUAUUUUUCCACAAUAAAAUUACCAAAAAUAUUCCAACAAUUCUCAAAAAAUCCACAUAUCAAUAAAUUAUAAAUUAUACCACAAUUUCAUAAUUUUCCAACAAUUCCAAUAAUUCAAACAUUAACAAAAACUCAAUUUAUAUCAUAAAUUUAUUUAUUUAUAAUAAUAUUAAUAAUUUUAAACAAUCAUUUUAAACAUAUUUCAAUACUCAAAAUUUUCAACAAAUAGUUUCCAUAAUUUUCAACACUAAUAUAUCACCAAUAAAUUUAUAUAAUUUCUAAUAUAACAACAAUCACUAAAAAAAUAUUAACCAAUAUUCCAAUAAAAAGGAUUUUCAUAACCACAACAAUUCGGUAAAUCCUAUCAUGGGAACAACAAUUACAUACCAACAAUUCUAAUAUUUUAUCUUGCAUUAAACUUUCAUUCACUUCUCAUUUAACAUUUUCUAAGCAAAACCAAACCAUUUUACACGUUUAGGGUUUUCAAAAACAACCUAAAUGAAAACUAUAUGACGAUCUACCACAACCCAACAACUCACCCAUUUUCAUGGAGUUUUUUGAAAUUCAAUAAAAGCAAAACAAAAAGCCCAAAAAAAGCCGAGAGAGAAACUUAGGAAAAUUCGACUCCAUAGAAGUAUUCACCAUGUUGAAGACUAUCACUGUCGGAAAUUUCAUAACGAUCGGGGGUCGUUUCACCGUCGGAUCGACGGAGGCACACGACGGAGAACUCCUUUGCGUCUCCCUUAUGUUGCCGCCCCCACUCCUUUAUUUUUUUCCAUUUUCUCUUUUGUCUCCCGGCGCCCCACAAUCCACUUUUAUAUAUAUAUUAAAACAAUUUUGAAAAUGUCAUCACGUCUUUUCUCUUAAUUAAAUUAAAAUCAUUGUUCCUUAAUUCGCCUUCCAUAAUUAAGAAUUAUACCCAACUUAUGAUUUUUCACCUCACAAAAAAUAUUGUCGUAUUCGUAAUUUAAUUUACUACAAGCCUGCUCUACAAAAAUUAUAAUUUGGCUAUAAUUACCUGAAGCAUUUUUACUAUGAAAUUCACUUAAAACAUGAUAUAAUUAACUAUUAAUAAAAUUUAAUUUUAUACAAAUAUUAAAUACAUAAAAUAAUUUUUUGGGCAACCAAGAAGUUGAAAUUUAUAAUAACCCUUAACCCAUUAAUUUUACUAAUAUUUAUUUUACCAACAAAAAUUUAAGUAAUAUUCUAAAACUUAAUUUCAUAAAUUAAUUAGUCAUUUAAUUUAUAAAAAUAAGUUUCUCAACCCUUUGGUAUAACUUUUAUUUAAUUUACUUCAUUUGUCAAAUUAUUCAAUCGCAUAAAAAAAUUUCAAAAGUUAAAUUCAUAAAAUUCACAUUUAAUUAAUUUACCCAUUUUAUAUAUUUUUUUCUAAAUUCACAUAUCAUAAUUUAAUCUUAAUUUAAUUUCAAUUCAACUCCGAUUAAUGUUUUUUAAUUCUAUAAAGUUUAAUUCCAAUUAUAAAAAUCUAAUUGAUUUGUUAUAAAAUUAAAUUCAAUUUCUUUUUAAUUAUCCAUUCUAACAAUUUGACAUAAUAUAAUUUUUACCAAAUUUUUUUUACUACGAUUUUUUUUAUAAUUACUUGAUAAUAAUUAAAUUAAUUUCUGUAACGUACUUAAUAUUCAAAUUUUCAAAACCUAAUCUCAAACAUUUGAUGGCUAAAUUUUUCUCCAAAUCUAAAUUUUAUUUAUGAAAUUCCCACUCCUUACAUCUGACGUGCCCAAUUUUUCAAAUUAUUGACUUUUGACCAACUUUUCCAAAAUCUCUCCCAAUUAGAUACCAACACGUGGAUCUUCACCACUCUUUUUGAGCAUUUGACCCACAAUUUUAUGAAAGACUUUAUGUUCUUAGAAUUUGACGUGUCCUUAAACAUCCAGGUAUUACAGUCUUCAUGAAAUUCCCAUUUCUUUGGAAGUGCUCAUGUCACUAUGAUCUCCAUGGCUCAAGGCUCCAAAGAAAGAAAAAUGGAAGAGAUGCAGAUACAGGAACAUAUAAAUUGUUGGAAAUCUUUGGAUUACCUUUUGAAAAGUCCAGAAUCCAAAAAUAGUUGUUUCAUUAUACAAUUCUUCACCCCAAGUCUUGAAUGGAACCACACUAAAAUCGAGAACCACUUUGUUUCCCAACACAAAAACCUUUCACCUUCUGUAGAAAACUUUUCUUCCCAAGUUAUCAAGGUUUUUUCAUUUUUCGAAGAAAAAGUAUAAGUGUGUGUGUGUGUGUAUAUACAUAUUUUGGGUUGGUUUCUAGGUAGUUUUCAACUCCCAAAAUCUGCUCCCCCUUUAUCUCUUAUUAUGUUGGAUCAGGUUGGGUCAGCCUGACUUGGGCAUCCACCCAACUCCAACAUUUCCCACUUGCACAAGGUGGGCUGAUACAACCCAAUCAUUAGUAAUCCAAGUCUAUUUUUUCAACUUUUGAAGGUGAUUCAUACAGGAAAAUGGGUCAUGUGAUCAUGCAAACACAUCUAUAAUUUUGGGAGCUUAUAAAGUUAUGUACCUAUUAAGGAUACAUAAUAGUUUAACCCCAAAAUUAAGAGUGAACAACUAUAAUCUUGUCUUGUUGUACCAUAGAUUUCUUUAAUCACAUUUUAAUGUAUACACUUAAUCCCUCAAAGUUGCAUACUCCACAACAUUAUAAAUGUAUUCACAAUUAUAUUAGCUACAAAAGCAACAUAAUUGGUCAAUCGUUAACACAUCUUUAUCAAUGUAACUCAAAAAAAUAUAAAUAAAUAAUUUAAAACCUCUUUUAAACUCAUCUCUUUUAGAUUCAAAUUAAUUGUUUACCCAAUAUGUCCGAUAAGGAUAAAUUAUUUUAUUUCCGUCGAAAACAUACGAAAGUAGCAAAAUUAAUUUGUCACCUCAAACAAUAGCAAAAAAUACAAAGAGUACAAUAGUGGGCUAUUAUAAUUGUAAUAAGCCAUAAGGAUCUCACAUGGUGAGGAUGUAAGGAUUAAUCAUUCACUUUCCUUAUUAGUCACUCUCAAACACAUGUAGUAUGAAAUACAUGCUAUGGUGGUUUCUUUCCACUUAGAGAGUGUAUGUCAAACUACCACCAUAUAGACCUCAAUUAAGAGCUUCAUACCCAUAGUUUGUUUGAGUUUUAUAGAUAUCUAUACUUCUCCUCAAACCUUUUAUGCUAAAACUCAAGUUCGAUUCAAAUAGGCAAAUGUAAUUAUGGGCGAUUACAUUCGAUCAAGAUGUCAUUUGUUAUAGACAUCAUCUUGAUACUUAAUCAAGGCAACACUCAUUAUCUUAGUAUACUUUUUACUCAUUUAUCAUUAUUAGUAUAUCAUGUCUCAUCCCAACUCAUAAACACAUUGAUUGGGGCAAUUGCUCAUGUGAGAGAGCCAACCUUUGCUUGUUGACUUACAUUUAAGAGUAUAUAUGUAUAAGUACCAUUUACAUAUUCAAUUAUAUGAAUAACAAAUACUCAUCUCAUUUUAUGAUGUAUAGAGUAUCUUAUAUUCAAUCAAUAAUGAUCCAUGUCAUAUAAUCAACAUAAAUUAUAACUUAAAAAUCCUAAUGACUUUACAUGUACAAAAAACAUGUCUCUUGAAAUGGAUUUUGUGAAUGGAUCAACAACCACCUUUCAUGUAGGUAAAUAUUUCGGGAUCAACUCCUUUUGUGCAAUAAUAUCUCUUAUAAAAUUAUUUUUGGUAUCUAUAUGCUUAGUUCUUCCAUGAUAUUUCAGGUCCUUUACAUAAAGCGAUCACAACUUGAGUGUCAAUAUAGAAUAUUGUUAGCCCAAAACUAUCCUUGUAUAGUCCCAAACUUUACAAAAAUCUUCUCAACCAUAGAGCUUCCUAUACUGCAAAUGAAUAGGCAAUAAAUUCUGCUUCCAUGGUUGACAAAGCUAUACAAGUCUGUUUCUUGCUUCUCCAUGAGAUAGCACCAUUAUUAAAAAAGAAUAUAUAUAUCAAGAUAUUGAUUUGCGCUCAUCUAAAUCACCUGCCUAAUUUCAUUUGAAUAACCCACCAAAUGCAAUUCUUUGCCUUGAUAACAAAGGAAAUGGUCCAUAGUACCUUUUAGAUAUCUAAGAAUUCUUUUUACUACUUUCUAAUGCAUCAUUCCAAGAUUUGUUUGGUAGCGACUAACCAUCCCAACAACAUAAUAGAUGUAUGGUCUUUUGCACAUCGUAGCAUACAUUAGACUCCCAACAACAUUAGAGUAGGGAACAUUACUUAUUUUUCUCUUUUCUUUUGGAGUCUUUGGACCCAUUUCUUUACUUAGGUUUUCACCUCUUGUAAAUGGAGUGUUGAUUCGACUCAUGGUAGCUUAGCUUUAAAGGCAUAUCAACAAAAUUCAUACCUUGAAUACUAUUACUAAAGUAGCCAAGCUACUAUAGCAUAGUGGUUCUAGGAUCGUUCACUGGGAAGGGAUUUCGCAAACACAAGUGAUAUUCAAAUUAGGAAAAUAGGUGAUUUUCUUAUGGAUGUUAGCUUUAAAAGAAGAUGUAAAUGUUUUAGAAAGAUUUAAACUAAUCUAAGCUAACAUUAAAGACUAAAAUGAAAGGGUGUAAAAACAAGUUUCUCAAAGAUAGGAUAGCUAUGCUCUGGUUCUUAUGCAAAUUGGAAAUCUCAGGAUAGGCUCCUCGCGUUGGGGUUGCAACUAUGGUGAUGCUUGCUUCCCGAACCGGUAUGGAUUUAGCAAAUCAAGUUUUAAUCCUUUAAAAUGGCAAAACAGAUGGUAGUGAAUUUCAUCAAUGGUUAUUCACCUUAGACUUCCUUUGAAUGGCUCGUAAGAGAUAACUAAUCGUCUAAAGCCAAAAGCUUACCAAAUAUUGGCAACUCAAAGUCAUUCCAGGUGAUAAACUCACCUUUCAAUGGCCAUUGAAAUUGGUUCUAACGGAUUAAUGCAAAACUUGGAAUUGAAAACCUCACCUUCCAAUAGCUCGUAGGAGAUAACUAAUGGAUAGAAAUCCAAAAGCUUAUCAAGUAUUGGCCGUUGGAAGUUGUCCAAAGGAAAUAAAAACCAAACUUCGCAUUAAUGAACCUUUAAUGAAAAACGACUACCUUACCUUCCGGGUGCGAGAAAUUUCCAUGGGAUUGCAUCCAAGCCAUCACAUAACAUCCAUACUUUGAGAAACUUAAAAGGUUUUAGCCUCUCAUCCUUGGGGAUUUCAUCCACCAAGGAUGUUUGGCUACUAAGAAAAUAGAAAUGGGGAAGAACCGGAGAAGAGAGAAAAAAAGAACUUUAUAUAUUUCUAUAUCUAUCUAUCAAUAUUUGUUACAACGGAUGCAAGGGGAUAUAAAUAGAGAAGUUUUUCCAACCUUCCUAGCUAAUAAAUCUUAUGAUUGGUAGAUUACAAGGAGAAGAAUGGAAAUUUAUACAAAAAUAUCUAAAAGAAAAGAUCUAAAGUGGAGUCGGCAGAAACAGAGGAAAAUUCGCACCACGCAUGGGCUGUGCGAAUUUGGAAGGUGUUGUGCGAAAUUUUCGCACAAGCCUGGAGCAGUUGUCUUCCGAAGGCCAUAUCUUCCUCAUUUCAGCUCCAAAUCGUACACGGUUUGAAGCGUUGGAUUCUUGACUUCCUGAGAUUUGAAAUGGUAUAUAGAAUGUAGAAAAUGGACUUCGGGAAGUGCUCCAAAAGUUCCAAAGAAGACUGCAGUUGCUGUCCUCUAUUUUCCUCUUUGCUUCUUUUUGCUUCUCUUUGCUUCUCUUUGCUUUUCUCCUUUUGUUGGCUUGCUUUGGUGUAGCUAAAAGCUUGCUUUAACUUGUCCAAGUAGCUCCUCCAUCAUUUGGCAUGCUUGAAUUGAUUCAUAAGCUGAUAUAAACAUGUAAACUUGCCACAAAAUGGUUAAAACCAAUUACUAAGGACCUUAAUGAAUUAAUUGGGUUAAAUGAAUAUGAUUACUACACAAAGGUGCUUAAAACCAUUAUAAUUAGGUCUACAAAAUAGCACUUUUUGGUAGUAAUCAAGUGUCAAUGAGAUUUCAAUCUUGCAUAUUAAAUCAUUCAAGGAUUUUCUUAAUAUAAUGUUCUUGUGAAAGAACCACUAGUUUGUUAGAAUUAUCGCUAUGGAUAUAAGAUGUUUCUCCCAUAUAUUUCAUCUCAAAAGUAUAUGAUAACCAUUUUUUAAUUGUUUUGACAAACUGCAAAUCAUUUCCAGCUAUAAGUACAUCAUCCACGUAUAAAGAUAAUAUCACAUAUUUAUCUUUAUGUUGCUUAAUGUAAACAUAACAGUCCUCAUCAAUCAUUAUGAAAUCAUAUGAAGUUAUUGCACAAUGAAAUUUCAAGUACCACUAUCUAGAUGAUUGAUUAAUGUCAUAAAUCGAUCUAUUUAACUUACACACUUUACGAUCUUGGCCUUGAAUAAUGAAACCUAUUAGUUGUUCCAUAUAGAUUUCUUCAUUCAAUUGUCCAUUGAGGAAAGUUGUCUUAACAUCCAUUUGGUGUGGCUCUAAAUCCAUAUGAGCUACUAUAGCUAGAAUAAGGCAAAUUGAGGUAAACUUAACUAUUGGAGAGAAAGUUUCAUCAUAGUCUAUACCCUUUUGUUGGGUAUACCCUUUAGCAACUAAUCGAGCUUUAUAAUAUUCAAUGGAUCCAUCUAUCUUUCAUUUUAUCUUAAGAACCCAUUUAUUUCGCAUUGACUCCAAUCCCUCUUCCAUUGCUUUUCUUUAUUCAUCCUUAUUCGGAUUAGUAAAAGCCUUCUAAACCAACUUAAGCUCAACAUCAUCAUAUUGAGUGACAAUAUGAAUUUCCCUUGCAAUCUCAAAUUGUCGAGAACUUUUUCUCAAUAUCGACUCUUUUACUGUACUUGCUAUAGGUACCAAUUCACUCCCACUAAGUUCAAGCAUCAAUUGUUGUUUGGGUGUAGAUCUUAUGUUAGGUUCCAUCAUUUCAUAAAGAUGUAAAUCCCUAUCAAUCUCACACAUACGUGGACAAUCGUCCUCUAAGAAUGUGACAUCUUGUGAUUCUAAUUCAGUUACUAUUUUUUCUUCAUGCUCACCUAUGAACACAUAACUUUUGGAGUGUUCACUUUAUCUUAUAAAGAUACAUUUCUUUUCUCUAGGACCUAAUUUUCCAUAUUUAUGAGAAGGAUUGGGAAUAUAAGUCGUUGAUUCCCAUGAUCGCAAAUUGCUAAGAUUUGGCUUUUGAUUAUUCCAUAACUCACAUAGAGUAGAUGUAAUAGUUUUUUAGGGUACUUGAUUAAGUACAUAAGUAACAAUCAACAAUGCAUCUCCCCAAUAUGAAAUGGAAAGAUUUGCUUAAGCCAUCAUUGACCUAAUCAUGUCUAAGAACGUUCUAUUCCUUCUCUUAGUGACACUGUAUUGUUGUGGAGUCCCUGGAAUAGUCGAUUGUCUACUAAUCCCUUUUUCAUCACAUAAAUCUUUAAUUGUUUUGAUAUAUAUUCUCUACUCUAGUCUGUUCUUAAUGUUUUAAUUUUUUAUUCCAAUUGAUUCUCAACUAAAUGAAUGUAGCAUCUAAAGCAAUCUUAAUACUUCUUACUUAUGAGAAAUCAGAUAAACAUGACUAUAACUAGUAAAAUCGUCUAUAAAUGUGAUAAAAUACAAGGCAUCAUGCCUUGCUUUAACACUUAUAGGAUCACAGAUGGCGGAAUGGAUCAAUUGCAAUGAUACUUCAGCUCUAUUUCCUUUUUCAAAUGGUUUUCUUAUUGUCUUACCAGCUAGACAAUAUUCACAAGUUGGCAUAUCAAUUUUAGUAAAUUGACUUAGUAGAUUUUCUCUAGCUAGUCUAUUUAUUCUUUCUUGUCCAAUAUGCCCAAGUCUAGCAUGUCAUAUGAUCAUAUUAUCACAUGUAUUUCUAGAAAUAGUCAUCAACGAAUAAUAACUAUCAUUAGUAUUAAACAACAUACAGUUAUCAAUGUCAAGAACCAUAAAACCAUUCAAAAUAAAUUUAGAACUAUAGUAUGUUUUUCCUAAAUACAACUCUAUUACCGAAUCAUGAAAAUUCAAAUUGAAACCUAAACCAAAAAAGACUAACACAUAGACCAAAUUUCGUCGAAUAUCCAGAGCAAUAAAGAACAUAAUCUAGGAAUGGGUAUGUACUCUGAGCAACUUCAAUUUAAAUGUUCCAAUACUCUUGAACUCAACUUUGGAGUUGUUUCCUACAUAGAUCCAUCUUGUACCAGAACUGAUUCAUUGAAACUCUACAUAUGCUUCUUGGUUUCUAGUUAAAUAUUCGAUGCUAGUUGAGUUUAUAGUCUACAAAGGAAUAGAUUCAAUUAACAUACACAACUAGAAACAUAAUCACAUGAGUUAUUUGAAUAGACCAUAGCUAUUUCGUAGUGUCUUCACGAGCGAAGUGACCUUUGUUGCCACAAUUGUAGCAUUUCAACUUGCUCUUAUCCUUUUUAACAUGCUUAAACUUCUUGCAUGCCAUGGUUUUUCCUUUCAUUGAAGCAUCAUCAGAUUUCUUAUUCUUCUUAAAGAAUUUUCUAUUACACUUAAAGUCGAAAGUUUUACUUGAACUAAAUUCAACUACAUAAGCUUGUUCAUUAGGACUAGCAACCACAAAUCGCUCGAUUUCCAAUUAAAGAUGGCGAACUAUAUCAUUAAAGGUCUUGAAACUCUCAUUAUGUGUCAUGUUCACCACCAUGUGUUCCCAACUCUUUGGUAGAGAUCUUAUGAUUGUCUUGCUCAUCAGUGAGUACAUGCUCGGAUGUCUUAAGCUCUUUUAUCAUUCUUUUCAUCUCCUUGAGAUGUUGUUUUAGUGUAUGAUUUGAUUGCAUCUUGUAAUUUCCAAAUUUCAUUACAAAUUCUCUCAGCUUUGUAGUUGAAAGUCCACCAUACUUUUCAUUUAGAGCUUGAGCUUCCCACAUCUCAUGAGUAGUUUGGUAUACCUUAGACUCAAUCAAGAGAUCAUCUUGUAUACAUCUUAACAACGUAAUGCAAGCUAAAGAAUUCUUUUUCUUCUAGGCCAUAUAAGCCUCCUAAUCUCUUUUAUGUUGGGUAAAGCUCCCUUGUUCAGGUUCUUACAUGAUAUGAUUCAGUGUUUCAAUAGUCUUUUGCUCUUCAAGGAUAUAUCGAACCUUGUGAUGCCAAAUCUCAUAAUUAUCACCAUUCAAUUUCUCACCCUUAUUUGGUUAUGCUAUGAUUUUCUUAACUACAGUUGAUAUUCAACGACAUAGAGAUAUUGCAUAAAUCUUAUUAAUUAGUACUUUUACAAAUAUAGAUACUCAUAUUUGCUCUAAUUAUUUUUUAAUUUGUAAUAACCUUAAUUUUAAUAUAAACAACAGUUCACUAUGUUCCUAAUCAACUCUCAUAUACAAUUUUAAUUAUUACGAAUUAGAAAUAAUCUAUACAAGUAUUACUAAUUUAUUAUUUUUAGGCAAGAAAUUAAUUAAAUGUCCUUUAACCUAAAACCUCCUACUCUAUUAAAUAAUAUUGUACAACUAGUAUGUGUUGACAAUAUAUCUAUAAAGAAUUGAAGAUAUGUGAAUAAAAAUAUAUACUAAUUUAUCAAUAAGAUAAUAUACAUGGCAUGUCUCGUAUAUCAAAAUAUUUACAUUUUAUGUACAAAACAUAGAAAAAUCUAAUAUAUAGAAGAAAAACUAAUCUUCUCCUUUGAUGAUAAAAAGAACAAUGUUUGGAUUAUACGUAGUGUCUUCGAUAACUCUAGAAGUUGUUUUUAAUAACCAUAACCCUCCAAGAUUCUUAUGCCUAAUGGAAUUUGAAAAACUCGUACUUUGCAAGUUAGGAGAAAUAGGAAGCAUGGUCGUUCAUUUAAUGAAAUUCUUCAUAAAGCAUAUUUGUUAAUGUUCCUUAAAAAAAAAAACUACUAAGUCAUCAAAAGACUUAUUAAUGAAACUUUGAGGCCCUUCUUGAAUGAAUUCCCAUAUAUUUUCUACAACUUUAGCCUUUGGUUCUAUUAAUAACAUUUGUAAAAUUCGAUUUUUAUAACCUAACAAAAAAUAUAUUCCACUUCCAAACUCUUGAUCAUAUUAACAACAUGAUCCACAUGUUCAUUUAUAGAAUGACUAGGGUCCCUCUUGUAAUUCAUCAACGUAUCCAAAAAUGGUCAAGGUCCUCUAUCCCUUAGUACUCUCCUAGUUCUCUUCAUUUGUACCAUUUCACACCAGACUAAAAGGAUUUAAUUUAAUUUUAAUGAGUAGCAUAUAUUCAUACUUUAAUUAAAUAUUUGAACAAAUCAAAAUUUAAUUAGUAUGACACAAAUGUUUAAAAAAAAUGUCUUUUAUUAUCCUUUUUUUAAAUUAUUGUUUUAUUAUUAUUAUUACUUUAUGAACAAAUCAAUAUUCAUUAUUUGACUAAAGAAUCAUAUUAGAUGCCAAGUCCUUAGUCAUAGUCUAACUACACCAAAAGGUAGUCAACAUACUUGAAAUUAACAAUAUAAUACCAGUAAAUAGCAUUUAUAUCACAUUAGGUACUGGUACUCUAGUGGUAACAAGGGACUUUGUACAUGGGAGAGAUUUAGGUUUGAAGUCUAGGUGUUGUAUUUUUUUUAUUAUUAUUACCCAAAGAGUCUAUUUCCCAAUAGAGAACCAGUAGUGGCAUGGUAAGGGUGGACUCUUGCAACGUGGAUUCUAUGGAAUUAUCCACUUUUCAUGUUGACUCCUAUAACAAUGGUAGAUUCUACGUGGUUGCAAUGUCAUAUAUAUAUUUCAUCAUUUUUUUUAUAUUAUCCAAUUUUCACUUUUAUGCAUCCACCAUUUAUUUUAUUUUAUUUUUAUGGAAUAUUGUUCUAUUCAAGAAUGAUAGAAACUUUUUUUUUUCAACUUGGGGUUCUUUUUGGAAACAAAUAAAACAAAACGAGAAACAAACUAAACAUGCUCUACUACCAAUGUUGGAAAUCUUCGGAUUAUCUUUUGAAAAGUCUAGGAUCCAAAAAUAGUUGUUUUACCGUUCAAUUCUUUGAACUAAGUCUUGAAUGGAACUAUACUAAAAUAAAAAAACCACUUUGUUUCAUAGCACAAAAACCUUUCACCUUCUAUAGAGAACUUUUCUUCCCGAAUUAUGUCAGUCUUUCUUUUUCUAGAGAAAAAGUAAAAGUGUGUGUGUGUGAGAGAGAGAGAGAGAAAAAUUCUUUUUAUUGAAGUGCUUUCUAGCCUUUUUUGGCAAUUUUCAACUCCUAGAAAUUGCUCAUUCUUUAUUUCUUAUUAUGUUGGAUCAGGUUAGGUGCAACUCCAACAUAAAUAAAACCAAUAGAAACAUGGAAAAAGCAGACAAAAAACGGGUAGUCAAACAAGCCACAUUUCAUCAUUUGUUAAUAAGCUUGGACUGGUGAGAACAAUCACAACCAUAUUCAAAACAAAAAUACAGUCAUUAUGAAACAAAAUGAGAAAUAACACCAUCUCGACAAUCUCAAACCAAACUAAAGAAAUAACAUGAAUGGCUAACAACAAUAAGCUUAUGAGCAACCCAAAAAUCAAUAGAAAAUGAAAGUAAAAUAGUGUAAAAAUGAGGGACACAAAGAUCACAGUGAUAGUAGGAAAUCUUCUCCCCGAGAAAGGUGUUGAUUACUACUCAAAAAGUGCUAUUUGAUAGCUUAUAAUUAAUCCUUUUAAACACUUUUGAGUAGUAGUUUUGGCCUUUUAACUCAAUUGGCAUGUUAAGGACCCUUGAAAGCAAUUUUAAUCACUUUGUGUAAGUUUUGGUGUUUUUGUUAGUAUUUUGAUCACCAAAGCAAUUCAAGUUUGAGGAGAAGUUAUGAGGAAUCUUGGGCAAAGCUUGGAAGUCAUUUGCCAAGAGUAAAUCUGGAGUGCAAGGAGAAAAAGUAAAGAGAAUCUGCCAUGAAGCAUAUUCUUGAUGACAGUCGUAGCAGCCACUUUUGGAGCACUUUCUGAAGUCCAAUUGAUGCAUGCUAUAUACCAUUUUAAAUCUCAGGAAGUAAAAAAUCCAAUGCUUCAAACGGUGCACAAUUCGGAGCUGAAACGAAGAAGUUGCAGCCAUUGCAAGACAAUCACUCCAAGCUGAAGGAAGCAUUUUGCAAAGUGUUGUGAAAUCACCCUUUUGUUGCGAAGUGAUUUCGCAGCCUUUUUGUACAGUAGGGUGUAUUUCCUUCUGAAGUUGCCUGAUAUAUGCCGCAAGCUGGGAGCUGAGAACCUCAAGGUGGAAGCCAACUUUGCAGCCCUACGAGAAUAGCCUUUUGCUGUGAAGUGAUUUCGCAGCCCUUCUUGAGUGUCUGCGAAAUCUCGCAGACACCAUUUUCUCUUGCGAAAUGGUUCCUGGAGCAUCCCGAUAUUUGCUACCGACAUUUGGAGAUAUUUUCUAUUAGAUUUUUGUUGUCUAAAUCCCAAAAUACUCCUUGUAAGCCACCAAUUACAAGAUUCCUUAGCUUUUAAGUUAGUAAAAAGAGAAUAUCUAUGUAAUAAUUAGUUUUAUAUUAUGUUCAUAUAAGUACCUCUCGGGAGCCUGUUCUCAGAGAAGGAGACCAUUUGAAAAGUUUUGGGAAAGCAAGUAAAGUUCAGUCCUUUGUAUUACCUUACCUUCUCACUUUGUAUUUUUAUUUUCCUACUAAGUUAUGAACUCUCUGAGGAAUUUCUCCCAGAGAAUGAGUAACUAAACCUUUAGUUCCUUGGAGCUAAGGUUGCCGGGGAAGGUUCUAAGUGCAAGAAUGCAAAGCUUUGUGGUUUCAGCCAUUAAUGAAGAGGAAGUGAAAUCCUUUAGUGAUUUCUAUGUUUUUAGUUAACUUAAAACACCUUAGAGUCACCUGGGCCAACACUUGGUAAGGCAAGUGAUUUCCAACCAUGGAAAUGCACUAGUUUACCCCCUGCGAGCCUCUGGGAGGUGACUUUAAGGUAGGAUUUUCUGGAAUUGCCAACACUUGGUAAGCUUUUGGACUCCAAGGAGACAUCCAUUAGUUAUCUCUUGCGAGCUUUUGAAGGGAAGUCCAAGGUUAAAGAUCAUCUUGAAUGGUAAGUGCUCGUGAGAGGCAUGAACCAUUGCAAGUUGCAUCAGUGAGAGAAUUAAAGCUGAAAUCUAAUUAAAGGAUGUAUCUGUACAACACCGGUUAGAGAAUUGACUAUAUGUUGAAUCUCUAACGCGAGGAAAUGAACCAUCUGACCGGAGCUAUGUCUUUUGCAUGAGGAACCACCCCAGUGAACCUAACUCUCCAAGGAAUGUUUUUCUUCCUAAGUUAUUCCCAUUACUUGUUUUGUUAGUUAGUUUAAAUCUAAAUCUUUGCCAAUCAAAGUUUGUGUUUUAUUUCUUAAGCUAACCUUGAAAUGAAACAAGACCAAUUCACUUUGAAUUGGUAUCAUUGAUAGUUUGUUAAUCCUUCCCAGUGAACGAUCCUAGAGCCACUAUAUUAUAGUAGCUUUUUCUUUGCUACCCUAGUAUAUGGUGUUAUAGGUUAUAAAUUUUGUUGAUUACUCCCUCAAACAAGGAGCACCAGCUGGACACGAAUCAGCUGGCACACCAAUUGGGCACGAAUCAGGUGUGUUUGUCUUCAAGCAUCCUCUCUUGUUUGCUUCCUCUUCUCUAUUUUUCCCACAAAACCUCCCUAGAAUACCCCCUAGUGGAGCGACUAUCAUUUUGUCCUCUAUGGAAAGUGCAGGUUGUCAAUAUUAUAAUUUCUCUCUCCACAACGUGUUAGUGCUUCAUUUUCCCAUAUAUGGUAGUCGUCUUUUUUGUUUAUUUCCUUAUAUAUAAAAAAUUAAAAAAUAAUCUAUUCGCAAUUCUCUUAUUUUUUAGCCAUGCUUGUGUUUUUUUAGAGAAAAUUAUCUACCUAAAAGAAUCUCAAUAAACUUCUUGUAUUGGUGCAUGAAUCCCCCAAGGCCUCAAAGUGGUAGCCUCUUCAAAUUUCAUUCAAAAUAAAACAAAAAAACUAAAAUAAAAAUUAUGUAAUUGAAAGUCUAAAAUCAAAAUUAAGCAAUUAAAAGUUAAUAAGCUAAUCACAAGCAAAUUUUCUAAAAUAUAGAUAUACAAAUAAAUAAAACAAACAAAAACUAUAAAUACAAAUUUUGAAUGUACAUAAUAAAAAAAAUGAAAAUAUAAAUUAAACUAAGGCAAUAGAUAAUAACAAAAAAAAAAAAAAAAUCUAAAUGUCAAACUUGAACCACUAAAAAUUGAAAAUUCAAAGUCAAGCAAUUUAACAAAAUCAAGCCAAAUACUAGCCUAAUUUUUAAAAAUAAUAAAAUAAAAUAAAAUAACAGUCAAAUUCAAGAAAAAAAAAGUCUAAGUGAAAUUAAGCCUAGAAAAGUAUCUACGUGAAAAAAUCUAAACUAAACUUGAGAGGCUACCAAGGUCAUAGUGUGGGUCUAGAUGAGUUCUAGAACCAAAGGUACUAAAGGUAGUUCAAAAAGAGUAAGUCGAGUGAGUGUCAAUGGACCACCAAGAGAUAACUACAAGGCAAAAUGAAAGUAUAAGAGGAACAUCUAGUAUUUACAUGUGCUAAAAGGAUAAAAUGGAAGGUCUACACCUGGCUCUCUCAAAUAAAAGGAGGGAAAAAAAGCCUAUUACAUGGCUUUCAGACAUUAGAAAGCUUCUUAUCCAAUUCCUUAUGCAUGUAAGACUUGAUAAAACAAAAAUUAACAAGAGAUUGGAAAAAGGAGUUUUUAAUCAUACAAAGAAUCAAAUAAAGGUUCUUGCAUUGCUAUAUGAGAGAGAAUUUCAUCAAGUGUGACUUUCUUUUUACUCUAGGGAAUUUGAUUCAACUCAUGUUUUUUAUUUUUUUAUUUAUGAUAGAUAAGUAAUUUUAUUCUCAUUAAUGUUUCCAUUCAAUAUUUAUCAUGAAUAUAUCUUGUAUUUUGAUGGAAAUGUGAUUACAUAUGAAGGCUUACACAUUUAAACUCAAAUUUUUGUGAAAUGUUUUACUUAAACCCAAUUUAGAGAUGAUUAAUGAUGCACUUUCCUACAAACAUUUCGAAAGGUUGGGAUCGAUCUUAACUCCAUCCAAAGACCAUUGAUACAAAGCCCUUGGAUUUUUUUAUUUUUUUUAAGUUAUUUGCUUAAGCAUAGCUGCUAUGAAACAAUACAGAAGAUUGAGAAAUUGAAAACAAUCAGUCAUCCUAGUAUUGUUAGGUAAUUGUUUCAUUUAAAAAUAAAAUAAAAUAAUGGAUAAUAUAUAUAGACCCUCAAUUUUUUCCCUUGAAACUUGCAUUUUAUCCUAUGGGUGUCACAUGCACCCAUGUUUUCAUAUGACCCUGCCAUGGCCCCCUUCUGGCCUUGAUCAGUUUCUAAGCCUUAUGUAGGUUCAUUUGCGAUCCAAUGUAGUGUGGGUGUGUAGUUCAUUUUGGAGUUCCGUCAUGACCAAUUUCCCUAGUUGUUCACAUCAUGCUAUAGGGAAGAAAGUAGGGGCCCCUAAAAAUUUCAGUUCAGUUGGAAUUCAUAGGAGUCGGUUCGAAUUCGGAGCACUUGGGCUGGUUUUGAUCAUAUCUCCCUCAUCCGAACUCGAAAUCGUGCACCAUUUUUUUUAUGGACUCCUUAUUCUUCAAGGAACAUUCUGUCAAAAUUUCAAAAAAAAAUUUCUCAACCGGCUUGACCGGUUCCCAAAAUUUCAGUUUAGGCAGAAUUCAUUGAAGCAGGUCCAAAUUCGGAGCACUUGGGCUUGUUUUGAUCAUAUCUCCCUCAUCUGACCUUAGAAUCGUGCACCAUUUUUUUGAUGACUCCUUAUUCUUCAAGGAACAUUCUGUCAAAAAUUCAAAAUUUUUCUCAACCGGCUCGAUCUGUUAGCAUCCGGUUCAUCGAGUCAGCUUGUAUGAAGCACUAAUUUUGGUGAUUUUGGAGCCCAAUUCCUACAUGGCUUGGGCCCAUGGGCUCCAGAUCAGUUUUGGGCUGUAUUUUGGAUCCAUUUUGGGCUUUAUUUUGGAUUCCUUGCAGCCCACAUGAAUCCAUAUGGAUCCUUGGUGGGGAAGCAAGUUGAAAGCUUAAGAUAGUCAGCUUGCAUGGAAAAUGAGGAGGGAAGUUAAUGGGGAAGCUGAUUCCGAGACUGACUAGAGCUCUUUCUAGAGCUUUAAGGAGAGAAAAAUGAAGAGGCUUUGAUGGCUGGAGGUCUGGGACUAUAAAAGAGGAAAAAAAAAAAUCAGAUUUAAAGAGACUUCUUCUUUUUCUAAGAGGGGGGACUUUGUCGAAUCGUGGGUGAGGAAUUUUAUAAGAGGUUUUUAGAGGGUUUCUUUUCGUGAGUGGUUUGAGGGAGUGGAGUGAAGAGGUCCUCAGACUUUUGGGGGGUCUCAGAUACAUUUGGAGAAGCUUUACAAGCUAAAGGAGCACCUCUCAAAGGCUGAUUCUUCAAGUACGUUUCUGGUUCAUCACAGAACUUUUGCUUGCAUUCGGUUCCUCUUUCUGAUCGUUUCAGAAUGCUUAAUACUUUAUUGAUUGGUGUGGACGAAAAGGGCCACAAAUUUUUAUGUUGAAAUUGGUUCUUUGUGUGUUUGUCAUGAUCUUCAUUUAGUUGAUGCCAUUGAUCUUGUUUGAUUUUGUUCAUGUUAAAAAUCUAUUUUGAAUCAUUCUCCCGUUUUAUAAACACAUUACCUUGUUUUGGCUGGUUCUCUCUCAUCUAGGCUCAUAAUUGAGCGCUAUUGCUUUUUUUGGAUUAUUUAUUCUUUGGGGAAUCUACUGUUAAAAUUUCAUAAAUUUUCUCAACCGGUUGAACUGGUUGGGAACCGGUUCAACAGGUCCUGCAUGUCCAGCCCUGUUUUAUAAAUGCGUUGCCUUGUUUUGACCGGUUCUCCCUCAUCCGGGGUCAGAAUUGAGCACCGUUGAUUUUUUUAGAUUUUUUAUUCUUUGUGGAAUCUACUGUUAAAAUUUCAGAAAUUUUCUCAACCGGUUGAACUAGUUGGAAACCGGUUCAACAGGUCUUGUAUGUCCAGCCCUAAUUUACAAACGCAUUGCCUUGUUUUGACCAGUUCUCCCUCAUUCGAGCUCAGAAUUGAGAUCCAUUGAUUUUUUUUUGGAUUCUUUAUUCUUUGGGAAAUAUAUUGUUAAAAUUUUAGAAUUUUUAUCAACCAGUUGUACUAGUUGGGAACCGAUUCAACAGGUCCUACAUGUCCAGCCCUAUUUUAUAAAUGCGUUGCCUUAUUUUGACCGGUUCUCCCUCAUCCGGGCUUGAAAUUGAGCUCCAUUGCUUUUUUUAGAUUCUUUGUUCUUUGGUGAAUCUACUGUUAAAAUUUCAAAAUUUUUCUCAACUGGUUGGGAAUCAGUUCAAUAGGUCCUGCAUGUCCAGCCUUGUUUUAUAAAUGCAUUCCCUUGUUUUAACCGGUUCUCCCUCAUCCGGGCUCAUAAUUGAGCGCCGUUGCUUUUUUUGGAUUAUUUGUUCUUUGGGAAAUCUACUGUUAAAAUUUCAAAAAUUUUCUCAAUCACUUGGACUGGUUGGGAACUGGUUCAACAAGUCCUGCAUGUCCAGCCCUGUUUUAUAAACGCAUUGCCUUGUUUUGGCCGGUUCUCCCUCAUCCAGGCUCGGAAUUGAGUGUCGUUGAUUUUUGUAGAUUCUUUAUUCUUUGGGGAAUCUACUGUUAAAAUUUCAAAAAUUUUUCUCAACCAGUCCAAUAGUCCCUGCAUGAUUAGCCAUGUUUUAGUAUGUUUUGACCCCUAUUUUUGUUAUGGCUUGAGCCCUUAGGCUCCAAGGCACUUGUGGGCCUCCUUUAGAGUUUAAAAUGGGCUCUAAACUGAAUUAGAAUAGACCCGCUUAAGAGCUAGAGGCAUUUUAGGUCAGGUAAGUUUGGUUUGAUUUGAUGUUGGAGAUUGGUGAAUUGUUGUUUGAGGGAAUGUGUAAGAAAAUAAAUAAUUGGGUGCCGUCAUUUCCAUUCACUUCCUUUUUAAGCGUGAAGUUUGAUGCUUGAUCACGAAUACCUACUACAUGGUUGUGUUUGUUGCCUCAUCUUUUCCUUGCAACGCAUGGCUGGGGACCAUAGGUAUGCACUUUGAUUUUUUGCUUGUUGAGUGUAUAUGCAUGCCGAAUACUAGCUAGGAUUGUAUGAUUCAUGUUAGUUGUUUAGCCUAAGGUUUGUUUGAUCUUUGACCCAUAUGCUCCCAUAUACCCAGUUCAUUAGUAGAGACCGAGUUUCGAGCUUAGAGGGGUACUAUCUCACAUGAGGUACCUUCCCGAUAGGUAACCUGAUCCUCGGACCCAGAAUCUAGUUUUCGCAGACCGCUUUUUCCUUACUGGAGUCAUGCUGGGGUUUUUGUUCUUACUUAAUUUUUUCCCAUUUAAAAAUAAAAAUAAAAAGUAAGUGGUGACUCCAAACAAAACAGUUCCUUACUGGGACAAAUUUUCAAAAAUCGAAAACCAGCUUUCCCUUUUACUUUAAAAAAAAAAAAUAGCAAGUCGCGCCGGUCGGUGGAUCGGGUGAGGGUCCACAAAUUGGCGACUCCAUUGGGGAUCGAACCCAGAAUCUCUAGUUUCAUAAGAGGAUCAAGCUUGAACUUGAAUUGGCUAUAUUGGAGCACAUGGUUCUCUGAUCAAUAGACUCUUAGGCUACAUAGAUGACUGAUGAUCACGUACUUGAUUAGUAUCUGGCUUGCACCUGUAAUGUGUUGAUGCUUGUGUGUCCACUUGAUUGGUUUUAGCAUGCUUGCUCAUUGUUGAUUGGUACUUAGUUAUGAGAUUUGGGAUUGGCAUAGAUGGUCAGAUUGUGUAUAGAUUUUGUGGUAGGUCUUGCCCUUUGCGCAUUACUGUUUGCUUCAUGGCUACCCUUUCUCUUGUAUGACUGUUUGUCGCUUGUGUUUGUGGGGCGCACUUGUAUUCCCUUAUUUCUGAAUUACUAGUCUUGGUCGACUAUUCCUCAUUGAUUGCUUGAGUUGUUUAGGUGUUAUUCCCAACUGUUUGCCUUCGACCAAGCUAGGGGUUUGGGAGUAGGGUCUAGCAUAGGGGUUAUAUCGAUGUUUGGGAGCACUAUGGAGAUGAUGGAUAUCCGAGCAAUGAAGAACUGUAUAGCCCUGAACUGGAUUUCAUGGAUACAUGUGUGGCCAGUGUGUCACUUUGAUUGUUGGUUAGGAUCAGAAGUUGCGUAUCCUUGUGGGUACAAUCAUCUAGCUUAUAGGACUUGCCUUUUUCCCAUUAUUAGCUUUUGAACCACCUUACCUCUAAGGUAUCACCAUGUUAGAGUCCCUCUCCUACCUGUGGAGCCAUAUGUCGGAUUAGCUGUUGACAUCACAUGUCAGCUCAUUCCUUUAGAGGAUUUAGUUGUAAGAUUGCAUUAUUGGAUUGAUAGUCACAGGGACUGACAUAUCGAUUUCCUUUUGUAGGAUUGUUGACCGAGACCGACUUGGGUUCUCGAGCUUGGAUCUGGAUCGGAGGUAGAUUGGUUAGAGGAUCAGAUCCACACAGUCAGUUAGAGCAGAUAUAAGAUCAUAGAGAUAUGGACCCCCAAUACACCACUGUUGACCAGUUGACUGAGAUUACAAAUACCAUGGCAUCACUCCGGGAUGCUAUAUUGGGAUUGGGUCAGAGGAUAGAUGGGCACCAGGGCCAGCCAUUGCCAGUUCCAGGGAGCACCCUGCUUGACUCUAUUGCACCUCCACCUCCACCACCGCCAUCUGGGCCUACUGUACAACAGGACUAUAUAGUUCCACCUCCGCCACCACCCCUAGUUCAGUCAGCCCCGCUGGCUGGGGCCUUUCUCUUACAUGGUCAGACUGAGACUAUGCCACAUUCUAUUGUGGCACCUGCAUAGAUUGUUGAUGACACUCAGGCCUGUAUCGAUAGGAUUGAGCAUAGGAUCAAAUCUUUGCAUGUUUCUGAUAGAGUCAUGGGUUGGGACAGAUAUGAUGACCUGCAUGUUGCAGCUUUGCCGGUUGAGUUCCGCAUGCAGGACAUUGAGAGAUACACUGAUUCAUUCCCAAUUGGUGUCUCAGCUGAUUCAUGUCCUCUCAAUGGUCCCUGACAGUGGUGCCAUUUGAUACGUGUCCAGCUGGUGUUCCUUGAUUGUGGUCCUCAGAAGGGAGUAAUCAACAAAAUUUAUAACCUAUUACACCAUGUACUAGGAUAGCCUUAGCUAGCAUAGCAUAGUGGCUGUAGGGUCGUUCACUGGGAUGGGUUUUCACUUCACAAUUGAUAUUAAUUCAAAGAUGAAUUGGUGUCUUUUCAUUUCAAGGUUAGCUUUAAAAGAAAACAUAAAGAUGUUUGAGUGAAAAAGGUUUGGGUUUAAACUAACCAAAAAUAGUAACUGAUUUUACUUACAAAGAAAAGUGUUUCUUGUAGUUUAGAUCACUGGGCUCAAAUUCCUUGAACAAAAAGGGAGUUCCGGUCACUUGUUUCUUUUCCUCGCAUUAGAGAAUUAACAUAUAGUUAAUUCUCUAACCGGUGCGGUACAAAUGCUUCCCCUUAAUGGGUUCAAACACUAAAUCCCUCUCACUGAUGCACCUUGCAAUGGCUCGUGCCUCUCACCUAGCAUUUGCCAUUCAAGGUGAUCCUUAACCUUGGAUUACCCAUCAAAAGCUCGCAAGAGAUAACUAAUGGAUGUCACCUUGGAGUCCAAAAGCUUACCAAGUGUUGGCUAUUCUAGAAAAUCCUACCUCUAAACCACUUCCCAAAGGCUCGCAAGAGAUAAACAAGUGCAUGUCAAUGGAUGGAGAUCACUUGCCUUACCAAGUGUUGGCCCAGGUGAUUUAAAGGCGUUUUAAGUUAACUAAAAAGAUAAAAACCAUUAACGGGUUACACUUUCUCUUCAUUAAAAACUAAAACAACAAAACUUCCAAUUUAUGCAUGUGGAAACUUACCCGGCUUUCUUCACUCCAAGAGACAAAGAGCUUAGCCUCUCAUCCUCUAAGGAAAAAUCCUUAGAGUUUGAUUAGCUAGAAAGAAAAAUAACGAGAAAACAAAAAUAUAUAUAUAUGAAGGAAAAACAGAGUAAGUGCUCUGUAAAAUAUAUAUCUUCCUCCCGCCGGAUUACAUGAUGAUUUGAGAAUGAUUCGUUCCCGAUUGGUGUCUCAGCUGAUUCAUGUCCAGCUAGUGUCCCUUGAUUUUGGUCCUUAGGGAGUAAUCAAAAAAAUUUAUAACCUAUUACACCAUGAACUAGGGUAGCAAAGACAAAGCUACUAUAGCAUAGUGGCUCCAGGAUCGUUCACUGAGAUGGGUUUUCACUUCACAAUUGAUAUUAAUUCAAAGAUGAUUUGGUGUCUUUUCAUUUCAAGGUUAGCUUUAAAAGAAAACAUAAAUUUUAGUUGAAAAAGGAUUGGUUUUAAGCUAACCAAAAAUAGUAACUGAUUUUAAUUAUAAAGAAAAGUGUUUCUUGGAGUUUAGAUCACUGGGCUCAGAUUCCUUGAACAAAAAGGGAGUUCCGGUCACUUGUGUCUUUUCCUCGCAUUAGAGAAUUAACAUAUAGUUAAUUCUCUAAUCGGUGCGAUACAAAUGCUUCCCCUUAAUAGGUUCAAACACUAAAUCCCUCUCACUGAUGCACCUUGCAAUGGCUCGUGCCUCUCACCUAGCAUUUGCCAUUCAAGGUGAUCUUUAACCUUGGAUUACCCGUCAAAAGCUCGUAAGAGAUAACUAAUGGAUGUCUCCGUGGAGUCCAAAAGCUUACCAAGUGUUUGCUAUUCUAGAAAGUCCUACCUUCAAACCACCUCCCAAAGGCUCGCAAGAGAUAAACUAGUGCAUUUCAAUGGAUGAAGAUCACUUGCCUUACCAAGUGUUGGCCUAGGUGAUUUAAAGGCGUUUAAGUUAACUAAAAAGAUAAAAACCAUUAAUGGGUCACACUUUCUCUUCAUUAAAAACUAAAACAACAAAACUUCCAAUUUAUGCAUGUGGAAACCUACCCGGCUUUCUUCACUCCAAGAGACAAAGAGCCUAGCCUCUCAUCCUCUGAGGAAAAAUCCUUAGAGUUUGAUUAGCUAGAAAGAAAAAUAAUGAGAAAACAAAAAUAUAUAUAAAAAUCAGAGCAAGUGCUCUGUAUUUUACUUCAUUCCAAAACUAUACAAAGGAUGCGUCUCUGAGAACAAAUUCCUGAGAUAUCCCAUUCUAAAGAAGAUUACAAACUAUAUAUAAGAGGUUAUUCACCCCUUUGUUCUUACUUAAAGACUAAGGAAUCCUAUGAUAGGUGGGUUACAAGGAGAGUUUGGGGAUCAAAUAUCUAAAGAAAAAUAUCUAAAGAAAAAUAUCUCAAAAUGUCGGUUGCACAUAUCGGGAAGCUUCAGGAGAACACCGUGGCACUGUGCAAAAUGGCUGCGAAACUCUCCGGGUAAGCGCUAUCGGAGGAUCCGGAUAUGUCUGACCAGGGAAGUUGAAAUGCCCUCAUUUCCCAUCUGGCGUCAGGCGUCGGAUGUGAAAUAUCCGGCAAAGGUGGAACGUCACCCGGACAGAAUUCCGGAUGUGGGAUAUCCGGAGAAGAUGGAACGUCGCAAGGGUGACCGUCUGCAUGUGCAUGGUGUAGGGACCCCUCCCCCUGAUGACAUGGAGCGCGCAUCACUAUCCGGAGCAACUCCAUCCGGAUUCCCCAAGAGGACACGCGACACGCUCCCCUAUCCGAACUGCCUCAGGGAGAAGCACACGGUACUCGCGAUCAUCACACCUGGACGAUAGCAUAUCCUAUCCAGAUAUGUUGUCCGGAUAAUUGACUAAAGUGCACAAGCCUUGCUACGUCAUUCCGACAGCCUGCCAUAACCCACGUUUUGCCGCUUUCCGAUGGUGUGUCCGGAUUUGCUUAUGGCAAAGGACUUCAAAGCUUCGGCUCUUCAUGUUUCUGAGCUCUUCAUUGCUUUGCCAUGGAUUCCUAAGAACUCUCCUCAAUCUUGGAUUGCUUUGGUGAUCAAAAAGCUAUCAAAACACUAAAGCUUAACACAAUUUGAUUAGAACUGAUUGCAAGGGUCCUUAAUAUGUUAAUUGGGUUAAAAGGUGAUAAGUACUACUCAAAAGUGUUUAAAAGAGUUAAUUACAAACUAUGAAAUAACACUUUUUGAGUAGUAAUCAGAGAACAAGCUCCCGACUCUUUUUUUUCUAAAGAAGAUUACAAACUAUAUAUAAGGGGUUAUUCACCCUUUGUUCUUACUUAAAGACUAAGGAAUCCUAUGAUAGGUGGGUUACAAGGAGACUUUGGGGAUUUAGACAUCAAAUAUCUAAAGAAAAAUAUCUCAAAAUGUCGGUCGUACAUAUCGGGAAGCUUCAGGAUAACACCGCGGCACUGUGCAAAAUGACUGCGAAACUCUCUGGGUAAGCGCUAUCAGAGGAUCUGGAUAUGUUUGACCGGGAAAGUUGAAACGCCCUCCUUUCCCAUCUGGCGUCAGGCGCCGGAUGUGAAAUAUCCGAAGAAGGUGGAGCGUCGGCCGGAUAGAAUUCCGGAUGUGGGAUAUCCGGAGAAGAUGGAACAUCGCAAAGGUGACUGUCUGCGUGUGCAUGGUGUAGGGACCCCUCCCCCUGGUGACAUGGAGCGCGCAUCGCUAUCCAGAGCAACUCCAUCCGGAUUCCCUAAGAGGACAUGUGGCACGCUCCCCUAUCCGGACUCCCUUAGGGAGAAGCACACGGCACUCGCGAUCAUCUCACCCCGGACGAUAGCAUAUCCUAUCCGGAUAUGUUGUCCGGAUCAUUGACUAAAGUGCACAAGCCUUGCUACGUCAUUCCGACAGCCUACCACAGCUCACGUUCCACCGCCCUCCGAUGGUGUGUCCCGAUUUGCUUAUGGCAAAGGACUUCAAAGCUUCGGUUCUUCAUGUUUCUGAGCUUUCCAUUGCUUUACCAUGGAUUCCAAAGAACUCUCCUCAAUCUUGGAUUGCUUUGGUGAUCAAAAAGCUAUCAAAACACCAAAGCUUAACAUAAUUUGAUUAGAAUUGAUUGCAAGGGUUCUUAAUAUGUUAAUUGGGUUAAAAGGGGAUAACUACUACUCAAAAGUGUUUAAAAGAGUUAAUUACAAGCUAUGAAAUAGCACUUUUUGAGUAGUAAUCAUACACGAGGAUCAGGUGCCCCUGUAUUCACUUGCAGUUGUACAGUGCUGUCAUGCGCAGGCAUAGAUUGGAUGAGGCACAGAUGAUUAUGUUAUUCUUUCUAUCUCUGAGUGGUGCUUCUCAGCGUUGGUUUGCCUCAUUGGACCCUUUGAGGCGUAGGACAUGGGCUGAUUUGGCACAAGAGUUUCUUAUACAGUAUUCUUUUAAUACUGUAGUGGAUGUAUCCCAAAGGGAGCUAGAGGCCCUCAAGCAGAGGCCAGAUGAGUCAGUUACUUCAUUCAUCUCCCAUUGGAGGGAGAAGAUAGCACAGAUUAUAGAUAGGCCCUUCGAGUGUGAUCAGAUCAGCAUGAUUAUGCGUAGUUUUCAACCCCGCUUUGCCAGGAACCUCAUGGGCUUUCCAUGGACAGACUUUUGAUCAUUGGUUCAGGCCCUCUAUGGCAUUGAGGAGGGCAUAACUAGAGGAUUAUGGGUAGACUCUUCCCUUUCGGACUCAAAGGGGAAGAAUCCGGGGUUAGGAUAUAGGCUUUCAAAUGUUGGUACCAUUGGCAUGACAGGGCACAAGUCCCCUCGUCGCCCUUCUUCUCAGAGAUAGUUUUUAGACACUUCUUACCAGAUGUGUAGACCCUUAAUUUUGUCCCAUUAGCACAUGUCUUUAAAUUCAUUUUUUAAUGCUCCAUAGUAACUCCUUGGUGGCCCAUUACUACUCAUACGGCUUACCUUUUUCUGAGUCACCUCGGAGACUUCGGUUGAGGGAUUAUCUGACCCCUUAUUGUGACUCUUGGCAGCCCUAAUUUAGACUUAGGCUUUUUCGUUCGUUUUUAGGAUAGCUUUUAGGUACACUUGGCCCAUUAGGCACCGCUCUAGGCCCAUUUAGACACACUUGGCCCAAUAGGCACUUUUAAACUCACUUUUUGUAUGACUUGCAUGGCCCGCAUAAGAUUGACUAUUUUAUUCAAUUAUUUUGUUUUACUUUAUUUAUUUUUAUUUUAUUUAAAUCUUUGAUAGGUUGUAAGAUUGCUACUUUUUUUGUUUUUAUUCUCUCUAUUUUCAUUUUUAUUGUUUGAUAAGAGAAUAGGGGCUGCUAUUCAACUCUCACUAAGGUAUGUGCACUAAAAAAGGUAAGAGAAAUAUUUUGCUAGGAAAAGGAAUUAAUGUGGCUGCAUAUAUAUGGAAAGAGAAGAUCCUGCAUGAGAAUAGAGGAACAUCCUGAUUUUUGAAAAAAUGAAGGGAAAUAGAAGAAAGGAAAGUGGAUUCUCUUGAGCAGAUUGAGUUUGAGAGGCUGAUACGAAUAUAAGGAUUUUUUUUAAGAAGCCUUCAGGGAGGACACGCAUAGAGAGGGGGAAGAUUAGAGGAUUUUUGGACAAAGAGAGGUUUUAGAGGAGGUUCGGAUGAGAGGAUCAUCUUGAAGAGAGAUAUAUGUGGACCCCGCAUUUCGGCUCAAUGCGUUUCCCACUCGAUGGUGAGCUCGAUUUUGAUUUUGAAAAAAAUGAUUUAAUCGGUUAAAAAAAUGAGUUGGAGUCGCCACUUAUUUUUGUUUUAUUUUUUAAAGGGUAAACAAAAUAAGAAAGAAAACCCUAAGUGUGACUCCUUAUUUGGAAAAGGUGAUCUGCGAAAAACUGGAUCGGGUUCGGGGGUCAGGUUACUUAUCAGGAAGGUACGAUAAAGACCGUAGCACCCCUCUAAGUCCCUAAGACGGGUCUCUACUAAUAAAAUGAAGCAAUCGUGACAUCUAAUAAGGAAAAUAAUGAAUACCCGAAACUAUCAUGCACAUAUGAGAAUCAAAACAUACAUAGAUAAUAACCAAAGUGGAAGUGGAUGCGUACCUGAGUGAGGACCCACAAUAAGCUAUCAAAAAGUGAGGUUAGUGCACAAUUAAGAAUAAUUUCGAGCAUGUCAUAAAGCAGGAUAAAUCAAAUGUGAAUAACAAUCAAAUCAAACAAUCAAUCAAUUAAUCGAUCAAUCACAUAUGUGGGGCCCCCACCAAAGCCCGUUUUAUUUUGCCUAAAUCAAUUCUAAUAACUCCAUUGUUCGGAAUUACAGAAUUUGAUUCCUUGCUUAUUUCAAAACAUUUUAAAAAUAGAGGAAGUAUGAAAAAAUUGCUUGCCAGAAAUAAAAGUGGCAGCAAAGCUUUAUUAAAAAUGUGAUUUUGGAACCUAAAGAAAAUGCUCUAAGGAUGAAGAAAAAGGUGGAACGUCGGCCGGACAGAAUUCCGGAUGCGAGAUAUCUGGGGAAGGUUGAACGUCAGCCAGACAGAAUUCCGGAUGUGAGAUAUCCAGAGAAGGUGAAACAUUGCGGAGAAGAAUUCCGGAUGUGAGAUAUCCGGGUGGAAUGUCGGCGGGGAAGAGUUCCGGAUGUGGGAUAUCCGAGUGGAAUGUUGGCGGAGAAGAAGUCCAGGUGUGAAAUAUCCGGAUGAAAUAUCGGCGGAGAAGAAUUUCGGAUGUGAAACAUCCGGAUGGAAUGGCGGCGGAGAAGAAUUCCGGAUGUGAGAUAUCCGGGUGGAAUGAGCUAUGCUGCGCAUCGCAAGGGGGACCUUUUGCGUGUCCAAGGGAGAAGGAGCCACGCGACAAUUUUUAGGGAGGAUCCCACAAGUAGGUGAAAGUUUAGAGAGAAAAACGGGUUUGGUGGGUUGUAUGGAUAUGGAGGCUUGGGUGAGUGGUUUUAAUGGGUAUGCGAAAGAGUGAAGGAUAGUGAUUACUACCAAAAAGUGCUAUUUUGUAGACCUAAUUAUAAUGGUUUUAAGCACCUUUGAGUAGUAAUCAUAUUCAUUUAACCCAAUUAAUUCAUUAAGGUCCUUAGUAAUUGGUUUUAACCAUUUUGUGGCAAGUUUACAUGUUUUUAUCAGCUUAUGAAUCAAUUCAAGCAUGCCAAAUGAUGGAGGAGCUACUUGGACAAGUUAUGGCAAAGCUUUUGGAAGCUCAAAUUCAUGAAGAACCAAGCUUUGGAGCUCCAUAGCCCUUUGCCAAAGUCGUUCAAAGUAUGCAAGUAAAGAACAAUGGAGAAGAGGAAAGCAAAGUGAAAAAAUCAGAGGACAGCAGCUGCAGUCUUAUUUCACACUUUUGGAGCACUUCCAGAAGUCCAUUUUAUACAUGCUAUAUACCAUUUCAAAUCUCAGGAAGUCAAGAAUCCAAUGCUUCAAACCGUGUACGAUUUGGAGCUGAAAUAAGGAAGAUAUGGCCUUCGGAAGCCAACCGCUCCAGGCUUGUGCGAAAAUUUCGCACGACACCUUGUGUUGUGCGAAAUUCGCACAACACCUUCAAAAUUCGCACAACCCAUGCGUGGUGCGAAUUUUGCUCUGUUUUUGCCGACUCCACUUUAGAUAUUUUCUUAUGUAUUUUUGGAUGUAAUUUCCUUUCUUAUCCUUGUAACUAACCAAUCACAAGCUUUUGCUUUUGUAAAGACUAUAUAAGGGGUGGAAAUCACCUCUUGGAAGAUAGAGAACAUGCGUGUUACGUUUUAGAGGGAGUGAUAUACAGAGCUCUCUCGUCUCUCUUUUCUCUUUACUAUUUUAUUUUCUUGGAAGCCAAACAGCCUCUGAGGGCUUUUCCUCAAAGGAUGAUUGGCUAAAACUUUUAGUUUCUCAAAGUAUGGAUGUUAUGUGAUGGCUUGGAUGCAAUCCCAUGGAAAUUUCUCGCACCCGGAAGGUAAGGUAGUCAUUUUUCAUUAAUGGUUCAUUAAUGCAAAGUUUGGUUUUUAUUUCCUUUGGACAACUUCCAACAGCCAAUACUUGAUAAGCUUUUGGAUUUCUAUCCAUUAGUUAUCUCCUACGAGCUAUUGGAAGGUGAGGUUUUCAAUUCCAAGUUUUGCAUUAAUCCAUUAGAACCAAUUUCAAUGGCCAUUGAAAGGUGAGUUUAUCACCUGGAAUGACUUUGAGUUGCCAAUAUUUGGUAAGCUUUUGGCUUUAGACCAUUAGUUAUCUCUUACGAGCCAUUCAAAGGAAGUCUAAGGUGAAUAACCAUUGAUGAAAUUCACUACCAUCUGUUUUGCCAUUUUAAAGGAUUAAAACUUGAUUUGCUAAAUCCAUACCGGUUCAGGAAGCAAGCAUCACCAUAGUUGCAACCCCAACGCGAGGAGCCUAUCCUGAGAUUUCCAAUUUGCAUAAGAGCCAGAGCAUAGCUAUCAUAUCGUUGAGAAACUUGUUUUUACACCCUUUCAUUUUAGUCUUUAAUGUUAGCUUAGAUUAGUUUAAAUCUUUCUAAAACAUUUACAUCUUCUUUUAAAGCUAAAAUCCAUAAGAAAAUCACCUAUUUUCCUAAUUUGAAUAUCACUUGUGUUUGCGAAAACCCUUCCAAGUGAACGAUCCUAGAACCACUAUGCUAUAGUAGCUUGGCUACUUUAGUAAUAGUAUUUAAGGUAUAAAUUUUGUUGAUACGCCUUUAAAGCUAAGCUACCAUGAGUUGCAUCAAAUGGCGCCGUUGCCGGGGAAGGUGCCACAAGCACAGUGAAGCAACCAUUAAGGGUAACUUGUGAUCUUCAUCACAAGUUUGGUGAGUUUUCUUAUAAUUUUUUUUUAGUUUAGUUUUUAUUUAGUUAAUUUUUUUUUAUUAUUCUCUUUUCUUUUAUUUUUGUUUUAAUUUCAAUUUGUGCAUUCCUUGUUGGAUUCGAGACCAAGAGGGAACCCUGGUACAAGUUGAAGAAAAGAGCCUUAGUUGAAUAUCAUUUUUUUUAGAAAUGGAAAUUCCACAUGAAGAUCAAAGCUCUCAUUAUGAUCAUGAGAAGGACAAAUUUGCCUACUUAUCCAUGAGGGAUCGGAUUGAAUUAGGGAAAAGGCAAGUUCAACAAAGCCAAUGGGGUAGUAAGUAUGCUUUGAAUGAAGAUGAUUCAUAUGAGCAUACGGUAGGGGAGUGCCCUACCAUUCCAACUGUGAGAGACAUGUACGGUUACCAAAGCUCCUACACCUCAAGUUGGAAUAACCAUCCCAACCUUACAACCCAACCUCAACCUCAACCAUCAAUGAGUACAUCUUCAUUGGAGCAAGCCAUUUUGAAGAUAAGCAAAGUCAUGGAGGACUUUGUAGGUGAGCAACAAAAGAUCAACUCUCAACUUAAUGAAAAGAUUGAUAAUUUGGAGAGUUCAAUAAAUGUAAGAAUGGAGGGGGUUUAUAAUGAUCUAUCACUAAGGAUAGAAAAAGUUCAAGACUCCAUUGAGAAGCUCACCAAUCUCGACAUAGCAAGGGAGAAAAGGAAGCUUCCUCCUCAACCCCACCAUAACCUUCAAGGAACCAAUGCAAAAAGAUCAAGGAAAGUGUUGAAGAUCGACACUUUGGUAGGGGAUUGCUAUGACAACUCUAUGGACCAACCUUCCAUUGAAAAUCAUAAGGUUCAAGAUGACAAAGGGUUACCUGAACCCUUUAAAGCAUCCACUUCUCCAGGGAAGAGAAGAGAAAUGAAUUCCCUUGGACCAAAUGGGAAGGAUGCCAAUUUUGUUUGGGAUCCAGGGGGAAUUCAGCAUGAAGUGGGUGUGUGAGUGAGGAUGAGCUAAAUAGUUCAUCUUCUUUUUGGGGUACAUGCUAUCAGCUUCAUUUAAAUUCUAUGUUUUCUUUAAAUUUAUGCAUGUUUUAGUUUGAAUUCUUAGCUUUAAUUUAGUUUUAAUAUAUUUUUAAGAUGAGUUUUGAAGUGUUCAUGCAGGUAUGAUGCUUGCAAAAAUCGAAGUUAUGGUGAAAACAAGGGAAAAUAGGGGAGAAAAGCCAAAACAGAGCAAUUCGCACCACCCCAUUUCGCCAACUGUUGGGCCCAUUUCGAUCACUUCAUGAAGUUCAUUUCAUGCGUAAUAUAUCUCGUUUCAAAUCUUGGGAAGUCAGGAGUCCAUAGGUUCAAACGGUGCUCGAUUUGGAGUUGAAACGAAGAAGUUAUGGCUGUUUGAAGACGACUGUGCAAAGCUGAACGGGAAUGUUGCAGCCGCACCCCAUUUUGCUACUGUUGGAAUCGUUUUUGGAGCACUUUCUGGAGCUCAAAUUAUGCAUACCAUAUCUCUUUUUGAAGCUUAGGAAGUCAGGAGUCCAGUGCUUCAAACGGUGUGCGAUUUGGAUUUGAAACGAAGAAGUUAUGGCCAUUUGAAAGAAUCCAAUUUUGCAUUUGAGCGGGUGAAUAGUGCCUUGUGCGAAAUUUUCGCACAACAUAUUGUGUUGUGCGAAACUUGCACAACACCCCUUUUGUGCGAAUUUUUAAGCUUCCCCUGUUUUAGCCAAAAAUCUCCAAUUUUAACACCCCUGCAAGCUACAUUCAAAUGUCAUUGCAACUUAUAUCAGUAUACCAUCAUGGCAUGGACCCUUUGAGCCUUGUCCUCAGCUGCUCAAAGUGGGGCCCACUCAUCAUUUUUGUAAAUAUUUAGUAUAAAUUCCUCUCUCAUUCAAUUUUUGAAUCUUGAAACAGGUGGUUCAACCUUCUCAACUCCAAGUCCACAUCACAUGAGGUACCACUUCCUUUCUCCUUAUUUUCGAUUCAAACAUUGAGGACAAUGUUCAUCUCGGUUGGGGGGAGAGAUGAGGAAGUAAGUAUUAGUUUAAAUUUUUAUCAUACUUAGUUAAAUUAGCUACUUUUUGUUUAAAUUUAAAAAUUUUUGCUUUAAACUCCAUGGAUAUUAAGGAUUAACUCUCAAAAUUAAAUGAGAGAAGUCGAGUUUCAACUUGAUUACAUGAGUCUUAGAGUUUUUAUUAUGCUCUUCUAAAAGUUGAUGAAUUGUUGAAACUCCCAUUGCAUGCAAACUUAUCUCUCCCACCUUAAGCUAUUCGCACACACAUACAAUAGGUUCCGAUUAUAAGAUGAAAAACUAUUUCCCUCUUGACUUAGGAAAAUUUUAGACUUGGUACCUUUGACCUCAUUUAAUAGUGUUGGGACACCUUGUAAAAGGCCAAUAAGUCUUUGAAAAAAAAUAAAGAAAGAAAGAAAAAUGUUUACUUGCCUUGAAACCCGAGCAAGGUCUAAGGGGUAUAUGGUGAAAAUCUUUAAAACCUGGUGCCCUAAGCCUUAAUUGGUUGGGAGCCACCGACCUCAAUGCUCGUUACAAGGGUGAAUAGGUGGAGUUUAACAUGUUGUAGGUGCUUGGGUAUUAAAAAUCAUUCUCAAAAGUCCGGGGUAAAAUCCGAGGAGUUAGUGGUUGAAAGAUCCUUAAAGCUUGAUUCCCUAAACCUUAAUUGGUUGGGAGUCAUCGAUGGACCCCCGUUACAUGGACAAUUUAGAAAAGAAUGCCUUUAAGCUUUGCACUCCUACAAGAAAAAAUUGUGAAAGAAAAGAGGUGCGUUCUUAGCCUAUUGGAGGUUGAUUAGUUUGCUAAGCUUUGAAAAGAACUAGGUUGAGGGGAGAGAUUAGUUUGACAUACUAUAUCCGGAAACUAAUAAAUAACACUUAGAUUUUAGUGGAAGAAUUUGAUUUGGAUCUUUUGAGAGUGGAAAUUCUUUUGAUGCUUAAACUUGCAUAAUAUCCAUUCUUUGUACUCUAUGAUCAAGUGAACACUUUGACAACUCUUAUUAUAGGUUGAGUUUCACAUCUUUAUUGAUCCAUGGAUAUCCAUCAUGCCACUCAUAUCAUUUUUUGGAGUGAUUUGCAUGAUCCCUUUUAUGUAUAUUAUUAUAGUUUACUUAGUUUUUAUCUCCUCCAUUGCUAAGGGACUAGCAAUGAGUCGGUUGGGGGGUGUGAUUACUACCAAAAAGUGCUAUUUUGUAGACCUAAUUAUAAUGGUUUUAAGCACCUUUGAGUAGUAAUCAUAUUCAUUUAACCCAAUUAAUUCAUUAAGGUCCUUAGUAAUUGGUUUUACCCAUUUUGUGGCAAGUUUACAUGUUUUUAUCAGCUUAUGAAUCAAUUCAAGCAUGCCAAAUGAUGGAGGAGCUACUUGGACAAGUUAUGGCAAAGCUUUUGGAAGCUCAAAUUCAUGAAGAACCAAGCUUUGGAGCUCCAUAGCCCUUUGCCAAAGUUGUUCAAAGUAUGCAAGUAAAGAACAAUGGAGAAGAGGAAAGCAAAGUGAAAAAAUCAGAGGACAGCAGCUGCAGUCUUCUUUCGCACUUUUGGAGAACUUACCGAAGUCCAUUUUCUACAUGCUAUAUACCAUUUCAAAGCUCAGGAAGUCAAAAAUCCAACGCUUCAAACCGUGUACGAUUUGGAGCUGAAAUAAGGAAGAUAUGGCCUUCGGAAGCCAACCGCUCCAGGCUUGUACUAAAAUUUCACACGACACCUUGUGUUGUGUGAAAUUCGCACAACACCUUCAAAAUUCGCACAGCCCAUGCGUGGUGCGAAUUUUGCUCUGUUUUUGCCGACUCCACUUUAGAUAUUUUCUUAUGUAUUUUUGGAUGUAAUUUCCUUUCUUAUCCUUGUAACUAACCAAUCACAAGCUUUUGCUUUUGUAAAGACUAUAUAAGGGGUGGAAAUCACCUCUUGGAAGAUAGAGAACAUGCGUGUUACGUUUUAGAGGGAGUGAUAUACAGAGCUCUCUCGUCUCUCUUUUCUCUUUACUAUUUUAUUUUCUUGGAAGCCAAACAGCCUCUGAGGGCUUUUCCUCAAAGGAUGAUUGGCUAAAACUUUUAGUUUCUCAAAGUAUGGAUGUUAUGUGAUGGCUUGGAUGCAAUCCCAUGGAAAUUUCUCGCACCCGGAAGGUAAGGUAGUCGUUUUUCAUUAAUGGUUCAUUAAUGCAAAGUUUGGUUUUUAUUUCCUUUGGACAACUUCCAACGGCCAAUACUUGAUAAGCUUUUGGAUUUCUAUCCAUUAGUUAUCUCCUACGAGCUAUUGGAAGGUGAGGUUUUUAAUUCCAAGUUUNNNNNNNNNNNNNNNNNNNNNNNNNNNNNNNNNNNNNNNNNNNNNNNNNNNNNNNNNNNNNNNNNNNNNNNNNNNNNNNNNNNNNNNNNNNNNNNNNNNNUCGGGAAGCAAGCAUCACCAUAGUUGCAACCCCAACGCGAGGAGCCUAUCCUGAGAUUUCCAAUUUGCAUAAGAGCCAAAGCACAGCUAUCCUAUCUUUGAGAAACUUGUUUUUACACCCUUUCAUUUUAGUCUUUAAUGUUAGCUUAGAUUAGUUUAAAUCUUUCUAAAACAUUUACAUCUUCUUUUAAAGCUAACAUCCAUAAGAAAAUCACCUAUUUUCCUAAUUUGAAUAUCACUUGUGUUUGCGAAAACCCUUCCCAGUGAACGAUCCUAGAACCACUAUGCUAUAGUAGCUUGGCUACUUUAGUAAUAGUAUUUAAGGUAUAAAUUUUGUUGAUACGCCUUUAAAGCUAAGCUACCAUGAGUCGAAUAAGAUAGCAUGCACCUGUGAGACUCCAUGUAAGUGGGGGAGUGGGAUGGAGAAUGAAUGAGAGGAAAAUGGGUGCAGUGGAGGAUGCCUGAUUCCUGCAAGCUUGAGUGAGGAAAUGGGUACGACGACCUAGAGAGAGAGGUGUAUAGAUGAACGAUGGGUAUGGUGGAUAAAGGAAAAAAAACAUGGGGAUGAGAUGACGACACGCUUGCAUGGGAAUAGAGAUAACAGGAUAGCAACAAGAAAAAGAAUAGGAAGACUUUAACCAGCAUAUUGGACCCAUUUCAUCGUUUCAUCCAUGGGUCCAACAUCUAGUGAGUUACGAUGGAAAAUACUCGUCAGAAUAGGGCAUAAAACACAGCAAACUUUUCCAAUAUUUAAUCAGUGAUCACCAAAACAGAACAACCCAACAAGCAGACAUGAAAAAUCACUGACAAUCAGACCUGGACAGUAUGGAAAAAAAAUGGAAAAUAUACACAAAAAACAAAUGGUUAUACCUAGAAAUCUCCCUUCUCAGCUCCGUAUCCUGGACUCUUCCCAGCAACUCUACGCACCUCUGUUCUUAGCUUCUUACUCAGUUUCCCUCAUACUCUUUCCCUCAAAACUCUCAGAAAAACUCCUCUCGUUUUUUUUUUCCCUCUUUUUCUUCCAAAAAACCUCCCUCUCCUGGAUUUGCCUUCCCCUUCUCUUCUGUAUCUCGGAUUUGCCUUCCCAACGAUCUCUGCUGCAGCCACCUUUCUGUCUCAUUCCUUCUGUAGCCACCUUUUCUUCUGCAGCCACCUUUUUUUCCUGCGGGACCCCUCCAGAAAGUUCCUCCACGUGUCAAAGUCCUACUGCAGCUUCAAAAAGCGAGGUUGAUUCUUUAUGGCCACUAAGGAUGUGACACGUGGCUCGCUGGGAUAGUGACACCUAGCUAAAAAUGUGAUCUGCAAAAACAAAUAGAGAAAAAGUGACCCAUGCCUAAAUGAGGGUCUACAAUAUAGAAGAGAGGGACUUAGGACAUGCAUAGAUUGGGAGGAUUCUGAGGAUUUUUGGGAGUGAAGAACAGAGGAAACGGGAAAAAGAGCAAUUGCAACCAAGGCUAUCCAGGUACGCUUUUCGUUACUCUUGGAAUUUUUUCCCAUGUUCGAUUUUUCAGCGUGUUUGUUCAUAUUUAUUGUAUUGUUGAUUUUGUGUGGACGGAAAGGGCCACAAAUUGUUUUGUUGAUGUUGGUUGCUUAUUUAUUUUUGUCCUUAAUCUGUUUGUGAUCUUCCCAAUUAGCCUAAGCCCAUUGAAAAAUCAUGAGAUGUGGUUUUAUCUUAUUUUGAUCUCUCAUGCUUGUUCCCCCUUGCUUCUCUUUAUUCUCUAUCAUACUCGUUUUGUUUUUCUUCCUACCCGUCCUAUGGCCAUCAACUCUUCAUAUGGGUGUGACUCCAAAGCUUGGGCAUGCAAUCACGAGAUUCAGCAAAGCGAUCAGCCCUUUCAAAAUUCUGGCUAGACAUGCCAUAUUGUGGGUUCAUAUAAGAGAAAGCCCAUGAUAGUUGCCAUUCUUUUCCUGUUAAUGGUUUUGUUCUAUUGUAAAAACUGCUGUCACAAUACAAGACCCAGAGGAGAUUAUUCCAAAUAGUCAUGUCUAAGUGGCUUGUCAGCUGUUUAUGCACUUGUUAAGGUUGGUGGCAGUCAUGUAAAUUUGUGGAUUUAUAUGGAGAUCAGAGAUAUGGCUUUUCGGAAUUCCACCAGUUCAGGGUGUAUACAUUGAGGGCAAAUUGAGGAGCACGAGGGUUGUUUGAAGAAAUGCCAAUGAGAAGGAAUGUGGUUUUCCAGUCUACAAUGAUAAAUAUGUAUGAGAAAGAAAGAGAUUUUGUGGAGAUGUUAAGUUUGUUUUCCGAAUGUCUCACAGUCGCAAUUCCAUCCGGCCGACAUCCCAGUUCCACCCGGAUAUCUCACAGCCGCAAUUCCAUCUGGCCGACAUCCCACUUCCACCCGGAUAUCUCAGCCGCAAUUCUAUCCGGCCGACAUCCCACUUCCACCCUGAUAUCUCACAGCCGCAAUUCUAUCCGGCAGACGUUCCACCUUCUCCGGAUAUUUCAAAUCCGGCGACUGCCGCCGGAUGGGAGAUGAUUACUACCCAAAAAGUGCUAUUUUACACCUUUAAUUCAUUACGUUUUAAGCACUUUUGUGUAGUAGUUCUCCAUUUUUAUUCCAAUUGGCAUGUUAAGGACCUAGCAAUGACUUCUAAUCAUAUUUGUGGCUAGUUUUAGUGUUUUGACAACUUUUUGGAUCAUUAAGACAAGCCAAGUAAAGGAGAGAAGCAAAGAGGAAAAACAAACAAAAUGAAGAAAACAGAGGACAGCAGCUGCAGUCUUCCUUCGCACUUUUGGAGCACUUACCAAAGUCCAUUUUCUACAUGCUAUAUACCAUUUCAAAGCUCAGGAAGUCAAGAAUCUAACGCUUCAAACUGUAUACGAUUUGAAGCUGAAAUGAGGAAGAUAUGGCCUUCGGAAGAUAACUGCUCCAGGCUUGUGCGAAAUUUGCACAAUAGGAGAGGAGGACGAUUCAACUUCCCCGGGUAGACAUGUCUGGAUCCUUCGAUAACGCUUAUCCGGAUAGCAUCUGUGGCCAACGAUUCUCACUCCACCUGGAUAGCUUGGCUCGUCAGAUACUCACGAUUCGCCGGAUCCAUUUCCGCCUACAAUCAAAAAGCAAACUCCGACAAUACUGCUGAACCAAGUCUCGGUUGUGGGAAAUAACACAAAAUGCAGGAAAUACAACAAUGCAGUAAAUUGGAAAUUUUGAACCUUCAAUUCAGUAUUUGACUUUUGUUGAGGAGAAUCCAAUUGAGCUUACAAAUCAAGAUGUCUUUUAAGUUGAAGCAUUUGACAGUUGAACACUCUUGCAGUGAAUUGGUCUCUUUUAUCCAGAAUUUCCUGGCUUCACUUCAUGGCAACCUUGCUAUACACACCUUCUCCUCUAUUUGCUUCUUUGAUUGGGAACUUAUUGUUUUAAAUUGAAUUUUUGAACCAUUGUUCAACUAAACAUUCCCGGCUUUGAAAAAUUCAUCUUAGGUCCUUUCUAGGUAUAAAAUCCAUAUUCUAACACACUCUUGCUACCAUUUUCCUUCUGGCAUGCAUUUUCACUAUUUUAUUUGAUUUUCAACCGAUUUUCUUGAUUUUUCUCGAUUUUCUUAAGCAUGAACAAACUUCAUGAUUCCAAACAAUGGAAUUCAUUGAAUCAAUUCAUGCAAAAGUAAUAUGGACUUUGGUGGGGGGGUCCUACAUUCUUGAUAUCUCCACUACUAUUGAUUUUAAAGAUGAUUGUUUGGUAUUUAAUUGAUUUCGAUUCCUCUUGGAGAUAUGCUUGAAUUUGUUUUAUAUUUGUUAUUGGGUUAACCUUGCUUCCCAUAAAGGCGCUUUAGCUUGUUAUCCAGGUACGCUCCUUCUCAUCUUUUUUGAGAAUUCUAUAGACACGUAUGCUAUUGGUGACUACAUCCAUGCAUGAUGUGAUUCUUGGGUGUUUAAAUAUAUAUUAGAUUUGCCCAGAUAAGACAUAUGUUGUGUGAUAGAUUUCUACACUAACUCUUAUGUUGUAUGAUAGCGCUUGAGAAGUCGUUUAGGUACGCACUUCGACUCUCUCUUAUGGUUUGUUUUCUUGGUAGGCAUGCAAUAUUUGAAAUCACCUAACCUACUUAGGUAUCCAUAAUUAACUGAUUAAUGGCCACACUUCCCUUAACUUUGUUAGUAGAGACCUUUUUAGGGCUUAGAGGGGUGCUACCUCCUAGAAGUACCUUCACAAUAAGUAACCUGAUCCCCGGACCUAGACUUGGGUUUUUCAAAGACAUGCUUUUUCCAAAAAUUAUGGAGUCAUAGUUAGGGUUUUUCUUUCUUGUUUUAUUUUCCCUUUAAAAUAAAAAUAAAAUAAGUGGCGGCUCCAACUUUUCCAAAACUAAAUAAUUUUUCACAAAUAAAAAGAGAGUCUUGCCGAUAGAGUGGGGACACACGUGAAAAAUGCGGGUCCACAAGAUGAUACAACAGAAUCGGUACAGACCAGCUACUCCCUAUAGGCCGGCAGGGCCUACUUAUCUACAUCCGACACCGUAGCCGGUAUAUGUUACACAGGCUCCUCAGAAGCCACCUGUACAGUUCCAUCAGCAGUAUAGAGCAUCGUCUCCAUCGAGGUCGGCUAGGUAGUUUACACAGCUAGGGAUGCCUUUGAGCCGAGCAUUUCAGAGAUUGGUUGAGGGGGCUUGGAUUGCUCCACUACCACCCAAACCACCACCACAUCCUAUCCCACCAGGAUUCAGGACAGAUCUUCACUAUGCCUACCAUCAGAGAGUUGACCAUGAUACAGACAAUUGUGUGAUGCUGAGGCAUGCCAUUCAGGACUUGAUUGAUCAGGGUUUGGUUGAUUUAGGACGCCCUGUAGUGACUACAAACCCACUACCUACUCAUGACAUUAGAGCUGUACCUCCACCCCCAGGGGGCAUACAUUUGAUUGAGUUUUCAGGAGAUGAGAUAUUCAUGAUGGGAUGGGACGGAAGGCUCCUUAGCCUAUUAAUCUGUACGAGGACUCAGAUUUUAGUGGAUAUAUCCAUGGACAGCAGGUUCCUAAGCCAUUCAAAUUUAUCCUAGAUGAAAUUCCCGACAAAUAGCAGUAUCGCCGGUAUACUUACAGCAUGUUCCUCCCAUGACACCCUUCAUUGUGUUCCCGGAAGAGUAUGGGCCCAUUCAUAGAGAUGUUCAGAUUGUUACACGGAGUGGGAGAGUAGCUCAGCCUCCACUCGUUGAUAGGCCUUUUGCUAGCACAAAUUCUAGAGAGGAUGUUCAGAGAGAGGAUGAUAAGAUAUUGCGCUGGCUGCGCACCACACAGGCUCGCAUAUCCAUUUGGAGCCUCUUAGCCUCGUCCAGCACACAUAGAGAUGUCUUGAUCAAAGCUCUUAGUUAGAUCAUAGUUGACACUGCUACUACCCCUAAGGGACUGAUUCACUUUCUGACAGCUGAUAGAGCUACAUGCAUUGUAUUUUCAGAUGAUGAUUUACCACCUAAGGGGUCAGAUCAUGUUCGACCCUUAUUCAUUGAUGUUGCUUGUUCAGGUCGUCGGGUGCCAUCUGUCCUGCUGGACAACGGCUCCGCCCUGAACGUAUGUCCAUUAGUUACUGCCAUUGCUCUUGGCUUUUCUCCAUCUAAUUUUGGUCCAUCUACACAUACCAUCAGAGCUUAUGACGGGACUUAGAGGACAGUUAUGGGUACUCUCACUGCACACGUUAUGAUUGGGCCAGUCAGAUACUUAGUGUUUUUCUAGGUUCUAAGGAUUCAGUCAUCCUUUAACAUGCUUCUUAGUCGUCCUUGGAUUCAUGAGGCUUGUACCAUACCAUCUUCCCUUCAUCAAAAGGUGAAGUUCAUACACGAGGGGCGCAUUAUCACGAUACAGUCUAACAAAGACGUUGUUACCUCUUCCGAGCCAGUGUUACAGAUUAGUCACAGUGAGGAUGACUUGCACUUGACCGGAUUUACUUUUGACGAGGUUCAGGUUGUCAGUUUAGAGGAUGACAACAGAGACAUGGUACCUAUGUCUUUUGAUUAGUACAACAGCACUCUGGUACUCAGUAUGAUGAGAGUCAUGUCCUAUAUGCCUGGCUUGGGAUUGGGUCACCACUAGUAGGGGCCACGCAAGUUUGCUUUCACAGUUGAUCAUGACAUACCAUAUGGAUUGGGUUACACUCCUUUUGAGGAGGAUGCACGACACCUAGCGCGACUGCGCUAGGAUAGGGUGAGAGCUUGCUUGUUCGGGGUUCCAUUUGAUUACCCCAUUCGCCCAUACACUUUUCAGUUGGCUGACUAUUUUACCAGAGGAUCAGAGCAUGCACCCCGCACAGAAGGAGUUGACCGUGUUCCUAAGGUAGUUGAGAUUCAGGGCAUUCAGCAGGCCCUAGGAUAGAUGUGUUUGAGUUAUGAGACCACCGAGCCACCCGAGGCCAUGAUAGUUACAUCCCCAUUACCAGAUUGAGACAAUGUGUUUUCCAUAUGCUUUCCUGAGGAGAUCCCUGACUAUGACCUGCCUAUGGAUUUGGGAGAUGGUUCCGAUGGUAUGAUUUUGCCUGAUACUUAUAUGGACGAGAUGGACAUGAUCGGCACUGGCCGCAUUCUGGAUGCUUCCCCACUUGGGCCUCGAUUCGCUUUUGAUGUGUUUGGGAUUUCUAUGCUUGAGUUUGAUGGUGAUGGACUUGUUGCUACUAAUAUUACUCAUGAUACUGUUUCUGUUAAGGGAGCGUCCGACUCUGUGGACCCAUCUCUUUCUUUUGACACUAUGUCCCGGUUUAUCACCCGCUUUGAUGACAUUUUUUAUGGUAAUAAUGACAUGAGUAUUUUCGAGUAUUUGCCUAAGUCACAACAUUUUCCUUUUAUUGCACCACCAGCACCCACAUCACAUGUAUGCGAUGUUGAUGAUGUGGGAGACACAGAUGACCCAUCGAGUGGUCAGCCAGAGUGUGAUUCUGAUUCAGAUACGGAGGACAGGAUAGUUACAUUCAUUUCUGGUAGCACUAAGUUGAUAGAUUUUGGGGCACCUGACCAACCUAGGGAGCUUAGGAUUCACUCUUCCAUAUCUCCUGAUGAGAGAAGUAGAUUGAUUGACCUGCUCAGGUCAUAUUUGGAUGUAUUUGUAUGGUCAUAUGAGGACAUGCCGGGCCUUGACCCCACUAUAGUUCAGCAUCACUUGCCCAUUUUGCCACAUGCUAGGCUAGUUAAGCAGAAAUUGAGGAGACUACACCCUCGAUGGAGUUUGUAGGUGAAAUAGGAGAUUCAGAAGCAACUCAGUGUUGGCUUCUUAUCAGUGGUUGAGUAUCCUGAGUGGCUGGCUAAUGUCGUCCCUGUUCCCAAAAAGAACGACAAGGUUAGAGUUUGUGUUGACUUCUGAGAUCUGAACAAGGCUAGUCCUAAGGAUGAUUUUCCUAUCCCGUACAUUGAUAUGCUAAUUAACAACACUGUAGAGCAUUCGAUGUUGUCCUUCAUGGAUGGAUUUUUUAGGUAUAAUCAGAUUCUGAUGGCUCUAGAGGAUAUGGAGAAGACUUCUUUCAUCAUUGAGUGGGGUACUUACUACUACCGGGUUAUGCCAUUCAGAUUGAAGAAUGCGGGAGCCACUUAUCAGAGAGAUGUUACUACUUUAUUCCAUGACAUGAUGCAUAGAGACGUCGAGGACGUCGAGGUAUAUAUGGAUGACAUGAUAGUGAAGUCCCGAGACAGGGCAGAUCACUUAGCAGCACUACGGAGAUUCUUUAAGAGGAUCCGACAAUUCAGGCUGAGAUUGAAUCCUAAAAAGUGUACCUUUAGGGUAACUUCUGGGAAAUUACUAGGACACAUCGUCAGUAAGCAUGGUAUAGAGGUUGAUCCCGAAAAUAUCAAAGUCAUACUUGACAUGCUUGCUCCAAGGACUAAGAGAGAGAUUAGAGACUUUCUUGGUAGAUUACAUUAUAUCAGUUGUUUCAUUGCUAGAUUGAUAGACAUAUGCGAGCCUAUUUUCCGUCUUCUAAGGAAGAACCAGCCUACAAUUUGGAAUGAUGAUUGCCAGCGUGCUUUCGAGAAGAUUAAAGAGUGUCUCAUCUCUCCUCCAAUUUUAGUGCCUCCCACACCGAGGUAGCCUCUGUUUCUGUACUUGUCCAUUUCAAACAUGGCUUUGGGAUGCAUGUUUGCUUAGCUCGAUGAUUUAGGGAAUGAACGAGCCAUUUAUUAUUUGAGUAAGAGGAUGCUGGAGUAUGAGUACAAAUACAUUAUGAUUGAGCGCUUAUAUUUAGCAUUGGUUUGGGCCACCAGGAGGCUGAGGCACUAUGUAAUAGAGUAUUCCAUAUUAUUGGUCUCGCGAUUGGAUCCAUUUAGAUAUUUGUUUGACAGGCCUGUCUUGACUGGUAGGCUCAUGAGAUGGUUGGUGCUGUUGACAGAGUUUGAUAUUCUGUAUGUUACACAGAAGUCAGUAAAAGGGAGCAUUGUUGUAGAUCAUUUGGCUUCUUUGCUCGUAUCUGAGGACAAACCGAUUAACGAUGAUUUCCCUGAUGAGCAGUUUGUCUCAGUGACCAGUAUUGCAGGAUGGUGGUUGUACUUUGAUGGUACAGCCAAUCCGUCGGGAUUUAGUAUCGGCAUCCUAUUGAUAUCACCUUAGGGUGAUCAUAUUCCCAUAUAAAUCCGGUUGGCAUUCUCUAAUCAUCAUCGACUGAUGAAUAAUAUUGUUGAGUAUGAGGCGUUCAUCACAGGUCUAGAGACUGCGCUAGACCUUGGAGUCAAACAGUUGGAGAUCCACGAGGAUUCCAACUUGGUUAUUCAGUAGACUUAGGGUAUUUGGAAGACUCAGGAUGAGAAGUUGAAGCCCUAUCAUGUUUAUUUGGAUUUGUUGGUUGAUAGGUUUGAGGAGUUGAGAUAUAUACAUCUAUCUGCCUAGGAAAGAAAAUCAGUUUGCUGAUGCGUUAGCCACCUUAUCUUCUGUGAUUGAGAUUCCUAUGGGAGUGACUAUGCGACCAUUACUGAUUGAGACUAGGUCCGCACCAGCUUACUGUUGUUUGAUUGGGGAUAUUGAGGACCAUGAUGAGCUGCCCUGGUAUCAUGACAUUUAUCAGUUCCUGUUAUGUGGUGCUUACCCUGAGUCAGUCUCAACCAAGGAUAGGAGAGCUUUGAGGUAGCUAGCCACUAGAUUCGUGAUUUGUGGAGAGUUUGAUUCGUGCCCAGUUGGGUAUUUUAAUAAAAAAUAUUUAUAAACCUAUGACCUCAUACUAGUGUAGCAAAGCUACUAUAGUAUAGCAGCUCUAGGGUCGAACUCUGGGAUGGGUUUUCACUCUACCAGUGAUAGACUCGAGAUUAGAAAUUGAAUCUGAUGAUUUCCUUUAUCAAAAACUUAAAGUUUAAAAGAAAAUAAAAUUUGUUUUGAAAGUGGUAUUUGAAACUAAACUAACAUAGAACUUUAUAAAAAUGGAAGAAAGAAAGUCUCCCGGAGCUAAAGGUUGCUAAGAUCAAGUUCAGAAUGCAAAGUGGGAAAUUCCGGAUUUUUCUCCUCGUAUUGGGGAAAACAACAUAAAGGAUGGUUGUUUCCCGAACCGGUAUAGGUUUAAAAAUGAAGAUUUAAUCCAUAAAAAGUCAAUAGAAAUGGUAGUCAAGUUCCAUUAAUGGCUUUAGACACUAUGGGUCUUCACCUUGAGCCACUUUCCAAUGGUUCGUACAUGAUAACUAAUGGUCUGAUGUGGAUCUAGCAAUAAGUAUCCACAGAGACCUAAAAGCUUAUCAUGUAUUGGCCAUUCAAAGUGAUUCUAAGGGAUUUAAAGCAAAACUUUAGAUUUAAAAGCCAUUUAUGAACUCCAACUACCUGUAUUUAAUGCACGAGAGUUUUCCACUUUAGCAUCUGGACUUUUCACCUAGCUUCCUUUACUCUAAGAAACCAAAGGUUUAGCCUCUUAUCCUCUGGGAAAACAUCCUCAGAGGUUGUUUGGCUUCCAAGAAAAAGAAAAUAGAAAAGAGAAAAGGAAAGCAAAGAGAACUCUGCAUUUCUUCCCGAGAGGAAAAUUUUACUAAGUGUAAAAUAUACAAUAUAUUUUUCGAGAGAUGAUUUCCACUCCUCUUAUAGUCUUUACAAAGAAAAGCCUGUGAUUGGCUAAUUACAAGGAUAAGAAAGGAAUUUACAUCAAAAAAUACAAAAGAAAAGAUCUCAUGUGGAGUCGGCAGAACAGAGGAGAUUUCGCACCAAAGUCGCAUGAACGAUAAUACAUGGUGCGAAAUUCGCACUUGCAUGGGCUGGUGGUGCGAAAUUCUCCCUCAACUUGAUGAAGUUGUCUUCCGAAGGCCAUAUCUUCCUCAUUUUAGCUUCAAAUCAUACACGGUUUGAAGCGUUGGAUUCUUGACUUCCUUAGCUUUGAAAUGGUAUAUAGCAUGGAGAAAAUGGACUUCGAGAAGCGCUCCAAAAGUGCGAAGGAAGACUACAGCUAUUGUCCUCUAUUUUCUUCACUCUGUUUUCCUCUUUGCUUCACUCCUUUACUUGGCUUGUCUUAAUGAACCAAAAAGCUGUCAAAACACUAAAACUAGCCACAAAUAUGAUUAGAAGUCAUUUCUAGGUCCUUAACAUGCCAAUUGGAAUAAAAAUGGAGAACUACUACAUAAAAGUGCUUAAAACAUAAUGAAUUAAAGGCGCAAAAUAGCACUUUUUGGGUAGUAAUCAGAGUCCUUGUACAAACGAUCGCCCGAGGGCUUAUUAUUGUUAUGUUUAGAUCAUGCCUCUACAAAUCGAGUGAUGAGAGAAGUUCAUGCAAGAGUUUGUGGCCCACACAUGGGAGGAUAUAUGUUGGCUCGAAAGAUUAUAAGGACAGGUUAUUUCUGGUUGACCAUGGAGGCAGAUUGUUGCCAAUUCGUUCAGAGGUGCCCAGAGUGCCAGAUGCACGGUGAUCUCAUUCACGUGCCACCUUCGGAGUUGCAUGUACUCACAUCCCCUUGGCCAUUUUCAGUGUGGGGUAUUAAUGUUAUUGGAAAGAUCUCGCCCAAGUCUUCUAGCGGGCAUGAGUACAUCUUAGUUGCAGUUGAUUAUUUCACCAAGUGGGUGGAAGUUGCUUCUUAUGCUAGAUUGAUAGUGGCCAGGGUGGCCAAAUUCAUCAGGUUGCAUAUUAUCUACUGAUAUGGGGUCCCCCACGAGCUGAUUUCCGACAGAGGGGUGCAUUUCAGGGGCGAGGUGGAUACAUUGAUUCAAGAGUAUGGAAUUCAACAUCACAGAUUGUCUGCAUACAGGUCGUAGACUAAUGGGGCAGUUGAGGCCACAAAUAAAAAUAUUAAGAGGAUUUUGAGAAAGAUAGUCGAGACUUCUCGGGAUUGGUCAGAGAAGCUUCCUUUUGCAUUAUGGGCUUAUCGUACAUCUUUUCAUACUUCUACCGGGGCUACCCCGUAUUCUUUGGUGUAUGGUAUGGAGGCAGUGUUGCCUAUUGAGAUUGAGAUGGGAUCCUUGAGAGUAGCAUUAGAGCAGCAGAUAUCUGAGACUGAGUGGGCUCAGUCUCGUUAUGACCAACUUAACCUUCUAAAUGAGAGGAGAUUGAGUGCAGCAAAUCAUGUUCAGGCUUAUCAGAGGAAGAUGACUCGUGCAUUCAGAAAGAGAGUUAAGCCUAGGAAAUUUCAGAAGGGUGACUUAGUCUUGAAAGUCCUCAAGGGAUUGAUCAGUGACCCUAGAGGCAAGUUUAGACCGACUUGGAGCGGGCCUUAUGUUAUUCGAGAUUUGAUCCAAGAGGGAGCCGCCUGGCUGACGGACCUAAAGGGAAAUCAGUUUACGGAGCCAGUCAAUGUGGAUCAGCUGAAGAAGUUUUAUGCGUGAGAUCAUGGUCAGAGGAUGGGUGGCCAUCAUUUUUUAGUAGCCAUUUUCCUUGUUGCACAUCCACACAUUGAUAUAUCCUAUUGCUAGCCUAUUGAGCCUCAUGCAGUUUGUUAUGGCCUAUUCAUUCACUUAGCCUUGCAUACCUUUUCUCACUUGGGUUGGGGGCCUGCCCCUAUGUGCUUUGCAUUUAUUGAUUGGAUCUGUGAGUAUCGUGAGCUUUGUGUCAUUGUUCAUGUGUUCUUUAGUCAUUCAUGGUUUCUUCUUUCGUCCAUUGUUCAUUUUCAUUUCGUCUGCCUUUGAGUUCUGCUUCUAUCAUCUCGACUCUAUUUGCUUAUGUUUUCUCUUAUGUGAUGAUGACACACUCUUGUCCCGGAGCUACAGGUCAGGCCUGUCACACACUUCAUUCCACUUGUAGGCUUUUAUCCAGGAUUCUUAGGUUGAGGGGGGACCAUUUGGGAUGAGAGAUUUGAGGUUCUUUUGGUUGGACUAUGAUAGUGUGGCAUUCAGGUAGCUUUGGUUGUUCGACGCAAAAAAAAAAAAAAAAAAAAAAAAAAAACAAAAUUCAAAAUUCAAAAUUAAAAAAAAAGUGUUUGUUUGGUAUUUGUUGUUAUACGAUCAUCGGAGGUCAUUUGUGUUUGAGAGAUUUAUUAUUCCUCUGAGAGUUGGGUAAGAGCAUUGUAUGAUCCUUCUCCAUGGAUCUAGGUGACACAUUGAGAGUGAGGUUUGGGUUUCUUUGGCACUCGGUCCCCUGGAUCAUUAUUUACAUCACCUUUCCCAUCUUAUAGUGACUUGUUUUGGUCUGGCGUUCUUGGGAUGAGUUGUUCAUCGUUAUCACACAUUGCUACAUUUCUAUCCCAACUUGUUCAUCCAUUUUUUACUACACCCAUUCAUCAUUUGUCUUAUCCUUUUUUGUCUUCUAUCCUCAUCGAACGUCAUAUCGCUUUAUGAACGACGAGUUCUUUGGUGCACAUCACCUAUCGUUUGACAUAAUUCAUUUGGAUGUAGGUUGAGUCACCUUGCUCACAUGAUUCUAUGAUAUUUGGCAUUGCUUACAGGGGUUUGACAUUUAGUUAUUGGGUAUUUGGGCCUUUAUUUCCCAUCAUUUCAUUCACCUUCACCCCUGGCCUACAUUACGGUCCUAGUCGUAAGACCACCCUGAGGCCAUGAGAUCUCGUGUUUGCUUCGACGCGGUUCAUUCGGACAAGCUCCAUCUACUGAUUGAGUACGGGAUGUCGAUAGGUCUCCAUUGCUUCGGGGAAUAUUGAGGAUCACAUAUUGCCUUUCCAUUCAGUUUGCUUGCCUCAGGUCUAUGAUUAGAGGCAGAUGAUACAGAGAGUUGGGACCGUUGAGGGCGCCUUUGCUUGAUGCUUUGACAUGUUCAUACUGGGGCAUACCUCCAUCCUUGCAUGCUGGCUUCGGCUCUUACACAUGUAUGCAGGCAGUCCGUUUCACCUAGAGAUGUUUUGGAUAUCAGAGUUUGAGUAAGCCCCAUAUUCAGCUUGGUUUCUUCAUACAGUAGAGUGCUUUUGGGAGCUAACCUGAGAUCAAAUUCAAGGUAUUCAUUGACCCAACAGGGAUGUGCACACCGGGGCAUACCCCAUUCAUUUUCCUGUUCGCUAGCUCAAACGAUUAGGUCUUCAGUGAUGUAUUUCAGAGUUUUCAUUGAGAUAUUUAAGUUUCAGAUGUACACAUUGGGGCAUACCCUUAUCAAUUUUUUUUUUUGUGGAUAUUGGAUGUUAUGGAUUAGAGUGGAGGGUUUUUCCUUAGAGAUGGAUGUUUGUGAUAUUUCCAACAUUUUUACUUUGACUCUAUGUGUAGUUGUGGGUUUCUAACAUGGUUUUGAUGCCUUAGACUGGGGCAUGAUCCUUUCUUUGCGCCUUUGGUCACGUUUAAGAGUUGUCAUAUAUGGGCAUACCUCCCAUAUUUCUAUCUUGUUGGUGGGGUUAUUCAUUUCUUGUUUGUCGGCGUUUUCUGAUGCCACACUGGGGCAUACCCCAUUUCUUUCAUCAUGAUUGACAGGUUUGACUUUUCGCUUAUUUGAGUCAUUUAUUAACAUUUUUCGGACGCCACACUAGGGCAUACCCCCUCUUUCAUGGUGCCAUUACUUUUCGUUUCCUUUCAUUUCGGUGGCUCUUCGGCAUCUUGCUCAGAUCCCUUAGUCAUUCGACGGCUCUCCGGCAUCGUGCCCGGAUCCCCUAGUCAUUUCGAUAGCUCUCCGGCAUCCUGCCCGGAUCCUCUAGUCAUUCGGCGACUCUCCGACAUCGUGCCUGGAUCUCCUAGUCAUUCGGCGGCUUUUCGACAUCGUGCCCGGAUCCCCUAGUCAUUUAGUGGCUCUCCGACAUCGUAUCUGGAUCCCCUAAUCAUUCCGCGGCUCUUCGGCAUCAUGCCCGGAUACCCAGGUCAUUUCGACGACUCUCCGACAUCGUGUCCUGAUCCCCUAGUCAUUCAACGGCUCUCCGGCAUCGUGCCCGGAUCCCCUAGUCAUUCGACGGCUCUCCAGCAUCGUGCCUGAAUCCCCUAGUCAUUCUGCGGCUCUCCGGCAUUGUGCUCGGAUCCUUUAGUCAUUCAGCAACUCUCCGGAAGCAUGCCUGAAUCCCCUAGUCAUUCGACGACUAUUUGGCAUCAUGCCCGGAUCCUCUAGUCAUUCGGCGGCUCUCCGACAUCAUGCCCGGAUCCCCCGGUCAUUUGGCGACUCUUCGGCAUCGUGCUCAGAUCCCCUAGUCAUUUGACGGCUCUCCGGCAUCGUGCCCGGAUCCCCUAGUCAUUUUGACCGCUCUCCGGCAUCGUGCCCGGAUCCCCUCGUCAUUCGACAACUCUCCGGCAUCGUGCCCGGAUCCUCUAGUCAUUCUGCGACUCUUUGGCAUCGUGACCGGAUCCCCUGGUCAGUUCGAUGGCUCUCCGGCAUUGUGCCCAGAUCCCUUGGUCAUUUCGACGGCUCUCCGGCAUCAUGUCCGUAUCCCCUAGUCAUUUCCGCGGCUCUUCGGCAUUGUGCCCAGAUCCCCUAGUCAUUUUGGCGGCUCUUCGAUAUCAUCCCCGGAUACCCUGGUCAUUUCGGCGGCUUUUCGGCAUCAUGUCAGGAUCCCCUAGUCAUUUCCGCGGCUCUCCGACAUCGUGCCCAAAUCCCCUAGUCAUUUCGGCUGCUCUUCGGCAUCGUGCCCGGAUCCCCUGGUCAUUGGACGGCUCUCUGGCAUCGUGCCCGGAUCCCCUAGUCAUUUCGGUGGCUCUCCGGCAUCGUGCUCGGAUCCCUUGGUCAUUUUGACGGCUCUCCGGCAUCAUGUCCGGAUCCCCUAGUCAUUUCCGCGGCUCUCAGACAUCAUGCCCGAAUCCCCCAAUCAUUUCGGCUGCUCUUCGGCAUCGUGCCCGGAUCCCCUAGUCAUUCGACGGCUCUCUGGCAUCGUGCCCGGAUCCCCUAGUCAUUUCGGUGGCUCUCCAGCAUCGUGCCCGGAUCCCUUGGUCAUUUUGACGGCUCUCCGGCAUCGUUCCCAGAUCCCCUUAUCAUUCGACAGCUCUCCGGCAUCGUGCCUGGAUCCCCUAGUGAUUCUGCGGCUCUCUGGCAUCGUGCCCGGAUCCCUUGGUCAUUUCGACGGCUCUCCGGCAUUAUGCCCAGAUCCCCUAGUCAUUUCGGCGGCUCUCCGGUAUCAUGUCCGGAUCCCCUAGUCAUUUCCACGACUCUCCGACAUUGUGCCCAGAUCCCCUGGUCAUUUUGGCAGCUCUCCGGCAUCAUGCCCGGAUCCCCUGGUCAUUUCGGAGGCUUUUCGGCAUUAUGCCCGAAUCCCCUAGUCAUUUCCGCGGCUCUCCGACAUCGUGCCCAGAUCCCCUAGUCAUUUCGGCGGCUCUCCGGUAUUGUGCCCAGAUCCCCUGGUCAUUUUGGCGGCUCUCCGACAUUGUGCCCGAAUCCCCUGGUCAUUUCGGAGGCUUUUCGGCAUCGUGCCUGAAUCCCCUAGUCAUUUCCGCUGGCUCUCUGACAUCGUGCCUGGAUCCCCUAGUCAUUUCGACGGCUCUCCACUAUUGUGCCCAGAUCCCCUAGUCAUUCUACGGCUCUCUGACAUCAUGCCCGAAUCCCCUAGUCAUUUCGACGGCUCUUUGCCAUCGUGCCUGGAUCCCUUAGUCAUUCAAUGGCUCUCCAACAUCAUGUCUGGAUCCCCUAGUCAUUUCUGUGGCUCUCCGGCAUCGUGCCCAGAUCCCCUGGUCAUUUUGACGGCUCUCUGGCAUCGUGCCCGGAUCCCCUAGUGAUUCUGCGGCUCUCUCGCAUCGUGCUUGGAUCCCCUGGUCAUUUCAACGGCUCUCCGGCAUCGUGCUUGGAUCCCCUAGUCAUUUCGGCGGCUCUCCGCUAUUGUGCCCAGAUCCCCUAGUCAUUAUGCGGUUCUCCGACAUUGUGCCCGAAUCCCCUAGUCAUUUUCACGGCUCUCCGGCAUCAUGCCCGAUUCCCCUCGUCAUUCGACAACUCUCCAGCAUCGUGCCCGGAUCCCCUAGUCAUUCUGCGGCUCUCUGGCAUCGUGCCGGGAUCCCCUGGUCAUUUCGACGGCUCUCUAGCAUUAUGCCUAGAUCCCCUGGUCAUUUCAGCGGCUUUCUAGCAUCAUGUCCUGAUCCUCUAGUCAUUUCCGCGGCUCUUCGGCAUCAUGUCUUGAUCCCCUAGUCAUUUUGACGACUCUCCGGCAUCGUGCCUGGAUCCCCUCGUCAUUCGGCAGCUCUCCAGCAUCGUGCCUGGAUCCCCUAGUCAUUCUGCGGCUCUCUGGCAUCGUGCCUGGAUCCCCUGGUCAUUUCGACGGCUCUUCGGCAUUGUGCCUGAAUCCUUUGGUCAUUUCGGCGGCUCUCCGGCAUCAUGUCUGGAUCCCCUAGUCAUUUCUGCGGCUCUUCGGCAUUGUACCCAAAUCCCCUGGUCAUUUUGGCGGCUCUCCAGCAUCAUGCCUGGAUCCCCUGGUCAUUUCGGCGGCUUUUCGGAAUCAUGCUCGGAUCUCCUAGUCAUUUUUGCAGCUCUCCAACAUCAUGCCCAGAUCCCCUAGUCAUUCUGCUACUCUCCGACAUCGUGCCCGAAUCCCCUAGUCAUUCGACGGCUCUCUAGCAUCGUGCCCGGAUCCCCUAGUCAUUUCGGUGGCUCUCCGGCAUCAUGCCCGGAUCCCCUGGUCAUUUUGACGACUCUCCGGCAUCGUGCUCGAAUCCCCUCGUCAUUCGACAGCUCUCCGUCAUCGUGCCCGAAUCCCCUAGUGAUUCUACGGCUCUCUGGCAUUGUGCCCAAAUCCCCUGGUCAUUUCGACGGCUCUCUGGCAUCGUGCCCAGAUCCCCUGGUCAUUUCGAUGGCUCUCCGACAUUGUGCCCAAAUCCCUUGGUCAUUUUGACGACUCUCUGGCAUCAUUUCCUAAUCCCCUAGUCAUUUCCACAGCUCUCCGGCAUUGUGCCCAGAUCCCCUAGUCAUUUUGGCGGCUCUCCGGCAUCAUUCCCGGAUCCCCUGGUCAUUUCGGCGGCUCUUCGGCAUCAUGCCAGGAUCCCCUAGUCAUUUCCACGACUCUCCAACAUCGUUCCCAGAUCCCCUAGUCAUUUCGACGGCUCUCCGCUUUGUGCCCAGAUCCCCUAAUCAUUUUGCGGCUCUCCAACAUCGUGCCCGAAUCCCCUAGUCAUUUCGGCGGCUCUCCAGCAUCGUGCCUGGAUCCACUAGUCAUUUGGUAGCUCUCCGGCAUUGUGCCCGGAUUCUCUAGUCAUUUCGACGGCUCUCUGGCAUCAUGCCCGGAUCCCCUAGUCAUUUCGGCUACUCUCUAGCAUCGUGCCUUGAUUCCCUAGUCAUUUCGAUGGCUCUCCGGAAUCGUGCCCGAAUCCCCUAAUUUUUGGUAUCAUGUCCGGAUUUCCUUUGUUUUCUCUGGCAUCGUGCCCGGAUCCCCUAGUCAUUCCGAUAGCUCUUUGGCAUCGUGCUCGAAUCCCCUAUUUUCCGGCAUCGUGUCUGGUUUCCUUUUAUCUUUCUCGGUAUCGCACCCGGAUUUCCUUUGUUUUCUCCGACAUCGCACCUGGAUCUUAUAUUUCUCUCGGAAAAGCGUCCAACUUUCUCCUAUCUUUUUGGCACCGUGUCCAGAUUCCUUUAGCUUUCUCCGGCAGUGUGCCUGGGUCCUUUAGUCAUUCGGUCAUGUGGCUCAUUCCCUUAGCCUCUUUAUGGUUGUGUGGGGACAAAAUUGUUGGUCAUUUGAAUUCUUCACUAAAGUUCAUUUCACUCAUUCAUUGCUUGCACUUUGCAUUCGCGACUCACUCGUUCAUUCACUCUACUGAAAAAGGACAUAUUUGUAGACCCUCAAUUUUGUCCCUUGACACUUGCAUUUUAUCCUAUGGGUGUCAUAUGCACCCAUGUUUUCAUAUGACCCCGCCAUGGCCCCCUUUUGGCCUUGAUCAGUUUCUGAGCCUUUUGUAGGUUCAUUUGCGGUCCAAUGUAGUACGGGUGUGUAGUUAAUUUUGGAGUUCCGUCAUGGCCAAUUUCCCUAUUUGUUCACAUCAUGCCAUAGGGAAGGAAGUGGGCCCCCCUAAAAAUUUCAGUUAAGUUGGAAUUCAUAGGAGUCGGUUCGAAUUCGGAGCACUUGGGCUGGUUUUGAUCAUAUCUCCCUCAUCCAAACUCGGAAUCGUGCACCGUUUUUUUUAUGGACUCCUUAUUCUUUAAGGAACAUUCUUUCAAAAUUUCAAAAUUUUUUUUCUCAACCAGCUUGACCGGUUCCUAAAGUUUCAGUUUAGGCAUAAUUCAUUGAAGCAGGUCCGAAUUCAGAGCACUUGUGCUUGUUUUGAUCAUAUCUCCCUCAUCCAACCUCGGAAUCGCGCAUCAAUUUUUUGAUGGACUCCUUAUUCUUCAAGGAACAUUCUGUCAAAAUUUCAAAAUUUUUCUCAACCGGCUCAACCGGUUGGCUUGCGGUUCAAUCGUUUCAUCAAGUCAACUUGUAUGGAGCACUGAUUUUGGAACCAAUUCCUACAUGGCUUGGGCCCAUGGGCUCCAGAUCAGUUUUGGGCUAUAUUUUGGAUCCAUUUUGGGCUUUAUUUUGGAUUCCUUGUAGCCCACCAUGAAUCCAUAUGGAUCCUUGGUGGGAAAGCAAGUUGAAAGCUUAAGAUAGUCAGCUUGCAUGGAAAAUAAGGAGGGGAGUUAAUGGGGAAGCUGAUUUCGAGACUGACUAGAGUUCUUUCCAGAGCUUGAAGGAGAGAAAAACGAAGAGGCUUUGAUGGCUGGAGGUCUGGGACUAUAAAAGAGGAAAAAAAAAAAUCAGAUUUGAAGAGACUUCUUCUUUUUCUAAGAGGAGAGACUCUGUGGAAUCGUGGGAAAGGAAUUUUAUAAGAGGUUUUUGGAGGGUUUCUUUUCGUGAGUGGUUUGACAGAGUGAAGUGAAGAGGUCCUCAGACUUUUGGGGGGUCUCGGAUACGUUUAGAGAAGCUUUGCAAGCUAAAUGAGCACCUCUCAAAGGCUAGUUCUUCAAGUACAUUUCUGGUUCCUCAUAGAACUCUUGCUUGCAUUCAGUUCCUCUUUCUGAUCGUUCCAGAAUGCUUAAUGCUUUAUUGAUUGGUGUGGAUGAAAAGGGCCACAAAUUUUUAUGUUGAAAUUGGUUCUUUGCGUGUUUGCCAUGAUAUUCAUUCAGUUGAUGCCAUUGAUCCCGUUUGAUUUUGUUCAUGUUAAAAAUCUAUUUUGAAUCAUUCUCCCGUUUUAUAAACACAUUGCCUUGUUUUGGCCGGUUCUCCUUUAUCUAGGCUCAGAAUUGAGUGACAUUGCUUUUAUUGGAUUCUUUAUUCUUUGGGGAAUCUACUGUUAAAAUUUCAGAAUUUUUCUCAACUAGUUGAAUUAGUUGGGAACCGAUUUAACAGGUUUUACAUGUCCAGCCCUGUUUUAUAAAUGCAUUGCCUUGUUUUGACUGGUUCUCCCUCAUCUAUGCUCAGAAUUGAGCGCCGUUGAUUUUUUUGGAUUCUUAUUCUUUAGGGAAUUUACUGUUAAAAUUUUAGAAUUUUUCUCAACCUGUUGAACUGGUUGGGAACCGGUUCAACAGGCCCUGCAUGUCCAGCUCUAUUUUAUAAAUGCGUUGUCUUGUUUUGACCAAUUCUCCCUCAUCCAGGCUCAGAAUUGAGCUCCAUUGCUUUUGUUGGAUUCUUUAUUAUUUGGGUAAUCUACUGUUAAAAUUUUAGAAUUUUUCUCACCCGGUUGAACUGAUUGGAAACCGGUUCAACAGGUCCUACAUGUCCAACCCUGUUUUAUAAACGCGUUGUCUUAUUUUGACUGGUUCUCCCUCAUCCGGGCUCAGAAUUGAGUUCCAUUGCUUUUUUUGGAUUCUUUAUUCUUUGGUGAAUCUAUUGUUAAAAUUUCAUAAUUUUUCUCAACUGGUUGUACUGGUUGGGAACCAGUUCAACAGGUCUUGCAUGUCCAGCCCUAUUUUAUAAAUGCGUUACUUUGUUUUAACCGAUUCUCCCUCAUCCGGGCUUGGAAUUAAGCGUCGUUGCCUUUUUUGGAUUAUUUAUUAUUUGGGAAAAAACUGUUAAAAUUUCAAAAUUUUUCUUAACCGAUUACUCUGGUUGGGAACCAGUUCAACAGGUCCUGCAUGUCCAACCCUGUUUUAUAAACGCAUUGCCUUGUUUUAGCCAGUUCUCCCUCAUCCGGGCUCGGAAUUGAGCGCCGUUGCUUUUUUUGGAUUCUUUAUUCUUUGGGAAAUCUACUGUUAAAAUUUCAGAAUUUUUUCUCAACCGGGUUAACCGGUCGGGAACCGGCCCAAUAGUCCUUGCAUGAUCAGCCCCGUUUUAGUGUGUUUUGACCCCUAUUUUUGUUUUGGCUUGAGCCGUUAGGCUCCGAGGCACUUGUGGGCCUCCUUUAGAGUUUAAAAUGGGCUCUGAACUGAAUCAGAAUAAACCCACUUCAGAGCUAGAGGCAUUAGGGGUCAAGUAAGUUUUGUUUGAUUUGAUGUUGGAAAUUGGUGAAUUGUUGUUUAAGGGAAUGUGUAAGGAAAUAAAUAAUUGGGUGUCGUCAUUUCCAUUCACUUCCUCUUUAAGCGUGAACUUUGAUGCUUGAUCACGAAUACCUACUACAUGGUUGUGUUUGUUGCCUCAUCUUUUCCUUGCAGCGCAUGGCUGGGGACCAUAGGUAUGCACUCUGAUUUUGGCUUGUUGAGUGUAUAUACAUGUCGAAUACUAGCUAGGAUUGUAUGAUUCAUGUCAGUUUUUUAGCCCAAGGUUUGUUUGAUCUUUGACCCAUUGUGGACCCGCAUUUUUCACGUGCGCCCCCACUCGAUCGGCGAGACUCGCUUUUUAUUUGUGAAAAAUUAAUUUUUGGAAAAAUUUUUGGAGCCGCCACUUAUUUUAUUUUUAUUUUAAAGGGAAAAUAAAACAAGAAAGAAAAACCCUAAAAUGUGACUCCAUAAUUUUUGGAAAAGCAUGUCUUUAAAAAACCCGAGUCUAGGUCCGGGGAUCAGGUUACUUAUUGGGAAGGUACCUUUAGGAGGUAGCACCCCUCUAAGCCCUAAAGAGGUCUCUACUAACUAAGUUAAGGGGAAUAUAGCAAUUAACCGAUUAAUUAUGGAUACCUAAGUAGGCUAGGUGAUUUCGAAAAAUAGCAUGCUUAGCAGGAAAACCAAUCACAAUCAUGAAGAAGAUUUAGGGUACGUACCUGGACCACUUCUCAAGCGCUAUCACAAGACAUCAAAGUUAGUAUAGAAGUAUAGCACACAACAUGUACUUAAUCAUAGCGAAUCUAGCAUACAUCUAAACACCUAAGAUUAUCAAACAUAUGCAUAUUUCACAGUGACAUGAUUGUUUACAAAAUUUAGAAAGUAGGGGAUAGGGACAUACCUGGAUAACAUAGAUAACUUACAACGCGCCUCCAUAAGACAUGAGGGGUUAGAUAAUAAAUAAUAAAAUAUAGAAAUCCUAGCAUGCUCGUUAUCUAAUUAGCAUAGCAGAAAUUAUCAAAGUAUAUGAAAACACUAAUUAUCACACUCAUCUUGUAUACAAUUCCUAAAAGAAGAUAGACAUAAUUUCAACAAGUGACAGAAGUGGCAACAAAAAUAAUUUUUGAAAAAGAUUUUCUUAUGUAGGGGUUUCACCAAUUCCCCAAUUAAUAUACACAAAUUUAGCCUAGAAUUAUCCCAUUUAUUUGGGACCACAAGCUUUGAUUCGUGUUUUAUUCAAAACUGUAAUUUUAUUUGAAAGAUGUGAACCGAUCAAAACAUGGUUGCACAUUAUUUUAAAAAAUGAGAUUUUGAUCCUAACAACUCUAAAUGAAUUUUUGAAAUGGAUUGUAAAGGGGAUCUUUUGACUUUAAGAAACUCUAAAUGUAUUUUUGAAAACGGAUUUUUAAGGAAAAUGAGAUUUUGAGAAUAGUUUUAUAUUUUAAAAAUAAAGAAAUUAAUUUGAAAGCAAUAAAGUGUAUGAAUCGAAAUACCAAGCAAAACAAAAGAGAACAAAAUCACAAAGUAGAAUUUUUGACAACCAAGAAAAUUGAAGGUGAGAAUAGAGGCUAAUCUUCAUGAGUUUCCAAAAGCCUCAGAAACAAAAUCAAAUUAAAUGAAGGAUCACUAAAGCAACGGGCAAGGCAUUCUAAAUUAGACAAACUAGCGGAGUAUCGAUUCAUGAACUAAUCGCUAGGAUUUUAAAAGCAAUAAGUUAAGAUGAGGGUGAUCAGGAUCUAACAUUAAUAAUUUUGAAACAAAAACUAAAAAAAAGGAUCAAUUCAGGUAAGGAACUAAAAUUAUAGAAGUACCUAAACUAAUUAUAACGAGUUUGACUAAAUUAAACUAAAAACAUGAACUUUUAAAUAAAGAAUCAAUUUUAUCAAUAAAUAAAUAAAAUUAUAAAAACACAUAAACUAAUUAAAAUGAAUCAAAUUAAAUCAAAGAAUACUAAAAAUAUGGACUUCCAAACAUGGGAUCAAUUUUAUUAAUAAACUAAAACUAUAAAACAAACACCUAAAAUAAUGAGUAUAAAUUAUUAAGUCAAAGCAAACUAAAAACUGGAACUUUCAAACAUGGGAUCAAUUUCAUUAAUGAACUAAACUAUAACAAAUAUCUAAACUAAAUAUAAUGAAUCAAAUUAAAUUAAAGCAACCUAAAAACGCAAACUUUCAAACAUAGAAUCAAUUUUAUCAAUGAAUUAAAAUUAUAAAUGUACUUGAACUAAAUAGAUGAAUCAAACUAAAUCAGAGUAAACUAAAAAAAAAUGAAUUUUCUAACAUGAAAUCAAUUUUAUCAACAAAUAAAUGAAUGAAUAACAAGUAAUUAAAAGAGUAGUAAGUACAUGAAUAACUGAAUGAAUAAAAUUCAAACGUUUUCAAUCCGAAGCAAUCAAUCAAAAUUAAAUAGGGAUCAAAUCGAAAUAAUCGAAAUCGGAAAAACAAUAUGCAAUCUUUCUAAAGGUUUAAUCAAACAAUUGAAUUAAAAUUAUGAAUAGAAUAAAUUAAUAAACCAAAUCGAAACCUAAAUUGUACCUAAAAAGAUUAAUUAAUUAAACUAAGAAAUCAAAAUCAAUAACAAAACUAAACUAAAGAGUAAAUUAAGAUAAAACUAAUUAAAUUAAACUCAUAAACACGUUUUAACUAUCAUAUGGAUUAAAACAAAAUUAGCAUGGACUUAUGAAUUACGAACAAAAAUAAUCAAAACUGUUUCAAAAACUCACCUGUAUUAUAAAAAAAAUCUGCCUUUGAUGCGUUAAGGUGGCUCCUCUCUCCGUGUGGAUCUCUCUGCUCCCAGAAAAAAAAUCUAUUCUCUCUUCCUCGAAUAUCCUUCACUUGCGCUCCUUUUUUCUUCUCCUCUUUUUUCAGAAAAUUCACUCUUCAAUUUAUAUGGCAGCCUUACCUUAUGGAAUAUUUUCUUUUUUCCUUUUGGAGAUGUAGGUAGAUAUGGGAAGUAUGGCUCGCUUGGAGAUUCCCAACGAUACGUGUGUCCGGUUUGGUAAGCGUCUACAUCUAGUGGUCGCAUCAUUUGCCGUUGAUUGGAUUGAUCAGGCUGGAAAUUGUGGGAACCUUAUCUUGCACCACCACGUACUGGAACAUUCACAUUUUAAUGCACGUUUUGCCGAAGAAAGGCAAAGAACAUUCCGGUAGCUUUGUAAGAUCGACGAAUCAAGAUUUCUCUUCUUUUCCCAUGGCCAAUGCGUGGAGGUGGGCUUUUUGGUCUCUGGCAUAGGUCUCUCAAACCAAACAGAUUCCAUCUAUGCUUUAACGUCGAUUCUUUCAUGUCGAUUAUGUCGAUAUUUGGUUCAGGUCUCGUGUCGACUGUCCUCUACGCCGGGUCAGGAUUUUUCGGCAUGAAUCUUCAUUCAUUCCGGUAAUGGCUGCUAGCAUUCAAUUCAGUUUGGGCAAGGCGACUUUGGAGAGCAUUAUUUUCGAGCCUCUAAGCGAGGCCGAGCCGGAAUCAGAAACUGCAGUAGCAGAGAUCAUGCUGGUGGAGUUAUCCUCGAGGAGAAACCAGUUCGAAGGCGGAUUCAACAUGCUGGAUUUUAUGCUAAAGAGAUCACACUUAUUUGGCUUCGAGUGGGACCUCCCGUCAGAACGGCUGGUGAUGGUGCUGGCGAUGACGUCCUCGUGGCGAUACGGUCGGCGGGGAGUGAACUCCAUAAACACCGCCUUGUUUGCCUAUCACCAGCCACCAUUGUUGCCGUUCUCGCUAUGACUCAACUUCACCAAAAACAAAACUCGCUACGUCGCCGAGAAUCUCAGCCACAACGGAUCUGGGAAGGUCUUCCAGGCUCGGGGAACUUCGUGAUCGAAAUGAAGACCCUGACGAACUGAAGUAGAACCGGUUACCUUUAUGCUUGACAUGGGUCCCAGCUUUUGACGUAGAGGAAAGUGCAGCCCCUAAAGGUUCCAGCUGGCCCUGCUUUUUGUAACGGAAUCUUGAAGUCGUUCUGUGAGAGCGUGUUCCCCUUGCUUCUAUUGGAGAGUGCUCUAAAUGGUUGUGGGUGUCCUCAUUGCAGCGUGCUGGUGUGGACCCGCAUUUUUCACGUGCGUCCCCACUCGAUCGGCGAGACUCGCUUUUUUAUUUAUUUGUGAAAAAUUGAUUUUUUGAAAAAAAGUUGGAGUCGCCACUUAUUUUAUUUUUAUUUUUGAAGGGAAAAUAAAACAAGAAAGAAAAACCCUAAAAAAAAUGACUCCAUAAUUUUUGGAAAAGCGUGUCUUUGAAAACCCAAGUCUUGGUCCGGGGAUCAGGUUACUUAUUGGGAAGGUACCUCUAGGAGGUAGCACCCCUCUAAGCCCUAAAGAGGUCUCUACUAAUUAAGUUAAGGGGAAUAUGGCAAUUAAUCGGUUAAUUAUGGAUACCUAAGUAGGCUAGGUGAUUUCAAAAGAUUUGCAUGCUAAACAAGAUCAAAUUGCCAUAAAAGAAAGGUUAGGAUGCGUACCCGGACCGCUUCUCAAGCGCUAUCAUAAAACAUCAGAGUUAGUAUAGAAGUAUAACACACAACAUGUAUUUAAUCAUAGUGAAUCAAACAUACAUCUAAACACCUAAGGAUUAUCAAACAUAUGCAUACUUCAUAGUGACACGAUUGUUUACAAAAUUUAGAAAGUAGGCGAUAGGGGGGGCGUACCUGGAUAGCAUAAAUAACUUACAAUGCGCUCCCAUAAGACAUGAGGGAUUAGAUAAUAAUAAAAUAUAGAAACCCUAGCAUGCUUGUUAUCUAAUUAGCAUAACAAAAAUUAUCAAAGUUUAUGAAAACAUUAAUUAUCACACACAUCUUAUAUACAAUUCCUAAAAAAGAUAGACAUAAUUUCAACAAGUGACAAAAAUGGCAACAAAAAUAAUUUUUGAAAAGAUUUUCUUAUGUAGGGGUUUCACCAAUUCCCCAAUUGAUAUACACGAAUUUAGCCCAGAAUCAUCCCAUUAUUUGGGACCACAAGCUUUGAUUCGUGUUUUUGUUCAAAACCAAAAUUUUUGUUGAAAACCGAGAAGGAUGCAAACCGAACAAGAUAUGGUUGCAUAUUAUUUUUAAAUAAAAAAAAAAAAAAGAGAUUUUGAUCCUGAGGACUCUAAAUGAGUUUUUGAAAUAGAUUUUUAAAAUGAUUUUUUUGAGAAAAGUAUUUUAUUUUAAAAUAAGAGGAAUUAAUUUGGAAAAAAUAAAAUAUAAGAAAUAAAAUACCCAACAAAACAAAAAUGAAACCUCAAAGUAAAAUUUUUUUUAGUAAUUAACAAAAAUGAUAAUAGUGAUGGUAGAGGCCAAUCUUCAUGAUUUUCCAAUGGCCUUUGAACAAAAAGGAAACUAUCAAAGCAAUAAAUUAUUAAUAUUUAGAUCAAAUAAGCUAAUGAAAUAUCCAUCAAGAAUUAGCAACAAGGAUUCAAGAAGCGCAUAAAUUGAGAAUAACAAUCCAUAAUUAACAUAAGAUUAACUAAACACAUAAAUGCCUCUAGACUAAAAAAAUAAAUUAAAUCAAGAUUAAACUUUAUCUAACGGGAUUAAUUAAACUAAUGUAUUCAAAUCACAAACACAUACAAGUGAAGAACAAAUUAAAACUAAAUUAAAUUGUAAUUAAAAACAUGAACUUUAUUUAAUAAGAUUAAUUAAACUACUAAAUUACAAUUACAAACACAUCCAAAUUAAAAAUAAAUAAAAGCUAAACUAAAUCGGAAUUUCAAAUAUGAACUUUAUCUAACAAGAUUAUUUAAACUAAUGAAUUAAAAUCACAAAUAUACUUAAACUAAAAGAUAGGUUAAAAUUGAACUAAUUUAGAAUUAAAAAAAAAAUAUAAACUUUAUCUAACAUGAUUAUUUAAACUAAUAAAUUAAAAUCACAUACAUAUUUAAACUAACAAAUAAAUUAAAAAUAAACUAUUUUGGGAUUAAAAACAUGAACUUUAUCUAACAUAAUUAUUUAAACUUAAGAAUUAAGAUCAACUAAUGCAUUUAAACUAAAAACGAAUUGAAAUCAAACUAAUUGAGAUUAAAAACACAAACUUUAUUUAACGUGAUUAUUUAAAGUAAAGAAUUAAAAUCAACAAAAUACAUUUAAACUAAAAACAAAUUAAAAUCAAAUUAAUUGGGAUUAAAAAUACAAAAUUUAUUCGAUAUGAUUAUUUAAACUUAAGAAUUAAGAUCAACAAAAUGUAUUUAAACUAAAAACGAAUUGAAAUCAAACUAAUUGAGAUUAAAAACACAAACUUUAUUUAACGUGAUUAUUAAAAGUCAAGAAUUAAAAUCAACAAAAUAUAUUUAAACUAAAAAAACGAAUUGAAAUCAAAUUAAUUGGGAUUAAAAAUACAAGCUUUAUUUAACGUGAUUAUUUAAAACAAAGAAUUAAGAUCAACUAAUGCAUUUAAAUUAAAAAUGAAUUGAAAUCAAACUAAUUGGGAUUAAAAAUACAAACUUUAUUCAAUACAAUUAUUUAAACUUAAGAAUUAAAAUCAACAAAGUACAUUUAAACUAAAAAACAAGUUAAAAUCAAACUAAUUGGGAUUAAAAAUACAAACUUUAUUCGAUAUGAUUAUUUAAACUUAAGAAUUAAGAUCAAUAAAAUGUAUUUAAACUAAAGACGAAUUGGAAUCAAACUAAUUGAGAUUAAAAACAUAAACUUUAUUUAACGUGAUUAUUUAAAGUCAAGAAUUAAGAUCAACAAAAUACAUUUAAACUAAAAAAAAAAUUAAAAUCAAACUAAUUGGGAUUAAAAAUACAAACUUUAUUCGAUAUGAUUAUUUAAACUAAAGAAUUAAGAUCAACAAAAUACAUUUAAACUAAAAAACGAAUUGAAAUCAAAUUAAUUGGGAUUAAAAAUACAAACUUUAUUUAACGUGAUUAUUUAAAACAAAGAAUUAAGAUCAACUAAUGCAUUUAAAUUAAAAACGAAUUGAAAUCAAACUAAUUGGGAUUAAAAAUACAAACUUUAUUCAAUAUGAUUAUUUAAACUUAAGAAUUAAAAUCAUUAACAAACUUAAACUAAAAGAUAGAUUAGAAUUAAACUAAUUGGGGAUUUAAAAAGAAAAUAAUAUAAACUUUAACACAAAGAAUUAAUCAAAAACUAAAAUUUCCAAAAAAAAAAAAAAAAAAAAAAAUCUAGGCUAAAUAAAAGUACUAUAUAGAAAACUAACCUUUGAAGUGAAAGAGAAAAUCCUCUCUUGAUGAUUAAAUGACAGCCCGAUCUCCGUUCGAAGUCCCUUGCUUUUUUCCAAAAUUCCGUGUGCUCUGCCCCCCAAGAAAAAAUCCUCCUAUUCUUUUCCUUUUCUCACCUAUAUAGAUCACCCCUCAAGACCUAAAUUUGUUUCCAAAAAGGAAAAUUCUCCUCCUUCCUUUCUUCUUCUCUUCUUUUUUUAAAUCCUCCAAUCAAAAGCAAUCUUCCCAAUUUCAAAUUCCCCUCCAAAACCUUCCAAGGAGAGUCCCGUCUUCCUUAAACUCCAAUGGUAAGUUUCCUUGCAAAAACAUGAAAUUUUUGAAGUUAAAUAAUUGCAUGAAUAGAUAAAUAAGUAAAUAAAUUAAAGAAUGGUAAAAAUAAUAAAUAAAUAAAUAAGUUAAGGAAAAUAAUAUAAAGAGGAAGAUAACCAAUAAAAAGUGAAUGAUAAUCAUAAAAUUAAAAUUAAAAACAAAAUAAAUAAAUAAAUAAAUAAAAUAAAAUAAAAUAAAAUAAAAGUCUUCGUAGGCCUAGUGUGCCUAAACGGGCCUAAGGUGAGACUAAGUGGGCCUAGGGUAGUGCCUAAUGGGCCAAGUGUAUCUAAAAGCUAUCCUAAAAAAACAAGAAAAGCCUAAGUCUAAGUUAGGGCUGCCAAGGGUCACAAUAAGGGAUCAAAUAAUCCCUCAACCAAAAUCUCCGAGGUGACUCAGAAAAAGGUAAGUGGUAUGAGUAGCCAUGGGCCACCAAGGAACUAUUGUGGAGCAUUGAAAACGAAUUUUAAAGACAUGUGCUAAAGGGACAAAAUUGAGGGUCUACAGCUGGCAUCUUUGGAGCGGCGACGUGUAAAGAUCUCUCAAGGUGGCGGUUGUUUGUUCUUUUGCUUCAUGAAGCCUGCGUGCUGUCCUAGACCCACAUCACCAGGCUGCGUGUUGUCUUCCCAAUGGAGCCUACAUGACUCUCCACGUGUCAAUGCCUUUCAAACAAUAAUGCAACCCUUGGAGCAUUACAGUCGUGUAUGUGGAUCAUUCUUCAGUGGCAGUUCACAUGUGUCAUUCUUCUUGAGUGGCAUUCUUUGUGUCAUCCCUCCCAUGUGCGACUAUGCAUAGAGAUUUCUUCCUAGCAGUCUCUGAGACCUUGGUGCCUAGGAUCCUUCUUGAGAAAUUCCGGUGCUCCUCAUGCAAAACAUAAUAAAAUAAAAUUUAAAAAGGGUAAAAGAAAAGAUAAGAAACUGAUAAAAAUUAUGAGAUUGAUAAUAAAACGAAAUACGAUUUUAAAAGCCAAGAAAGAGAAACCAGGUUAUAUAAUUCCACCAUCCAAUCAAGGGUUAUUUGCACAUUUUGGAGUCUAAACAAUUCGAGCAAUUUCCUAUUAAAUGAGUGAAUAAAUAAAAUAAAAUAAAAUAAUAAAAAUAGUAAUAAUAAUAAUAAUGACAAUGAUAAUGAUGAACAAAUAAAAGGUAAAAAAUGAAAAUGAAUAAACAAAAUAAAUAUAAUUAUCGAAUGCAUGCAAUAAUAAUAAUAAUACUAAUAAAAGUUAUAUAUAUAUGUAUAUAAAAAUUAAGCCCGAUGAAGUGUUUAAACGGGCCUACAUGGGUGCCUAGUGAACUAAGUGUCCUAAAGUGAUCGGGAUAUUGUCUAAGUGACGUAAACAUGGUUAAGAACUAUCCUAAAAAGGAAUGGAAAGCUUAAGUCUAAAUCAAAACUGCCAAGGGUCACAAUAAAGGGGUUAGGCAAUCCCUUAGCCAAAGUCUCCUGAUUCGUGCCCAAUUGGUGUCUCAGCUGAUUCAUGUCCAGCUGGUGCUCCUUGAUUGAGGGAGUAAUCAACAAAAUUUAUAACCUAUUACACCAUAUACUAGGGUAGCAAAGACAAAGCUACUAUAGCAUAGUGGCUCUAGGAUCGUUCACUGGGAUGGGUUUUCACUUCACAAAUGAUAUUAAUUCAAAAUUGAAUUGGUGCCUUUUCAUUUCAAGGUUAGCUUUAAAAGAAAUCAUAAAGAUGUUUGAAUGAAAAAGGUUUGGUUUUAAACUAAACAAAAAUAGUAACUAAUUUUACUUACAAAGAAAAGUGUUUCUUGGAGUUUCAGAUCACUAGGCUCAGGUUCCUCAUACAAAAAAGGAGAGUUCCAAUCACUUGUUUCUUUUCCUCGCAUUAGAGAAUUAACAUAUAGUUCCUUCUCCAAUCGGUGUUGUACAGAUGCUUCCCAUUAAUGGGUUCAAACACUAAAUCCCUCUCACUGAUGCACCUUGCAAUGGCUCAUACCUCUCACCUAGCACUUGCCAUUCAAGGUGAUCUUUAACCUUGGAUUACCGGUCAAAAGCUCGCAAGAGAUAACUAAUGAAUGUCUCAUUGGAGUCCAAAAGCUUACCAAGUGUUGGCUAUUCUAGAAAAUCCCACCUUCAAACCACCUCCCAAAGGCUCGCAAGGGGUAAACUAGUGAAUCUCCAUGGACGGAGAUCACUUGCCUUACCAAGUGUUGGCCCAGGUGAUUUAAAGGCGUUUUAAUUUAACUAAAAAGAUAAAAACCAUUAACGGGUCACACUUUCUCUUCAUUAAAAACUAAAGCAACAAAACUUCCAAUUUAUGCAUAUGGAAACUUACCCGGCUUUCUUCACUCCAAGAGAUAAAGAGCCUAGCCUCUCAUCCUCUGAGGAAAAAUCCUCAGAGUUUGAUUGGCUAGCAAGAAAAUGAAAAUGAAAGAGAAGGAAAAAAAGAGCAAGGCUCUGUAUAUUCUAUAUAUUUAUAUAUCUAUAUAUAUCCCGUUGGAUUACAUCAUUAAAACUCCCCGAGAGUCUUUUUAGUGUUUACAAGAGAGUUUAUAUAGGAAGGUAAUUUACCCUUCCUUGGAUACUUCCUAGCUAAGGAAUUACAUGAGUGGCUGAAUACAAGGAGAAAAUGGAAAUUUAUACAAAAAUAUCUGAAGAAAAGAUCUAAAAGAGUCGGUACACAAAUAUCGGGAAGCACUAAGGACCAUUUCGCAGGUGAAAACGAGGUCUGCGAGAUUUCGCAGACACUCAAAAAGGGCUGCGAAAUCACUUCGCAGCAAACGGCUGACUUCGCAAUGCUGCGAAGUGGUCUUUCAGCUUGCGGUGUUCGACUUCCAACGUGAUGGGAAACUUCAGGGGGAAAUCCACAGCACUGUACAAAAAGGCUGCGAAAUCAUUUCGCAACAAAAGGGUGAUUUCGCAGCGCUAUGCAAAAUUCUUCCUUCAACUUGGAGUGAUCGGCUUGCAAUGGCUGUAACUCCUUCAUUUCAACUCUGAAUCGUGCACCGUUUGAAGCAUUGGAUUUUUGACUUCCUGAGCUUCGAAAUGACAUAUAGCAUGCAUAAAUUGGACUUCAGGAAGUGCUCCAAAAGUGGCUGACAUGAAUGUCAUCAAAAAUGCUUCAUGGCAGAUUUCUCUUUGCUUCUCCUCCUUGCAUUCCGGAUUUUGCUUAUGGCAAAGGACUUCAAAGCUUUGGUUCUUCAUGUUUCUGAGCUUUCCAUUGCUUUGCCAUGGAUUCCAAAUAACUCUCCUCAAUCUUGGAUUGCUUUGGUGAUAAAAAAGCUAUCAAAACACCAAAACUUAACACAAUUUGAUUAGAAUUGAUUGCAAAGGUCCUUAAUAUGUUAAUUGGGUUAAAAGGCAAUAACUACUACUCAAAAGUGUUUAAAAGAGUUGAUUACAAGUUAUCAAAUAGCACUUUUUGAGUAGUAAUCAUCUCCAAGGUGGCUCAAGAAAGGUAAGUAGCGUGAGUAGAUAUGGGCCACUAAGGAGCUAACUGUAAAGUAUCGAACAAGUAUCUAAUAGGACAUGCGCUAGGAGGACAAAAUUGAGGGUCUACAAAUAUGCCCCUCUUCGGUAUAGAUCACGAGUGUAAGGAAUAUGAGUAAAAAAAAUACGAAUAAUGAGUGGAACGAAGUGAACUAUACCGAAGAACUAAAGAAGGACCAGAGAUUUUGUCUUAGCACAUGAAGAGGUAAGGUCGAAAGAUGGGGUCGUAACGAGAUGGAAAUAAGUGAAAAGGGUGACUCAAAGUCACGAAUGAGAUGAAUGAAUAUGGGUCCAGGACAAGAUGAAUGAAUCUAUGUUUAAAAUAGGAUAAACGACUCUAGGUCAUAGGCUCAGGGCUCUAAUUGGAAAGAAUGACUCGGGGUCAAAAUGGAAAAUGACUCUAGGUCGAGAGCUCCAGGCUCUAAAUAGGAAAGAAUGACUCUGGGUCAAAAUGGAAAAUGACUCUAGGUCGAGAACUCUGGGCUCUAAAUAGAAAAGAAUGACUCUGGGCCAUAAUGGGAAAAAAUGACUCUGGGUCGAGAGCUCUAGGCUCUAAAUAGAAAAGAAUGACUCUCGGCCAAAAUGGAAAAUGACUUUGGGUCGAGAGCUCUGGGCUCUAAAUAGAUAGCCGAUCAGGAUACUUUCCGACUCAAGGUGUCGGGUCGAGGCCACUCAUAAGUGGAUGGAAUGAUGAAAACGAAACAUCUCAGGGAUGUGAAUGAUGCAAAUGACUCUGGGUCGUGAGCUCAGGGCUCGGGGUGCUAUGAAUGACUCUGGGUCAUGAUGCAAUGAGUAAUUCGGGGUACGAUGAAUAGCUCAAGACUACGGAUGGAAUGAAUGACUCUGGGUCAAGAUGGAAAAUGACUCUGGGUCGAUGAAUAGCUCAGGGCUAUGAACUCCGGGCUCUAUGACUGAUCGGCUAGAAGGAGAAUGCGAUACGCAAACUCCAAGUCAAACCACUCAUGGGCGACCAAAUGAUGAAAGCUCAGCUAAGAGUUGGAAAGACUCCGGGUCUAUAGGAAAUGAUAGCUCAGGGCUAGCGGGCUCAGGGCCUAAGGGAAAAAGGAUAGCUCAGGGCUAUAAGACUCAGGGUCUAGAAGGAAUGGAUAGCUCAUGGCUACGAGGCUCAGGGCCUAAAAAAAAAGGAUAGCUCAGGGCUAGCGGGCUCAGGGCCUAAGGGAAAAAAGGAUAGCUCAGGGCUAUAAGACUCAGGGUCUAGAAGGAAUGGAUAGCUCAUGGCUACGAGGCUCAGGGCCUAAAAAAAAGGAUAGCUCAGGGCUACUAGGCUCAGGGCUAUAAGACUCGGGGUCUAAAAGGAAUGAACAACUUAGAGCUACGAGGCUCAGGGCCUAGAAGGGAAUAAUAGAGAAGACAAACUCGAAAGUGGACAUGAAAUAAAUUGGCUCAAAGCCAUAUACUCAAAAUGUCAAGGGUCGGACUACUGAAACCAAGAAGGGAAAUAUGCCCCAGUAUCCAGGGUGCUCACACUGCUGAAACAACCAGUAAACCAAUAUAAGAUUCGGGGUCUAGAAGGAAUGAAUAACUCAGAGCUACGAGGCUCAAGGCCUAGAAGGGAAUAAUAGAGAAGACAAACUCGAAAGUGGACAUGAAAUAAAUUGGCUCAAAGCCAUAUACUCAAAAUGUCAAGGGUCGGACUACUGAAACCAAGAAAGGAAAUAUGCCCCAGUAUCCAGGGUCCUCACACUGCUGAAACAACCAGUAAACCAAUCAUCUGCUAGAAUCAAUGGGUCAAGAACCAAUACAUCAUGACAAACCUCUGAAAAGUCAAAACUGAAAUAGGCCUCUGUGUUUGAAAAGUUGCUCUGUCGACGAAUCUCAAAAGGUAAAUCUCAAAGCGUGUAUAUCGUGGCUCAUUUAAAAGCAAAUCUCAAAGUGCACAAAAUGGUGCUUGUUUGGAUAAACCAAUCGACAAGGUAACAAUGACGAAAACAAAUCUGUCUCAUGAACAUCUGGCUAAAGGAUCUACCCACGCUCCUCGGGUGAAACCUGAUACGAUCCAUCUCUAUCUCAACAAAUCCAUGUAGGGAGGCCCUGAUACAGUCGAUCGUCGGAAGCUCUGGGCUAGUACUCAAUCUAAAACCAAGUUGGUCAUUGUCUCAAUCUCAAGGAUACUAAAAAAGUAGGGAAAUAUGCCCCAGUAUGAGACCUGAUGUCAAAGUCAUAAGCUAAACAACCGACACCAAUCAUCCAUCCUCAUAUCACUGCCUAAAUAAAUCUCGUAAUGGAGAGGGGAAUAUGCCCCAGUAUGGAUAUCGGAUGUCGAAGUCGUGAGGCAAACAAACUAACAAUGAUCAUUCAUCCUCAUACCGUAUACAAUAACAGAUAAGAAUCUUGGAGGAAGGGGGGAAUAUGCCCCAGUGUGAAUAUAUGAUGCACAACCAAAGGAUGAAUCCAACAUCAUCAAUCAGCUGUCCUCAGCUUAACAAUAAUCCGCUAAGAAGUCAGAAUGAUGUAUCGACCAAUCCCUCAAGGGAGACACUCUAAAUCUAAUCUCAAAUGAAUAGCCAAAAUGAUGAGGAAUGUGGCAAUCUCAAAAGUAGAAACAUGUCUCUGAUGAAUCCCUGAUUGAAUCUGAUAGGAAUCUGGUAACCUCAAAAUGGGGAAAAAUGUCCCAGUAUGUCUGAUCUAUACACUGCACUGAAAACUGCCUCCAACUCAGUAAUAAUCCACUAGUCUAUCUCAGAAGUACUCCGCGAAUGGAACCACUAGGGGCUCAACGAUGCUCCACUAGAACUAAUAUAGUCUCAACAUACCUCACUAGGGAUCUCUGAUCGGUGAAAAUACCCAGACUCAAAGAAAGUGCUCCACUAGGGGCUCAUCUCAACCAAAUGAAAGGGGAAUAUGCCCCAGUAUGGAUAUCUAAUGCACAAUCAAAGGAUGAAUCCAAUAUCCUCAAUGAACUGUCUCCAAACCCAAAAAUCCAUCAAACAUCAAUAUGCCAAGCAAGAGAGAGACCAAAUGCUUCCAAAAGUAUCUUCCAUAAAAGAGAACAUAGUAAUGACCAUACUUCAACCAAUCUACCAAAAACCUGUCCAAGUGAAGACUGUCAAAGAUAACGUCUGAUCUCGUGGCCUCAGGGUGGUCUUAAGACAUGGGACGUAACGUAGGGCAAGGUGAUAGGGUGAAAGAAAAGAAGGGAAACUAGGCUCAAACACCCAAUGAUCAAACCCGUACCCUCGUGUACAAGAUGUAAUGCAUAGAAAAAUCUCAUGAGUCAUGGACUUAGAAGUAACCAAAGGGAAUGUCGAUAACGAAAUGAGAGAAAGGAUGAAUGGUCAAACCAUCAAUGAAAUAGGUGAAUGAUGUGAAGAAGGUAUCAAAUCAAUAAUGGGUAUCAAUACGUAGGGAAUGAAUAAAAGGUGGAACGAAGAUCUGGAAAGAGGUAAUGGGAUACAAAAGAAAGCAAUGAGAAAGUGGAAUGAGUGGUGAUCAAUCCAUAUCACCAAUGAUGGAAUGGUGGGUAUAAGACAAUGACCCGGAGACCCUAGUAAAGAGAUUACUCAUCUCUCAUACCUAAUACAUAUCAACCAUGAUCCAAGAAGCAUAGGAUCGCAUAGCACUCUCACAUGAACCCUCGACACUCCAAAUGCAUAACAAGAGUGGCUCAAGAGUGAAAAACUCAUAAAAACUCACAAAAACCCACAAUGACAAAUAUACCCAAUAAAUGAACCUCAAAAGGUGGCAUAAAUACCCAAUGGAACGAGAUACCAUACAUGAGCAUAUCAUUGCGCUUUUUUUAUUUUUUUUUUCUUCUUUUUUUUUCUGUUUUUUUUUAAUUUUUAUUUUUAUUUUUUUGUCUUUUUUUUUUCAUGCUCUGAUCAUUAAUAAAUCAAACUCCAAUGGGAAAAAUAUAAGGAAUGAACAAACUCUCUCUGACCGCUGAUGAAUACAUGAACCCCAACCCCUGAGACAACCUCUCAAACUAAGAUCUCCGAAUCAAUGUCAAAUGAUGGAAUGAAUAGAGUGAUAUGACUGCCCUCUUUGCACUAAGACAUGAAGGAUCAUCAACCCAAGGAAGAGAAUAGAUAAGAUGAAGCAAAUAAUGAUAGAGACAAGAAAGAGAAUGAAUAUGUGGUGAUAAUAAAAUAGAACAAAUAGAUAAGAGGAUGGUAACAAAAUGGGAAGAUAGACUUAUAAGUCUAAAGCUUGUGAGACUUUCCUAGCAAAGCAUGCAUAUACAUCAAAGGGCCCCAACCCGGGUAUAGAAAUGGCAAUCAAAGCUAUAAGAAAGAAAUAAGGCUAUAACAUACCACGCGAAGCUCAAUGGGCUAGCAACGGUCUAAUAUAUAGAGGUGAUAAAGUAUGAGGCUAAUCGAAAUGAUGGCCACCCAUCCUGCGACCACGGUCUCAAACAUAAUACUUCUUUAGCUGAUCCACAUUGGUAGGCUCUGAAAAUUGGUUUCCAUCUAAGUCUAUCAACCAUGCAGCCCCUUCUGGAGUCAACUCUCGGAUAACAUAAGGUCCACUCCAACUAGGUCUAAACUUUCCUCUAGGGUCUCCAAUCAAGCCUCUGAGAAUCCUCAAAACUAAGUCUCCUUUUUGCAAUGGUCUAGGCUUAACUCGUUUCUUGAAGGCACGAGCCAUCUUUCUCUGAUAGGCCUGAACAUGAUCUACUGCUCUCAAUCUCCUCUCAUCUAAAAGGUUAAGCUGAUCAAAUCGAGCUUGAGCCCACUCUGUCUCAGAAAUCUGCUGCUCAAGGGCUACUCUCAAUGAGCCCAUCUCUGUCUCGACUGGCAAAACAGCCUCCAUACCAUACACUAGAGAGUAAGGCGUAGCUCCUGUAGAAGUACGAAAAGAGGUACGAUAUGCCCACAAUGCAAAAGGAAGCUUCUCUGACCAAUCUCGAGAAGUCUCAACCAUCUUCCUCAAAAUCCUCUUAAUAUUCUUGUUUGUAGCCUCUACUGCCCCAUUGGUCUGUGGCCUAUAUGUAGAAGAUCUAUGAUGUCGAAUGCCAUACUCCUGCAACAAAGUGUCUACCUCAGCUCGGAAGUGCACCCCUCUAUCUGAAAUCAGCUCAUGAGGAACCCUAUAGCAGCAAAUGAUGUGUGAUCUGAUAAAACUGGCAACCCUAGCAAAUGUCAACCUCGCAUAUGAUGCGGCUUCCACCCACUUGGUGAAAUAAUCUAUGGCAACUAGGAUGAACUCAUGACCACUGGAAGAUUUUGGUGAAACCUUCCUAAUGAUAUCAAUACCCCAUACUGAAAAUGGCCAUGGCGAGGUCAAAGCGUGUAACUCUGAUAGCGGUGCAUGAAUGAGAUCACCAUGAAUCUGACACUCUGGGCAUUUCUGGACAAACUGACAACAAUCUGUCUCCAUAGUCAACCAUAAAUAGCCCGUCCUCAUAAUCUUACGGGCUAGCAUGUGUCCUCCCAUAUGCAGACCACAAACUCCUGAAUGAACCUCUCUCAUCACUCAAUCUGCAGAGGCUUGAUCUAAACACAACAGAAGCAUACCAUCAGCUGAUCGUCUGUACAAGGUAUCUCCACAAAUGACAAAUCUAGUGGCCAAAUUCCUCAGCGCUCUCCUAUCCUUGGCAAUGGCUACCUCAGGGCAUGUGCCAGAUCUAAGAAACUGAUAAAUGUCAUGAUACCAAGGUAGAUCAUCCUGGACCUCUGUUUCUCCAAUCAAACAACAGUAGGCGGGUGAAGACCUCAACUCAAUCAGCAAUGGACGUAUAACUACAUCAAUCGGAAUGUUCACAGAAGAAGCUAGGGUAGCUAAGGCGUCGGCAAACCGGUUCUGUGCUCUAGGUAGAUGAACAUAUCUCAAGUCAUCAAAUCUCGCAACCAGCAACUCCAAAUAGGCGUGAUAUGGCCUAAGCUUCACAUCCCUAGUCUUCCAAUCCCCCUAAAUUUGUCUAAGUACCAUAUUGGAGUCACCAAAUACCUCCAUCUGUCUAAUGUCAAGCUCCAAUACAAUCUCUAAACCAAAGAUACAAGCCUCAUACUCAACUAUGUUAUUCAUGGAAGGAUGUCGAUCAGAAAAUUCCAAAUGAACGGACCUCGGAAUAUGAUCACCUUGAGAGGAUACCAAUAGAACACCUAUCCCAUACCCUAAUUGAUUGGCUGCACCAUCAAAGUACAUGCACCAUCCUGAUAAGCUGGUCAUAGCAACAAACUCCUCAUCUGGAAAAUCAUCAUCAACUGGUCUAUUCUCAGAUGUCGGUAGUGAGGCUAGGUGAUCGGCGACAAUACUUCCCUUAAUAGACUUCUAAGAAACAUACUGGAUAUCAAACUCUGUCAAAAGUACGAGCCAUCUCAUCAGUCUACUAGUCAAUGCAGGUCUAUCAAAUAAGUAUCUCAAUGGAUCUAGGCGGGAUAUCAAAUGCACUGAGUACUCCGUCAUGUAAUGCCUUAAUCUCCUGGUAGCCCAAACUAGUGCUAAGUAGAGGCGCUCAAUCAUAACAUAUUUCACUUCAUACUCCAGCAUCCUCUUACUCAAAUAGUAGAUAGCCCGUUCCUUCCCUGAGACAUCAAUCUGAGCUAACAUACAUCCCAAAGCCAUGUCUAAAACUGACAAAUAUAGAAGAAGUGGACGUCCUGGCGUAGGAGGCACUAAAACAGGAGGAGAAAGCAAAUACCCCUUGAUCUUCUCAAAUGCAAGCUGACAAUCAUCAUUCCAAACUGUUGGCUGGUUCUUCCUUAAAAGGCGAAAGAUGGGCUCACAUAUGUCUGUCAAUCUGGCUAUGAAACGACUAAUGUACUAUAAUCUGCCUAGAAAACCUCUAAUCUCUUUCUCAGUCUUUGGUGCAGGCAUGUCAAGUAUAGCUUUGAUUUUAUCUGGGUCGACCUCUAUGCCUCGCUCACUGACCAUAUGCCCCAAUAAUUUCCCAGAAGUCACUCCAAAGGUGCACUUCUUGGGAUUCAACCUCAAUCUAAACUUCCAGAUCCUCUCAAAGAAUCUCUCUAAAGCCUCUAGGUGAUCUGCUCUGCCUUGGGAUUUCACAAUCAUAUCAUCCACAUAAACUUCAACGUCCCUAUGCAUCAUGUCAUGAAACAAAGUAGUAGCGGCCCUCUGAUAAGUGGCUCCUGCGUUCUUCAACCCGAAUGGCAUAACCUUGUAAUAGUAGGUACCCCACUCAGUAAUAAAGGUUGUCUUCUCCAUAUCCUCUGGAGCCAUCAAAAUCUGAUUAUACCCUGAAAACCCAUCCAUGAAAGACAACAUCGAAUGGCCUGCAGUGCUAUCAACUAACAAAUCAAUGUGUGGGAGGGGGAAGUCGUCUUUAGGACUGGCUUUAUUAAGAUCUCUGAAGUCCACACAAACUCUAACUUUGCCGUCCUUUUUGGGUACUGGGACGACAUUAGCCAACCACUUUGGAUAUUCAACCACUGAUAUGAAUCCAACAUUGAGUUGUUUCUGAAUCUCCUCUUUCACCUGCAGACUCCAACGUGGAUGUAAUCGUCUCAAUUUCUGCUUAACUGGUCUGACAUGUGGUAGGAUAGGUAAGUGGUGCUGAACUAUAGAGGGAUUAAGACCAGGCAUGUCCUCAUAAGACCAUGCAAAAACAUCCAAGUAUGACCUGAGUAAAUGAAUAAGUCUAUCUCUCUCAUCUGUAGAUAGGGGUGAACCAAUCUUCAGCUCUCUAGGCUGAUCCUCUGUGCCAAAAUCAAUAGUCUCAACAUCCCCUGUAGCGGGUGAAACUCUCUCAUCCACGGGAUCGGAGUCAUGAUCAGAAGAGUCCCUAUCUGGAUCGGGCCAUGUAGCCUCAUCAUCUAUAUCAAAUAUCUGUGAAGUGGGUGAGUGGGGUGCAGAUAUAGAAGUAUUAUCACAAGAGGCAGGAAAAUACUAAAAAAUACUCAAAUCCAUAAACGAAGCAACAGAAACAUCCUCAGAGCGGGAGACAAAUCCCGAUGAAACAUCAAAAGAAAGAAGUGGGUCCACAAGGUCGGACGCUCCCUCAACUAGGCUAACAAUGCCCUCAAACAAGCUACUAUCAUCCUCUGGAAGCUCUGGAACAGGAAGAGUCUGAGUCUCCUCAAAAACCUCAAUGGUAGACACCCCAAACAUAUCAAAUGCUGAAAUAGGCUGAAGCUGAACAAUGCUGGUAAUCUGGCUCAUGGUCAUCAUGUCCAUCUCAUCUCGGUACUCAUCAUAGGAAACAACUCCAUCAAUCAUCUCAGUAGAAUCAACCAUCACCCCAUCACUAGUGAUCUCCUCUAGAAAACAUAGAGACAACAUGUUAGCUCGAUCUGGAGACGUAGGAGUAAUCGUCAAAGGGAAAGAAGAGUCGGGAGCCCCAUCACUCAACUGUAGCUAGUGAAAUAGAUGCUGAAGAUCGGUCUCUCUAUUUGUAUGAACCACACUAUCAAUCUCCUCUAGACGAGGUCGAGUCUCUGAUCCUCUGACAAAGUAGUCAGCCAAACUCAUCCUAUAGGGUCGAAUAGGAUAAUCAAAUGGUGUGUGGGAUAAACGGGCUCUCACCCUCUCCUUACGCAGCCGCGCCAUGUAACGGUAAUUAGCCUCGGUAGGGAUGAAUCCAAGUCCAAAUGUCGUAUCAUGGUCAAUGGCAGCUAUGAACUCGCUCGGUCCCUGCUGAUGUCGUCCUAACCCCAUGUCAGGUAGAAAGGUCAUACCCCUCAUCAUAUCAAGGACCACUGUGCUACUGUGCUGAUCAAACGACAUAGCCACAAAGUCUCCACAAAAAUCCUCAAUCUCGAGAGUCUGUAUCUCAUCAAAAGUAAACCCAGUCAGAAGUAGGUCAUCCUCACUGUGACUGAUCUGAAGUACUGGCUCAGAAGCGGCAAAUAUAUCCCUAGUAGAGCGCACUGUGAUGACCGGCCCAUCAUGAAUAAACUUCACCUUCUGAUGAAGGGAAGAAGGAAUAGCUCCAGCUAUAUGAAUCCAUGGUCGGCCUAGUAGCAGGUUAAAGGAUGUAGGAAUCCUCAAAACCUGGAACAAAGUGGAAAAUGUGGCUAGACCAAUCUGCAAAUCAAUCAUCAAGGUACCCAUAACCUCCCUCUUGGUGCUAUCAUACGCCCUGACUGUCUGUGUAGAAGGACCAAAAUCUGAAGGUGCGAAACCAAGGGCUAUAGUAGUGGCUAAAGGGCAAACAUUUAGGGCUGAGCCGUUGUCCAGUAGGACAGACGGGACUCUACGGCCUGAACAUCCGACUGUGAUGUAUAGAGGGCGCACGUGGUCUAAACCAUCAGGUGGCAAGUCAUCAUCUGAAAAUACAAUGCAAGUGGCCCUGCUAGCCGUCAUCAUAUGAAUCAAUCCCUCUAGAGUGGUGGUAGUCUCUACUCUGAUCUGACUCAAGGCUCGAAUCAAAGCAUCUCUAUGAGUACUGGAUGAUGCUAAUAAACUCCAGAUGGAAAUGCGAGCCUAAGUGCUCUGUAACUGUCUCAAAACCUCAUCAUCCUCUAUCCUAACCUCCUCAUGAGAGGUUGUACCCUCAAAUGGUCUAACUGCUGGUGGUGGUGGUUGAGCUAUCCUCCCACUACGAGUCACAAUCUGUAUCUCUCUCCCUGCUGAAUCAUCAUCCUCUGGCCAUAAAGUGAAUGGGACAAAAGUAUCCUGACAUCCGAUAACUAAGGGUGUAGGAUGAGUCAACUGGAAUGGUGCCUCGUCCGGGAUCAAACCGAAUGGUGCAGGAGUCCCAGGGACCAAUGAAACCCCAUCGACCUCAUAACUGUCAUGCAAAACAAUCGGCUCGGGUAAUCCAUCAUCCCAACUCAACAUGUGUAUACUGUCAUCCUCUAUAAGGUCCAUGUGAUGAAUAUCUCCUAAAGAUGGAGACACUGUGUGUGUAGAAUGAGUAGGAAGAGGGUUCGUAGUCACACUUGGCUGCCCCAAGUUGACCAAACCCUGAUCUAUCAAAUCCUGAAUAGCAUGUCUCAAAGCAGUGCAAGGGUCCGUGUCAUGCCCUGGUCCCUGAUGGUAGGAACAAUGUAAGUCCAUCCUAAAGCGAGGUGGUAUGGGUUGGGGUAAAGGCCUGGAUGCUAAUGGAAUCAGUAAUCCACCCUCUGUGAGCUUCUGAAAAGCUCGACUCAAAGGCAUACCCAACUGAACAAACUGACGUGGUGGCCUCUGCACAUAAGUAGUGGUUUGUGGAGCUCGGGGUCGAGUAUAUGGGGCAGGAGGCCUCUCUGCGACGUGUGCAGCAAAAACAGGCUAUGAGUCCGGAUGCAGAUAAGUAGGAGUCAUAGGUCUGGAAGGAGUGGGUGGUCUGUAAUGCGCAUGAGGUGAAGGUGGAUAGUAGUACCCAGGAGUCUGCCCAACUGUCUGAUAGCGUCUAGAAGGUCUCAUCCCUGCUGAAUUGAUAGCACCAACAUCUCCUGAUCUCUGUCCUCCUGAAGGCCUCUUCCCCUUAGAAUCAGUAGGGGAAGACUCAGACCAUAAUCCUUUAGCAAUGCCCUCCUCUAUACCAUACAAAGCCUGUACCAAAGAUCCAAAAUCCGUAUGGGGAAAUCCCAUCAAGUGUCUAGCAAAUCUAGGCUGCAAGCUCCUCAUGAUCAUGCUAAUCUGAUUUCUCUCUGAAGGACGGUCUAUAAUCUGUGAAAUCUUCUCCCUCCAGCGGGAGAUAAAUGAAGUGACUGACUCCUCCGGCCUCUGUCUCAAAGCCUCCAACUCUCUCCUCGAAACAUCAAUGACAGUGUUAAAUGCAAACUGUCUCAAGAACUCCUGGGCUAAGUCAUCCCAAGUCCUACGGUGUGAAACCUCCAAUGAAGCGAACCAACACUGUGCAACACCACUCAAUGACAUAGGGAAGAGCAUAACCAUCUGGGCAUCAUCCAGUCCAUGGGCCCUCAUAACAGUACUAUAGAGUCUCAAAUGGAUGCGAGGGCAUCCUAUGCCUGUGUAUCUCUCAAUCUCGAGCAUCCUGAACUUGGCCGGCAAACUAGCCACUGGUGCUCCAUCAAAAUCCUCCCAAGUAACAACUCCGUCUGAAGCCCUCAUCUGUCUCAACUUCUGCUCAAGUCUAUCCAUACGUGUGUGUGGGUCCUCUGAAGCCGGGAUAUGCGAUGUGACAGGAGGCGGGGCAACCUCGAUUUGACUAUGCAGAGUGAAAGGUAUAGCCUGUGGUACUGACUGACUAGGCGGAGGUGGUGGUGGUACUGUGGUAUCGAAUUGGGUACUCUCCUGAACUGGGACCUGCUGGGUCUGUUGUCCAUCUAUCCUCUGACCAAGGUUAGCUAUAGCCUCCUGGAUAGAAGCCAUGGCUGCGGCAAACUGGUCAACGGUAACUACUUGUGAGUCCACAUCCCUCUUAUCUGAUCUCUGAUCUGACUGAUCUGAUACUCUGCUCAAUCUACUUCCAACUCUAAUCCACAAAGGUGAAUCCAGAUCGGUCAAGGUAAACCCUCCUACAAAUAUGGAAACACUGGAUAAGGUGCGGUACAAGUGUGACUCUGUAGGAAUCAAGUGCAUAGAAGUAAAACCUAAAUAUACUCAAUCUGAUACCCAUCUCUGAUCACACCAAAAAGAGAAUAUGGAAGGGAUAACUAAUCCCAAUCGUGACCAAGGCAGCUCUGAAAGUCCACAGAUGCACCCACGUGUAGGAAUGAAAUCUUAAUUGGGUCUAGGCUAACCUACAAGGUUAAGGCGGCUUUAUAGGAUAAAAUGGGUGGGUCAAAGGAUCCCUAGCAGAAGUGAUCGUACCCUCCGGCGGUACGCAACCCUCUGCACGCCUCCAAGGACACUGGGUGCUUCCAUGCAAGGUGGUCAUUACCUCCACACAUGCACUUCCUCGCGUUCCCAGGGGGUUUCUUAAAGGUGAAGGUUCUCCCAUCUCUCAACACUCAGGGAUAAUCUAAAGUGCAUAAUGAAGAAUGUGGGUGCAUCCGAAAAACCUAAGAUCAAAAGUGAGAUAGUGAACAAAGACAAGCAAUCAUACAAUCAUGCAAGAGAAAGGGUUGUCAUGCAACAAGCAGUCAUACCAAGCAGAUAAGUGUCAUACAAUCAAAGUCCUAUCUAGCAUAUGUGAGAGUGAAUCAUGCUGAAGUGAGUAAGCAAUCAAGUGAUCAUCCAAGGCAAUCAAACAUGUUAAGAUAGCAGACCAAACAAGCAAAUCGAAUCACCUUGCCCUAAAACAAAAAAGGGUACCCUCUAAUCAACCAAUUAAACGCCACAUUUUCCUCAACUAGUGUUCAAGCUUGAUCCUCAAAAUCCCCAGCAUAGUCGCCAAUUUAUGGACCCGCAUUUUUCACGUGCGCCCCCACUUGAUCGGCGAGACUCACUUUUUAUUUGUGAAAAAUUAAUUUUUGGAAAAAAAGUUGGAUUUUUGGAAAAAAAGUUGGAGCCGCCACUUAUUUUAUUUUUAUUUUAAAGGGAAAAUAAAACAAGAAAGAAAAACCCUAAAAUGUGACUCCAUAAUUUUUGGAAAAGCAUGUCUUUAAAAAACCCGAGUCUAGGUCCGGGGAUCAGGUUACUUAUUGGGAAGGUACCUCUAGGAGGUAGCACCCCUCUAAGCCCUAAAGAGGUCUCUACUAACUAAGUUAAGGGGAAUAUAGCAAUUAACCGAUUAAUUAUGGAUACCUAAGUAGGCUAGGUGAUUUCGAAAAAUAGCAUGCUUAGCAGGAAAACCAAUCACAAUCAUGAAGAAGAUUUAGGGUACGUACCUGGACCACUUCUCAAGCGCUAUCACAAGACAUCAAAGUUAGUAUAGAAGUAUAGCACACAACAUGUAUUUAAUCAUAGCGAAUCUAGCAUACAUCUAAACACCUAAGAUUAUCAAACAUAUGCAUAUUUCACAGUGACAUGAUUGUUUACAAAAUUUAGAAAGUAGGGGAUAGGGACAUACCUGGAUAACAUAGAUAACUUACAACGCGCCUCCAUAAGACAUGAGGGGUUAGAUAAUGAAUAAUAAAAUAUAGAAAUCCUAGCAUGCUCGUUAUCUAAUUAGCAUAGCAGAAAUUAUCACAAAGUAUAUGAAAACACUAAUUAUCACACUCAUCUUGUAUACAAUUCCUAAAAGAAGAUAGACAUAAUUUCAACAAGUGACAGAAGUGGCAACAAAAAUAAUUUUUGAAAAAGAUUUUCUUAUGUAGAGGUUUCACCAAUUCCCCAAUUAAUAUACACAAAUUUAGCCUAGAAUUAUCCCAUUUAUUUGGGACCAUAAGCUUUGAUUCGUGUUUUAUUCAAAACUGUAAUUUUAUUUGAAAGAUGUGAACCGAUCAAAACAUGGUUGCACAUUAUUUUAAAAAAUGAGAUUUUGAUCCUAACAACUCUAAAUGAAUUUUUGAAAUGGAUUGUAAAGGGGAUCUUUUGACUUUAAGAAACUCUAAAUGUAUUUUUGAAAACGGAUUUUUAAGGAAAAUGAGAUUUUGAGAAUAGUUUUAUAUUUUAAAAAUAAAGAAAUUAAUUUGAAAGCAAUAAAGUGUAUGAAUCGAAAUACCAAGCAAAACAAAAGAGAACAAAAUCACAAAGUAGAAUUUUUGACAACCAAGAAAAUUGAAGGUGAGAAUAGAGGCUAAUCUUCAUGAGUUUCCAAAAGCCUCAGAAAGAAAAUCAAAUUAAAUGAAGGAUCACUAAAGCAACGGGCAAGACAUUCUAAAUUAGACAAACUAACGGAGUAUCGAUUCAUGAACUAACCGCUAGGAUUUUAAAAGCAAUAAGUUAAGAUGAAGGUGAUCAGGAUCUAACAUUAAUAAUUUUGAAACAAAAACUAAAAAAAAGGAUCAAUUCAGGUAAGGAACUAAAAUUAUAGAAGUACCUAAACUAAUUAUAACGAGUUUGACUAAAUUAAACUAAAAACAUGAACUUUUAAAUAAAGAAUCAAUUUUAUCAAUAAAUAAAUAAAAUUAUAAAAACACAUAAACUAAUUAAAAUGAACCAAAUUAAACCAAAGAAUACUAAAAAUAUGGACUUCCAAACAUGGGAUCAAUUUUAUUAAUAAACUAAAACUAUAAAACAAACACCUAAAAUAAUGAGUAUAAAUUAUUAAGUCAAAGCAAACUAAAAACUGAAACUUUCAAACAUGGGAUCAAUUUCAUUAAUGAACUAAACUAUAACAAAUAUCUAAACUAAAUAUAAUGAAUCAAAUUAAAUUAAAGCAACCUAAAAACGCAAACUUUCAAACAUAGAAUCAAUUUUAUCAAUGAAUUAAAACUAUAAAUGUACUUGAAGUAAAUAGAUGAAUCAAACUAAAUCAGAGUAAACUAAAAAAAAAAUGAACUUUCUAACAUGAAAUCAAUUUUAUCAACAAAUAAAUGAAUGAAUAACAAGUAAUUAAAAGAGUAGCAAGUACAUGAAUAACUGAAUGAAUAAAAUUCAAACGUUUUCAAUCCGAAGCAAUCAAUCAAAAUUAAAUAGGGAUCAAAUCGAAAUAAUCGAAAUUGGAAAAACAAUAUGCAAUCUUUCUAAAGGUUUAAUCAAACAAUUGAAUUAAAAUUAUGAAUAGAAUAAAUUAAUAAACCAAAUCGAAACCUAAAUUGUACCUAAAAAGAUUAAUUAAUUAAACUAAGAAAUCAAAAUCAAUAACAAAACUAAACUAAAGAGUAAAUUAAGACAAAACUAAUUAAAUUAAACUCAUAAACACGUUUUAACUAUCAUAUGGAUUAAAACAAAAUUAGCAUGGACUUAUGAAUUACGAACAAAAAUAAUCAAAACUAUUUCAAAAACUCACCUGUAUUAUAAAAAAAAUCUGCCUUUGAUGCGUUAAGGUGGCUCCCCUCUCCGUGUGGAUCUCUCUGCUCCCAGAAAAAAAAUCUAUUCUCUCCUCCUCGAAUAUCCUUCACUUGCGUCCCUUUUUUCUUCUCCCCCUUUUUCAGAAAAUUCACUCUUUAAUUUAUAUGGCAACCUUACCUUAUGGAAUAUUUUCUUUUUUCCUUUUGGAGAUGUAGGUAGAUAUGGGAAGUAUGGCUCGCUUGGAGAUUCCCAAGGAUAUGUGUGUCCUGUUUGGUAAGUGUCUACAUCUAGUGGUCGCAUCAUCCGCCGUUGAUUGGAUUGAUCAGGCUGGAAAUUGUGAGAACCUUAUCCUGCACCACCACGUACUGGAACAUUCACAUUUUAAUGCACGUUUCGCCGGAGAAAGGCAAAGAAUAUUCCGGCAGCUUUGUAAGAUCGACGAAUCAAGAUUUCUCUUCUUUUCCCAUGGCCAACGUGUGGCGGUGGGCUUUUCGGUCUCUGGCAUAGGUCUCUCAAACCAAACAGAUUCCAUCUAUGCUUCAACGUUGAUCCUUUCAUGUCGAUUAUGUCGAUAUUUGGUUCAGGUCUCGUGUCGACUAUCCUCUAUGUCGGGUCGGGAUUUUUCGGCAUGAAUCUUCAUUCAUUCCGGUGAUGGUUGCCAGCAUUCGAUUCAGUUUGGGCAAGGCAGCUUUAGAGAGCAUUAUUUUCGAGCCUCUAAGCGAGGCCGAGCAGGAAUCAGAAACUGCAGUAGCAGAGAUCAUGCCGGCGGAGUUAUCCUCAAGGAGAAACCAGUUCGAAGGCGGAUUCAACAUACUGGAUUUUAUGCUAAAGAGAUCACACUUAUUUGGCUUCGAGUGGGACCUCCCGUUAGAACGGCUGGUGAUGGUGUUGGUGAUGACGUCCUCGUGGCAAUACGGUCGGCGGGGAGUGAACUCCAUAAACACCGCCUUGUUUGCCUAUCACCAGCCACCAUUGUUGUCGUUCUCGCUAUGACUCAACUUCACCAAAAACAAAACUCGCUACGUCGCCGAGAAUCUCAGCCACAACGGAUCUGGGAAGGGCUUCCGGGCUCAGGGAACUUCGUGAUCGGAAUGAAGACCCUGACGAACUGAAGUAGAACCGGUUACCUUUAUGCUUGACAUGGGUCCCAGCUUUUGAAGCAGAGGAAAGUGCAACCCCUAAAGGUUCCAGCUGGCCCUGCUUUUUGUAACGGAAUCUUGAAGUCGUUCUGUGAGAGCGUGUUCCCCUUUGCUUCUAUUGGAGAGUGCUCUAAAUGGUUGUGGGUGUCCUCCUUGUAGCGUGCUGGCAUCUUUGGAGUGGCGACGUGUAAAGAUCUCUCAGGAUGGCGGUUGUUUGUUCUUUUGCUUCAUGAAGCCUGCGUGCUGCCCCAGACCCACAUCACCAGGCUGCGUGUUGUCUUCCCAAUGGAGCCUACAUGACUCUCCACGUGUCAAUGCCUUUCAAACAAUAAUGCAACCCUUGGAGCAUUACAGUCGUGUAUGUGGAUCAUUCUUCAGUGGCAGUUCACAUGUGUCAUUCUUCUUGAGUGGCAUUCUUUGUGUCAUCCCUCCCAUGUGCGACUAUGCAUAGAGAUUUCUUCCUAGCAGUCUCUGAGACCUUGGUGCCUAGGAUCCUUCUUGAGAAAUUCCGGUGCUCCUCAUGCAAAACAUAAUAAAAUAAAAUUUAAAAAGGGUAAAAGAAAAGAGAAGAAACUGAUAAAAAUUAUGAGAUUGAUAAUAAAACGAAAUACGAUUUUAAAAGCCAAGAAAGAGAAACCAGGUUAUAUAAUUCCACCAUCCAAUCAAGGGUUAUUUGCACAUUUUGGAGUCUAAACAAUUCGAGCAAUUUCCUAUUAAAUGAGUGAAUAGAUAAAAUAAAAUAAAAAAAUAAAAACAGUAAUAAUAAUAAUAAUGACAAUGAUAAUGAUGAACAAAUAAAAGGUAAAAAAUGAAAAUGAAUAAACAAAAUAAAUAUAAUUAUCGAAUGCAUGCAAUAAUAAUAAUAAUACUAAUAAAAGUUAUAUAUAUAUAUAUGUAUAUAAAAAUUAAGCCCGAUGAAGUGUUUAAACGGGCCUACAUGGGUGCCUAAUGAACUAAGUGUCCUAAAGUGAUCGAGAUAUUGUCUAAUUGACCUAAACAUGCUUAAGAAUUAUCCUAAAAAGGAAUGGAAAGCUUAAGUCUAAAUCAAAACUGCCAAGGGUCACAAUAAAGGGGUUAGGCAAUCCCUUAACCAGAGUCUCCAAGGUGGCUCAAGAAAGGUAAGUAGCGUGAGUAGAUAUGGGCCACCAAGGAGCUAACUGUAAUGUAUCGAACAAGUAUCUAAUAGGACAUGCUUUAACAUGAACAAUAUUGAUGAAGAAUUGUUAUCAAUGUUUCAAGUUUAUGAAGGAUAGAAGACAAUGCACUUGAUGGUGCCAAUUGAAAGGGCUGCUUUAAUUAAGGUUGUGGUCCUAAUAAAAUUUUUGCAAGAUUGUGGAAAGUCACAUGUGAUAGAAUUUUGGUUUGGUCAAGGUAGCUUUGAAGAUAAGGUUAAGCCUUUAGUGAAGCUCAUUGAGCAUAGGUUUAUUGGUGGUGGAGGCCCAAAUAUCAUAGGUAGGAUUGACUUGAAAGUUGAAGCUGAUCACAUAACAUUUGAGAAUGAUGAGAGAAAAGGUAACCACGAAGCAUAGAGGAUAUAAUAUAAGUUUUUUGGAUGAGGAUUGAUUACUACUCAAAAAGUGCUUUUUGAUAGCUUGUAAUUAACUCUUUUAAACACUUUUGAGUAGUAGUUAUUGCCUUUUAACCCAAUUAACAUAUUAAGGACCUUUACAAUCAAUUCUAAUCAAAUUGUGUUAAGUUUUGGUGUUUUGAUAGCUUUUUUAUCACCAAAGCAAUCUGAGAUUGAGGAGAGUUAUUUGGAAUCCAUGGCAAAGCAAUGGAAAGCUCAAAAACAUGAAGAACCAAAGCUUUGAACUCCUUUGCCAUAAGCAAAUACGGAAUGCAAGGAGGGGAAACAAAGAGAAAUCUGCCAUGAAGCAUUCUUGAUGACAGUCAUGUCAGCCACUUUUGGAGCACUUCCUGAAGUCCAAUUUAUGCAUGCUAUAUGUUGUUUCAAAGCUCAGGAAGUCAACAAUCCAAUGCUUCAAAUGGUACACAAUUCGGAGUUGAAAUGAAGGAGUUACAACCAUUGCAAGCCGAUCGCUCCAAGCUGAAGGAAGAAUUUUGCACAGCGCUGCGAAAUCACCCUUUUGUUGCGAAAUGAUUUCGCAGCCUUUUUGUACAGUGCUGUGGAUUUCCCCCUGAAGUUUCCCGUCACGUUGGAAGCCGAACACCGCAAGCUGAAAGACCACUUCGCAGCAUUGCGAAGUCAGCCGUUUGCUGCGAAGAGAUUUCGCAACCCUUUUUGUGCAUCUGCGAAAUCAGACCUCGUUUGCACCUGCGAAAUGGUCCUUAGUGCUUCCCGAUAUUUACGACCGACACUUGGAGAUAUUUUUCAUCAGAUUUUUGUUGUCUAAAUCCCAAAAUUCUCCUUGUAAGCCACCAAUUAUAAGAUUCCUUAGCUUUUAAGUUAGGAAAAAGAGUAAAUAUCCAUGUAAUGAUUAGUAUUGUAAUUUUUCAUAUAAAUAGCUUCUUGAGAGCUUGUUCUCGAGGAGAUGACCCUUUUGUAAAAGUUUGAAAGAAAGUAAAAUACAGAGCUUUGCUCUGCCUUACCUUCUCACUUUGAUUGUUUUUUUUACUAGUUAUGAAUUCUCUGAGGAAGUUUCCUCAGAGCAUGAGUAACUAAACCUUUAGUUCCUUGGAGCUAAGGUUGCCGGGAAAGGUUCCAAGUGCAUAAAUAUAUAGCUUUGUGGUUUCAGCCAUGAAUGAAGAGUAAGUAUUACCCUUUUGUGAUUUCUAUAUGUUUUAGUUAACUUAAAACGCCUUGGAGUCACCUGGGCCAACACUUGGUAAGGCAAGUGAUCUCCGUCCAUGGAGAUGCACUAGUUUACCCCUUGCGAGCCUCUGGGAGGUGACUUGAAGGUAGGAUUUUCUAGAAUUGCCAACACUUGGUAAGCUUUUGGACUCUAAGGAGACAUCCAUUAGUAAUCUCUUACGAGCUUUUGAAGGGAAGUCCAAAGUUAAAGAUCACCUUGAAUGGUAAAUGCUAGUGAGAGACAUGAACCAUUGCAAGUUGCAUCAGUGAGAGGGAAUUAGAGCUAAAAUCCAAUUAAGGGAUGCAUUUAUACAGCACCGAUUAGAGAAUUGACUAUAUGUUAAUUCUCUAAUGCGAGGAAAGGAACCAACUGGCCGGAGCUAUGUUUUUGCAUGAGGAAUCUCCCCUGUGAACCUAAAUCUCCAAGGAAUGUUUUUCUUCAUAAGUAAUUUCCAUUACUUGUUUUGCCGUUAGCUUAAAUCUAAAUAUUUUUCAACCAAAGUUUGUGUUUUAUUUCUUAAGCUAACCUUGAAAUGAAAAAGCACCAAUUCACUUUGAAUUGGUAUCAUUUGUAAUUUGGAAACCCUUCCCAGUGAACGAUCCUAGAACCACUAUACUAUAGUAGCUUUUUCUUUGCUACCCUAGUAUAUGGUGUAAUAGGUUAUAAAUUGCGUUGAUUACUCCCUCAAUCAAGUAGCCAGCUAGACAUGAAUCAGCUGAGACACCAAUUGGGCACGAAUCAAAUGGCGCCGUUGCUGGGGAAGGUGUCAAGUUUAUAGUGAUACUAUUUCAGAGUACUUGUGAUUUUCAUCACAAGUUUGGUAACGUUUCUUUCGCUUUACUAAUUUACAUUUUUUUUACUUAUUCAUAAUCUAAAUUUGUCUUUUAAAAUUCAGCUUCGUUAUAUUUUGUUUUUGUAGCCCUGUUUUCUUUUGUUGUCCUUUAUUUUCAUUUUAGUUGCAAAUAGAUACUAGUUGUGUAUGCCAAAUUGGAUACGAGACAGUGGAGGAAGGCUUGUUAAACGUGAUACACCUCAUAACAAGGAAUUGGAAUUGAGCUUGAAUAUCAUGGAAGCUACACCUGAAGAUCAGCAUAGUCACCAAGGUCGUCAAGACAAUCUCAAUGAAUUUAGAUCAAUGAGGGACCGCAUGCAUCCACCUCGUAUGAGGGCACCAUCAUGUAUAGUGCCCCCUACAGAGCAGCUAGUGAUCAGACCGUAUCUUGUUCCACUUCUACCAACUUUCCAUGGGAUGGAAAGUGAAAAUCCCUACGCACACAUCAAGGAAUUUGAAGAUGUUUGUAAUACAUUCCAAGAGGGAGGAGCUUCAAUUGACUUGAUGAGGCUUAAGUUAUUUCCUUUUACUUUAAAGGAUAAGCCCAAAAUUUAGCUUAAUUCUUUAAGGCCAAGGAGUAUCCGCACUUGGACUAACUUACAAGCUAAAUUCCUCAAGAAAUUUUUUCCCACUCAUAGAUCAAAUGGCUUGAAAAAGAAAAUUUCAAACUUCUCAGCUAAAGAGAAUGAGAAAUUCUAUGAGUCAUGGGAAAGAUAUAUGGAAGCUAUAAAUGCUUGCCCUCACCAUGGUUUUGAUACUUGGCUAUUGGUGAGCUAUUUUUAUGAUGGGAUGUCUUCCUCAAUGAAGCAACUCCUCGAGACAAUGUGUGGAGGAGAUUUCAUGAGCAAAAAUUCGGAGGAAGCUAUGGAUUUCUUGAGUUAUGUAGCUGAUGUUUCAAGGGGAUGGGACGAACCAACCAAAGGAGAAGUGGGAAAUAUGAAGUCUCAACUCAGUGCUUUCAAUGCCAAGGCUGGAAUGUAUACCUUGAAAGAAGAUGAUGAUAUGAAAGCAAAGUUUGCAGCUGUGAUAAGAAGAUUGGAGGAGUUGGAACUGAAAAAGGUGCAUGAAGUGCAAGCUGUUGCUGAAGCACCAAUGCAAGUGAAGCUUUGUCCUCAUUGUCAAUCCUAUGAACACUUGGUGGAGGAAUGCCCUACAAUUUCAACUGAAAGAGAAAUGUUUGGAGAUCAAGCAAAUGUUGUUGGACAAUUCAAGUCCAAUAACAAUGCACCUUAUGGAAAUACUUACAACUCAAGCUGGAGAAAUCAUCCAAAUUUCUCAUGGAAGGCCAGAGCAACUCAGUACCAACAGCCGGAUCAACCAUCUCAACAAUCUUCAAGUCUUGAACAAGCAAUGGCGAAUCUCAGCAAGGUAGUGGGAGAUUUUGUUGGAGACCAAAAAGCCAUCAAUGCUCAACUCAGUCAAAGAAUUGACAGAGUAGAGAAUACUCUGAACAAAAAGAUGGAUGGAAUGCAAAAUGAUAUAUCCCAAAGGAUAGAUAAUCUCCAAUACUCAAUCUCAAGGCUCACAAAUUUGAACACAGUGCAAGAAAAGGGGAGAUUUCCUUCUCAACCCCACCCAAACCCCAAGGGUGUCCAUGAAGUGGAAAGCCAUGAGGGGGAAUCAUCACAGAUGAAAGAUGUCAAAGCCUUGAUCACUCUGAGGAGUGGUAAAAAAAUUGAGAAGCCAACACCCAAGCCACAUGUUGAGGGGGUAGAAGAGACAAAGAAAUGGGAGGAAAUGGAAGACAAAAAGAGAGAGAUCAGUGAAAAGAAGGAGGACUAUGAUUCAACAAUGAAUGCAAUUCCAGAGAAGGAACUUCUGAAGGAAGAAAUGCUGAAGAAAUUAACUUUUCCACCUUUUCCUCAAGCAUUGCAUGGGAAAAAGGGGAUUAGAAAUGCAUCUGAAAUUCUUGAAGUAUUGAGACAAGUGAAAGUCAAUAUCCCAUUGCUGGAUAUGAUUAAACAAGUUCCAACAUAUGCAAAAUUCCUAAAGGACUUAUGUACUAUCAAAAGAGGGUUGACUGUAAAUAAGAAAGCCUUCUUGACUGAGCAAGUAAGUGCAAUCUUACAAUGUAAGUCUCCUUUGAAGUACAAAGAUCCGGGAAGUCCUACCAUUUCAGUCAUGAUAGGAGGAAAGGUAGUGGAGAAAGCUUUGUUAGACUUGGGAGCAAGUGUGAAUUUGCUUCCAUACUCUGUCUACAAGCAAUUGGGACUUGGUGAGUUGAAGCCAAUGGUAAUUACUCUAUCUCUAGCAGAUAGAUCAGUAAAAAUUCCAAGGGGGGUAAUUGAGGAUGUCUUGGUUCAAGUUGAUAAUUUCUACUAUCCAGUAGAUUUUAUUGUUCUUGAUACAGAUCCUACUGUAAAGGAAGCUAAUUUAGUUCCUAUCAUCCUUGGAAGGCCAUUCCUUGCUACCUCAAAUGCAAUCAUCAACUGUAGGAAUGGGCUCAUGCAACUCACUUUUGGCAACAUGACACUUGAUCUCAAUAUUUUCUAUAUGUCUAAAAAGCAAACCACUCCGGAAGAAGAAGAGGGUCCAGAAGAGGUGUGCAUUAUUGACACUCUAGUAGAGGAGCACUGUAAUCAGAAUUUGCAGGACAAGCUGAAUGAAAGUCUUGCGGAUUUUGAGGAAGGUUUGCCUAAACCACCUAAUGUGCUUGCUACUCUACAAAGUUGGAGAAGGAUAGAAGAGAUUCUACCUUUGUUCAAUAAAGAAGAAGAACCAGCUGCUAAAAAAGAAACUCCAAAACUCAAUUUGAAGCCUCUACCUAUGGAGCUGAAAUAUACAUACCCAGAAGAAAAUAAUCAAUGUCCUGUCGUAAUAUCUUCAUCUCUGACCAGUCAUCAAGAGAAGUGUUUACUGGAAGUUCUCAAGAGGUGUAAGAAAGUAAUAGGAUGGCAAAUAUCCGACUUGAAAGGCAUUAGUCCUUUAGUUUGCACGCAUCAUAUAUAUACGGAGGAGGAAGCAAAGCCAAUUCGUCAACUUCAAAGAAGAUUGAAUCCUCAUUUACAAGAGGUGGUGCGAGCUGAGGUGCUGAAGCUACUUCAAGUAGGUAUUAUUUAUCCUAUAUCUGAUAGCCCUUGGGUGAGUCCAACUCAAGUGGUACCAAAGAAGUCCGGUAUUACUGUGAUUCGGAAUGAAGAAGGAGAAGAAAUUACUACACGCCUCACUUCAGGUUGGAGGGUGUGUAUUGAUUAUAGAAAGUUGAAUGUUGUAACCAAGAAAGAUCAUUUUCCAUUGCCAUUUAUCGAUCAAGUGUUGGAAAGAGUCUCUGGCCAUCUGUUCUAUUGUUUUUUGGACGGGUAUUCAGGGUAUUUUCAAAUUGAAAUUGAUGUGGAAGAUCAGGAAAAAACCACUUUUACAUGUCCAUUUGGAACAUAUGCUUACAGAAGAAUGCCUUUUGGUUUAUGUAAUGCACCUGCAACAUUCCAAAGAUGUAUGUUGAGUAUCUUCCGUGAUAUGGUGGAGCGAAUUAUGGAGGUUUUCAUGGAUGACAUCACCGUAUGAUUCGACUCAUGGUAGCUUAGCUUUAAAGGCGUAUCAACAAAAUUUAUACCUUAAAUACUAUUACUAAAGUAGCCAAGCUACUAUAGCAUAGUGGUUCUAGGAUCGUUCACUGGGAUGAGUUUUCACUUCACAAAUGAUAUUAAUUCAAAGAUGAAUUGGUGCUUUUUCAUUUCAAGGUUAGCUUUAAAAGAAGAUGUAAAUGUUUUAGAAAGAUUUAAACUAAUCUAAGCUAACAUUAAAGACUAAAAUGAAAGGGUGUAAAAACAAGUUUCUCAAAGAUAGGAUAGCUAUGCUCUGGCUCUUAUGCAAAUUGGAAAUCUCAGGAUAGGCUCCUCACGUUGGGGUUGCAACUAUGGUGAUGCUUGCUUCCCGAACCGGUAUGGAUUUAGCAAAUCAAGUUUUAAUCCUUUAAAAUGGUAAAACAGAUGGUAGUGAAUUUCAUCAAUGGUUAUUCACCUUAGACUUCCUUUGAAUGGCUCGUAAGAGAUAACUAAUGGUCUAAAGCCAAAAGCUUACCAAAUAAUGGCAACUCAAAGUCAUUCCAGGUGAUAAACUCACCUUUCAAUGGCCAUUGAAAUUGGUUCUAACGGAUUAAUGCAAAACUUGGAAUUGAAAACCUCACCUUCCAAUAGCUCGUAGGAGAUAACUAAUGAAUAGAAAUCCAAAAGCUUAUCAAGUAUUGGCCGUUGGAAGUUGUCCAAAGGAAAUAAAAACCAAACUUUGCAUUGAUGAACCUUUAAUGAAAAACGACUACCUUACUUUCCAGGUGCGAGAAAUUUCCAUGGGAUUUCAUCCAAGUCAUCACAUAACAUCCAUACUUUGAGAAACUAAAAGUUUUAGCCAAUCAUCCUCUGAGGAAAAGCCCUCAGAGGCUGUUUGGCUACUAAGAAAAUAGAAAUGGGGAAGAACAGGAGAAGAGAGAAAAACAGAGCAAGGCUCUGUAUAGUCUAUAUAUUUAAAUAUCUAUAUAUUGAUCGAUUUCUAUUACAAUGGAUGCAAGGGAAUAUAUAUAGAGAAGUUUUUCCAACCUUCCUAGCUAAGAAAUCUUAUGGUUGGUGGAUUACAAGGAGAAGAAUGGAAAUUUAUACAAAAAUAUCUGAAGAAAAGAUCUAAAAGAGUCGGUGCACAAAUAUCCCAGUUUCGCAUGUUGCAUGGUGACUUGCGAAAAUUUCGCAAGUUGAUUUCGCAACUUAGAAUCCACUUUCACACGUUGAGAUCCAAGUUUUCAAGUUGCAAAAUCACUUUCGCAAGUUGGGGUUUAAUUUCGCACGUUGGAGUUCCAAAUUCGCAAGAUGCAAAUUUGUUAUUCAGCUAGAUGCAGUUGUCUUGAAAAGGCCAUAUCUUCCUCAUUUCAGCUCCAAAUUGUACACAGUUUGAAGAGUUAGAUUCUUGACUUCCUGAGAUUUGAAAUGGUAUAUAGUAUGUAGAAAAUGGACUUCGGGAAGUGCUCCAAAAGUGCGAAGGAAGACUGCAGUUGUUGUCCUCUGUUUUCUUCACUCUGUUUUUCCUCUCUCCGUUGUUCUUUCCUUGCAUACUUUGAACGACUUUGGCAAAGGGCUAUGGAGCUCCAAAGCUUGGUUCUUCAUGAAUUUGAGCUUCCAAAAGCUUUGCCAUGAACUAUAUGCAGCUCUCCCUCAUUCUUAAAUUGCUUUGGUGUAGCUAAAAGCUAUCAAAAACACCAAAACUUAACACAAUUUGAUUAGAAACGAUUGCAAGGGUCCCUAACAUGCCAAUUGAGUUAAAAGGUAAUAAUUAAUACUCAAGGGUGUUUAAAAGAGCCAAUUACAAGCUACAAAAUAGCAUGUUGUGAGUAGUAAUCACUCCCCCCAACCGACAUAUUGCUAGUCUCUUAGCAAUGAAGGAGAGGAAAAAUAAAAAUAAAAGUAAUAAAUUUACAAAAUCAUGCUGAUCACUCCAAAAAAUGUUUAAGUGGCAUGACUGAUCAAACUCUUACAUGGAACAUGAAAGAAAUAAAACUCAAACUUCAAUAGGAGCUAUCAAAUAAUUUGCCUAGUCACAAUUCAUAAAGAGUAGGCAUUAUGCAAAUUUAAGCUUCAAAAUAAUUUCCACUCCCAAAGGUCCAAUCCUUACUCUUCCACAAAAAUCUAUGUGUUAUUUAUUAGUUUCCGGAUAUAGUAUGUCAAACUAAUCUCUCCCCUCAACCUAGUUCUUUUCAAAGCUUAGCAAACUAAUUGAUUCGUGCCCAAUCGGUGUCUUAGCUGAUUCGUGUCUAGCUGGUGCUCCUUGAUUGAGGGAGUAAUCAACAAAAUUUAUAACCUAUUACACCAUAUACUAGGGUAGCAAAGAAAAAGCUACUAUAGUAUAGCGGCUCUAGGAUCGUUCACUGGGAAGGGUUUCCAAAUUACAAAUGAUACCAAUUCAAAGUGAAUUGGUGUUGUUUCAUUUCAAGGUUAGCUUAAGAAAUAAAACAAAAACUUUGAUUGGUAAAGAUUUAGAUUUAAAAUAACUACAAAGCAAGUGAUGGAAAUUACUUAGGAAGAAAAACAUUCCUUGAAGGGUCAGGUUCACUGGGGAGGUUCCUCAUGCAAAAGACAUAGCUCAGGUCAAUUGGUUCAUUUCCUAGCGUGAGAGAAUCAACAUAUAGUCAAUUCUGUAACCGGUGUUGUACAGAUACAUCAUUUAAUUAGAUUUUAGCUUUAAUUCUCUCACUGAUGCAACUUGCAAUGGUUCGAGCCUCUCACUAAGCCUUGACCAUUCAAGGUGAUCUUUAACCUUGGACUUCCCUUCUCAAGCUCGCAAGAGAUAACUAAUGGAUGCCUCCUUGGAGUCCAAAAGCUUACCAAGUGUUGGCAAUUCCAGAAAAUCCUACCUUCAAGUCACCUCCCAGAGGCUCGCAAGGGGUAAACUAGUGCAUCUUCAUGGUUGGAGAUCACUUGCCUUACCAAGCGUUGGCCCAGGUGACUCUAAGGUGUUUUAAGUUAACUAAAAACAUAGAAAUCACUAAAGGAUUUCACUUCCUUUUCAUUCAUGGCUGAAACCACAAAGCUUUGCAUUCUUGUGGAACCUUUCCCGGCAACCUUAGCUCCAAGGAACUAAAGGUUUAGUUACUCAUUCUCUGGGGAAACUUCCUCAGAGAGUGCAUAACUUAGAAAAAAAAUGAAAAACACAAAGUGAGAAGGUAAGGCAAAACAAAGGUCCUGAAUUUUACUUGCUUUCAAACUUUUACAUAAGGGGUUCCUCAUCCUGAGAAUAGGCUCUCGAGAGCUACAUAUAUGAAAAAAAUACAAUACUAAUUAUUACAAGGAUAUUUACUCUUUUUACUAACUUAAAAGCUAAGGAAUCUUAUAAUUGGUGGCUUACAAGAAGAAUUUUGGGAUUUAGACAACAAAAAUCUAAUGAAAAAUAUCUCCCAAUGUCGGUAGCAAAUAUCGGGAAGCACUAGGGAUCAUUUCGCAAGUGCAAACGAGGUCUGCGAGAUUUCGCAGAGGCACAAAAAGGGCUGCGAAAUCACUUCGCAGCAAACGGUUGAUUUCGCAACGCUGCGAAGUGGUCUUUUAGCUUGCGGUGCUCGGCUUCCAACGUGACGGGAAACUUCAGGGGGAAAUCCACAGCACUGUACAAACAGGCUGCGAAAUCAUUUCGCAACAAAAGGGUGAUUUCACAGCGCUGUGCAAAAUUCUUCCUUCAGCUUGGAGUGAUCGGCUUGCAAUGGUUGUAACUCCUUCAUUUCAACUCCGAAUUGCGCACCGUUUAAAGCAUUGGAUUGUUGACUUCCUGAGCUUCGAAACGAAAUAUAGCAUGCAUAAAUUGGACUUCAGGAAUUGCUCCAAAAGUGGCUGACAUGACUAUCAUCAAGAAUGCUUGAUGGCAGAUUUCUCUUUGUUUCCCCUCUUUCCAUUCCGUAUUUACUUAUGGCAAAGGACUUCAAAGCUUUGGUUCUUCAUGUUUCUGAGCUUUCCAUUGCUUUGCCAUGGAUUCCAAAUAACUCUCCUCAAUCUCAGAUUGCUUUGGUGAUCAAAAAGCUAUCAAAACACCAAGACUUAACACAAUUUGAUUAGAAUUGAUUGUAAAGGCCCUUAAUAUGUUAAUUGGGUUAAAAGGCAAUAACUACUACUCAAAAGUGUUUAAAAGAGUUAAUUACAAGCUAUCAAAAAGCACUUUUUGAGUAGUAAUCACUCCCCCCAACCGACAUAUUGCUAGUCCCUUAGCAAUGAAGGAGAGAAAAAUAAAAAUAAAGAUAAACAUUACUAUAAUUUACAACAUCAUGCUGAUUACUUCAAAAAAUUUUAAGUGGCAUGAUGAUCUAACUCUCACAUGGAACAUUAAAGAUAUAUAAACUCAAAUUUCAACAAGAGUUAUCAAAAACUUUGCUAAACACUAUUGAUCAAGGGAAUGCAUUAUGCAAAUUGAAGUUUUAAAAUCAUUUUCACUUCCAAAGAACCAAACUUUAUUCUUCCACAAAAAUCUAAGUGUAUGAUUCCUUAGCUUUCGAAUAUAAUGUGCUAAACUAAUCUCUCCCCCCAACCUAUCUCUUUUCAACACUUAGCAAACUAACAAUUCAAUAGGCAGAGAACACACUUUUUUUUUUUUUAAGAAGGUACAAGGCUUAAGGGGUAUUCUUUCUGAAUUGUCCAUGUAACGGGGGUCCAUCGAUGACUCCCAACCAAUUAAGGUUUAAGGCAUCAAGCUUUGAGGAUCUUUCAACCACUAACUCCUCGGAUUUUACCCCGGACUUUUGAGAAUGAUUGUUUUAAUACCCAAGCACCUACCAUAUGCUAACUCCACCUAUCCACCCUUGUAACGAGCAUUGAGGUCGGUGACUCCCAACCAAUUAAGGCUUAGGGCACCAGGUUUUAAAGAUUUUCACCAUAUACCCCUCAGACCUUGCUCGGGUUUCAAGGCAAGCAAACAUUUUUCUUUCUUUAUUUCAAAGGCUCAUUGGCCUUUCAUAAGGUGUCUCAACUUUAUCAACUGAGGUCAAAGGUACCAAGUCCCAAAAUUUUCCUAAGUCAAAAGGGAAAUAGUUUUUCAUCUUAUACUCGGAACCUAUUGUGCACAGUGUGUGAAUAGCUUAAAGUGGAAGAACUAAACUCGAUUUCAAUAGAAGCUUCAACAAUUGAACCACUUUAGUAAGCAUAAUACAAACUCUAAGUCAAGUAAAAAGACAAAAAAUUAAUUUCUCCCUUUUUAGUUUGAAAAUUUUUCCUUAAUAACCAUGGAGAGUAGAAUAAAAACUUUCAAAAAUUUUAAAAAUUAAGCAAAAAGCAACUAAAUUACCAAAAUAACUUAGCAUUAUUAACAAUACUUACUUCCUCAACUCUCCCCCCAACCAAGCUGAACAUUGUCCUCAAUGUGACAAAAGCGAUUGAAAAAUAGGGAGGAAGUGGUACCUCCUGAGUGACAUGGAGUCUGAGUCGUAUAGGAGAAACCACAUGUUUCAAAGAAAACAUAAGAGUUAGUAAGUAGAGGAAAUAGAAAAAUGCCAAGUUUAAACAAAAAUGAUGUCUAUAUAUGAUGCAUCAUCAGUAAUACAUCCAAUCCCAGAAUAUAAGACAUCAAAAUAUGGAAUUAUUUAUACUAAUAUAAUAUGUAAAGACAAAAAGUAAAGAGAUGAUCAAGUAAUGGUAGGGUCCCAUGGAGCUGAUGCGUCUGUGGUGGCCUCUUGAGUGGGUUAGAUCAGGACUUUAGCCUCUGUUCUGGUAGUCUCCUUAGGUGGCAUAGUCUCCUCAGUUGGAGUUAUGGGCUCUGAUGGUUUAAGGAGGUCAGAAAUGGAGUGAGAGGCUUAGUGUGUGUGAUCCCAGGGUGCGCGGGGCUCUCCUCUUCAGAUGCAUGGUCGCAGAGCUCUGUUGGCAUUUUAGCAACUUCCCUUGGCUUUGCAAAGUGUUUUUGCAAACCUUCCUCCAUUUCGCAAGUCAAUUUCGCAAUUUGAAGGCCAUUUUGAAGCUUGGAGGUCAUUUCGCAACCAUUUCGAAGCUUGGAGAUGAUUUCACAGCCAUUUCGAAGCUUGGAGAUGAUUUCACAGUGGGGGGUGGAUUUCGCAGAGAAGGGGAAUUCUCGCAGCCCAUUUCGCAGCUUAAAAGUGAUUUCGCAACUCAAAGGUGAUUUCGCAGCUGUAUCGUAGCUUCGAAAUGAGGGGAACUGUGCUGCAAAAUGACACUCGUGUGCCAAAAAGUGGUUUCGCAGCUACGAAACACCCUUCCAAAUGGCGUCUCGGCUGCGAAAUUCCCGCUCAGCUUUGCAUACUCGUCUUCAAACGGCCAUAACUUCUUCAUUUCACCUCCAAAUCGCAUACCAUUUGAAGUGCUGGACUCCUGACUUCCCAAGCUUUGAAACGAGAUAUGGUAUGCUAAUUUGAGCUCCAGGAAUUGCUUCAAAAAUGUGUCCAACAGUAGCAAAAUUGAGGUGCGAUAUUUCCGCUCAUAGUUUGUACAGUCAUCUUCAAACGGCCAUAACUUUUCCGUUUCAAAUCCAAAUCGAGCACCGUUUGAAGCUAUGGACUCCUGACUUCCCAAGAUUUGAAAUGAGAUAUGCAUGCAUAAUUUGAACUUCGGGAAGUGAUCGAAUUGUGUCCAAUAGUUGCCAAAAUGGGGGUGUGGCUGUGACAUGUCUGUUCAUGGUGUGCGCGCUGAAGGAUUUUAAGGUGUGGAGGUUUCGCAGCCAUUUCGCAGCUGCGAAAUGAGUGUACGGAGCUUCCAAAUGGCACUCAUGUGCCAAAAAGUGGUUUUGCAGUCGCGAAACUCCUUGCGAAAUGGGGCUUUGGCUGCGUUUUUUUUUUUUCUGGAUUUCGCAGCCAUUUCGCAGCUGCGAAAUGAGGUUCACUGUGCUGUGAAAUGGCACUCGUGUGCCAAAAGUUGGUUUCGCAGCUGUGAAACACCCUACGGAAUGGAGCUUUGGCUGCGAAAUUGGGAAUUUUCACUCUUUGGAGCUUCGCAGCCGUUUCGCAGCUGCGAAAUGGGGGCUCCUGUGCUGCGAAGUGGCACUCGUGUGCCAAACUUGGUUUCAUAGCUGCGAAAAUUUUCGCAGAGAGGGGCCUGAGGCUGCGAACUGGUUUCGCAGCAAAGUGCCGAUUUCGCAGAGGUUGCAAAAUCUCGCAGACCCCUGUUUUUGCUCCAAACGACUUUCCUUCAUUUCUUUUGCAAUUCCUCCUGAUUUUGAUCAUCCAAAAACCUAUAUUACAUCAAAACAAAUUAGAAUUAAAGUAUUGAAAUCAAAAUUAAAACAUUGAAAUCAAAAUUAAAGCAUUGAAAUCAAAAUUAAAACAAGUAAAAAAAACAAAACAAAAAGAUAUGGACUAGCUAGUCUUUAAAAAGACUAAGUCCACCAAAACAUUUGAUCCUGAUUUAGCUUGCCCGGAUCUCAUAUGAAGCUUGCAUCCCUCACUUGAGACUUGGUUUGUAUGAUUUUCCCAUACAAAGCUUGGAGAAAAGGUGGAGGCAUGUGUUUCUUCAUCAAUUCUUCCUUGAUGACUAUCCUCUGUAGUUCUCUUUGUACAUUAACAUCAUAGCCAUCUUUCUCUAUGCUUUUCCCCUUUUUUCUUUCCUUUGAUUUCCUCCCUCUUUUCUUUCUGAACCGCAGUAAUCCCUGACUUCUUUGGUACCACUUGAGUAGGACUCACCCAAGGGCUAUCAGAUAUAGGGUAAAUAAUGCCUGCUUGAAGUAGCUUCAGCACCUCAGCUCGCACCACCUCUUGUAAAUAAGGAUUCAAUCUUCUUUGAAGUUGACGAAUUGGCUUUGCUUCCUCCUCCAUAUAUAUAUGAUGCGUGCAAACUAAAGGACUAAUGCCUUUCAAGUCGGAUAUUUGUCAUCCUAUUGCCUUCUUACACCUCUUGAGAACUUCCAUUAGCGACUUCUCUUGAUGACUGGUCAGAGAUGAAGAUAUUACGACAGGACAUUGAUUAUUUUCUUCAAGGUAUGUAUAUUUCAGCUCCACGGGUAGAGGCUUCAGAUUGAGUUUUGGAGUCUCUUUUUCAGCAACUGCCUCUUCUUCUUUAUUGAACAAAGGUAGAAUCUCUUCUAUCCUUCUCCAACUUUGUAGAGUAGCAAUCACAUUAGGGGGUUCAGACAAACCUUCCUCAAAAUCCACAAGACUUUCAUUCAGCUUGUCUUGCAUAUUCUGAUUACAGUGCUCCUCUACCAAAGUGUCAAUGAUGCACACCUCUUCUGGACCCUCUUCUUCUUCCGGAGUGGUUUGCUUUUUAGACAUAUAGAAGAUAUUGAGAUCAAGUGUCAUGUUGCCAAAAGUGAGUUGCAUAAGCCCAUUCCUACAGUUGAUGAUUGCAUUUGAGGUAGCAAGGAAUGACCUUUCAAGGAUGAUAGGAACUAAAUUAGCUUCCUUUAUAGUAGGGUCUGUAUCAAGAACAAUAAAAUCUACCGGAUAGUAGAAAUUAUCAACUUGAACCAAGACAUCCUCAAUUACCUCCCUUGGAAUUUUUACUGAUCUAUCUGCUAGAGAUAGAGUGAUUGUCGUUGGCUUCAACUCACCAAGUCCCAAUUGCUUGUAGACAGAGUAUGGAAGCAAAUUCACACUUGCUCCCAAGUUUAACAAAGCUUUCUCCACUACCUUUUCUCCAAUCAUGACUGAAAUGGUAGGACUUCCCGGAUCUUUGUACUUCAAUGGAGACUUACAUUGUAAGAUUGCACUUACUUGCUCAGUCAAGAAGGCUUUCUUAUUUACAGUCAACCCUCUUUUAAUAGUACAUAAGUCCUUUAGGAACUUUGCAUAUGUUGGAACUUGUUUAAUCAUAUCCAGCAAUGGGAUAUUGACUUUCACUUGUCUCAAUACUUCAAGAAUUUCAUAUGCAUUUCUAAUCCCCUUUUUCCCAUGCAAUGCUUGAGGAAAAGGAGGAGAAGUUGAUUUUUUCAGCAUUUCUUUUUUUUGAAGCUCCUUCUCUGGAAUUGCAUUCAUUGUUGAAUCAUAGUCCUUCUUCUUUUCACUGAUCUCACUCUCUUUGUCUUCCAUUUCCUCCCCUUUCUUUAUCUCUUCUUCUUUUUCAACAUAUGGCUUGGGUGUUGGCUUCUCAAUUUUUUUACCACUCCUUAGAGUGAUCAAGGCUUUGACAUCUUUCAUCUAUGAUGAUUCUCCCUCUUGAACCUCCACUUCAUGGAUACCCUUGGGGUUUUGGUGGGGUUGAGAAGGAAAUCUUCCUUUUUCUUGCACUGUGUUCAAAUUUGUGAGCUUUGAAAUUGAGUAUUGGAGAUUAUCAAACUUUUGGGAUAUAUCAUUUUGCAUUCCAUCCAUCCUUUUAUUCAAAGUACUCUCCACUCUGUCAAUUCUCUGAUUGAGUUGAGCAUUGAUGGCUUCUUGGUUUCCAACAAAAUCUCCUACUACCUUGCUGAGAUUUGCUAUUGCUUGUUCAAGACUUGAAGAUUGUUGAGAUGGUUGAUCCGGCUGUUGGUACUGAGUUGCUCUGGCCUUCCAUGAGAAAUUUGGAUGAUUCCUCCAACUUGAGUUGUAAGUAUUUCCAUAAGGCGCAUUUUUAUUGGGCUUCAAUUGUCCAACAACAUUUGCUUGAUCUCUAAACAUUUCCCUUUCAGCUGAAAUUGCAGGGCAUUCCUCCACCAAAUGUUCAUAUGAUUGACAAUUAGGACAAAGCUUUACUUGCACUGGUGCUUCAGCAACAGCUUGCACUUCAUGCACUUUUUUCAGUUCCAGCUCCUCCAAUCUUCUUGUCACAGUUGCCAAUUUUGCUUUCAUAUCAUCAUCUUCUUUCAAGGUAUACAUCCCAGCCUUAGCAUUAAAAGCACUUAGUUGAGACUUCAUCUUUCCCACUUCUCCUUUGGUUGGUUCAUCCCAUCCCCUUGAAAUUUCAGCUACAUAGCUCAAGAAAUCCAUAGCUUCCUCUGGAUUUUUGCUCAUGAAAUCUCCUCCACACAUUGUCUCGAGGAGUUGCUUCAUUGAGGAAGACAUCCCAUCAUAAAAAUAGCUCACCAAUAGCCAAGUAUCAAAGCCAUGGUGAGGGCAAGCAUUUAUAGCUUCCAUGUAUCUUUCCCAACACUCAUAGAAUUUCUCAUUCUCUUUAGCUGAGAAAUUUGAAAUUUGCCUUUUCAAGCCAUUUGUUCUAUGAGUGGGAAAAAAUUUCUUGAGAAAUUCAGCUUGUAAGUCAGUCCAAGUGCGGAUACUCCUUGGCCUUAAAGAAUUAAGCCAAAUUUUGGCCUUAUCCUUUAAAGUAAAAGGAAAUAACUUAAGCCUCAUCAAAUCUAUUAAAGCUCCUCCCUCUUGGAAUGUAUUACAAACAUCUUCAAAUUCCUUGAUGUGUGCAUAGGGAUUCUCACUUUCCAUCCCAUGGAAAGUUGGUAGAAGUGGAACAAGAUACGGUCUGAUCACUAGCUGCUCUGUAGGGGGCACUAUACAUGAUGGUGCACUCAUACGAGGUGGAUGCAUGCGGUCCCUCAUUGAUCUAAAUUCAUUGAGAUUGUCUUGACGACCUUGGUGAUUAUGCUGAUCUUCAGGUGUAGCUUCCAUGAUAUUCAAGCUCAAUUCCAAUUCCUUGUUAUGAGGUGUAUCAUNNNNNNNNNNNNNNNNNNNNNNNNNNNNNNNNNNNNNNNNNNNNNNNNNNNNNNNNNNNNNNNNNNNNNNNNNNNNNNNNNNNNNNNNNNNNNNNNNNNNCCACUGUCUCGUAUCCAAUUUGGCAUACACAACUAGUAUCUAUCUGUAACUAAAAUGAAAAUAAAGGACAACAAAAGGAAACAGGGCUACAACAACAAAAUUAAACUAAGCUGAAUUUAAAAGAUAAAUUUGGAAUAUGAAUUAGUAAAGAAAGAAUGAGAAUUAGUAAAAUGAAAGAAACGUUACCAAACUUGUGAUGAAAAUCACAAGUGCUUUGAAAUAGUAUCACUAUAAACUUGACACCUUCCCCGGCAACGGCGCCAUUUGAUUCGUGCCCAAUUGGUGUCUCAGCUGAUUCGUGUCCACCUGGUGCUCCUUGAUUGAGGGAGUAAUCAACAAAAUUUAUAACCUAUUACACCAUAUACUAGGGUAGCAAAGAAAAAGCUACUAUAGUAUAGCGGCUCUAGGAUCGUUCACUGGGAAGGGUUUCCAAAUUACAAAUGAUACCAAUUCAAAGUGAAUUGGUGUUGUUUCAUUUCAAGGUUAGCUUAAGAAAUAAAACAAAAACUUUGAUUGGUAAAGAUUUAGAUUUAAAAUAACUACAAAGCAAGUGAUGGAAAUUACUUAGGAAGAAAACAUUCCUUGAAGGGUCAGGUUCACUGGGGAGGUUCCUCAUGUAAAAGACAUAGCUCAGUUCAGUUGGUUCAUUUCCUCGCAUGAGAGAAUCAACAUAUAGUCAAUUCUGUAACCGGUGUUGUACAGAUACAUCCUUUAAUUAGAUUUCAGCUUUAAUUCUCUCACCGAUGCAACUUGCAACGGUUCGAGCCUCUCACUAAGCCUUGACCAUUCAAGGCGAUCUUUAACCUUGGACUUCCCUUCUCAAGCUCGCAAGAGAUAACUAAUGGAUGCCUCCUUGGAGUCCAAAAGCUUACCAAGUGUUGGCAAUUCCAGAAAAUCCUACCUUCAAGUCACCUCCCAGAGGCUCGCAAGGGGUAAACUAGUGCAUCUCCAUGGUUGGAGAUCACUUGCCUUACCAAGUGUUGGCCCAGGUGACUCUAAGGUGUUUUAAGUUAACUAAAAACAUAGAAAUCACUAAAGGAUUUCACUUCCUCUUCAUUCAUGGCUGAAACCACAAAGCUUUGCAUUCUUGCACUUGGAACCUUUCCCGGCAACCUUAGCUCCAAGGAACUAAAGGUUUAGUUACUCAUUCUCUAGGGAAACUUCCUCAGAGAGUGCAUAACUUAGAAAAAAAAUGAAAAACACAAAGUGAGAAGGUAAGGCAAAACAAAGGUCCUGAAUUUUACUUGCUUUCAAACUUUUACAUAAGGGGUUCCUCAUCCUGAGAACAGGCUCUCGAGAGCUACUUAUAUGAAAAAAAUACAAUACUAAUUAUUACAAGGAUAUUUAUUCUUUUUACUAACUUAAAAGCUAAGGAAUCUUAUAAUUGGUGGCUUACAAGGAGAAUUUUGGGAUUUAGACAACAAAAAUCUAAUGAAAAAUACCUCCCAAUAUCGGGAAGCACUAGGGAUCAUUUCGCAAGUGCAAACGAGGUCUGCGAGAUUUCGCAGAGGCACAAAAAGGGCUGCGAAAUCACUUCGCAACAAACGGCUGAUUUCGCAACGCUGUGAAGUGGUCUUUCAGCUUGCGGUGCUCGACUUCCAAUGUGAUGGGAAACUCCAGGGGGAAAUCCACAGCACUGUACAAACAGGCUGCGAAAUCAUUUCGCAACAAAAGGGUGAUUUCGCAGCGCUGUGCAAAAUUUUUCCUUCAGCUUGGAGUGAUCGGCUUGCAAUGGUUGUAACUCCUUCAUUUCAACUCCGAAUUGUGCACUAUUUGAAGCAUUGGAUUGUUUACUUCUUGAGCUUCGAAACGAAAUAUAGCAUGCAUAAAUUGGACUUCAAGAAGUGCUCCAAAAGUGGCUGACAUGACUGUCAUCAAGAAUGCUUGAUGGCAGAUUUCUCUUUGUUUCCCCUCCUUGCAUUCCGUAUUUGCUUAUGGAAAAGGACUUCAAAGCUUUGGUUCUUCAUGUUUCUAAGCUUUCCAUUGCUUUGCCAUGGAUUCCAAAUAACUCUCCUCAAUCUCAGAUUGCUUUGGUGAUCAAAAAUCUAUCAAAACACCAAAACUUAACACAAUUUGAUUAGAAUUGAUUGUAAAGGCCCUUAAUAUGUUAAUUGGGUUAAAAGGCAAUAACUACUACUCAAAAGUGUUUAAAAGAGUUAAUUACAAGCUAUCAAUGAUGAAUUUCCUGAGGAAUCACUUAUGUUCCUAGUAAAAACUCCUUGGUAUGCUCAUAUUGCUAAUUAUCUAGUUACUGGCGAAAUUCCAAGUGAGUGGAAUGCACAGGACAGGAAGCAUUUCUUUACAAAAAUUCAUGCUUAUUAUUGGGAAGAGCCCUUCCUUUUUAAGUAUUGUGCAGAUCAGAUCAUAAGAAAGUGUGUCCUUGAAGAUGAGCAACAAGGGAUUCUAAACCAUUGUCAUGAGAAUGCAUGUGGAGGCUACUUUGCCUCUCAGAAAACAGCUAUGAAGGUGUUGCAAUCAGGGUUUACUUGACCAUCUCUUUUCAAAGACGCCCACAUCAUGUGUAGAAGUUGUGAUAGAUGCCAAAGGCUUGGAAAACUAACAAAAAGAAAUCAAAUGCCUAUGAACCCCAUUCUAAUAGUUGAGCUAUUUGAUGUAUGGGACAUUGACUUCAUGGGACCUUUCCCAAUGUCUUUUGGUAAUUCUUACAUCUUGGUGGGGGUGGAUUAUGUUUCUAAAUGGGUUGAGGCAACCCCUUGUAAACAAAAUGAUCACAGGGUGGUUCUCAAGUUUCUUAAAGAGAACAGUUUUUCAAGAUUUGGGGUGUCCAAAGCCAUAAUCAGUUAUGGAGGUGCUCAUUUUUGCAACAAACCUUUUGAAACUUUAUUAGCCAAGUAUGGAGUGAAGCAUAAGGUAGCUACACCUUAUCAUCCUCAGACUUCCGGGCAAGUUGAGCUAGCCAACAGGGAAAUAAAGAACAUAUUGAUGAAAGUGGUGAAUACAAGCAGAAAAGAUUGGUCUAUUAGGCUUCAUGAUUCAUUAUGGGCAUAUAGAACAGCUUACAAGACUAUUCUUGGCAUGUCUCCCUAUCGUCUUGUCUAUGGCAAAGCAUGCCAUCUCCCUGUGGAAGUUGAAUACAAAGCUUGGUGGGCAAUCAAGAAGCUGAAUAUGGACUUGAGUAGAGCCGGAGCAAAGAGGUGCUUAGACCUUAAUGAGAUGGAGGAAUUAAGAAAUGAUGCUUAUAUCAAUUCCAAAGUUGCAAAACAGAGGAUGAAGAAGUGGUAUGAUCAACUAAUCUCCAACAAAGAAUUUCAAAAAGGACAAAGAGUUCUACUCUAUGACACAAGACUCCAUAUCUUCCCUGGAAAGCUCAAGUCAAGGUGGAUAGGUCCGUUCAUUAUUCACCAAGUACUUAUCAAUGGAGUGGUGGAAUUAUUGAAUUCCAAUGGCAAGGACACCUUUAGAGUCAAUGGAUAUCGUCUCAAGCCAUUCAUGGAGCCAUUCAAACCUGAAAAGGAGGAAAUCAACCUCCUUGAGCCACAAAAAGCCUAAGCAAAUAAGGGUUUGAUGGACUUGGUUUCACCAAAGUCCAAAAUUUUUGUAAAUUUCAAGGUUUUAUCCAUGCUUUUGAUUUUAAUUUUUUAUCUUAAAUUGUGUAUUUAUAUGUAAAUUACACUUUUUGAAUGAUCUCAGGUGGAAGAAAAUGCAAAGAAAUUGAAAGGAAGUCUAUCGGAGCGAAAUUGGCGCAAAAACAGAGUGAAAACAGAGCAAAAAUAGGGGUCUGUGAGAUUUCGCAACCUCUGCGAAAUUAACACUUCGCUGCGAAGCCGUUUCGCAACCUAAAAGAAGCCGCUGCGGAAUCAACGUGUCUCUACGAAAGCGGUCAUCCUUUGCGAAAUCAUUUCGCAGCUCCAUUGUCUCCUCUGCGAAAAUUUUCGAAGCUGCGAACCCAAGAUUGGCACACAAGUGCCACUUUGUAGUACAGGAACCCCCAUUUCGCAGCUGCGAAAUGACUGCGAAGCUACAAAGCGUGAAAUUUCCCAAUUUCGCAGCCAGAGCUCCAUUUCGCAGGGUAUUUCGAAGCUGCGAAACCAAUUUUGGCACACGAGUGCCACUUCGCAGCACAGUGACCCCAAUUUCGCAGCUGCGAAACGGGCUGCGAUGGCCUGCGAAAACCCCAUUUUGCUGCGAAAUCGACCUUCUUCUGCGAAACUCAAAAUGACCUUUAAUAUUCCGUUAUUUUUUAUAUAUACCGGUCAUUUGAGUUGCGAAAGGGUUUCAAAAGGAGGGAACGCCAUAGCAGUCGACUGUUCAUCUCCUUGCCCGAGCCCGACGACGCGCGAGCCUCUAAUCAUCUGCUUCGGUCAUCGAUUUCGGUCAAAUUUCGGCAGUCCGAUAUGGCGCGAACCAGAGGAGCCAAAUCUUCCUCUCCUUCUAGCCGUAAGCGAGUCCCGCGAGGGGCGCCUAUUCAAGGCCCCACUUCUGAACCUCCGCGGCUAGAAGCUGUUUCCCCUCCGGCGAAGCCCGCGCCUCAAAAUCCUCCGGCGAGGCGUUAUCUCACUAGGUCAGGGGGCCAUCCCCUGCAAAAGAGAGCCAGGGUUGAAAGCUCAAAGCCCAUAGACUUAACAGAGCAGUCCCCGGUUCCCUCACCAGAGCCUUCUCCAUUGCCAUCUCUGCCGCCAUCUCCAGCGCCGCCAGCAGAGCUUCAGGAGCACCAACCGCCACUUUCUGUACUCCAAAUUCCAUCUGGGAUAGCUCCUGAAGUGCUAAUCAGGCGUUCGAUGCUCAGUCAACCACCAAUUGAAGGGAAUUUGGACUGCAGAGCUCGGUCAUUUCACUCUGAGCUGUGCUUUGACACAGCCACCUUCUAAUUGCGGCCGGAGCUUGCAGAUUCAUUCCGCCUACUGCGCAGAUAUCAUAUGGAGCAUCUGCUGGCCCCGAGAGAUUUCUUCUACCCCAGAGUAGCCAUGGAUUUUUAUCAGUCCAUGAAUACUAAGCAGGUCAGAGAUCCUACUCUAAUCCAUUUUACUAUUGAUGGUCGGCAUGGCAUUUUAGGAGCUCACCAUAUAGCAGAGGCCCUGCAUAUACCAUACGAGCCAAGUCAUUUUGAGGAUUACCGAGUAUGGACUAGUUCCUCUCAGUUGGAAAUGGUCCAUAUCUUGUCCAGAGGAGCUUCCACAAAUCCACAUCUGUUGAGGAGGGAACUUCCUCCGAGCAUGUUUCUCAUUGAUGCACUUUUGCGUCACAACAUUUAUCCACUACAGUACUGGACUCAGAGGAGAGGAGCUCUUUUAGAGGCCCUAUUCAGGAUUUCAGAGGGAUACUUCUUUGGCCCUCACCACCUAAUUAUGGCUGCCUUUCUCUAUUUUGAAGAGAAGGUGCAUAAGAAGAAGCUGUAAAGAGCUGAUGCCAUUCCACUUCUUUUUCCACGACUGUUGUGUCAGAUUCUGGAGCAUCUGGGGUAUCCAUCAGAUCCUCAGUUGGAGCGCAAGCGUAUUUGCCGAGAGGUAUUUACUCUCGACAAGUGGCUCAAUAUGACAGCAUAUAAAGUUGAGCAGCCAGGGUGGCCACGGCCAGUUGAGAUACCAGCUGCCAGGAGAGCAUCUCCACGUCAUAUACCUGAGGGUAUACCCAUUACCUCUCCUACCAUAUCCAGAGCCCCUCCAAUUACUCCAACCUCAUCAGAGCCAUCUACUUCAGCUGAGCCAAGGAUGGCCAUUCCCAUUUCAGAGUAUAGAGAGUUAUGCCGCUCACUACAGACCCUGACCGCAUCUUAGAGCAGCCUUGCUCAGGAGAUGGCGACUAUUAGAGCAUGCCAGGAGCAGAUGUUGACCACCCAAGCUCAGCACACUGCCAUCUUGAGGCAGCUCCAGCAUCAUCUCAGUCUUCCUUCAGCUACUGAGCAUUUCGCCCCCACCACUGCAGUGCCACACUCGCAGGCCACAGAGCCUCAGGCCCCUCCUGAAGCAGCUGAAGAGGCAGAGCCAUCUGCCUAAGCCAUCAGCUCUAGCACCAUCCACCCAUCUGAUCAUUAUAUAUAUCUACUAUAAAUUUCUUUUAUGUAUUUCGUUUUUAUUAGUCUUUUAUGAAAUCCCAUCUUUUUGGUAUCAUAUAUGGGGAUUACUUGUAUUGCUUCCUUUCCGAUUGUACUCGCAUGAAUUAAAGUAAUACAAGUCUAGCAUUUUUUUGUUAGCUCUUAGUAUAAAUUAAAUCUUAUUUCCUUUGCUCACAUUUUUUUAUCCUUUUUGAAACAUGUGGUUUCUCCAAUCAGUGUUCGAAAUUGAUAUCACUCACGAGGUACCAUUUCCUCCCUUUAAUUUCAAUCACCCAUAUCACAUUGAGGACAAUGCUCAGCUCGGUUGGGGGGGGGGGGGGGAAUGAGGAAGGAAGUAUGCUAAGUUAUUUUGGUAAUGCAAUUAUGUUCGUAAAUCAGUUGUAGUUUUUUACUUUUUACUCUAAUCUCCAUGGAUUUUGAGGAAAAAUUUUCAAAUUAAAACAGGAGAAACUGAACUUUUGCUUUUCACUUGACUUAGAGUUUGGAUUAUGCUUACUAAAGUGGUUCAAUUGUUAAAGCUUCGAUUGAAAUCAAGUUUAGUUCUUCCACUUUAAGCUAUCCACACACUGUGCACAAUAGAUUCUGACUAUAUGAUGAAAAACUAUUUCCCUCUUGACUUAGAAAAAUUUUGGGACUUGGUACUUUUGACCUCAUUUAAUAAUAUGAGACACCUUAUGAAAGGCCAAUGAGCCUUUGAAAAAAAAAAUAGCAAAAUGUUUGCUUGCCUUGAAACCCGAGCAAGGUCUGAGGGGUAUAUGGUGAAAAUCUUUAAAACCUGGUGCCCUAAGCCUUAAUUGGUUGGGAGUCACCGACCUCAAUGCUCGUUACAAGGGUGGAUAGGUGGAGUUAGCAUACUAUAGGUGCUUGGGUAUUAAAAUUCAUUCUCAAAAGUCCGGGGUAAAAUCCAAGGAGUUAGUGGUUGAAAAAUCCUUAAAGCUUGAUGCCCUAAACCUUAAUUGGUUGGGAGUCAUCGAUGGACCCCCGUUACAUGGACAAUUCAGAAAAGAAUGCCCCUUAAGUCUGGUACCUUCUAAAAAAAAAAGUGUGUUCUCUGCCUAUUGAAUUUGGUCAGUUUGCUAAGUGUUGAAAAGAGAUAGGUUGGGGGGAGAGAUUAGUUUAACAUACUAUAUUCGGAAGCUAUCAUCUUACACUUAGUUUUUUAUGGAAGAAUAAAGUUUAGUUCUUUGGAAGUGAAAAUGAUUUUAAAACUUCAAUUUGCAUAAUGCAUUCCCUUGAUCAAUAGUGUUUAGCAAAGUUUUUGAUAACUCUUGUUAAAAUUUGAGUUUAUAUAUCUUUAAUGUUCCAUGUGAGAGUUAGAUCAUCAUGCCACUUAAAAUUUUUUGAAGUAAUCAACAUGAUGUUGUAAAUUAUAGUAAUGUUUAUCUUUAUUUUUAUUUUUCUCUCCUUCAUUGCUAAGGGACUAGCAAUAUGUCGGUUGGGUGGAGUGAUUACUACUCAAAAAGUGCUUUUUGAUAGCUUGUAAUUAACUCUUUUAAACACUUUUGAGUAGUUGUUAUUGCCUUUUAACCCAAUUAACAUAUUAAGGACCUUUACAAUCAAUUCUAAUCAAAUUGUGUUAAGUUUUGGUGUUUUGAUAGCUUUUUGAUCACCAAAGCAAUCUGAGAUUGAGGAGAGUUAUUUGGAAUCCAUGGCAAAGCAAUGGAAAGCUCAGAAACAUGAAGAACCAAAGCUUUGAACUCCUUUGCCAUAAGCAAAUACGGAAUGCAAGGAGGGGAAACAAAGAGAAAUCUGCCAUGAAGCAUUCUUGAUGACAGUCAUGUCAGCCACAUUUGGAGCACUUUCUGAAGUCCAAUUUAUGCAUGCUAUAUGUCGUUUCGAAGCUCAGGAAGUCAACAAUCCAAUGCUUCAAACGGUACACAAUUCGAAGUUGAAAUGAAGGAGUUACAGCCAUUGCAAGCCGAUUGCUCCAAGCUAAAGGAAGAAUUUUGCACAGCGCUGCGAAAUCACCCUUUUGUUGCGAAAUGAUUUCGCAGCCUUUUUGUACAGUGCUGUGGAUUUCCCCCUGAAGUUUCCCGUCACCUUGGAAGCUGAACACCGCAAGCUAAAAGACCACUUCGCAGCGUUGCGAAGUCAGCCGUUUGCUGCGAAGAGAUUUCGCAGCCCUUUUUGUGCAUCUGCGAAAUCUCGCAGACCUCGUUUGCACCUGCGAAAUGGUCCUUAGUGCUUCCCGAUAUUUACGACCGACACUUGGAGAUAUUUUUCAUUAGAUUUUUGUUGUCUAAAUCCCAAAAUUCUCCUUGUAAGCCACCAAUUAUAAGAUUCCUUAGCUUUUAAGUUAGGAAAAAGAGUAAAUAUCCAUGUAAUGAUUAGUAUUGUAAUUUUUCAUAUAAAUAGCUUCUUGAGAGCUUGUUCUCGAGGAGACGACCCUUUUGUAAAAGUUUGAAAGAAAGUAAAAUACAAAGCUUUGCUCUGCCUUACCUUCUCACUUUAAUUGUUUUUUUUACUAGUUAUGAAUUCUCUGAGGAAGUUUCCCCAGAGCAUGAGUAACUAAACCUUUAGUUCCUUGGAGCUAAGUUUGCCGGGAAAGGUUCCAAGUGCAUAAAUAUAUAGCUUUGUGGUUUCAGCCAUGAAUGAAGAGUAAGUAUUACCCUUUUGUGAUUUCUAUAUGUUUUAGUUAACUUAAAACGCCUUGGAGUCACCUGGGCCAACACUUGGUAAGGCAAGUGAUCUCCGUCCAUGGAGAUGCACUAGUUUACCCCUUGCGAGCCUCUGGGAGGUGACUUGAAGGUAGGAUUUUCUAGAAUUGCCAACACUUGGUAAGCUUUUGGACUCCAAGGAGACAUCCAUUAGUUAUCUCUUGCGAGCUUUUGAAGGGAAGUCAAAGGUUAAAGAUCACCUUGAAUGGUAAAUGCUAGUAAGAGACAUGAACCAUUGCAAGUUGCAUCAGUGAGAGGGAAUUAGAGCUGAAAUCCAAUUAAGGGAUGUAUUUAUACAGCACCGAUUAGAGAAUUGACUAUAUGUUAAUUCUCUAAUGCGAGGAAAGGAACCAACUGACCGGAGCUAUGUUUUUGCAUGAGGAAUCUCCCCUGUGAACCUAAAUCUCCAAGGAAUGUUUUUCUUCAUAAGUAAUUUCCAUUACUUGUUUUGCCGUUAGCUUAAAUCUAAAUCUUUUUCAACCAAAGUUUGUAUUUUAUUUCUUAAGCUAACCUUGAAAUGAAAAAGCACCAAUUCACUUUGAAUUGGUAUCAUUUGUAAUUUGGAAACCCUUCCCAGUGAACGAUCCUAGAACCACUAUACUAUAGUAGCUUUUUCUUUGCUACCCUAGUAUAUGGUGUAAUAGGUUAUAAAUUAUGUUGAUUACUCCCUCAAUCAAGUAGCCAGCUAGACACGAAUCAGAUGAGACACCAAUUGGGCACGAAUCAAGGAUGUAGUAUGUUAUAUUGAUUGUGAGGAUGAUUGGAAAUUUGUCGAUGAGGAUGAAGAUUUUGGCAUCAGUGAUAUUUAUGAUGACACUAGAUGGCCUCCAACAAGCCAUGUAGAAAGGAGUGCAUCGAGUGACUAGAAGUUGAUACAGAUAGUAGAGAACUAAGAGAAAAUCAUGAUGAUGAACUAAUAAAGGCCAAUUUAAGGUUAAAAAAUGAAAACUCAAUAAAGGUUGGCUAUAAAAUAAAAAGGGGUGUAAGAAGGGAGACAUAAAAUACGAUUGAAGGAGAAAAGAUUAAUUUGAAAGAGGGUUAGUUAUUAAAAAAAUGUGCAUUAGUUUAUAGUUUCCUUAAUGGAUUUUGUAAUAUAUGAGGGUUUUGAAAUAAGGAUGAUAAAGGUAAGAGAAUAAAAGCUAUAGCAAAAUGUGCAAUUGAAAACUGCCCUUGGAGAAUUCAUGCCUAUUGAUGGGGUGACAUACAUGAUCAAGACAUUCGCAAGCACACACACUUGUGUGAGAAUCUAAAAAAAUUCAAAUGCAACAUCUACAUGGAUAGCUGAUAAAUUAAGGGAAAGACUAGAAAGGGAUCCUGAUAUGAAAUUGACAAGAAUGAGAAAGAGUUGAGAUGAAAUUAUGGUAUUGAUCCAAGUAAGAUGUAGCUUUACAAAGCUAAAUAGAAAACAAAGGGUGAGAAUGAAGGAUCACAAUCAAAGUCAUUUAUAAAGCUUUAAGAAUAUGGUGAAGUUGUUAAGGUAACAAAUCCUUAGUCUUUAGUGAAAAUCAAUGUUGAUAGAAAAAACUCUAGAUUUGCUCCUAUAUUUAAAAGAUUAUUUAUAUCAUUUGAGGCCAUAAAGAGCAACUUCAUAAAUGGAUGCAUACCUUUUAUUAGAUUGGAUGUCAUUUGAAACAGCCAUAUGGAGGUGUUUUACUUGUUAGGAUAGAGUCAGUAAAAGCAUGACAUGAUGUAACAAAUUUGGAAUUCUUUAUUUAUUUAAUGAUAUUCCAAGUUAACUUUUAUGUAUCCUUAUUCCAUGCAUUAUAUUUUAUGAGCGUUCAAGCCAAGCAUCUCUUACUUUAUACAUGACUUAGGUGCAUUAGGAGUUGCACAAAAAAUCCAAGUCAUGGGGUUUUUGCAAGUGGAUGAUUUGUUCACAACUAGUUUAUAGCCUUAGGUAAUCUAUUUAAGGUUGUGGUGCACCACCUCCUAGUUAGGGGGAUGGCUAGUCUUGGUCAUCAGGAUGAGGUUCCCAUGGUGAGUGUAUUAGUGUGUACGAUUACACAUUGGAUAGGACUUAUGAUUAAUCAUAACAUAAGACUAUUAGGUAGUCAUGACUUCACUAAGCUACUAUAUUGUAUUAUCUCUCAACCUUGAGAGAAUAUUGAGCUUGUGCAUAAGCUGACAAUGGCUUUGACCUAUAGGUGAGAUCUUAAAGUGAUCAUAUAUUCCCUAUAGAUUGGGUCAUUGUUGAUUGAAGCCAAUAAUAACAUGUAUUUUCAAUAGAGGCACCAUGAUAUCUCAUGGACAUUGAGAUAACGUGUCCCUUUGAUUAAUUCUAAGGAUAUGUGAUCAUGAGAUUUGUGGGCCUAUAGUAAUUCCUUUAGUAGAAUUUGAUAUAUGCUCUUAGUGAGCUAAAGUAUGUCAUUUGAUCACAUAAUAGAAGGAUUUGUAACUUAAGAAUGGUAGAGGUCGUCUUGAAAGGUUGAUAGAUUUCACCUUGUUAGACUACAAAUGACCAAUUCAUGAGGAGACUACAUAUAACGAAUAGCAGAUCACGAGCCCAAGCACUUGGUGUCUCAUUGCAAUAUGCAUAAGAUACUAGAGUGUUGUUGACUCUCUAUAGAGGGUUAUUGAGUCAACUUCACAAUUAGAUUCUAAGGGAAUUAGUACUGUCAUAUGGUCUUAGUGGUUCCCACUCGAGCUCAUAUUCCUUAAUGGCAUGGUUAAUAGGGUUGGAUGAGUUUUUAGUUCACUUAUGUGCAUAAAAACAUUUUGGCAAUUAUGCAAGGUUACAUAGGGGUAAGUGAAUAACAUCUCUGGAUUGGGCUAAUUGAUUAAUUAGAGCCCUGUUGGGUUAAUUGAUCAAUUAACAACCUUAUUAGGUUAGACUAAGCAACCCAAGCCCCAUGGUGGGCUUAAGUCAAUGCUUAGACUCAAGAAGAAGUCAUCAAAUGAAAGACAAAUAAGUUUAAGAGGCCUUCUAUGGUUUUGGAGUAUUCUACAUUGACAGGAAUCGAUCCAAGAUCAUUUAGAUCAUAGGUAUGACACUUUUCUUUGGAGUUAUGGUAUUAUUAUUGGAUUUGGAUUAUUUCUAUUGCGCUUAGAUAUAGAGAGCCUAGGAUAGAAUGCACCCUAAUGAUCUAUGGCUUGGGAAUGGAACAAUUCGAGGUUUCUCUACACUACUAUUUGCAAUAGCUUUUGAUGUGAGUGAUAGUUUAUUUUUUAUUGUAGUAGGUGUUAUAGAUAAUGAGAACAAAAGAGAGUUGAGUUUUUUUUACUCAAUAUUUGGAGACAAUUUCAUAUACAAAUUUAUCAAAUGUGCAUUAAAGAUUCAUGACUGACCAACAAAAGGUAUAAUAUGUUUUUUGGCUUUAAAUAUGUUUUUCACUUGCAUUGUUAAACCAUAGUGUAGUGACAUAUUUUUUACAAGGUAUUAUAGAUGUUAUAAAUGAGAUGAUGCUAUAGGGUGGUCAUAGAUUUUGGUGUAAAUGUACAUUUAUAGAAAUUUUAAGUUGAAAUUCCUUAGUAUCUAUAGACCCUCAAUUUUGUCCCUUUAGCACAUGUCUUUAAAUCCACUUCAAGUGCUCCAUAGUAGUUCCUAGGUGGCCCAUUGCUACUCAUACUACUUACAUUUUUUUUUUUAGUCACCUCGGAGACUUUAGUUAAAGGAUUUAUCUGACCCCUCAUUAUACCCUUGACAGUCCUAAUUUAGACUUAGACACUGUCCCUAACGCCUUAGGCCCACUUAGGUACACUUGGCCCAUUAGGCACCACCUUAGGCCCAUCUAGGACACUUAGGCACUUUUAGACUCACUUUUUAUAUGACUUGCAUGAUUGCAUGGCCUGCAUGACUUGUGGGCUUGCAUGGCUUUCUUCAUUUUAUUUUAUUUUAUUUUAUUUAUUUAUUUUAUUUUAUUAAAAGUUUCCUAAAUCAUAUUUCUUGGCUUUUUGGGCAUGAAGAAACAGGUUGUCAUCUAUUUUGGAAGGAGGAUCACUAGAAUUUUGGAGAAAGGAAAGUGGCAAAUUUUUUGGUAGGAGAAAGGAAAGUUUCCUUCUGGAAAAACAGAGAUAGAAUAAAAGAAAAAAAAUUUUCGGAGAAAGGGGAGGGUACGAAGGGAGGAUUCACAUAGGCUGCCACUAAAAAAAAGGGAUAGACUGUAAGAGAGGAUUUCAGGAGGAACGACUUUGAGAAGACUCCGGAGGAGAUUUUUUGACUUGAAGAGAGUACGUCCAGGUACGGUCGCUGUAGAUUCUUCAUUUAUCUCCAUUAUCUGUUUACUAUUCACCAUUUUCUAUUAGAUUUUAAGUAUUGCCUAGAUACUUGGGUUCGAAAUGCUAGAGGCCACAAAUUUGCUUGCAUUGAUAUUAGACUGCUCAUUUAGCCGUCGUUGUUGAAUUCUCUCUGUGAAGUUCCUUCCUUUUAGUUUAGGAUUAUAAGGCUCUGCCUUUUUUUCGUUUUACUGUGUUUUAUAUGAGAACUGUGGUUGUCUAUUUGCUUAAAUCUGCUUAUUCUCCUCCCAUUAAUCUGAGCCCGUUGAAUGAAGUUUGAAAUGGGGCUUUCAUGGGUUCCUCUUUUUUUGUUGUUUUCAUUCCUUACACUCUGUUUUCUUGGUUGUCUCCCUCUGUUCUCUAUGAGGAAUUUUGGGUGCAUAAUCAUAUGUGCUUCACCAAUUUAUAAUGCCUGCUGAAACUUGAUACCAAAGCUUGGAAGAAGAGAGCGGGCUCGGUAGUUAUUGAUGUGAUUGAUGUUCCACGAAAAAAAUUUGCUUUACAUUGAUCGAGACACAGGUUAUCAGAAAAGUGGUGAAUAUGUGGUUUGAGUUUCUUCAACUUUGGGCCCCACCGACACUCCAUAACUAGAGCUUAUUUUAUGAAUCUGGGUCGAUCCUAUGAGGUGUGUGUGGAAAUGGGACAAGCAACCAGAUGGCAUACUGAAGUUCUAUGGAGAGAAUAUCCCAUUACUUGUGAACCCCGCUUAAAGUGGUUCUGUCAAAGUGAUUUAUGAUAUGCAACCUCAUCAAUCCCAGAAAAUAGGUACAAGACCUUCAGUUACGGAGAAGACCACUAAGACAUCUAGGCAGGAGUCAAUAUUGUCAAUGAAUAUUAUCUAGUUGAUGCAAGACGGAAUAUAAGUCUAAAGAUACAGAUGCUCUCUCUUACAGUUUGAUUAAAAGGGAUCUCAGUCUUUAAAUGUUAAUGCACCUAGUAACCAUGGGCCAAGAAUGCUUGGAUAGUUCUUGUAUAGAUUUGCCCAUACUUCAGAAAGCUUACCUAAGGGCAUUGCUUACAUCUCAGAAGGCACAGUCUGGUGUUCCUUAUCGUAGGAGUGUUGUUGAAUUUGAGGCUUCCAAUGGAAGAAAUUUGAGUGUUUUCUAAUAGAACUUCCAAGGCUGUCAUGCUCAUUAUAUUGCAGUUUAGAAUUCUGCUUUGAAGUCCUUUCUAAAGUCACUCUUCAAAAGGCUCAGAUACAAUGUCACAGCUUAUCGGAAUUGUUGUCGUUCAUGUUCUUGAAGGACAGUGUGGACCCGCAUUUUUCACGUGCGCCCCCACUCGAUCGGCGAGACUCGCUUUUUAUUUGUGAAAAAUUAAUUUUUGGAAAAAAGUUGGAGCCGCCACUUAUUUUAUUUUUAUUUUAAAGGGAAAAUAAAACAAGAAAGAAAAACCCUAAAAUGUGACUCCAUAAUUUUUGGAAAAAACAUGUCUUUGAAAAACCCGAGUCUAAGUCCGGGGAUCAGGUUACCUAUUGGGAAGGUACCUUUAAAAGGUAGCACCCCUCUAAGCCCUCUAAAGGUCUCUACUAACUAAGUUAAGGGGAAUGUGGCAAUUAAUCGGUUAAUUAUGGAUACCUAAGUAGGCUAGGUGGUUCCAAAAAAUAGCAUGCCAAACAAGAUCAAAUCAUAAUAAAGGAAGGUUAGGAUGCGUACCCGGACCGCUUCUCAAGUGCUAUCAUAAAACAUCGAUGGUUAGUUUAAACAAUAUAUCAUCCAGCAUGUAUUUUAUUAGAAAUAAUCAAACAAUGAAACAUGUAUAUCAGAACACUCAAGCAUUAUUAGACAUAAACAUUAUUUCAUAAUGACAAGCAUAUUCACAGAAUUCAGAAAGUAGGUGAUAGAGGACAUACCUGGAUAGCAUAGAUAAUUUGUAACGUGCUUCCUCAAGUUGUAAGGGGUUAGAUAACAAAUAAUAAAAUAUAGAAAUCCUAGCAUGCUCGUUAUCUAAUUAGCAUAGCAAAAGUGAUCAAAGUAUACAGAAUCAUCAAUUAUCACAUACAUCUUGUAUAUAAUUCCUAAAAAAAUAGAUAGACAUGAUUUCAACAAGUGUCAAAUGUGGCAACAAAAAUAAAUUUUGAAAAGAUUUUCUUAUGUAGGGGUUUCACCAAUUCCCCAAUCGAUAUACACGAAUUUAGCUUAGAAUUAUCCCAUUUAUUUGGGACCACAAGCUUUGAUUCGUGUUUUAUUCAAAACUAUAAUUUUAUUUGAAAGAUGUAAACCGAUCAAAACAUGGUUGCACAUUAUUUUAAAAAAUGAGAUUUUGAUUCUAAGAACUCUAAAUGAAUUUUUGAAAUGGAUUGUUAAGGGGAUCUUUUGACUCUAAGAAACUCUAAAUGAAUUUUUGAAAUGGAUUUUUAAGGAAAUAAGAUUUUGAGAAUAGUGUUAUAUUUUAAAAAUAAAAAGAAAUUAAUUUGAAAGCAAUAAAGUGUAUGAAUCAAAAUACCAAGCAAAACAAAAGAGAACAAAAUCACAAAGUAGAAUUUUUGGCAACUAAGAAAAUUGAAGGUGAGAAUGGAGGCUAAUCUUCAUGAGUUUCCAAAAGCCUCAGAAAGAAAAUCAAAUUAAGUGAAGGAUCACUAAAGCAACAAGCAAAGCAUUCUAGAUUAGACAAACUAACAAGGUAUCGAUUCAUGAACUAACCGCUAGGAUUUUAAAAGCAUAUAAAUUUAGAUAAGGGUGAUCAGGAUCUAACAUUAAUGAUUUUGAAACAAAAACUAAAAAUGGAUCAAUUCAGGUAAGGAACUAAAAUUAUAGAAGUACCUAAACUAAUUAAAACAAGUUUGACUAAAUUAAACUAAAAACGUGAACUUUCAAACAUAGAAUUAAUUUUACUAAUGAACUACAAUUAUAAAAGUGCUUAAACUAAUUAAAAUGAGCCAAACUAAAUCAAAGCAAACUAAAGAUAUAUACUUUCAAGCAUAGAAUUAAUUUUAUUGAUGAACCAAAAAUUAUAAAAGUGUCUAAACUAAAUAGAUGAAUUAAAUUAAAUCAAAGUACACUAAAAACAUGAACUUUUAAAUAAAGAAUCAAUUUUAUCAAUAAAUAAAUAAAACUAUAAAAACACAUAAACUAAUUAAAAGGAACCAAAUUAAAUCAAAGAAUACUAAAAAUAUGAACUUCCAAACAUGAAAUCAAUUUUAUUAAUAAACUAAAACUAUAAAAACACCUAAAAUAAUGAAUAUAAAUUAUUAAAUCAAAGCAAACUAAAAAAAAAACUUAAACUUUCAAACAUGGGAUCAAUUUUAUUAAUGAGCUAAACUAUAAAAAAUAUCUAAACUAACUAUAAUGAAUCAAAUUAAAUUAAAGCAACUUAAAAACGUAAACUUUCAAACAUAGAAUCAAUUUUAUCAAUGAACUAAAACUAUAAAUGUAUUUGAACUAAAUAGAUGAAUUAAACUAAAUCAAAAGUAAACUAAAGACAUGAACUUUUAAAUAUAAAAUCAAUUUUAUUAAUGAACUAAAAUUAUAAAAGUAUCUAAACUAAUUAAAAUGAAUCACAUUAAAUCAAAGAAUACUAAAAAUAUGAACUUCCAAACAUGGGACCAAUCUUAUUAAUAAACUAAAACUAUGAAAACACCUAAAAUAAUGAAUAUAAAUUAUUAAAUCAAAGCAAACUAAAAAAAAACUGAAACUUUCAAACAUGGGAUCAAUUUUAUUAAUGAACUAAACUAUAAAAAAUAUCUAAACUAACUAUAAUGAAUCAAAUUAAAUUAAAGCAACUUAAAAACGUAAACUUUCAAACAUAGAAUCAAUUUUAUCAAUGAACUAAAACUAUAAAUGUAUUUGAACUAAAUAGAUGAAUUAAAUUAAAUCAAAAGUAAACUAAAGACAUGAACUUUUAAAUAUAGAAUCAAUUUUAUUAAUGAACUAAAACUAUAAAAGUAUCUAAACUAAUUAAAAUGAACCACAUUAAAUCAAAGAAUACUAAAAACAUGAACUUUCAAAUUUGGGAUAAACUUUAUCAAUAAAUAAAUAAAUGAAAUACAAGUAAUUAAAAGAGUAGCAAAUACAUGAAUAAAUGAAUAUAUAAAACUCAAAUGUUUUCAAUCUGAUGCAAUCAAUCAAAAUUAAAUAGGGAUCAAAUCAUUCUUUUUUCUAAUAUAAUGAAUCAAAAUUAAAACACACAAACUCAUUCAAGCUAAACUAACAAAUAAAUUAAUACUAAAUUAAAUUGGAAUUAAAAAAAGAAAAAAAAAAGAUAUCUAAUAAAAAAAUGAAAACUCUUUCAAAAACUAACCUGUGUUAUGGAAAAAUCCGUCUUUGAUGCGUUAAAGUGGCUCCUCCUCGAAAAUCCUUUGUUCCUCUCUCUUUCAAAAAAAGAAUAUCACGACCCUUUGCUCCCAAAAUUCUCUCUUACAUGUUCUCUAAAAAAAAAAUCCUUAUGCUUGUUCUCCUUGCUAAAAAAAAUUUCCCCCUCCUUAUGAUGGCAGCCUACUCUUUAUAUGGCUGUGAGAGAUUCCUCAUUUAUUUCCUUCUUUCUCCAAUCUUCCCAUUCAAAAACAAUCCUCCCAAUUUCAAACUCCUUUUCAAAACCUUCCAAAGAGAGUCCCACUUUCCUUAAACUUCAAUGGUAAGUUUCCUUGCAAAAGCAUGGAAUUUUUUUUAAAUUAAAUAAUUGAAUGAAUAAAUAAAUAAGUAAAUAAAUUAUAAAACGGUAAAACAAUAAUAAAUAAAUAAGUUAAUUAAAAAAGAAAAAGAUAACUAAUAUAAAAAUGAAGAUAACAAAUAAAAAUAAAAAGGUGAUUGAUAAUAAUAAAAAUAAAACUAAGAAUAAAAAUAAACAAAUAAAUAAAAACUGAGCCCCACAAGCUAUGCAACCAUGCAAGUCAUACAAGUCACGCUAAAAAUGUCUUAAUGGGCCAAGUGUGCUUAAAUGGGCCUAAGAUGAGACUAAGUGGGCUAAGGGUGUCUAAGUGGGCCUAAGUAGACUACCCUAAAAGCUAUCCUAAAAAAAGCAAGAAAAGCCUAAGUCUAAAUCAAGACUACCAAGAAUCACAAUAAAGGGUCAGAUAAUCCCUUAACCAAAGUCUCCGAGGUGACUCAGAAAAAGGUAAGUUGUACGAGUAGUAAUGGACCACCAAGGAGUUACUAUGGAGCAUUAAAAAUGAAUUUAAAGACAUGUGUUAAAGGGACAAAAUUGAGGGUCUACAGACAGGUCCCUAAGUCUGAUCCCAAGGAGCCUUUGAAGGUUUAUUGCUUUGUUCUAGAAUAUGGAGAAAAGGGUAUCCAGUGAGGACGCUGCCAUAGCUGGGAUUGAGAUUAGUUUUCAUUACAAUCCAUCCCGUGAAAUGAAUGUUCCGAUACAGGCUGCAAGUUGAGAAGACCAAUUUCGGAUGUUGAUUUUGAUUAUGGGCAGCCGCAAGGGAGUAGUCAGGCUACCAUUACCGCACAAGUAGUAGAGGAGCAUUUCAUAUCUCAAUUACGCAGUAUUGCUCCAGCAAACGCUCAUGCUGAAAGGCAAACCCAGAGUUCAGGACUUCAGCAUAAUCAACAAUUGGAUGCUCCCCUGUCCAAUGAUAGUUAACCAGUAGAAGGUGAUGAUGCUAGUUCAUUUGAUGAGUCACAAUGAAUCAGAAUUGAACGCUAAUGAAGAGCAAAGACCCAACUCCUCUGUUCAGCUUCUUGACCCGCUGUUGAGAAGGAGAAUAUCAGGAUAGAGUAUCAAACCCCAAAUCGUUGAUCCUCAAAAUCAGUUUUAUGACCUUAGUCGUGUUAUUGGCUUUCAAAGACUGAAUAUGAAAAGUAGAUGUCCUAAUAUUCUCCAUGUUAUAAUAUGAUUAGAUUCUCAUAACCCUGUUUUGAUGAAUUGCUUCUAUGGACAUGGGGUAUUCCUAUCAGUUUUGACUUCAUUUACAGCUACCAGAAAACUGCUUUACAGUCAGUAGGGCUCGUGCUUCACUUAUGGAGAUUAAUGAUUGGAAUUCAAAGCAAGACAUAAAAAGGGAAUUUUGGGAUGCUUGCUAGCCAUCAGUUUAUUGGAAAUCUUAUCAUAUUUGCUCUAUUGAAAGACAGAACGGAAGGGAAAGUUCUUGUGGUACAUGAGCAAACAAACCUGGUUUUACGCAGUUUGUUGAUGAUUGGCAUGAACGCAUUUGAAUUGAGACACCAUAUUACAGAACUGAAAGUGCUACUAAGGAGAGAACUAAGAGUUUGGCUUUCUGGUUUGCGCUUGGAGGAUAACAAAAUUAUACACACAAGAAAUGUCCCAGGAUAUUGAUAAGGAUCCACACUUGUUCACAUUCUCAUUUAAUAAAGGGAGAUUUGAGGUUGAGGAAAUUUUAUAGCUUUAGUCAAGAUGAUCCACUAACCCAAGAUAUCUUGGUACUUGAUACAAGUGCUGAAGUUUUUAUUUGUCAGGCUGCAGAUCCCAAAAAAGAGCAGAAUGCUUCUGAAAUCGGUCAGAGGUACAUUGAAAUCACUACAUCACUAGAGGAUUAUGUUGCCAUGAAUCCAGCCAAGCAUUUCACCUUUGUUUCCCAUAGUGUUGGAAGGUACGCUGCCAAGAGGUUCUGGAACGCUCAAGUAUUUUAAUUGGAGGAUUUCUAAUGCUUUAAUAGCACUCACCCUACAAUGAAGACUCAGUUUGUGUUGAAAGAGUGGAGUUUCUGGCAGCCACCUACACGCCAAAUGCAGAAUCGAUAUUUGCUCCUCUCAUAGAAACAAACAGUUUUCAUAGCAAACCAAGUGAUCAAGAUGAUGCAGGCUGUAAGAAUUUCCCGAAAGCAUUGCAAAUGGCCAGGCCAGAUGAUGCGACUCAUGGUAGCUUAGCUUUAAAGGCGUAUCAACAAAAUUUAUACCUUAAAUACUAUUACUAAAGUAGCCAAGCUACUAUAGCAUAGUGGUUCUAGGAUCGUUCACUGGGAAGGGUUUUCGUAAACACAAGUGAUAUUCAAAUUAGGAAAAUAGGUGAUUUUCUUAUGGAUGUUAGCUUUAAAAGAAGAUGUAAAUGUUUUUAGAAAAAUUUAAACUAAUCUAAGCUAACAUUAAAGACUAAAAUGAAAGGGUGUAAAAACAAGUUUCUCAAAGAUAGGAUAGCUAUGCUCCAGCUCUUAUGCAAAUUGGAAAUCUCAGGAUAGGCUCCUCGCGUUGGGGUUGCAACUAUGGUGAUGCUUGCUUCCCGAACCGCUAUGGAUUUAGCAAAUCAAGUUUUAAUCCUUUAAAAUGGCAAAACAGAUGGAAGUGAAUUUCAUCAAUGGUUAUUCACCUUAGACUUCCUUUGAAUGGCUCGUAAGAGAUAACUAAUGGUCUAAAGCCAAAAGCUUACCAAAUAUUGGCAACUCAAAGUCAUUCCAGGUGAUAAACUCACCUUUCAAUGGCCAUUGAAAUUGGUUCUAACGGAUUAAUGCAAAACUUGGAAUUGAAAACCUCACAUUCCAAUAGCUCGUAGGAGAUAACUAAUGGAUAGAAAUCCAAAAGCUUAUCAAGUAUUGGCCGUUGGAAGUUGUCCAAAGGAAAUAAAAACCAAACUUUGCAUUAAUGAACCAUUAAUGAAAAACGACUACCUUACCUUCCGGGUGCGAGAAAUUUCCAUGGGAUUGCAUCCAAGCCAUCACAUAACAUCCAUACUUUGAGAAACUAAAAGUUUUAGCCAAUCAUCCUCUGAGGAAAAGCCCUCAGAGGCUGUUUGGCUACUAAGAAAAUAGAAAUGGGGAAGAACAGGAGAAGAGAGAAAAACAGAGCUUUAUAUAUUUCUAAGUUAAUGUACAGAGGAUCGAUCCCCCAAUAUCCCAUAUAUUGUGGAGGUGUUGUGCACCUCUAUAUAUAGCAAAAUUACAAGAUAAAGCCUUAUGUCGGCUGAAUACAAGGUUACAAAAGGAAUUUACACGAGAAAAUAUCAAGCUAAAAAUAUCUGGGAAGUCGGUGGUGCGUGCGUGGAGAAACAAAGGAUUUCAAAGGCAUUUUCGAAAGGGGAAAGAUGAAGGGUCCAAAUUUCGCAAGGUGAAAAGCCACCUUGCGAAAUUUCGCAAGGUGGGUCUUCAUGGUGCGAAAUGGCCAAAUUUCGCACCAUGAAGAAAAUCUCCUUGCGAAAUUUUCGCAAGGUGGGUCUUCAUGGUGCGAAAUGGCCAAAUUUCGCACCAUGAAGAAAAUCUUCUUGCGAAAUGGUGUUCCCAUGGCUUGAUGCAGUUGUCUUCCGAAGGCCAUAUCUUCCUCAUUUCAGCUCCAAAUCGUACACGGUUUGAAGCAUUGGAUUCUUGACUUCCUGAGAUUUGAAAUGGUAUAUAGCAUGUAGAAAAUGGACUUCGUAAAGUGCUCCAAAAGUGAGAAGGAAGACUGCAGCUGCUGUCCUCUGUUUUCUUCACUUUGCUUGCUUUUCCUCUUUGCUUCUCUCCUUUACUUGGCUUGUCUUAAUGAUCCAAAAAGCUGUCAAAAUACUAAAACUAGCCACAAAUAUGAUUAGAAGUCAUUGCUAGGUCCUUAACAUGCCAAUUGGAAUAAAGAUGGAGAACUACUACACAAAAGUGCUUAAAACAUAAUGAAUUAAAGGUGUAAAAUAGCACUUUUUGGGUAGUAAUCACCAGAUAAUGAACCUAUUCUCCAAAAGCUGAGGCAAAUGCUAUUUGAAAUGGGAAAAUCAAGACAAAAUUUAUGAUGCUCUCCUUCUCUCAUGUUCAAAAUUAAAAAGGAUUAAGGUAGGCGAUGGAACAAAACUCAUUCGAUAGAAAUGAUUUUAUUUGAAUCAAAAUGUAUAGUCAGCAGUUUGACAAUGAUUGGUUCUAGUAAUUCUGCACUAAAACUGGAUCAAAGCCUUGCAUCUCUUGGUGAAUAUGUUCCACUUCUUAAAGCAAAACUGCGAUUCGAAGGUUGUGUAGUCUAAUUAGAAAUUGGCUCCUUUCAGAGCCACCUUGCCAUCCAAAUCGUAAGGGUUCAGAAAUUCCAGUUGUUUGAGGUGAAGUUAAGAGGCAGUCUUGUCCAUCUUCCAGCAUAGACAUAGCUCAGAAUAAUUCUGCAGGUGCUUUAAUCCUAGAAUUUGAGGAGGCAGAUCGUGAUGAAAGAUACAAGUGAUAACUUGGUGACCUCCAGUAAUGAAGAAGUAAACCAAGAAAAUAUUGAAGAUACAGAUGAUAAUGAACCCCCUUGUGUAACACUUGAAUAAGGUUCAAAAAAUCGGUUGAGUCGUAUCUGCCUCGACGCUGACUACGAUGAGUCCAAUACUAGAUACCUAGACUCGGCCUUGAAUCGGUUGGACUCGGACAAUUAGACCAAUAUUCCGAGUUAACUCGGUCAACUCAGGAAAAAAAAUCAACAGAUUCUCUGCAAAAGAGCCCCAUCACAACAAGAAUCAAUUUUUCAGAUAAAUCAGAGAUUCCUCUACAAAAGAAAACCUAUGAAAAUUUUAAACAAACCAGUGAAAAUGUAACCCGUGACCCUUUCAAAAGCCUUUAAAAGAGCCUCGGUUGAAGAAUAAUUUACUUAACCCUAAAUCUACCAUUUCUGGAGUGUAGAAUCUUCGUCUUUGGUGUGGUGCCUGGUGGGAAGGUAGCAGAUCAUGGUCCGAUAGUCUGAGAGGCUGCAAGGCUACAGAGUACAGAUCGGUCUUCGUGGUGUGUUGGGGAAGAAGAUAACAAGGUUGCGUCUUCGUGGUGUUGGGGAAGAAGACAGAGGGUUGUGUCUUUGUGGUGUUGCCGUGUUGGGGAAGAAGACAGAGGGCAAGAGUUUCAACUUUCAAACCGACAUGUAAUAAUUAAUAAAGGAAUUCCCCCUUUUUGCUAUAUAUAUAUAUAGUUGUGUUUAAUGAAGCAUAUGAGUAUAUAUAUACUCUCUCUGUAUAUGGUUUAACACUUUACUGUUGCUAUAUAUAAUCUGUCAUUCCUUUUUAAAUAUUGGAUGGUUAUAACAUUUUUGUUUUUAGGUGCCAAUUAAUUUGAUUGACUUUCAUCAAUCACAUAAAUGAGAAAACAUAAAUGAAUAUCUUUAAUAUUUUAAAAUUAUUAUCACUAUUAAAUUAUACAUUUUAUCAAUUUCUCAAUACUCUUAAUAAAAUCAUUCAUUAUUUUUUAUUUUAUACAAUGACAAGUGACAUUAAAUACUAAUUUAUUUAUUAAGUGAUUAAUUAAAAUUCAUCUUAGCCCUUGACCAUCCUUGAGAUGUGAUCUAUUAGUCUUUGGUUGAAUGGUCUUUGAUUUUUGUUUUAUAUUCUUCAACUAUGGUAUAAUCUAAUUUUGAAUUUAGGUAUAUAAAUUAUAAACUAAAUAAGACAUAAUUAAUAUUUUUAAAUUAUUUCAUGAAUUUUUUAAUUUUUAAAAAUAAUUUUGAAUUCAAAAAACCAAUCUAAUUAAUUACAUAUAAAAUCAAAACAUUUUAUAAUAUUAUUUUUAUAAUUCAAUUCUAAAUGAGUACAUGGAAUGAAAAAUUUGACUCAUUUUUAAAAAGUUAAACUUUAUUAAUUAUUCAAUUUAAAUAAAAUAUAAUGAAAAAUUAUUAUUUUAAAUAUUUAUUAUUAAUUUUUAACCCAAAAAAUGAUGAAGAUGUUAAUAUUUUUAUGUUUCUAACAUAUACUAAAAUAACAUUUUUUUUAUAAAAAUAAAAUAAAAUAAACCUAUGAUUUUAUUAUAAUAUCAUAUAUAAGUAAAAAAAUUAUAAGUACUCUUUUGUAAUAGAUACUAAACCUUCGUUUAUGUUAUAUUUGAUUCCCAAAAAAUUAUUAAGAAAAUUUAUUUAUUUAUUUUUCACUAUUUUUAUCAUAAAAAAUAUAAAAGAGAAUCAAACUGCAAUUAAAAAUUAGCUAAACAUUUGUAUAUUUAAAUUAUAUAAUCUUUAUAUAGAAAAAUAAAUAAAUAAAUUGAAUUAAAAGAGUCAUAAAAAAAUAAUUUAUUAACCUUAAAUUUGUUUAGUUUUCUUUUUUUUUUUCCUCUAAUAUUCAUAAACCAAAUAUAGCAUUAGUAAAUGACUUAUUUAAUUAAAAAGGUUAUUGAAAACCCAAUUUUGUAAAUCUAACCCUUCAUUAUUUUUUUGGCAUCAUUUUAAAAAAACACUCUCAUUUUUUCCUUAUAAAAAUAAUUAUUUCUUUUAAAGCAUUCAUGUAAAUACUUACAAUAAUCAAGGGUAUUUAUAUAUAUAAAAAAUGAGUUACUCUUCAAAUAUAAGGAUUAUUUUCAUCAUUUUUAACUAAUUAGGUUUUAAUAAAUUGAGUUACUCUUCAAGUAUAAGGAUUACAUAAAAUUUUGUAUAAUGCUACAAAAUAUAAUGUACAAGAAAUUGUAUUGAAUACUUUAAAAAUAUCACUCAAUUUUCUAUUAGUAUAAAUAAAUUUACAUUAUAUUAGUGACAAAAAAUUUCCCUAUUACUCAAUUACAUUUAAUACUAUAUUGCAAAAUUAAAUUACAAUAGAAAAUUAAUAAUUAUAUAAUUUUUUUUUUCAAAUAAUCAUAAAUGAUUUAAUGAUACGGAAUGAAGGGUAUGCAUUUACAUGGUCAAUUACAUUUAUAUUUGAAUCAAUCUUACUUCAUUAUAUCAUGUAGAUUUUUUUUUUAUAAUAUUCUACAAUUAAAUUACAAUAAGAAAUCAAUAAUUAUCAAAACAAACUUUUUUAAAAGAAUUUUUUUAUAAAAAUAUUCAUUUAUUUAACUAUUAUUUAUUUUAAUUAAAAAAACAUAUAAAUAAGUGGAAAAUAAAAGAUGAUGAACUUAUGUGAGAUCGUGUUUAUUGCUUUUUUAGUACAAUUUAUUUUUAUAUGGUAACAAUAUGAAACAUAUAAGUGAGUGAAAAAUUGAAUAUUAUAAUUCUUAUAUAAAUGUGUUUAUAUAUAUUUAAUUUGAAAAGUAAAUUGUUUUCCUUUUAUACAUGGUUAGGUUAAAAUUUCAAAAUGGCUUCAAAACAUGAUAUUGGUUGGGAGCAUGCAGAACCUGUUGGUCGUAGUAGAAGAACCAUAAAGUGUAAAUAUUGUGGGAAAGUUAUACAUGGCGAUAUAAUAAGAUUAAAGCAACACAUUGCACAUCUAUCUGGACAAGUGGAAGGAUGUCCACUUGUACCGGUAGAAGUGUCACAUAGUGUUAGACAACAUAUGUCUAAUACUUCAAAAGAAAAAACACAGUUAAAGAAAAAAAAAACGACUUUUGAAUUCCUUAAAUAGAGAAAAUUUCUAUGAAAUUGAUGAGGGUGAUUCUGAUGAUGAAAUUGAGGAAGUUGCUAUGGUUGAUUUUGAAAGAAGACAAAUGAAACAAGCAAUGAAAGAAAGUCGUCGAAUUUUUUAAGAAGGUGGACAAGAGCAUCAGAAGGGUGGUAGUUCCUCACAACCUUCUAAUGCUAGGAUUAAGCGCAGACUGACACGUAGCUUCAGUGUUGAUUACUACCAAAAAGUGCUAUUUUGUAGACCUAAUAAUAAUGGUUUUAAGCACCUUUGAGUAGUAAUCAUAUUCAUUUAACCCAGUUAAUUCAUUAAGGUCCUUAGUAAUUGGUUUUAACCAUUUUUGUGGCAAGUUUACAUGUUUUUAUCAGCUUAUGAACCAAUUCAAGCAUGCCAAUUGAUGGAGGAGCUAUUUGGGCGAGUUAAGCAAGGAUUUUGGAUGAUUACAGGCUUGAAUUUUAAGUGGAAACACGAGCACAAGCAAUGGAGAAGAGGAAAACAGAGUGAAGAAAACAGCUGCAGUCUUCUUUCACACUUUUGGAGCACUUUCCGAAGUCCAUUUUCUACAUGCUAUAUACCAUUUGAAAGCUUAGGAAGUCAAGAAUCCAACGCUUCAAACCGUGUAUGAUUUGAAGCUGAAAUGAGGAAGAUAUGGCCUUCGUAAGGCAACUGCAUCAUGCCAAAUGACCAAUUUCGCAAGGUGAAUUUCACAUUGCGAAAAUUUCGCAAGGAGAUUUUCUUCAUGGUGCGAAAUUUUGCCAUUUCGCAAUGUGAAUUUCACAUUGCGAAAAUUUCGCAAGGUGAAUUAACUCAUGAUGCGAAAAUAUGGCACUUCGCAUCAUGAGUAAUUCACCUUGCGAAAAUUUCGCAAUGUGCCUUUUACAUUGCGAAAUUCCUUUGAAUCCUCUGUUUCUCCACGCACGCACCACCGACUUCCCAAAUAUUUUUAGCUUGAUAUUUUCUCAUGUAAAUUCCUUUUGUAACCUUGUAUUCAGCCGACAUAAAGCUUUAUCUUGUAAUUUUGCUAUAUAUAGAGGUGCACAACACCUCCAACAAAAAAUGGGAUGAUUGUGGGAUCGAUCCUCUGUACAUUAACUUAGGAAUAUAUAAAGCUCUGUUUUUCUCUCUUCUCCUGUUCUUCCCCAUUUCUAUUUUCUUAGUAGCCAAACAGCCUCUGAGGGCUUUUCUUCAAAGGAUGAUUGGUUAAAACUUUUAGUUUCUCAAAGUAUGGAUGUUAUGUGAUGGCUUGGAUGCAAUCCCAUGGAAAUUUCUCGCACUUGGAAGGUAAGGUAGUCGUUUUUCAUUAAUGGUUCCUUAAUGCAAAGUUUGGUUUUUAUUUCCUUUGGACAACUUCCAACGGCCAAUACUUGAUAAGCUUUUGGAUUUCUAUCCAUUAGUUAUCUCCUACGAGCUAUUGGAAGGUGAGGUUUUCAAUUCCAAGUUUUGCAUUAAUCCAUUAGAACCAAUUUCAAUGGCCAUUGAAAGGUGAGUUUAUCACUUGGAAUGACUUUGAGUUGCCAAUAUUUGGUAAGCUUUUGGCUUUAGACCAUUAGUUAUCUCUUACAAGCCAUUCAAAGGAAGUCUAAGGUGAAUAACCAUUGAUGAAAUUCACUACCAUCUGUUUUGCCAUUUUAAAGGAUUAAAACUUGAUUUGCUAAAUCCAUACCGGUUCGGGAAGCAAGCAUCACCAUAGUUGCAACCCCAACGCGAGGAGCCUAUCCUGAGAUUUCCAAUUUGCAUAAGAGCCAGAGCAUAGCUAUCCUAUCUUUGAGAAACUUGUUUUUACACCCUUUCAUUUUAGUCUUUAAUGUUAGCUUAGAUUAGUUUAAAUCUUUCUAAAAACAUUUGCAUUUUCUUUUAAAGCUAACAUCUAUAAGAAAAUCACCUAUUUUCCUAAUUUGAAUAUCACUUGUGUUUGCGAAAACCCUUCCCAGUGAACGAUCCUAGAACCACUAUGCUAUAGUAGCUUGGCUACUUUAGUAAUAGUAUUUAAGGUAUAAAUUUUGUUGAUACGCCUUUAAAGCUAGGCUACCAUGAGUCGCAUCAAAUGGCGCCGUUGCCGGGGAAGGUGCCACAAGCACAGUGAAGCAACCAUUAAGGGUAACUUGUGAUCUUCAUCACAAGUUUGGUGAGUUUUCUUAUAAUUUUUUUUUAGUUAAAUUUUUUAUUCUCUUUUCUUUUAUUUUUAUUUUAAUUUCAAUUUGUGCAUUCCUUGUUGGAUUCGAGACCAAGAGGGAACCCUGGUACAAGUUGAAGAAAAGAGCCUUAGUUGAAUAUCAUUUUUUUUAGAAAUGGAAAUUCCACAUGAAGAUCAAAGCUCUCAUUAUGAUCAUGAGAAGGACAAAUUUGCAUACUUAUCCAUGAGGGAUCGGAUUGAAUUAGGGAAAAGGCAAGUUCAACAAAGCCAAUGGGGUAGUAAGGAUGCUUUGAAUGAAGACAUGAGCAUGAAGGCAAAGCUAGCAUCUAUGGCUAGAAGGAUAGAAGAGUUUGAAUUGAGGAAUGUGCAUACUGAAGCACAACCACAAGCCAUGCCAACUUCAUUUGAGUAUAUAAACCAUCCCAACCUUACAACCCAACCUCAACCUCAACCAUCAAUGAGUACAUCUUCAUUGGAGCAAGCCAUUUUGAAGUUAAGCAAAGUCAUGAAGGACUUUGUAGGUGAGCAACAAAAGAUCAACUCUCAUCUUAAUGAAAAGAUUGAUAAUUUGGAGAGUUCAAUAAAUGUAAGAAUGGAGGGGGUUUACAAUGAUCUAUCACUAAGGAUAGAAAAAGUUCAAGACUCCAUUGAGAAGCUCACCAAUCUCGACAUAGCAAGGGGGAAAAGGAAGUUUCCUCCUCAACCCCACCAUAACCUUCAAGGAACCAAUGCAAAAAGAUCAAGGAAAGUGUUGAUGAUCGACACUUUGGUGGGGGAUUGCUAUGACAACUCUAUGGACCAACCUUUCAUUGAAAAUCAUAAGGUUCAAGAUAAUAAAGGGUUAUCUGAACCCUUUAAAGCAUCCACUUCUCCAGGGAAGAGAAGAGAAACGAAUUCCCUUGGACCAAAUGGGAAGGAUGCCAAUUUUGUUUGGGAUCCAGGGGGAAUUCAGCAUGAAGUGGGUGUGUGAGUGAGGAUGAGCUAAAUAGUUCAUCUUCUUUUUGGGGUACAUGCUAUCAGCUUCAUUUAAAUUCUAUGCUUUCUUUAAAUUUAUGCAUGUUUUAGUUUGAAUUCUUAGCUUUAAUUUAGUUUUAAUAUGUUUUUAAGAUGACUUUUGAAGUGUUCAUGCAGGUACGAAGCUUGCAAAAAUCGAAAUGGAGGUGAAACAGAGGAAACAGGGGAGCCAAAAUGCAUAAGCAAAGCUCUCAGUGGAAUUUCGCACCAUGAACACACUCAGUGCGAAUUUUUCGCACAGUGACAGUGCAUGGUGCGAAAAGAAAUUUCUAUACAUUUUGGAAAGCCAAGCCUCCCGGGAUGCUAUCUUCGCACCUCAAUUACCAGUGCGAAAACUUUCGCACCUUGUUUAUCUUGGUGCGAAAUGAUUUUCAAGCUAAUUUCUAAAAACAAAGCUCUCGGGAAGGCCUUUUUCUUGAAUUCCAUGUUUUUCCAAGUUUAAAAAUUCAUGAAUGCAUUUCCAAACCUUUUGUUUUCAAAUCCAAACCCAAUUUCUUCCAAAAAGAAACCUUCCCUUCAUCCAUUCUAAGCCUUAGGAACCCAAUUUUUCAAAUCCCAUCCAUCCAAAACUUUUUAAAAAUCAAAUUUCAAAACCAUUCCAUGCAUGGCCGUCCACUUUGAUUUUCAUUUUCCAUCAUUUAAUUUUGUUUUUCAUCAUUUAAAAACUACCCAAACACCUUAGGAAUCUUGUUUAGAGCCUAACCAUACCUUUUAAAAAACCAUUUUUGAAUUUUUUCCCAAAACUUGGAAAAUGCACAGUCGGGCUUCAAAGGAGGUGAACAGUGACUGUGCCAAUUUUGGCACUCACUGUUCACUCCUCCUUUGUUUUCCCCUGUUUGAGCCAAAAAUCUCCAAUUUUAACACCCUGCAAGCUACAUUCAAAUGUCAUUGCAACUUAUAUGAGUAUACCAUCAUGGCAUGGACCCUUUGAGCCUUGUCCUCAGCUGCUCAAAGUGGGGCCCACUCAUCAUUUUUGUAAAUAUUUAGUAUAAAUUCCUCUCUCAUUCAACUUUUGAAUUUUGAAACAAGUGGUUCAACCUUCCCAACUCCAAGUCCACAUCACAUGAGGUACCACUUCCUUCCCCCUUAUUUUCGAUUCAAACAUUGAGGACAAUGUUCAUCUCGGUUGGGGGGAGAGAUGAGGAAGUAAGUAUUAGUUUAAAUUUUUAUCAUACUUAGUUAAAUUAGCUACUUUUUUAAAUUUUUAAAAUUUUUGCUUUAAACUCCAUGGAUAUUAAGGAUUAACUCUCAAAAUUAAAUGAGAGAAGUCAAGUUUCAACUUGAGUACAUGAGUCUUAGAGUUUGUAUUAUGCUCUUCUAAAAGUUGAUGAAUGGUUGAAACUCCCAUUGCAUGCAAACUUAUCUCUUCCACCUUAAGCUAUUCGCACACACAUACAUUAGAUUCCGGUUAUAAGAUGUGAAACUAUCUCACCCUCUAAGCUUGAGAAAUCAUAAUUUGACACCUUUAACCUCUCUUUAAUAGUGUUGGGACACCUCAUAAAGACCAAUGAGUCUUUGAAAAAAAUAGAAAAAAGAAAAAGAAAAAGAAAAAGAAAAAUAUAUAAUAAACUUCUUUGCUUGCCUUGAAACCUGAGCAUGGUCCGAAGGGGUGGCGAAAGCCUUUAAAGCCUGGUGCCCUAAGCCUUUAUUGGUUGGGAGUCAUCGAUCCUCUACUUGUUACAUGGGUGAAUUGGUUAAGUUUAGUAAGUGAAAAGAAUUGUGAAUAAGAGGUGCGUUCCUAGCCUAUCAAGAGAUGGUUAAUUUUGCUAAAGCUUAAAGAAAGACUUAGGUUAGGAGGAGAUGAUAGUUAUCCAUACUAUACUCGGAAGCUAAUCACAUUAACACUUAGCUUUUAGUGGAAGAAUUUGAUUUGGAUCUUUUGAGAGUGGAAAUUCUUUUGAUGCUUAAACUUGCAUAAUAUCCAUUCUUUGUACUCUAUGAUCAAGUGAAUGCUUUGACAACUCUUAUUAUAGGUUGAGUUUCACAUCUUUAUUGAUCCAUGGAUGUCCAUCAUGCCACUCAUAUCAUUUUUUGGAGUGAUUUGCAUGAUCCCUUUAUGGUAUAUUAUUAUAGUUUGCUUAAGUUUUUAUCUCCUCNNNNNNNNNNNNNNNNNNNNNNNNNNNNNNNNNNNNNNNNNNNNNNNNNNNNNNNNNNNNNNNNNNNNNNNNNNNNNNNNNNNNNNNNNNNNNNNNNNNNCCAUUGAAAGCUUAGGAAGUCAGGAUCCAACACUUCAAACGGUGUAUGAUUUGGAGCUGAAAUGAGGAAGAUAUGGUUUUUGGAAGGCAACUGCAUCAUGCCAAAGGACCAUUUCGCAAGGUGAAAUUCACAUUGCGAAAAAUUUCGCAAGGAGAUUUUCUUCAUGGUGCGAAAAUUUUGCCAUUUUCGCAAUGUGAAUUUCACAUUGCGAAAAUUUCGCAAGGUGAAUUAACUCAUGAUGCGAAAAUAUGGCACUUCGCAUCAUGAGUAAUUCACCUUGCGAAAAUUUCACAAUGUGCCUUUUACAUUGCGAAAUUCCUUUGAAUCCUCUGUUUCUCCACGCACGCACCACCGACUUCCUAAAUAUUUUUAGCUUGAUAUUUUCUCAUGUAAAUUCCUUUUGUAACCUUGUAUUCAGUCGACAUAAAGCUUUAUCUUGUAAUUUUGCUAUAUAUAGAGGUGCACAACACCUCCAACAAAAAAUGGGAUGAUUGUGGGAUCGAUCCUCUGUACAUUAACUUAGGAAUAUAUAAAGCUCUGUUUUUCUCUCUUCUUCUGUUCUUCCCCAUUUCUAUUUUCUUAGUAUCCAAACAGCCUCUGAGGGCUUUUCUUCAAAGGAUGAUUGGCUAAAACUUUUAGUUUCUCAAAGUAUGGAUGUUAUGUGAUGGCUUGGAUGCAAUCCCAUGGAAAUUUCUAGCACCUGGAAGGUAAGGUAGUCGUUUUUCAUUAAUGGUUCCUUAAUGCAAAGUUUGGUUUUUAUUUCCUUUGGACAACUUCCAACGGCCAAUACUUGAUAAGCUUUUGGAUUUCUAUCCAUUAGUUAUCUCCUACGAGCUAUUGGAAGGUGAGGUUUUCAAUUCCAAGUUUUGCAUUAAUCCAUUAGAACCAAUUUCAAUGGCCAUUGAAAGGUGAGUUUAUCACUUGGAAUGACUUUGAGUUGCCAAUAUUUGGUAAGCUUUUGGCUUUAGACCAUUAGUUAUCUCUUACAAGCCAUUCAAAGGAAGUCUAAGGUGAAUAACCAUUGAUGAAAUUCACUACCAUCUGUUUUGCCAUUUUAAAGGAUUAAAACUUGAUUUGCUAAAUCCAUACCGGUUCGGGAAGCAAGCAUCACCAUAGUUGCAACCCCAACGCGAGGAGCCUAUCCUGAGAUUUCCAAUUUGCAUAAGAGCCAGAGCAUAGCUAUCCUAUCUUUGAGAAACUUGUUUUUACACCCUUUCAUUUUAGUCUUUAAUGUUAGCUUAGAUUAGUUUAAAUCUUUCUAAAAACAUUUGCAUUUUCUUUUAAAGCUAACAUCUAUAAGAAAAUCACCUAUUUUCCUAAUUUGAAUAUCACUUGUGUUUGCGAAAACCCUUCCCAGUGAACGAUCCUAGAACCACUAUGCUAUAGUAGCUUGGCUACUUUAGUAAUAGUAUUUAAGGUAUAAAUUUUGUUGAUACGCCUUUAAAGCUAAGCUACCAUGAGUCGUAUCAAGUGUAAGAGAAGAAGCUAGCAUACCUCCAAAAGGAAUUGAUCCCUACAUGUUCCCAUCAAAGCGGAAAUCAAUAAAAAGCUUGUUUUCUACUAAAGGUGUGAAGAAAGUGGGUAAAACUAUUUCUAAAUUCUUUCUCUUUAAUGCAAUACCAUUUAAUGCAGCUGACAGUGGGCCUUACUAUCAAUCAAUGAUUGAUACUAUAGCAGAAGUAGGUCCAGGCAUCAAGGGUCCCAUAGGAUACCAAAUUGGAAAUACAUAUUUGGAAGAGGAAGUGCAAGAGCUUAAGGUAUACAUAACAACAUUGAAGGCUAAAUGACCUAUAUAUGGGUGCACAAACAUGUGUGAUGGUUGGAGUUGUAGGACUAGAAAGCCUAUCAUCAAUUUCAUGAUUUAUUAUGAUAGAAGUAUGAUAUAUCAUUCUUCAGUUGACACUACCAACAUACUUAAGACAACAAAUGACAUAUUUUCCCUUAUGGAUAAAGUUAUAGAGGAGGUUGGGGAGGAAAAUAUUGUUCAAGUAGUCACUGAUAAUGAGGCAAGUUUUAAAGCAGCCGGUAUGUUGUUGAUGGAGAAGUAGAAGCAUUUGUUUUGGUCUCCUUGUGCAACUCACUGUAUUGAUUUAAUGCUUGAAGAUAUUGGAAGCAUGAAGUAGAUUAAGGAGACAUUAGAUCAAGCUAAGAUGAUCACAGGAUUUAUUUGUAAUAGCUUGAAAGUAGUGAAUUUGAUGAAAGUGUUCACCAAGGAUAGAGAUCUAUUAAGGCUAGGAAUAACCCGUUUUGCCACUGAAUUCAUUUCACUUGAGAGUCUUAUACGUUAUGAGGCUGAUUUGAAGAGAAUGUGCACAACAAAUGAGUGGCAUGAAUUCAAUAAAGAUAGGAGCAUAAAAAGUCUAAGAGAUAAGGUAUCCAACCUUAUCUUAACUGAUCGAUUUUGGAAGAAGGCAAGGGAAGUUCAAACCAUCAUGAAACCUCUCGUCAAAGUAUUGAAAUUGGUUGAUCAAGAUAAAAAGCCCACACUAUCAAUCAUUUAUGAAGCAAUGGAUAAAACUAAAUUAGCUAUCAAGGCAUCGGUCAAGCAAUGGGAAAAGAAUUGGGAAGUCAUUGAUAGAAGGUGGGAAGGUCAAUUGCACAGACAUUUGCAUGUUGCAGGUAAUAAAAAAAUUCUUUAUUAUUUUUUUCAAGUACAAAUUAUUAUAAAUUGAUCAUUAUUUAACUUAUGGCAUCAUAUUUUUUAAAUCCAAUGUUCCAAUAUUCAAAGCAUUUCUCCAACCAUCCGGAAAUUAAAGUUGGAUUAAAGGAGGUUAUCAAGAUAUUAGAACCAGAUUUGGAUAGACAAGCAAAAGCUAUUAACGAGGUAUACUAAUAGUUUGUGACCUUUAUAUAGUGCAUUUUGUAUAUGUAAUGUGCAUUAACAAAAAAAAAAUGUUAAUGAUGUAAGUGAAAUUAUUUGUUGACGGCCAAGGAAAAUUUGGAAGUGCACUUACAGAGAAAGCAAUAAAUCAAUCUCUUCUAGGUACUCAAUACAUUUACGUCUAUUACAAAUAAGAAAUUAUCAUCAUUUUUUGUUAAAUAUAUCAUAGUGAUUAUAAGUAUGCAUUUUCUUUAUUAUAGUUGAAUGGUGGAACAACUAUGGCGAUGAAGGUCCACAUCUACAAAAGAUUGCUGUUAAAAUUUUAAGUCAAACUUGUUCUUCAUCAAGUUGUGAAAAAAAUUGGAGCACAUGGUCAUUGAUUCACACAAAGUUGCGCAACCAUUUGACAAUGAAAAAGUUGCAUAAGUUAGUUUAUGUGCACUACAAUAUGCGACUUCGAGUUAAGAAUUUGAUGCAAAAGUGAAGCAAUGAAGAUUUAUACAAUCCAAUUUAUCUGAAUCAUAUCUUUAAUGAUGAUGAUAUAUUAGAUGAGUGGAUACGAGAAGGAGAUGAGCCUAUUUUAUCAUCUGAUAAUUUGGAUUAGUUGGAUAAAGGUCUUCCCACUAAUGAAGAAGGUAGAGAAAGAGAUGUUGAUUCCCGUUAUAAAGGUAAGGCUUCUAGAACAAUUUCUUCAAGUUCUAGUAGUGAUGAUGGUGACAAUAGGGGCAGUAGGCGGGGUGGUGGCACUAAUGGGGGCAAUAGAGGAGUUGGUGGCACUAGUGAGGCUACUGGAGGAGAUGGUAGCACUAGGGGCAGUUAUGUUAGUUAAGUAGAUCUCGACAUGUCAUGGGUACAAGGAGGUGAAAAUUACUAUGCCACACAAGAUACAGAUCAUAGAUAUCGACCAGGGAUAUGGAAACAACGAAAGCAUUUGGAAAGACUAACUACAUUUUCCAAUGAUGAUGAUUAUUCUAGUGGGCAUGAUUAUCAUAGAUCAAAUUAUCACCGUAUUGAUGAGCACUUACAAAAUUUGGGUAUAGGAUCAAGGCCGUAUUUCAGAGGGGUAGAUGAUAGAUCAUAUCACAACUUUAGAGACCGUGAUAGCUUUUCCAGUACUUUUAGUAGAAAUGAUUUUAAUCGAUUUCCAAUGAUGCAUCCAAAGGGACAUUCAAAUACUGGAACACGAGCUAGUGACUCAUAUGGAUAUGAUCAAUCUUCUAGUAGUAGUAGCAUUGCUUAUCGAGGUUUUGGAUACUAUCAAUAUGGUGUUGAUCUCGAACAGCCUUCGAAACCAUAUUUUCUUGAUUAUGGAUCAUCAAGCCAAUACUCUCACCCAACAUAUUCGAGUUAUGAACAACUCUUUCAACCAUAUCCUCACUACGGGAAUUGCCACCCCAAUUUAUAUGCUCGUCGUAGGACUGAUGAUAAUGAUUUUGAACCCCUUCAUCAUUCAACAUGGAAUUGAUUAUUGUAUUGUAUGUUUGUUAGUAAAUAUGUUAUUAUAUUUGAAAUAAAAUAACUUUCUUUUAUUAGCAUUAUCAUAAAUAACUUUGAGCAAAUAUUUUUAUAACUAUUUAAAUAAUGUUAAAUGUGAGACAAUUUUAUUUUAUUAAUUUUUUGAGCUUAUUUAAUUGUAUAUAUUUUUCUAAUGAUUUACAUAAUAUUUUUAUAUUUUUUUUUUUAAUUUUCUAAUUAGCUUAUUUUACGUAUCGUCCGAUACCAAAUUGAUACACCGAGACCAAUACGCCUCGAGACCCUCCGAGUCAGUGACCAAUACUGGGACUUUGAACCAUGCACUUGAAGGUGGUUUGAGAAUACCUGAAAGCAGUUUCGACAAACUGUUUUACUAUCAAAAGGUGGAGGUUUGGUGGCUAUGGGAACUGCAUUGCCAACAAGUAGGUGGAAUUAUUAGAGAUGAGAUGGGACUUGGCAAGACCAUCCAGGUAUUAUCUUUCCUUGGAGCAUUGCAUUUCAGUAAUAUGUAUAAACCAAGUGUUGUUAUCUGCCCUGUUAUACUCUUGCGACAAUGGAAAAGGGAAGUAAAAAAAAUGGUACCGAAGUUUUCAUGUGGAAAUACUACAUGAUUCUGCUUAAGAUCCUGCUAGUAGAAAGAAACGAGCCAAAUCUUGUGAAAGUGAAGAUUCACUUGACAGUGAUGAUGAAGAAUAUUUAUCUUCUAAGGACACCAAAAAAUGGGAUUCCCUUAUAAACCGUGUUUUGAGGUCAUAGAGUGGAUUACUUAUCACUACUUAUGAGUGAAUUUGGCUGUAGGUUGGAAAGCUACUUGAUAUCAAAUGGGGUUAUGCAAUUUUAGAUGAAGGACACCAAGUUCGGAAUCCAAAUGCUGAGUUACCAUACUUUGUAAAUAGUUACAGAUUGUUCAUCGUAUAAUAACGACUGGUGCUUCAAUUUAGAACAAGCUGGUUGAGUUGUGGUCUUUAUUUGAUUUUGUCUUCCUUGGGAAGUUGUGAGUGUUGCCUGUAUUUGAAGCAAAAUUUGCAGUUCCCAUAUCUGUUGGUGGCUAUGCCAAUGCUUCUCCAUUACAAGUAUCCACUACUUAUAGCCUUACUGCAAAGCAGCGUUCUGUAUAUCGAGCAUUUCUUGCAAGUUCAGAGGUGGAACAGAUCUUUGAUGGUAGUAGAAAUUCUCUUUAUGCCAUUAAUGUGAUGCAUAAGAUAUACAAUCACCUUGAUCUGCUUGAGCAAGAGCAUGCUUACCAGAAUCCAGAUUAUGGGAAUUUUGAACAUAGUGGAAAAUGGAGAAUUGAUGUUUCUUCGACCAUAAUGCUGAAAAUGGAAACUCUAAGCAAGACUUGAAACUGUAGAAAGAGUGGCAGUAAAGUAAUUAAUCUUGAACUGGACUUUAACUGCUACACCAUAAGUUCCUGUUGGCAAUGCAAGUUGUGAUUUUAAAAAGCCAGAGUUGGGUUGGAAUGCCUUUGCUGAUGAAAUUAUACACUCAAACCCAGUGAGCAUGAACUCCAAAAUGAAUAUUGUCAGUUCUCCUCCAGUCAUACCAGCAAUCUACAAGGUUCUUUUCAUGCAAGCACCAAUAGUUGAAUCACUAGCACCUUCAUACUCCUGGACUCUGCUUCUGUCAUGGCCACCUUGGUGCACACCCUUCUCCCCCUGAUCCUUUCUUUCUUCUUUUUUGUGAUCUUAUACAUUGUAAAUCUGGAUUUCAAAACCAUUUUCCCUCAAAAUAACUCUAGCUUUCUCUAAAAUUCCUUAGGAGUUUCUAGGCAUAAAAUCCAUAUUUUUAACAUACUAUUUGCUACCAUUUUCCUUCCGGCACACGUUUUCACUAUUUUCUACUAAUUUUCUUGAUUUUUCUAACAAGCAUGAAUAAAUUUCAUGGUUCCAAAUGAUGGGACUGAUUGAAUCAAUUCGUGUAAAAGCAAAUUGGACCUUGGUGGGGGGUUCAACAUUCUUGAUAUCUUCUCUGAUAUUGAUUCAAAUGAGGGGAUUAUUCGAUAUUUGGCUUAUUUUAAUUAUUCUCUAUGAUAUAUAUAUGAGAAUUGUUCAUACUUGUUAUUGAGCUAACCUUGUUUUCCAUAGAAGCUUUUAGCUUGUUACCUAGGUACGCUAUCUCUCUCACUCACUUUUGAAAAUUCUAUGAACAUACACGCUAUUGAAGAUCAUAUCCAUGUUUUGAUGUAAUCCUUAGGUGCCACUACAAGAAAAAAGUGAAAUAAUGACACUUUUUAUGCAUCAAGAAAGGUAAAAGAUGACGCUUCCUUGAAGCGUCAUCUCCGCCCCUGUCAUUAAAUGUUAUAAUUAACAAUGACACUUCAAAGAAGCGUCAUAUUUUAUUAAUGCUUUCAAUGGCGCUUUAAGAAAUGUCAUCCUUGAAUAAUGUCAACAAUGACACUUGUAGAAGUGUCCUCUUUGAACAUUUUUUUAUUGAAAUAAUUUGUAUAAAAUUACCAUUCUUGACACUUAUGCGAACGCCAUCUUUGAUUUAAUUUUAUUAAUGACACUUUUAAAAAUGUCUUCUUUGUUUCAUGCUAACAAUGAUGCUUAUAAAAGCAUCAUCUUUGAACAAUUUCUAUUUAAAAAAAUAAUAUUUUGAUUCCAUUAUUAAAAUAAUUGAUUUCUUAUAUAAUUAAAUUAAAAAACAAUUACAACCAAUAAAAUUAAAUUAAAUUUUAUUAAUUAAAAUAUAUCCAAAUAUUGAUAUACAUGAACCUAGUUUAAACAAUUAAUGUAACCACCUAUAUAUAUUAAUUACACAUAAACUUAUUAAUUAUAUCAAAAUAUUUCAAUAAGAAUUUCUAAUUCUAACAUAAGAACAAACAUUGAUAUCAAGACUACUAAAAUAAACCAUAAUCUUUAAAAGAAUAGUUCAACCUCCUAAUGAGUUCACUGAUGUAAUCUUCAUGGUUUUUGACUUCGCCUUCUUUAACACAAUGGUUUCUCUUCUUUUAGCAAACAAGUUUCCUUUGUAACCUGUAAAUAAAAAUAAGGAAGAGUAUAAAACAUCUAAAUUAUAUAUACAUACAAUAAAUAAUAAGCAUAAAUGAAAUUAUAACUUUCACAAAAUUAAUUUAUGUUAUCAAGUUUGCUUACAUGAAUUAGCCUCUUACAUACAUGGAUUGUGCUCCUUUCAAUUCAUUAUAAGAAAAAAAUUAUAUUGUAAAGAGUUUUCAAAAUAAAAUAUAACAGAUUAUUCUAAUGCAGAUAAAAAGCUCUCCAUUGUCAUCUCUAUGUUGCACCUUUAGAGCAUUACUUCAAAAAAGACCUCAUAAAUAAUUCAUCAAAGUAAAACUAGUUAUACAAAAUAUUUCAUUAAGGAGACCAAUGAGUUGAAACUAAAUAAAUAAAUUUGCACUCUAUCAACAAAAUACCUUAACUACAAUUUCAACUAACAUAUUAUGCUUUCCCCAAAAUAAGGAAAAAAAUGUACUUAAUUUUUUUUUAAAAGUUUGAUUUUUUAUUCAACAACAUAGAAGAAAUAAAUUUUAUUUUUAUGAGAUAAAAUAUUGUAUUUUUAGUAUAAAUUAACAGUUAAAUUAAAUCUUUAACAAACUCAUAGGCUUUAAGUGAAUAAAUAUGCAUUAAACGCUUAUUAUAAAGUGUAUAUAUGAGUUAGGGUUGCUCCGUAUGAACAUUUAAUGGUGAACUCUUAAAGCAUUCUUGAAUACAAGAAUAAGUCCUAUAAUGUACAAAAAAAAAAAAAAAAAAUACCAAGGUCCAAACACGAUGAAAACCAUGAUGUUAUCACUAUGUAAUGAUCAAAAUUUUAUUUUUAAUUUCUUAUAUUUUUUUUGUUUAACUAGGUUUUUUUUUUUUUUUUUUUUCAGUUCCUUUGAUUUUUGUUUAUUUUGAUGAUAAGAGGAGCUUGUAAUUUACUUAGAUGAGGUAUGAUAAAAAUCCUAAGAAGUAUAGACUUAUUUUUAUAUUUUAUUUCAACAAACCCAUGAAACAUGACAUUGCUUGAUUUAAGAUAUCAUAAAAAUCUUAUGCAAUUAUAAAAGUAAAUAAUUAAAUUAUAAAGUUAUAGUACAAAUAGAAUUCUAUCUUAUUAGCGGUUAAUCCCUUACUCCUAGUCGUCAUAAUCAUUACCUCCUACUCCUUGUUCUCAUAUAGAAUGAUAGCCUUGUUUUUUUAUUUAGGAUUCCUUGCAGCUAGCUAGCUCAUUGUUGACCGUCCACUAUUUCUAAUUGUCAAAGCAAUGGAUGAAUAGAAAAGGAAAAUUCAUAAACAAGAGAGUUGAAGAUAAGAUUUUGAACAUACAUGGAGCACCUCUGAGUUACUAUUACUAGUUUUAAUUUAGAGAUGAAAUGAUCCAUGUCCUUCAAUUGUAGCAUACAACAAUUUCUCUUUCAUCAUUUCCUGUAACAAAAUACAAUGAAAGCACAGUAAAAGUUUAGCCUAUAAGAAUCAAUACAUAAACAAAAGAAUUGAAGUUCCUAUUUCAAAAUAAAUAAAUGAAAAAAAAAAUGUGAUUAAGGAAAGAAUUGCACUUUUGGUGCCCCUAUCACAAGCUACAGAAAUGCCUUGUUCAUGGUCAAACCCUUACACAAUUUCCAAUAAUUGAAGUUCAAAAUAGCAACUUAGCAAUCUUUCUAGUAUUUACCAAAAAUAAAAUAAAGCAAAAAGACAGAACACUACUAACAUUAAUGAUUGGAGGAUUGCUUGUAGUGUAUCCAUGACCAAAUUUGAUAUGAUUUAAGAGCCUAUUACACUGUUGACAAGGAAAAAAUAUAUCAUCUUAGUGAGGAUAAUAAAAUAUCCCCCAAUUUAAAUAGCUUAGAUAGAAUAUACAUACAACCUAAAACUCACGCUCUCCACAUAAUAAUUUCUUCAGUUCUUCUUCAUUGAAAAUCUAAAGAUGCUUGAUGGGGAAAACCUGUAAAAUUGAGAAAUUCAUCACAUCAAGAUCCAUUGUGAAAAAAAGAAACAAACUAAUCAUAAGACCCUAUCCGAGAGGGUAGUGUUUAUUCAAACUACAAAAAAAUUAAACCAUUUUACCAUGACAAUCUAUAUCAAUUUCCUAAAAUUGGAAAAAAAAAAUCAUAUAAUAGAUACAAUUAUUCUACAAUUAAUGAGAAGAGAGUGAAAAGAAUUAUUCUUCAUGAUUUAAAGCUAGACUAAUAAAAUCAUUCUCAAAACUAGACAAUCUAUUACCUAGUCACUGUAACAACAAAAAUUGCAACCAUAUUAUUUAAAUUGCUCAAUGUGCUAAUAAGGAUUCACCUGCUCAAUAAUGAAAAGAGACCACACAAAAUCUGAAAUCAAUAUCUUCCCAAAAAAAAAAAAAAAAAAGGAAUUCUAUUAUCUAAGUAUAACCACUUGGUUGCAUGAGUUUCAAUUGCAUAAAUAAUGGACAUGCUACCCAACCCAGAAAACAGCUCUCGACAAAGGUUCAUGGCGAGCCCUGCUCCUACUACCAACUAUACUUCAAGGAAUUUAGCAUUUUUAAUUUUUUUUUUUCAUAAACCAAAUAUUUGAAAUAUAGUAUCCAAGUAGUGAACUUAGUUUAUAACGGCAUUAGAAGUUUCAAGAAGCUAGGAACCAAAGCAUAUGGUGUGCUUACUAAACUAAGCAGAAAGAUCACAAUUACAUGUUUGACUUCGAAUGAGGUGAACUAUACACUCUAAUAUGUUGAAGGAAAUUAUAAUAUUUGGUUUUUUUUUUUUUUUACAAAAUCCAUAGCAAUGGUAAGAAAUAAAGCAAGAGGAUUGUUGAAUCUUCAUCAGAUUGAAAGGUAUCCAAACAUGACUGAAGGAAAAACUAUCCAUUGCAUUGUAAAUGUUUAAAAAAAACAUCUAAUUUCUAUUGAUCAGUAAUGAUUGGACCUCCUAAGUCGUAGUUCACCAAACAAAGAAUUUGGGAUUUCCAUAUCUCUAUAGGUAUAAUGAACCUGUUGAGUAUAAUCCCAUUCCUAGUUACCAUACAAGCAUGGCAACAUCCAACCUUGAUAUAGUAGCCUCUUAAUUUAAAUUGCAUCUCCUUUAAUAGUCGUUGCCAAUUUAUGCCAUGAAAUCAAGUAGAAAAAUAUGACAUCAUAUAUAAUUUUAAUUUAGGUAAUAUUUUAAAUUAAAUAAUUCAAAAAAUAUGAAUUUACUCAAGGAUCAUUUUGGGAAGAAAAAUUGAUUAAUAGAAGUACUAACAAAAAUAGAGAUAAGAGCAAAACAUCAUAUUGCCUAUGAAUCUAGUUGAAUCCUCCCAUAUUCAAUUGUACGUUACAAGACCCAUAAUUACUAAAUUAACACAUAUUCAAUUGUGCAUUAUAGCCCUCACAUAUAUCCAUAAUAGGACUCUCCAUUAAAAUUUCCCAAAUUAUCACCAAUAUGGUAAUUGAUGGUUGAAUAGAAUCCUCCCAUAUCUAGUUGUACGUUACAAGACCCAUAAUUACUAAAUUAACACAUAUUAAGUUGUGCAUUGUAGCCCUCAAAUAUAUCCAUAAUAGGACUCUACAUUUAAAUUUCCCAAAUUAUCACCAAUAUGGUAAUUGAUGGUUGAAUAUAAUCCUCCCAUUUUCAAUUGUACGUUACAAGACCCAUAAUUACUAAAUUAGCACAUUUUCAUUAUUGUUCUUCAUACAUAAAUCCAAAUUGUAAUCACUCGUGUUGUAGAGAUGAAAUAAAAAACUAACCUUCUUUGGUAAAAGAUAUUCCUUAGACUCAAACAUACGAACAAAUUAGCCGAUUUUGGUAUUUUCUCAAAAUCUGGAUUGACACAUCUUAGAGUAGUUAAUAGCAAGAAUUGAUAAAACAAUUUUUAGCAAUAUUAGAACUUAAUUCAACUUAGCCCAUGUUAAAGUUUUUUUUUUUUUUUUUAAUUUCAUGAUCAAGAAAAUGAAAAAAGAGACAUUUAGAUGCAGAAUUGAAAAUGGUUAACUGUUAUGUCACCAUCAUUGUCACUUCCACCAUUAUGAACACAAAUUAGUUGCAAUAACCAUUCAAAAACUCCCAUCAUAGUUCAUGGGCCUAAAAUGAAUCUCCAACUAAUGGUGGAAACAACAAGCUGCAUUUGAAAUUCUUAAAUCGGUAGUAUAUAUCUUUUAGAACAAAUAUAUACUUAAAAAUCAAAAUGGAAUUAACUAAACUACAAAUCAUUCAUGGACUUUGAUUCGUGCCCGAUUGGUGUUCCAAUUGAUUCAACUCAAUUGAUGUGCUUUGAUCUCAAUCCUCAGACGGGAGUAAUCAACAAAAUUUAUAAACCUAUUUCACCAUUUACCGGGGUAGCAUUUAGCUAGCAUAGUAUAGUGGCUCUAGGAUCGUCCACAGAUAUGGGUUUUCACUUCGCAAUUGAUAUUAGUUCAAAAACUGAAUUGAUGCUUUUUCUUUUCUUUGUUAGCUUUAAAAGAAGACAUAAGUUUGAAUGAAAACGGAUGGUAUUAAGCUAACCUAACAUAAAGUAACUAAAAUUAACUAGAAAGACAUUAGAAAGAAAGGUGUUUCUUGGGAUUUCAAGUUACUAGGAUCAGGUGCCAACUACAAAGAGGGAGAUUCCGGUCACUUGAAUCUUUUCCUCACAUUCGGAAUUUAACCUAUAGUUAUUUCCCGAACCGAUGUGAUACAAAUGCUUGCCAUUAAUGGUUUCAACGCUAAACCCCUCUCACUGAUACACCUUGCAAUGGCUCGUACCUCUCACCUAGUAUUUGCCAUUCAAGGUGAUCCUUAGCAUCGGAUCAUCCUUCACAAGCGAACAAGAGAUAACAAUUAGACCUCCAUGGAGCAAGAUUGCAAGCAAUAAGAAUCCAUGGAAUCCGAAAGCUUACCAAGUAUUGGCUAUUCAUGGUAAUCCUAGUUAACUAAAAAUAUAAAAACCAAAAACGGAUCACACUUUCUCUUCAUUAAAAAUGGAAACAACAAAAUCUCACACUUAUGUAGCCGGAACCUUACUUAGCUUCCUUCACCCAAGAAACAAAAAGCCUAGCCACUCAUCCUCUAAGAAAACAUCUCAGAGAAUGUUUGGCUAGCAAGAAAAUGAAAAUGAAAGAGAAGGAAAAACAGAGCAAGGCUCUGUAUAUUCUAUAUAUUGAUCGAUUCUACAUACUUAUAUAUCUAUAUCUUUUACAAUGGAUGCAAGGGAAUAUAUAUAGAGAAGUUUUUCCAACCUUUCUAGCUAAGAAAUCUUAUGGUUGGUGGAUUACAAGGAGAAGAAUGGAAAUUUAUACAAAAAUAUCUGAAGAAAAGAUCUAAAAGAGUCGGUGCACAAAUAUCCCAGUUCGCAUGUAGAUUUCGCACGUUGCAUGGUGACUUGCGAAAAUCUCGCAAGUUGAUUUCGCAACUUGGAAUCCAUUUUCGCACGUUGAGCUCCAAGUUCGUAAGUUGAAAAAUCACUUUCACAAGUUGGGCUUCUCUGUGACUGUGCGGCUGUAUUCCAUUUCCAUUUCGCAAGGUAGGCUUUAAUUUCGCACGUUGGAGUUCCAAAUUCGCAAGAUGCGAAUUUGUCCUUCAGCUGGAUGCAGUUGUCUUGAAAAGGCCAUAUCUUCCUCAUUUCAGCUCCAAUUCGUACACCGUUUGAAGCGUUGGAUUCUUGACUUCCUAAGCUUUGAAAUGGUAUAUAGCAUGUAGAAAAUAGACUUCAGGAAGUGCUCCAAAAGUGCAAAAGAAGACUGCAGCUGCUGUCCUCUGUUUUCUUCACUCUGUUUUUCCUCUCUCCGUUGUUCUUUCCUUGCAUACUUUGAAUGACUUUGGCAAAGGGCUAUGGAGCUCCAAAGCUUGGUUCUUCAUGAAUUUGAGCUUCCAAAAGCUUUUCCAUGAACUAUAUACAGCUCUCCCUCAUUCUUGGAUUGCUUUGGUGUAGCUAAAAGCUAUCAAAAACACCAAAACUUAACACAAUUUGAUUAGAAACGGUUGCAAGGGUCUUUAACAUGUCAAUUGAGUUAAAAGGUAAUAAUUACUACUCAAGAGUGUUUAAAAGAGUUAAUUACAAGCUACAAAAUAGCACUUUUUGAGUAGUAAUCAGACUUACAACCUAAAAAUUGAAACUUCACUCAAUCAUUGCUAAUUCAACUAUUCUACAUACUUUUACUCAGUUUUUCAACAUUCUGCCAAAUGUUUCAUUUCUUUUUCAUCUUUUCCUAAUUAUCAAUUGGAAUUCAAAAACCUCCUUUUUUACCCUUAAGUUUUCUUACUAACCAAACAGAGUUCAAACUUCCUAAACGCAAAAACCAAUCUCAUGAAACUAAAUCUAGAAGCAAAGCACUUCCUUACCGAGAUCUCUAAUGUUUUGUGGGCUUCCAACCACUUCAGAUGAAGCAGAAUAUUAGCCCUUCUUUGGAAUCAAUUUCCCACAAUUUGAGGGAUUUUCCUAAUUAAUCCACACAAUCCCAAAUCAGGAAAAAAAAAACCCUAAUAACAUAAAUAAAUAAAAACUGUGUAAGGAGAGAAAACUGAAUCAAUCAAAAGCUUACCAAAUAGAGAAUCAUGAUUUGGUGGAGUUUCUUGAACUUAGCUCAUUGGUAGCUUUGCUAGUCCAAAAGUCUCAACGACUUGUGAGCUUCUAGUUGCCUACGAAACUUGUGGAGGCUCAUUAACCGAAGAUGAUGACUGUGAGUGCUGGCUAGAAGUGCUAGUGAAGUUUUCCGAUCACAACUCGUCGGUAGUUUUUCCCUUUAGAGUUCUCGGUAUGUGUAAGGUUAACAAAUGUCUAGGGUUUGUAGGGUUCUGGGUGGGAUGUGAAGGUGGGGUUUGAGUAUAUUUUUAAGUUGGAAAACAAAGGUAUAUAAAGUAGAAUAGAAGAUAACACUUAUAAGAAGUGCCAAGGUUUCCAGAUUAUUGUAAUAAUGCCUAAAAAGGGGCCAAGGUUGAGUAAUGAAACUAUGACCCUUCGAAAAAGCGUUGUUGUACACUCAACUAUAGCUAAAUAAGCCACAUCUAACAAUGACACUUAUAGUAAGCGUCAUAGAAUUAAAAAAAAUUACACUAAACAAUGACAUUUCUAACAAGCGCCAUUGCAUAUCCAAUUAUUAACUAAAUAAUGACGUUUUAUGAAAGCGCCAAGGAAUGAAGCGUCGUAAAUUUUAAUUUUUGUAGUAGUGAUAGUCUUGAAAAUUUGCUUAGAUGUAUGUUUGACUUGUUUGGAUAAAAUGCAUGUUGUGUGCUAUAUUGCUAUACUAACUUUGAUGUCUUAUGAUAGUGCUUGAGAGGCAGUCCAAGUAUGCACCCUAACUCUCCUUUAUUGUGAUUUGAUCUUCUUUGGCAUGCUAUUUUUUUUAAAUCACCUUAGUCGACCUAGGUACCCUCAAUUAAUCAAUUAAUUGCCCUAUUUCCCUCAACUAAGUCAGUAGAGACCUUUAUAGGGCUUAGAGGGGUGCUACCUUUUAGAGGUACCUUCCCAAUAGGUAACUUGAUCCCUAGACCUAGACUCAGGUUUUUCAAAGACACCCUUUUCCAAAAUUUAUGGAGUCACUUUUUAGGAUUUUCUUUCUUGUUUCAUUUUUCCUUUAAAAUAAAAAUAAAUUAAGUGGCGACUUCGACUUUUUUCUAGAAUUAAUUUUUCACCAAUAAAAGGGAGUCUCACCGAUUGAGUGGGGAUGCACGUGAAAAAUGCAAGUCCACAGUAUCAUUUUAAGGAAUUAGUUUUGGGUAGCAACUAAAACUUACACAAAAUGUAAAAUUCAAUUUGGUGAUGGAAAAUAUAAAAAAAAAAACAAGUAGAGAUGAUCAUGAUUGGUUAAGGAAGAUUCCAUCAACAUAAUGAAGUCAUCAUGCUUUUGUUGAUGGGGUAAAAAAAUUAUCACAUUACAACCAAUAUGACUAAGCCUUUUCAUCAUUAGAUUGAAGCUUAGGGGCAAGCCCAUUGUGUAUAUGAUUGACUGCAUUAGAAGCAGAAUUAUGAGUAGACUUCAAAAGAGAUUCCAAAAAGCAUUAGUAUGGGAAGAAAAAGUCACUCCGGAUUUCUUGAAAUUGAUCAAUGAAAUGGUGGAGGAUGUGUUGGUAUGAGCGGAUAAAUUAUGCAAUCCUAUGGAUUUUAUGGUACUAGAUAUCAAGCAAUUAUAAAAGGGAGUGGAUUUUGUGGCAAUAACAUUCAAAAGACCCUUUUUAGCAAUCGAAAAUAUUGUCACUAACUGUUGAAAUGGGGUAAUAGAUAGCUUAUUUUGGUAAUACGACACUAGAGCUAAAUGUAUUUACUUGAGUAAUUUACAAAUUGACCAUGAUGAAGUCAUGAAUUAGGAUUUUUUCAAAUAGAGACUCUCAUCCAUAAGCUAUUUGACCAAAUCUUGGAGAACAUAUGAUCAAAGAGUACUAAUUCAGUCUUUCAAACUAAAAGAAUGCAAGGAAAGAAAUUACUAGAAAUUUCUAAAGAAUAUAAAAGGCAUGGGAUGAAGAAGAAGUGUAACCUGAGAGUUUUGGAGCAAAAACUAUAUGAAAGGUAGAGAAAAGCAAGAGAAAAGUCAAAAUUCCACCAUGGUAAAGGGAAUUUGAAGAGGAAGUUCAAGCUAAGCAAAAAGGAAGUCCCUUUUUUGGCUCCAUCACCUUUCUCAAUUCCAAAAUAGGUCAUAAGUUUAAAAUGAAAUAUUAUUGCCUCAAACCUUCCAAAAUAGGUCAUAAGUUUAAAAUGAAAUAUUAUUGCCUCAAACCUUUCAAAGAGCAACUCAAGCCAUAUAUAGGAGAGAACUUUCCAUCUCCUUGAUGGAAAGAUUCCAAAUGGAUGGUAUAUUUUUCCAAAUUCUAUACGGUAAAGUAGGUUUAGGUAAGUUUGGAAUACUAUACAUAAAUUGCUCAAAUAAUUUUAUUACAUGCUAGGAGUUUGCAUUUAAUUUUAUUUAUAUGUUUAUUAUUUUAUUCUUUUUAAAAAAAACAUAAUGUAGAUCCCCAUUUGGGGGCUCGUUCUCAUUUUUUCUGAAGGUCAUUUUCUUUGCCAAGUGGAGGGCUCUUUCAAGAGCCACGUGCUGCCUCAAGAGAGGCUGCUAUGGAUUCAGCCAGUGCUAUUGAAUGAGCCAAUGAGGAUGAGACGCCGGGAAAAUGAGGGAAUCUGCAGAAGCCAUUGUAGAGGAGCGUAAUCUGUUACCUGUAGCAGGCCAGCUGGAGGUGGGGGGAAGGGGUGCUUUUUGAGGUUGAUAUUUUUUAGGUGGGUUCGCUAGCUUGGAAAGCGGGCUGAGGGGAGGUAGGCGGUGAUUUUUGGAGAGAAGGAGAUUUUUUUCUAGAGAGUAUUCCUUGACCUGGGGCAGCAAGCUAAGGAGGGAUAGGGAGUAUUUCGUUUAAGGGGAUUUUCUGAGGCUGGUUGUUGGCUUGAGAGGAGGGAGCCUGAGAGAAGAUAGAGCUUUCACAGGAGGUCAAGACAGAGGGGAGGAUGGGGAUUUGAGGAGGCUGCUGGUGAGAGAGUUACAGAGAGGUAAGCUUGCUGGUUUCGUCGGCAUUGGAGGAGGACUUAAGGCGUUUACAGCUGAACAGAGCCUCACUGGAAAAAGGUUCACUCAGGUAUGGAUGCAACUGACUUAUUGUUUGAUUUGGAUUCUUAUUACUCCUCUACGUUUCCUAUUGAUGUUUGAGUGGUUGUUGGUUUGUUUGGGGUGGAUAAUGAAGGCCACUUAUUGUUUGUUAAGAUAUAACCCUGAACUCAUGCUUGAUGUUGGUAAUCUUAAUAUGCCUUGCUUCUACUGUGAAAUAUCCCGAGAAUCAUGCCAAUAGUUAUAUUUGAUGUGUUUAUCUCACCUAACCAGAAGGCUCAUUGAUGAUCUGUGAAGUGAAGCCUCAUUUGAGGAUGUUUUAGUUUUUUUUUUAUGCUCUAUUUCUAUUGUUUCUUCUCUGUGGUGGUUGUCUUUUGUUCUUGAGUCUUGUUCAAUGCAUGGGCUGUGAGAGAGGGGGGGGAAUCCAGGAUUGACUGUGCAGCUUGAGCCAGGUCAUAUGGUGACUGUAAGGGGAGGUGUUCAUCAGUGAAAAUCAUGGUAACUUGAUGAUGAGAACAGUUGGAAGGAAAUUCUCUGCUAAUGUUCAUGGUUCAUUUCCUGAUUUGAGCAGCCGUCCAUCUUUUUCAAAUGAAUUUGCAGAAACUGGCGUGCCUAUGGAUAAUGAUGAUAAGUUGCAUCUCUUUGGUCUGUUAAUGUCUGAGAUCAGAGGCUCCCACAUGAGGUCUAGUCAGUCAUUAAAUUUACCUUCAAAUAUAGAGACACGGUCUAAUGAUUAUAGAAGAAAUAUAUGUUCUAACUCCAGUGGUCAUCAAGGUGCCAUAGAUGCCCGACAUUGAUCUCAUAUGGAGCAAGAAUUCAGUAGCUAUGACUUGGCAGAGCACCUGAUGUCACAAGAGUUGCAAAAAGAACAACUUCAACCACAGAACCGUCCAUCUCCUCAUCCCACAUCUCAUUUCAUUGGGUCAAGUGUGGAGCAAUUUCCUGGUUUUUCUUUUAGUCAGAGCAAAAACCCUGUUCUCUAACAGUCAGUCCAUCAUCCAGCACAAGAUAUGGAACAUCUUUUGGAGCUUAAGUUACAACAGCAGCAAGAGUUUGAGCUUCAUCAACGACAUCAGUUUCAUCAACAACAGUUUCAUCACCACCAAAUGAAAUUGCAGCAGCAGCAGCUGCAACAGUCUCAUAUUCAACAAUUGCUUCUUGAAUAGUUGCGGCAUCAUCGCAUGUCUGAUCCGGGUUUUGGGCAGUCAAAGAUGGACCUUAUGGGAGACAACAUGCUUGAUCAGGCUUUGUUGAGGAAAAGCCUUCUCCAUGAAUUGCAGUAGAAUUCGUUUGCUUCAAGGCACUUGGAUCCAUCUUUAGAACAGAUCAUUCAAGCAAAGAUUGGUCAGAAUGCAUAUAGAGAACGGUCAAAUGAUUUAUUGGAGCUCAUAUCACAGGUGAAGCAUGGGAAUGCAUUCCCUUUAGAACAACAACUUCAUUUUCACCAAGAACAGUUGCAUGCAAGGCAGUUAUCUCUGGCAUUGAGGCAGCAGAUGGGAGAUAUAUGGGAGAGUCUUGAUACUCUAAAAGCACUAGUUCAAACUAGCCUUCAAACAUUUCUGCCUCCUGCUUUGGUGAAGGAUGGAUUUUAGAAAGAUGAUGACAUGUUGGAUGGAUCCUUUCAUGAUCAUGAGUCAAUAAAUGUCUGUAGAGACCUGGUCCCUUUAGAACAAUGUGGCCAAUGUGUAAGACUAACUGGUGUUGGAAAUGAUGUUGAAGCAAACUAUUCCUGUUCUGCACAUGGUGCCAAAAAGAGGGUUUGGGAAGCCUUAUUGUCUUCAUUGAAGUCUAUAAAGAGUAAAGGGAAGUCAUCAAAUUGAUUGCCAUGAUGUUGUUGUGAAGGAUUUCAGUUUGGGUAUCUUGGCUUGUUGCUGAUUGGACAAAGUUGAGACUAAUUCUUUAUUGGAAAUGGAUCGUUGUGAUACCUCAGAAUUUGUCAAUGGGGGUGGGAUGUGCUCUUACAGAGACAUCUAACCCUCAUCUUUUUGUAACUAAUUUUAUUUACCCCGGAAGUCGGGCAGACUGUUGUCUUACCAUUGAGAUUUAGUUUGGAAAUAAGUGUUGCAUUUUAGCUAUCGCUUCAUGUACUCCAGGUUCCAGAAUUUGGGCGGCCUUGCUGCUAACCAUUCCUCAAAUGCAUUAAAAAAUCUGGGCAAUUCCAUGUAAGUUGGAGGAGCCAGAGCCAACUAUUGCAUGGAUACUAUCCUGCGACUUGAUUCCCCCAGUUCUUCGAUUCCUGACUUGACUGCAUCAAAGGGGGUCAAAAGGAAGUGGAGUUUGAUUGAUGGAACCAGGGGCCAGCAAGCUGGUUCUUCACUGUCUCUUGGGCUAGGGCGUUCAUCAAGUUCCUCAGACAGCAAAGGGAGUUCAGCCACUGCUUGCACUACAAUGUCCUCAGCCAAAGAAAAUGAAGAGGAGUCCUCUAUGGAUCUUGAAUUGGACUUCACUCAUCACUGCAGUUUACCGGUCCAUCAAAAGGUUCAGAAACAAAGGUUGCAACUAUGAUGGCUGGAGCUAAUUCUCAGUUGAUAACUGAGUCAAAUGUUUCGGUUUCGGAAGAAGCUACUUCAAACCUGCACAUCUCUGAUGCUCGUCAUGUCAUCUUCAGAAACCAUCUUCAAAUCCCUGAAGCUUUAAAAAAUGGUUUGGUUUUUGAAGUUUCGAUUCUAGUUUUUCACUAGGCUCGAAAUAUGCUAAUGGUUCUGAUGUUGAAAAGAGCCCUACACCAGCAGAAUCUUCUCAGGAGAAUAUUGAAAUUACUAAGGGGCCUUCUCCAAGCAAUCAAAGUGUAGCCUCAACUACACAAGAGGAAGAUUAUCCUGAUCAACCUCAAUCUCCUCCACAUGCACCAGAAAAUUUAUCACCUCCAGUGGGCAGUGUCUCAUCUGGUGCAGUUCCAAAGCAUGAUCAAUCGAAGCAGGAGAUUUUGUUGCCUACAGGAGGCCCUCAUUUCCUUGUUGUUCAGCCUCUCCCUUCAAGACCCUUUUCUUCCCCUUAAUAUUGAGGCACCAAGCCAUGAUGAUGCUGUGAAACUUGGACUUGCUGUUCGUGCUGCUGUUAAAGAGUUUCCUGCUCUGGACUCAUCUGCCUUAGACAACAACACAACAUGGAUAUGGCGACGAGCUCAUCUGAUGUAGCCAUUGAAGGACUGAGGCCGCUUCUGAGUGAUAAGGAAGGUCUGGAUGACAUAGCUACAGAAAAAAUUGAGAAGUUGACCGCUAAGUUGCAAGAACAAGAGCAAGAUCAUAAGGAGUGUGAUCCUUUCGAGAGGAUUAAAGACGGGUUUAUUCACUUCAAAAUCCACUAUUUCGGCAAGUAUCUAGAUUACUAUAAACAACUUGCAGAAGGGCAGCACCCCAAGUUUCUGGUGUUUGCGUGCUCUGACUCCCGCGUUAGCCCCUCUCAUGUCCUGAACUUCAGGCCAGGGAAAGCCUUCACGUGCAGGAACGUUGCUAACUCGGUUCCUGCAUUUAACCAAUUGAGAUACUCAGGAGUUGGUGCAGUCAUUGAAUAUGCAGUCAAGUAUCUUGAGGUGGAGAACAUCCUGAUCAUAAGGCAUAGUCGUUGUGGUGGGACAGAGGCCCUUAUGUCUCUUCCUGCUGAUGGAACUACUUCCAAUGACUUCAUCGAUGACUGGGUCAAAAUUGCUUUACCGGCCAGGCAAGAUGAACGAGAUAUGGCAGCCUAAUAUAUUUAGUUCAUGGAAAGCAAGUCAAUGUUAGCAUGAGAAUUGGUGGUGGAUGGCAGGAGAUCCUUGAGAGAAGUUUCUAUUCUAUGUGGUGGGUCCCUGUUGAUGAUGAGAUGACCUUCAUUGUCGCUUUGAUGAAUCAGCCUACUACCCAUCUCAAAGAGCUUAUGGAUCAGAAUGCUAUGAGGCUAUGGCAUAUCCCCCUGAAACUGCCAUAAAAAGCCCAGGCCCAUUUCUGCAUGGUUUGCAUGGCCUCUGUGGGGCCACGUGUCAUUUUCAUUUUCUUCCCCCUCGUUUUUAAAAAAUAAUCUUCCAAAUUCCACUUUCCAAAUAGUUUUCCGAUUUCUAAUCUCUUUCAAAUAAUUUGAACUUUUCAAAUUUUCAUCCUUAGCAUUUUUCUUAGAUUCUCAAAAAUCCGCUUUUCAAUAAUUUUUCUUUAUGGCAAGCAAUUUUCACAUUUUCUCUAUUUUAAAAAGGUUUUGAAAUAAGCAAGGCUUUAAUUUUGUAAUUCCAAUUAAGGGAAUUUACGAAAUUAAUUCAUGCUAAAACAAAUUGGGCUUUGGUGGGGCCCAACAUCAAAUAAAUUUUCUUUAAAAAAAAAUAAAUUUGAAUAAAGUGUCAUGUGUGCUUUUGGUGAUUCCUUAUCUUAUUUGGUGACGUGAGUGACAUAUUUUAUAUUCAUUACUAUGCACUAACCCCGUUUCAUGAUAGCGCGUCGAUGUUUUGCUGUCAAGGUACGCGUCUUCUCUCACUCUGACCAUCAUCCAUAUAUGCUUUGACUUUCAGUAUGUGAUCAUGUCGGUAUUCAUUGAUUCUCUUAUUGACUAUCAUGUCAGCUUCAUCUUAUUAGUAGAGACCCAACUUUAGGGACUUAGAGGGGUGCUACGGUUUUUAUCGUAUCUUCCUGAUAAGUAACCUGACCCCCGAGCCCGAUCCGGUUUUUCGUAGACCACCUUUUUCCAAAAUAAGGAGUCACACUUAGAGUUUUCUUUCUUAUUUUGUUUACCACUUUUAAAAAUAAAACAAAAAUAAGUGGCAACUCCAAGUCAUUUUCUAAUAAAUAAAAUCAUUUUCAAAAUAAAAUCGGGCUCGCCAUCGAGUGGGAAGCGCAUGAGCGAAAUGCGGGGUCCACAAAAUGGCGACUCCACUGGGGAUUAGUAGAGGGUCAAGCUUGAACUUAGGAUGAAGCAAAUGUGGCAUUUGAUUGGUCGAUCAAUGGAUGUCUAUCUCUUGAUUGCACAUUGAGAGUUUUUUAUGCAUGCUUGGAUAUGGUAUGGGGACAUUGAUGAUUGAUUUGUCUUGAUUCGGGAUUUUGAGAUGUCUAUUUCUUCUGUGCUUCAUUGCCAUAUUUGUUUGGGAUAUUGACAUGCUGAUGAUUACUACUCAAAAAGUGUUAUUUCAUAGCUUGAAAUUAACUCUUUUAAAUGCUUUUGAGUAAUAGUUAUCACCUUUUAACCCAAUUAACAUAUUAAGGACCCUUGCAAUCAAUUCUAAUCAAAUUGUGUUAAGUUUUGGUGUUUUGAUAGCUUUUUGAUCACCAAAGCAAUCCGAGAUUGAGGAGAGUUCUUUGGAAUCCAUGGCAAAGCAAUGGAAAGCUCAGAAACAUGAAGAACCGAAGCUUUGAAAUCCUUUGCCAUAAGCAAAUCCGGAAUGCAAGGAGUAUGGGAUCCUAUCCGGACAACAUAUCCGGAUAGGAUAUGCUAUCAUCCGGGGUGUGAUGAUCGCGAGUGUCGUGUGCUUCUCCCUGAGGGAGUCUGGAUAGGGGAGCGUGCCACGUGUCCUCUUGGGGAAUCCGGAUGGAGUUGCUCCGGAUAGCGAUGCGCGCUCCGUGUCAUCAGGGAGAGGGGUCCCUACACCUUGCGACGUUCCACCUUCUUCGGAUAUCUCACAUCCGGAAUUCUGUCCAGCUGACGUUCCACCUUCUCCGGAUAUUUUACAUCCGGCGCCUGACGCCGGAUGGGAGAGGUGGGCGUUUCAACUUCCCCGGUCAGACAUAUCCAGAUCCUCUGAUAGCGCUUACCCGGAGAGUUUCGCAGCCAUUUUACACAGUGCCGCGGUUUUCUCCUAAAGCUUCCCGAUAUGUGCGACCGACAUUUUGAGAUAUUUUUCUUUAGAUAUUUGAUGUCUAAAUCCCCAAAGUCUCCUUGUAACCCACCUAUCAUAGGAGUCCUUAGUCUUUAAGUAAGAACAAAGGGGUGAAUAACCUCUUAUAUAUAGUUUGUAAUAAGGAUGAUAUAAUCGGAUCUCGGGAGCUUGUUCUUGAGACGCAUCCUUUGUACAGUUUUGGGAAGGAAGUAAAAUACAAAGCACUUGCUCUGCUUUUCAUAUAUAUUUUUGUUUUCUUGUUCUUUUUAUUUCUAGCCAAUCAAACUCUGAGGAUUUUUCCUCAGAGGAUGAGAGGCUAGGCUCUUCAUCUCUUGGAGUGAAGAAAGCCGGGUAAGUUUCCUCAUGCAUAAAUUGGAAGUUUUGUUGUUUUAGUUUUUAAUGAAGAGAAAGUGUGACCCGUUAAUGGUUUUUAUCUUUUUAGUUAACUUAAACGCCUUUAAAUCACCUGGGCCAACACUUGGUAAGGCAAGUGAUCUCCAUCCAUUGAGAUGCACUGGUUUAUCUCUUGCGAGCCUUUGGGAGGUGGUUUGAAGGUAGGAUUUUCUAGAAUAGCCAACACUUGGUAAGUUUUUGGACUCUAAGAAGACAUCCAUUAGUUAUCUCUUGCGAGCUUUUGACGGGUAAUCCAAGGUUAAAGAUCACCUUGAAUGGUAAAUGCUAGGUGAGAGGCAUGAGUCAUUGCAAGAUGCAUCAGUGACAGGGAUUUAAUGUUUGAACCCAUUAAGGGGAAGCAUCUGUACCACACCGGUUAGAGAAUUAACUAUAUGUUAAUUCUCUAAUGCGAGGAAAAGAAACAAGUGAUCAGAACUCUCCUUUUUGUAUGAGGAACCUGAGCUUAGUGAUCUAAACUCCAAGAAACACUUUUCUUUGUAAGUAAAAUCAGUUAUUAUUUUUGGUUAGCUUAAAACCAAACCUUUUUCAUUCAAACAUCUUUAUGUUUUCUUUUAAAGCUAACCUUGAAAUGAAAAGGCACCAAUUCAUCUUUGAAUUAAUAUCAAUUGUGGAGUGAAAACCCAUCCCAGUGAACGACCCUAGAGCCACUAUGCUAUGCUAGCUAAGGCUAUCCUAGUACAUGGUGUAAUAGGUUAUAAAUUUUGUUGAUUACUCCCUUCUGAGGACCACAAUCAAGGGACACCAGCUAGACACGAAUCAAAUGGCACCACUGUCAGGGGCCAUUGAGAGGACAUGAAUCAGUUGAGACACCAAUUGGGAACGAAUCAGCUGAUUAUAUCGAUUGAUAAUCUUGUUUCACUUAGAAUAGUGACUCUGAUUUUGCCAUGAUUGUUCUGAUCACCUCGCAUGUACAGAUGCAUUGGUGUAUAUUAUUUGACUUGAUGGAUUGAUUCUCAUGUCUGUAUAUUAUCUUAAUCGUCUUCGAGCAUGAUGUUUGUAUCACUAUUCAUCUUGAUUGUCAUAUCUUGUGUGUAGACAAGGUGAUAUAUCUGUACUUUGCUUGACUGUGUGUUGCAUGACUGCCCUCCUUCUGCAUGAUUGCAUGCCGUUUGUUUGUGUGGGUUGCACAUCUAUCCCCUUACCUUCGACUCUCUUGGUUUCGAUCAUUCCCUUCAUUCUGGUUCUCACUAUUGCAAGUGUGAGGCUUUCUAUGUGCUUGUACUCUGACCGAGCCAGAGAUUAGGAGUAGGGUCUAGCGAUGGGCUAUACCGAUGUUUGGGAGCAUUCUGAAGGUGCCCGACACACAGAUGUCGAUUAGAGUCUGAUCAUUGAAGACCCGUAUAGCCCGAAGCUAGGUUUCAUGGAUAUUUGUGAGGUCAGUGUGUUUCAUCUUUCCGCCUUAGCUUUCUAGGGUUUUCGGAUGCACCCACACCCUCACUGUGCACUCUAGUCGACAAUUGGGCAUUGAGAGUUUGAGAGGUUUCACCAUAGGAAACCCCUUGGGAUGUCGAGGUAGUGCAUGUGUGGAGGUGAUGACCACCUUGCAUGGAAGCUCUCCAUCUCUUCGAAGGCGUGCAGAGGGUUGCAUAUUGCCAGAGGGUAUGAUCGCUUCUGUUAGGGAUCUUUUAAAGUCCACCCAUAUCCAUUUAGAGCCACCUUGACCUCGUAGAUUGAGCCAUAUAUCAUUCGAUUAGGACUCUUUCCCUACACGUGGGUGCAUUUGAGGGCCUUUAGAGCCUCUUUAGUUAUAGUCGGAUUUGACACUUCCUCUUUUUAGUCUCUAGUUGAGAGUGCUCGAAGAUCAGUAUGAGUUUGAGUAUCGGUUGGAUCACCUUCAUCUUGUUGCCUUAGUUUGUGUUUUUCACUCGAUGAGUUUAGCAUGUUUUCUCCCUUAGGCUUUCGUUCUCAUUUCUUGGCUCGACACAUCCCUUCACUUUGUUGUCACUCACUCAAUACUUUGGGAUAUGUUCAUUGAUCAUCUUUUUACACUGUACACCUAUCACGAGCUCAAUACCUCAUUCUUUGUUUGAUCCUUGGUUCGAUUUUCGACUCGAUGCUCAUAUUUUCAUUACAAAAAGGUGAAAGACACAUUUUCACAUUCACACAUUUUUUUGAGAGAUUUGCCUUGAUCACCUUAUCAUUCUUUUCUCUUAUAGAGCUCGAGUUGAAGGUUGAUUCAAGGAUAUUUUGUUAUAGAUUGAGUAUCGAUCUUGUGAUAGUGUUGUUCUUCGCACCCCAUUCAUUUUCUUCACACCUCGAUCAUUUUUUGGAUCAUCGAUAGAAAUUCUUUAGUCAUAUUUGUAGUUAUUGAUUCGCGUGUAACUCCAAUUGGGUCAUUUAAUCAAAAACAUUUAUAAUACCUAUGACCUCAUACUAACGUAGCAAAGCUACUAUAGUAUAGUGGCUCUAGGGUCGAACUCUGGGAUGGGUUUUCAUUCUACCAGUGAUAUACUCAAGAUUAGAAAUUGUAUUUAAUGAUUUCCUUGAUCAAAAACUUAAAGUUUAAGAGAAAAUAAAAUUUGUUUUGAAAGUGUUUGAAACUAAACUAACAUGAACUAAUUAAAAAUGGAAGAAAGAAAGUCUCCCGGAUCUAAGGGUUGCUAGGAUCAAGUUCAGAAUAGAAAGUGGAAAAUUCCGAAUUUUUCUCCUCGCAUUGGGGAUUUAACCUAUAGUUAUUUCCCUAACCGGUAUAGGUUUGACAAUGAAGAUUUAAUUCAUAAAAGGUCAAUAGAAAUGGUAGUCAAGGUCCAUUAAUGGCUUAAGACACUAUGGGUCUUCACCUUGAAUCACUUUCCAAUGAUUCGUACAUGAUAACUAAUGGGCUAAUAUGGAUCUAGCAAUAAGCAUCCAUAAAGACCUGAAGCUUACCAUGUAUUGGUCAUUCAAAGUGAUUCUAAGGGAUUUAAAGCAAAACUUUGGAUUUAGAAGCCAUUUAUGAAUUCCAACUACCUGAAUUUAAUGCAUGGAAGCUUUCCACCUUUUCAUCUGGACUUUUCACCUAGCUUCCUUUACUCCAAGAAACCGAAAGUUUAGCCUCUCAUCCUCCGGGCAAACAUCCUCAGAGGUUGUUUGGCUUCCAAGUAAAAGAAAAUAAUAAAGAGAAAAGAGAAAUGAGAGAGCUCUGUAUAUUACACUAAGUGUCAAACGUAAUACGUAUUCUAUAUUCUAUAUCAUCCAAGAGGUGAUUUCCACCCCUUAUAAAGUCUUUACAAAAGCAAAAGCUUGCGAUUGGUUAGUUCCAAGGAUAAGAAAGGAAAUUACAUCACAAAAUACAAAGGAAAAUAUCUAAAGUGGAGUCGGCUAAAACAGAGCAAAAUUCGCAACACGCAUGGGUUAUGCGAAUGUUAUGCGAAUUUCGCAUAACACCUUGUGGAAUGCGAAAUUUUCGCAUAACCUGGAGCAGUUUGCUUCCAAAUGCCACAUCUUCCUCAUUUCAGCUCCAAAUCGUGCACGGUUUGAAGCGUUGGAUUAUUGACUUCCAGAGCUUUGAAAUGGUAUAUAGCAUGUAAAAAAUGGACUUCGGAAAGUGCUCCAAAAGUGCGAAAGAAGACUGCAGCUGCUGUCCUCUGAUUUUUUCACUUUGCUUCACUUUGCUUCUCUUUGCUUCUCUCCUUUGCUUGACUUGUCUUAAUGAUCCAAAAAGCUGUCAAAACAUUAAAACUAGCCACAAAUAUGAUUAGAAGACAUUGCUAGGUCCUUAACAUGCCAAUUGGACUAAAGAUGGAGAACUACUACACAAAAGUGCUUAAAACAUAAUGCAUUAAAGGUGUAAAAUAACACUUUUUGGGUAGUAAUCACUCCCCCCAACUGACACAUUGCUAGUCCCUGAGCAAUGAAGGAAAGAAAAAUAAAGAAAAAUAGAUAAUAUAAUAAUUUACAAAAUCAUGCUGAUCACUCCAAAAAAUAACCAAGUGGCAUGAUUGGAUCAAACUCUCUCGUGGCAAGUCAAGGAUAUAAAACUCAAUCAUCAACAAGAGUCAUCAAAUAACUUACCUAUCACAACAUUCAAAGAGCAGGCAUUAUGCAAAUUUGAGUAUCAAAAUAAUUUCCACUCUCAAAGGACCAACUCUUAAUCUUCCACAAAAAUCUAAGUGUUAAGAUGCUUAGUUUCCAGUUAUAGUGUAUCAAACUAUAUUCUCCCCCCAACUAAGGUUUUUCUCUAACUUUAGCAACACUAACUCAUAUAUAGAAGGCUAAGAACACACCUCUUUUUUUUUUUUUUUCUUUUUUUUUUUACACUCAUAUAUACUCCACCCAUCCACCCAUGUAACGAGCAGUGAGGUCGGUGGCUCCCAACCAUUGAAGGCUUAGGGCACCAGGUUUUAAAGAUUUUCACCAUAUACCCCUCGGACCUUGCUCGGGUUUCAAAGCAAGUGAAGCAAAAUUUUUCAUAAGACACUUUGGCCUUUUAUAAGGUGUCCCAACACUAAUAGAAUGAGGUCAAUUGCACCAAGUCAAAAAUUUCCUAAGUUUAGGGGGUGAAAAAGUUUUCCAUCUUAUAACUGAAAUCUAAUGUGUUCAGUGUGUGAAAAGAUUAGAGUGGAAGACUUAAGAUUGAAAUCAAAAGGAGCUUCAACAAUUUAUCAACUUUAAUAAGCAUAAUACAAACUCUAAGACUAUGGCAAUAAGAUAAGAAUUUAAUUUCUCCUAUUUAUUUUUGAGAAUUUAUCUUUAAGAAAACAAGGAGAGUUUGCAAAAAAUUUGUUAGCAAAAUAACUUAACCAAAAAAAAUUCAACAAAUUACUUCCUCAACUCUCCCCCCAACUAGGAUGAACAUUGUCCCCAAUGUUCUAAAAGCAAAUGGUAAUAAAAGGGAGGAAGUGAUACCUCCUGAUAGUAAGGUACUCUGAAUAGAGAGGAGAAACCACAUGUUGCAUAAGAAAAGAAAAAUCAUAAGAGUGAUGAUUAGAGGAAAUAAAAAGGAAUAGCUAAAAUACACAAAAAGGAAGAUGUCUAUAUAAACUGAGAGAGUAUAAUAUAUAAGACAAACAUGGAAUAUAUCCAAUCUCAGUAUAAAAGUGGUCCAAAAUACAUAAGACAUCCAAAAACAUAGAAUAUAGAUACAAAAAAAGGAGAGGAGUGAUCGUAUGAUCAAGUAGUAGGCUCUCUGGUGGAUAGGAGGGGUCCUCUACUGGAACUGAGGAAGGCACCGCUACAGGUGGAGCUGGUGGCACAAGACCGAGGUGCUGCUGAAUCUCACGGAGAAUGAGAGUCUGCUGGUCCUGCUGAAUCUGGAAGUGGUCCAUGCGCUCCAUAAUGGCCAUCUGAGUAGUGGUCAGAGUCUGAAACGAAGCGAGCGGUACUCUGAACCAGGGAUAGUGAUGGGCGGCUCUGCGGUAGGAGGAACAGCAGGUAGGGCAUCAGAUGAUGCUGCCUCUGGUACAGGCUCCGAGGGAGCUGAAGUGGAUGGAGCAGGAGGGACUUCCCUUGGCUCGAUAAGUUCUGGGGAAUGCUGAUGGAGCGAUAGCUGAGUCCAUUGUUCAAGAGAGAAGCUCUCUCGACAAUGGCAGCGGGGCUCAGCCUGAGGGUCUGCAGGAAAACCCAUAUGUGCCAAAACAUGGCAUAGCAGCCGAGGGAAAAGUAACUAAAUGGAGGCCGCCCUCGUAAGACGCCGCUUAUGUACCUUCUCCUCAAAAUGGAGGAAAGCGGCCAUAAUCAAAUGAUGAGGACCAAAGUAGUAGCCCUCAAAGAUACGAAAUAAUGCCUCUAAAAUGGCUCCUCGCCUCUGUACUGUAUGCUGAAGAGGAAAAAGGUUGGUGCGAAGCACCACAUCAACUAGGAGCAUCCCUAGGGGAAGCUCCCUCCUGAAAAUGGUCAUUUGGGAAGAUGUCCCUCGAGAUAGGCUACGAACCAUGUCCCACUCAGAAAGUGGGGCCCAACGUCUAAAUGCAGUGGGAUCAGCUGGUGCAUAAGGGAUAUGGAAAGCCUCGGCAAUCUGUCGAGCCCCUAAAAUACCCUGGCGUCCAUCAAUGGUAAAAAGUAUCGAGGCUGGUACCGGGACGCCACGAGUAGUCAUAGACUGGUAAAAGUCUAAAACUACUCGAGGAUAAAAGAACUGGGGUGGAGUCAUAAAGGGUACAAGAUGGUACCUCUCAAGUAGGCUGUAUGAAUCCCGCAAGUCAGUCUGCUGGCGCAAAAUAGUGUGCUCAAAAUAUGCCUCGACAUGAAAUGCUUUGGAUCGGCAAUCUGAGUUGCCCUCAAUGGGCGAGCUGGGUCUAGGGCGUCUGGUGGAUGGCGGCUGAGACAGUGAAUCCCGAGGUGCUCUAGAAGACUCUCCUGGCUCUGAAGUCUUGGCUUUCUUUGUAGGAGGACCCCGAGGUGGAAUCUGAGUAGGGGCCAUAAGUGUGGCAGAUGCUCUCCUCGUAUGGUAUCUGCUCUGAGAAGCAGAAUCAACUAAAUGUGGCUGCGCAACUAGUGGGGCCCGCACAGGGGCGGCUCUCUCACUGCUUUGGGGAGCUGAGGUAUGUCCUCCUCGGGUCUUAGGCAUAAUGAAGUAAUGAAAUGAGGCUCACAGGCUUUGGAUUGGGGAGGGCAGAGAUGGAAAAAGUGAAAAAAUUCGCACAAGGUAGGGGUUAUGCGAAAAUUUCGCAUAAGGGGGAAUGUUAUGCGAAUUUCGCAUAACACACGGUGUUAUGCGAAAAUUUCGCAUAUGCACUAUUCACACGCCCACUUGAAGUUUUGAAGCUCAUUCAAAUGGUGGAAAUUUUUGGCUUUUGAGGGUGGGAAAUGCUGGCUAAGGUAGGAAAAGGAUUUUUCAUGGUGAAUAGGCUUGGAAAUUGGAACUUUUUCACGAAGAAAUUGUGAAAAUUGGGCUCCUCUACCCGGCGGCCAUGGGUUCUCUUAGAAGAAAACGUGGCUUGAAUACUUAGCUUGAGGUUUUGGAUUGGUAAAUACAAGGCUGAAAUUGGUUGAGGGAUGGAUUUAGAGUGUUGAGUGAAGAAUUGGGAGGUUUUUGAUGGUGGAAAGAGCUGAAAAUUGAAGGGGUGGACGGUGAUGAAUAGUGACUACCGCGCCUAUGAGGUGGAGUUAUGGAGAUGGGUUGCCAUGGUGGUGUUGAGAUUGGGGAAUGAUGAAGAAAAGAAACUUAAGAAAGGGAUUUGGUGAUUGGAAGAGAGGUGCUAUGAGAAAUGAAGAAGAAAUUGAGCAUGGGAAGAGGAGAACACGGUCUUUAAAGAGGAAAUGCAAAUUUCGCAUUACACCUUGUGUUAUGCGAAAAUUUCACAUUCCUGUGAGUACCCAGACAGAGAGCAUGGUUUUGAAAAUUUGUCCCAAAAACGAAUUCGCAUAUGGUUCGCAUAAGGUUCGCAUUCCUGUGAAAUUAGCAUAAGGGAUUUUGGGAAGGGACCGAGAGCAUGUUUUUUUUGGAAAUUGCCACAAAAGCAUUUUCGCAUAAGGGGUGUGUUAUGCGAAAAUUUCGCAUAACAGGAAGUGUUGUGCGAAAAUGGCUGAGACUUGGUUUUUUCUCCCCUGUUUUGCCUUGCUUUCACCAUGACUUCAUUCUUCAAGCUUUCCCACCUGAAUGUUAACACAAAAAAAACCAAUUCAAAACACAUUAGAACGGCAUUAAAGUCAAAAAUAAAAAUCAAAACAUGGAAAAACACAAGAAAAAACUAGAUUAAUUUAAAAUCAACUUAAAAGAAAACAAAAAGAGGAUGAACUCUUUAGUCUUUGAAGAGACUAAGUUCAACCAUAAACCAAGUAUUUUCAUGUUGGAGGUGGAUCAAGGAGGAUGAAUUCCUCCUUGUCUCGGGAAAAUGAUUCUAUAUGGGGCUUGAGACGAUGUCCAUUCACUUUGAAAGUUCGAGUGCUAUUGAAGUUGAGUAGUUCCACUACUCCAUUUGAUUGCACAUCAUGAAUUAUGAAAGGACCCGUCCACCUUGAUUUCAAUUUUCCCGGAAAAAGAUGAAGCUUAGAGUCAUAAAGCAAGACUCUUUGUCCCUUGGCAAAAUUCUUUUGAUUUACCAAUUGAUCAUGCCAUUUCUUCAACCUCUCUUUUGCAAUUUUUGAAUUGAGGUAAGCAUCAUUCCUCAUUUCCUCCAAUUCAUUCAAAUCCAAACAUCUCUUCAACCCGGCUCUUGUCAAAUCCAUGUUGAGCUUCUUGAUUGCCCACCAUGCUUUAUAUUCAACCUCCACUGGAAGAUGACACGCUUUGCCAUAAACAAGGCGAUAAGGAGACAUUCCAAGAAUGGUCUUGUAAGCGGUCCUAUAAGCCCAUAAGGAAUCCAGGAGCUUAAUAGACCAAUCCUUCCUAUUCACAUUCACCACCUUCAUCAGUAUAUUCUUGAUCUCCCGGUUGGCUAACUCAACUUGGCCACUUGUUUGAGGGUGAUAAGGUGUAGCUACCUUGUGCUUAACCCCAUACUUGGCUAGAAGAGUCUCAAAAGGUUUAUUGCAAAAGUGGGUUCCUCCAUCACUGAUAAUGGCCUUAGGCACUCCAAAUCUUGCAAAGAUGUUGUCCUUGAGGAAUUUAAGAACCACCUUAUGAUCAUUGCUCCUACAUGGGAUUGCUUCUACCCACUUAGAGACAUAAUCCACUCCCACAAAAAUGUAGGAAUGUCCAAACGACAUUGGAAAUGGUCCCAUGAAGUCUAUCCCCCAAACAUCAAAGACAUCCACUAUCAAGAUGGGAUUCAAGGGCAUCAUAUUUCGGCGUGUUAGCUUACCAAGCCUUUAACACCAAUCACAUCCCUUGCACAUAGAGUGGGCAUCCUUGAAAAGAGAGGGCCACCAAAAACCUGAUUGGAUCACUUUCAUUGCUGUUUUCUGGGAGGUAAAAUGACCUCCACAUGCAUUAUCAUGGCAAUGGGAAAGAAUUCCUGAUUGCUCUUGUUCAGGAACACAUUUCCUUAUGAUUUGAUCCGCACAAUAUUUGAAGAGAAAAGGCUCCUCCCAAUAAUAGGCAUGGAUCUUAGCAAAGAAAUGUCUCUUGUCUUGGGCACUCCACUCACUUGGUACUUCUCCAGUAACCAAGAAAUUUGCAAUGUGAGAAUACCAUGGAGCUACCUCUAUUGACAUGAGAGACUCCUCAGGGAAGUCAUCAUUGAUAGGCAGACCAUGUGAGUCAUGUGAUAUCACAAGUCUUGACAAGUGGUCAGCUACCACAUUUUCUACCCCCUUUUUAUCCCGGAUUUGGAGAUUGAAUUCUUAGAGCAAAAGGAUCCAUCUUAUCAAUCUUGCCUUGGCAUCUUGCUUGGUUAGCAAGUAUUUCAAAGCGGAAUGGUCAGUGAACACCACUAUAGAGGACCCUACCAAAUAAGCACGAAACUUAUCCAAGGCAAAAACUACUGCCAACAACUCCUUCUCAGUAGUUGUGUAGUUCCUUUGAGCCUCGUUCAAAGUUUUUCUCGCAUAAUAAAUCACAUAGGGCUUUCCAUCUUCUCUUUGCCCCAAGACAGCCCCCAUAGCAAGGUCACUUGCAUCACACAUUACCUCAAAAGGUAACUUCCAAUUUGGGGCUCUCACUAUUGGUGCAGUUGUGAGGAAUUGCUUCAGUUCCUCAAAACUCUUCUGACACUUCUCAUCCCACACAAACUUGGCAUCUUUUACCAAAAGUUCACAAAGAGGCUUUGAGAUUUUUGAGAAAUCCUUAAUGAACCUCCUAUAGAACCCGGCAUGUCCUAAGAAUUGCCUAAUUCCUUUAACAUUUAUGGGAGGUGGCAACUUAACAAUUAGCUCCACCUUUGCCUUAUCUACCUCAAUGCCCUUCUUGGAGAUGUAAUGUCCUAAGACAAUUCCUUGUUGUACCAUAAAAUGGCACUUCUCCCAAUUUAGCACUAGGUCUUUCUCAAUACAUCUUUGGAGAACAGCUUCUAAAUGCAACAAACACUCCUCAUAAGAACUUCCAUAUACAGUGAUGUCAUCCAUGAAGACUUCCAUGAUGCGCUCCACCAUAUCACUGAAGAUGCUCAACAUACAUCUUUGGAAAGUUGCAGGAGCAUUACAUAGACCAAAGGGCAUUCUCCUAUACGCAAAAGUACCAAAGGGGCAAGUGAAGGUUGUCUUUUCUUGAUCUUCCAAAUCAAUCUCUAUUUGGAAAUACCCCGAGUACCCAUCCAGAAAACAGUAGAAAGGAUGUCCUGAGACUCUCUCAAGGACUUGGUCCAUGAAAGGCAAUGGGAAAUGGUCCUUCCUAGUCACUGAAUUCAACCUCCUGUAGUCUAUACACACCCUCCAUCCUGAGGUAGGAUGUGUAGAGACUUCCUCCCCUUUCUCAUUCUGGACCACAGUGAUUCCAAAUUUCUUUGGGACUACUUGGGUGGGGCUCACCCACAAACUGUCUGAAAUGGGAUAUAUGAUCCCAGCUUGGAGUAGCUUCAAAACUUCACCCCUCACCACCUCUUGCAUGUGAGGAUUCAACCUCCUCUGGGGCUGCCUCACUGGUUUUGCAUCAUCCUCCAUAUAGAUAUGGUGGGUGCACACCAAAGGGCUAAUCCCUUUCAGAUCAGAAAUUUGCCAUCCAAUGGCUUUCUUGAAUUUCCUGAGGACUCCCAAAAGACUAUCCUCUUGAUCACUAGUAAGAGUUGAAGAAACCACCACUGGACAUUUCUCAUUUUCCUCCAAAUAUGCAUAUUUCAAAUCAACAGGAAGCGGCUUCAAAACAAGCUUUGGAGGGUCCUCCCUAGCUACUCCUUUUAAGUCCUCCUCAUUGAACAAGGGUAAGAUCUCUUCCUUUCUCCUCCAAGGAGACAUGAUGGCUAGCACAUCAGAGGGUUCAGGUAACCCUUCUUCAAGCACUUCAAGGCUUUCAUUCAAGCUCUCUUGUAAAUUCUUGUCACAAUGCUCUUCAACCAAUGUGUUGAUCAAGCACACCUCCUCCAAUCCUUCCUCUUCUUCUAGGUGAAGAUGUCUCUUGCAUAGGUGGAAUAUGUUUAAUUCCAAGGUCAUAUUCCCAAAUGUGAGCUGCAUCACCCCAUUUCUACAAUUGAUGAUGGCAUUGGAGGUAGCUAGGAAAGGUCUCCCAAGGAUGAUUGGUACAUAGUUUGCUUCCUUCACAGUGGGAUCAGUAUCAAGCACAACAAAAUCCACAGGAUAGUAGAAUUUGUCCACUUGAACUAGAACAUCCUCUAUCACCCCCCUUGGGAUUUUGACUGACCUGUCAGCUAAAGAGAGAGUGAUGGCUGUGGGCUUCAAUCUUCCAAGUCCCAGUUGCUUGUACACAGAGUAUGGGAGCAAAUUCACACUUCCCCCAAGUCUAGUAAAGCUUUCUCCACAUGUGUCCCUCCAAUGUUGACUGAAAUGGUGGGGCAUCCCGGAUCUUUAUACUUAACUGGAGACUUACUCUGAAUGAUAGCACUUACUUGCUCAGUGAGGAAUGCAUUCUUUGUCACAUGUAACCCUCUCAUGACCGUGCACAAGUCCUUUAGAAACUUUGCAUAUGUGGGGACUUGCUUGAUCAUAUCAAGUAAGGGUAUAUUCACCUUCACUUGUCUCAAGACUUCAAGAAUUUCUGAUGAAUUCUUGAUUUCCUUCUUUCCAUGUAAAGCUUGAGGAAAAGGGGAAGGCAUAUGUUUCUUCAUCAUAUCCUCUUUAAUCACUAUCCUUGGCUCUUCUUCAAUGCUUGAUUUGGAUGCACUUUUCUUCCCACUCUUCUCUUCUUGGUUAUUCUUCUCUUUAACCAAGGUUUUCUUUGACAUGAGUUCUUCAUCUUGCCUCACCUUAGGCAGGGGUUGAUCAACCUCUUUUCCACUCCUUAAAGUGAUCACAGCUUUAACCUCCCUCAACUUUGAAGACUCCCCCUCUUGGGUUUCAACUUCAUGAACACCCUUGGGAUUUUGGCUUGGUUGAGAGGGAAACUUUCCCUUCUCAUUCACAGUGUUGAGGUUGGUAAGCCUAGAGAUGGAGUAUUGAAUAUUAUCUAUCUUCUGAGAUAGAUCAUUUUGCAUUCCCUCCAUUCUCUUAAUUUGAGAACUCUUAACAUUUUCAAUCUUUUGAUGCAAUUGGGAGUUGAUUGCCUUUUGUUCACCCACAAAGUCACCCAUGACUUUACUUAGGUUCACAAUGGCUUGCUCCACUGAAGAGGUUUGUUGAGGUGCUUGGGUAUGGCCUUGUGGUUGGUAUGGAGGUGGUCUUGGUUUCCAAGAAAAAUUUGGAUGUUUUCUCCAGCUUGAAUUAUAGGUGUUUCCAUAAGGUGCAUUGUUGUUAGGCCUAAAUUGCCCCACAACAUUGGCUUGAUCACCUAACAUCUCCCUCACAGCUGGCAUGGUUGGGCACUCAUCUACCACACGAUCACAUGAUUGGCAAAUGGUGCAUGGCAUGACAUGGGCUUGGGUCUCGGAAAUGGCUUGGACUUCAUGUAUCUUUUUCAACUCAAGUUCUUCCAACCUCCUUGCUAUUGUUGCCACUUUAGCUUUCAUGUCCAUGUCUUCACUUAAUACGUACAUUCCACCUUUUGGAUUUUGGGUUGGUUGAGAGGGAAACUUCCCUUUCUCUCUUGAGUUGGGCUCAUCCCAUCCUCUUGACACCUCAGACACAUAACUUAAAAAGUCCAUGGCUUCUUCCGGAUUCUUGCUCAUAAAAUCUCCCCCACACAUGGUUUCGAGAAUUUGCUUCAUGGAGGAAGACAUUCCAUCAUAAAAAUAGCUCACCAAGAGCCAUGUAUCAAAGCCAUGAUGAGGCCAAGCAUUGAUGGCCUCCAUAUACCUUUCCCAACAUUCAUGGAACUUCUCAUUUUCUUUAGCAGAAAAGUUUGAGAUUUGUCUCUUCAACCCAUUGGUCCUAUGGGUGGGGAAAAAUUUCUUCAAAAAUUCGGCCUGAAGAUCAACCCAAUUCCUUAUGCUCCUUGGCCUUAAAGAAUUAAGCCAUAUUUUUGCCUUGUCCUUCAAAGUAAAAGGGAAUAGCUUGAGUCUCAUCAAGUCUAUUGAAGCUCCUCCCUCUCUAAAGGUAUUGCAAACCUCCUCAAACUCCUUGAUGUGGGCAUAUGGAUUCUCACUCUCCAUUCCAUGGAAAUUUGGUAGAAGGGGCACAAUAUGGGGCCUUAUAACCAGCUGCUCAAGAGGAGGUAUGAUGCAUGAGGGUGCACUCAUCCUUGGUGGGUGCAUUCUAUCCCUCAUGGAUAAAUAUGCAUUGGGAUUACCCCCUUGACCUUGUUGAGAAUUCUGAUCCUCUGGUGGAGGGUCCAUGAUGUUAACACAAAUAUCCAACUCUGUGUCUUGAGGAUUCUCAAUCCUUACUAAUCUUCCCUCUUGGUCCCGAAUCCAAUAGGGCAUGCACAAGUUACUACUUACCUGAAAUAAAACAAAAACAACAAAAACAAAAGAAACCUAGAAAAGAGUUAAGGUUAGAAAGAAAAUGAAAAUAAACCUAACAAAAAUAAAAUGAAAGGAAAUGAAGUUAGUGAAAAAGGAAUUCACCAAACUUGUGAUGGAAAUCACAAGUAGCCUCUAAAAGGUUGCAUCACUGUAUUGUGGCACCAUCCCCGACAACGGCGCCAUUUUGAUUCGCAUGUAACUCCAAUUGGGUCAUUUAAUAAAAAACAUUUAUAAAACCUAUGACCUCAUACUAACGUAGCAAAGCUACUAUAUUAUAGUGGCUCUAGGGUCGAACUCUGGGAUGGGUUUUCAUUCUACCAGUGAUAUACUCAAGAUUAGAAAUUGUAUUUAAUGAUUUCCUUGAUAAAAAACUUAAAGUUUAAAAGAAAAUAAAAUUUUUUUUGAAAGUGUUUGAAACUAAACUAACAUGAACUAAUUAAAAAUGGAAGAAAGAAAGUCUCCCGCAACUAAGGGUUGCUAGGAUCAAGUUCAGAAUAGAAAGUGGAAAAUUCCGGAUUUUUCUCCUCGCAUUGGGGAUUUAACCUAUAGUUAUUUCCCGAACCGGUAUAGGUUUGACAAUGAAGAUUUAAUCCAUAAAAGGUCAAUAGAAAUGGUAGUCAAGGUCCAUUAAUGGCUUAAGACACUAUGGGUCUUCACCUUGAAUCACUUUCCAAUGACUCGUACAUGAUAACUAAUGGACUAAUAUGGAUCUAGCAAUAAGCAUCCAUAAAGACCUGAAGCUUACCAUGUAUUGGUCAUUCAAAGUGAUUCUAAGGGAUUUAAAGCAAAACUUUGGAUUUAGAAGCCAUUUAUGAAUUCCAACUACCUGAAUUUAAUGCAUGGAAGCUUUCCACCUUUUCAUCUGGACUUUUCACCUAGCUUCCUUUACUCCAAGAAACCGAAAGUUUAGCCUNNNNNNNNNNNNNNNNNNNNNNNNNNNNNNNNNNNNNNNNNNNNNNNNNNNNNNNNNNNNNNNNNNNNNNNNNNNNNNNNNNNNNNNNNNNNNNNNNNNNACACCUUGUGGAAUGCGAAAUUUUCGCAUAACCUGGAGCAGUUUUCUUCCGAAGGCCAUAUCUUUCUCAUUUCAGCUCCAAAUCGUGCACGGUUUGAAGCGUUGGAUUCUUGACUUCCAGAGAUUUGAAAUGGUAUAUAGCAUGUAAAAAAUGGACUUCGGGAAGUGCUCCAAAAGUGUGAAAGAAGACUGCAACUGCUGUCCUCUGAUUUUUUCACUUUGCUUCACUUUGCUUCUCUUUGCUUCUCUCCUUUGCUUGACUUGUUUUAAUGAUCCAAAAAGCUGUCAAAACAUUAAAACUAGCCACAAAUAUGAUUAGAAGACAUUGCUAGGUCCUUAACAUGCCAAUUGGACUAAAGAUGGAGAACUACUACACAAAAGUGCUUAAAACAUAAUGCAUUAAAGGUGUAAAAUAGCACUUUUUGGGUAGUAAUCAGUUAUCUCACACUGGACACUCAUACGACUCUAGAGUAUCUAUCGUACAUCCAAAUUCUGAUUGUCGUUAUAGGAUUGUGUAUCGCGUCCUGUCAUGUAUUGGGUUGUGUUGUAUCAUGCAUUGGUCAUUGUUUGUUGCAUCCCGUGUUGUUGCAUGAGUUGUGUUUGAGUCGUUUUGUUUGGUUCUUUUGUAGGAGUUUAUUUGUAGUCAUAGUCUUGGUUCAGUGCCCUGGGUUGAGUGGGAGAGAGGUUGAUUCAUAUUGUUGAGCUGCUAUAGACGGAUUCACAGUUAGUUUCUAUUGGAAAGCUUACCAUUUCUGUGGUUUUGAUUUAUGGGGCAUUGACCAGAUUGAGUUAGAGGAUGGAUACUCAAUAAAGUAGGCACAUAGUGCUCGAGGACACGCCAUAUGAUUUAGUGCCACCACCUGUUCUACCUGUUUAGAUGCCAGCUGCACAGACUUUGCAUACUAUUUCACAUGAUCAGGCUGUUGUCAUUCCACCCAUUGUCACACUAGUUACCAUUAGUGAGGAUCCUCGUUCUCAUAUGGACAGACUCAAGCGGAGGAUUAGACAUAUGAGAGAUCCUGAUGAGAUGAUUUCAUGGGAUGACCCUGACAAUGUGCCAUUGGCCACUUUGCCAGUCGAUUUUAGGAUGCUUGAUAUAGAGAGAUAUACGGGUGUUGGAUGUCCUCACAUUCAUCUCAAACUUUAUAGCACAGUUAUGAGGGCUCUUGGUCUAGAUGAGGCACAGUUGUUCACUUUGUUCCCAUUGUCAUUGAGCGACAUGACACAAAGAUGGUACGCUUCAUUAGAGUCAUCUCGUUGGAGAACUUGGGAUGACUUAGCACAAGAGUUUCUGAGACAGUAUUCAUUUAGUGGUGAUACGAGUGUUACACGUAGAGAGCUUGAGUUUCUUAGACAGGGAUUAGAGGAGUCUAUUUCUUCUUUUAUCUCCCACUAGAGGGAGAAUGCUACGGAGAUGAUUGAGCGACCUACUGAGAGAGAUCAGAUGUGCAUGUUUUUUAGGAGUUUGCAUCCUAGGUUUGCUCGACAUCUGAUAGGAGUCCCAUUCCAGGAUUUCAGAUCAUUGGUUCAGGCUUUGUUUGAUGUAGAUGAUGGCAUAUCUAGAGGAUUCUGGUCAGAUAUUACUCUUUCCCCAGAUAAUGAGGGAAAGGGAGUUGUUGGAUCAUCUGAGAGCUAUGGAGACGUAUGUUCUACGGGCUUUCAUCAUCGACGACUUGAUUAUCAUCCUUAUGCAAGAUCAUUGCAGAUACCUAGGGGUGAUUUCGCACCUUUACAACAUCGUCAUCCUUAGUCAGUUUAGCAGUAUCCUUCUGUGCAUCCUCAUACUGUCACAGUAUGACCUUUAUUUCAAUUUCAGCAUCCACAUACUAGUAUCCCACGACAUGAGCAGUCUCGUCCCCAUCGGCGACAUCAGAGAACUUAUUCUAAUUUGGGGAUGCCUUUGGAUAGAGCUUUUGAGCGACUCAGAGCUACUGGUUUUUUAGUACCAUUGACCCUUAGGCCACCCCUGAGUACCUUACCUCCGUGUUUUCGUGCUCACAAAUUUUGUGCAUUUCACCAGAUGGCAGGCCACUGUACUGAUUAUUGUGUUUCUCUACGUCAUACCAUACAGGAUCUUAUUGAUAGUGGUGCGGUUAGCUUUCUCGUAUCGACCACAGAUACUGAUCUUGGUCCAGAUAUGACUGCUGAUUCCUUUCCAGCCUAUUCCACACAUGCAGUUCCUCCUCAUUCGGGCUUAUACCAUCAUGUUUUGGACAACCAGGGCACUGAUAUUCACAGGACACUUUGAUAUUGCAAACCUUGUUAGUGUAUUUUGGGACUACUUUGUUAGUUGGUCGUUUAAGUUUUUGUUCUCUUUUACUUUAUAUUUGAGUCUUGUUUUAUAGUUAGUGAUUCGAGUUCGUAUCCUUUGUUUCGAGAGUAGACCUUAUUGUCUUCUUAUUUUGCACGAUGUACUUUUGUUUCACUUAGUGAUAUUGUUGUUUUCUUGGGUAUGUGUUUCUGUUUUUUUUUUCUUUAUUUUAUUAUUAUUAUUGUUUCACAUCAUGCAUUUUAUGUGUUGUUAUCUUGAGUAGUGUUAUGUGUUGCUUUGUUUUGUCUCUUGCAUGUGUUUGUCUUAGAGUCUUGGACAAUUUUAGUGUCGUGACUGGUCCCCGAGCAAAGAUUGAUGGCAUGUGGUUGUGAUUCAGAGUACAUUGAGAUUAUACUUCUUCAGUUGAGGUUCACCAUGUCAAACGAGAUUGCAACCAUUACUCUUACUACUCUUUAUGAGAUGAUGGUGGAUUUGACACGAAUGAUUGAGAGGAUUGAGCUUAUUUUGUCAGAGUAUCCAUCGUCACUGAGAGGAGCUCCAAGAGUAGCGAUGCCUUCAUUACCACAUUUGACUUCACCAGCAUCUCUUACUUUGGGUGCCUCACAUCCACGACCUCGCUCACAUUCAAUGCUCCAACAGCAUUCCUCAUCCAUUACGUUGGCUACGUCGACACGACCUCCAUCCCGGCUUCGGGGCCCUCCGAUCAUUAUAGUUCCCAGGAACAACUUCACCCUCGUCGACGAUGUCGGAGACACUUUUCAGAUCUAAGCAUACCCCUGAGCAGAGUUUUUGAGAAGUUUCAAGCCAUGGGAUUUUUUGCCCCUUUGGCUCUUAGGGCACUUCCAGAUCCUGUGCCUUCACAGUUUCGAAUUGAUUUAUAUUGUACAUAUCAUCAGUCAGCAGGACAUCACACUGAUCGUUGCAUUGCUCUAUGACAUGCCAUACAUGACAUUGUUGAUUCUGGAACAUUUGGGCAUCCUCAGUCCGAUAUGUUUUCUAUACCUACCUCAGCUCAGGUCAUGCAUGUAGACACCCUUUCACCAGCAGUCCCUGAUCUUAUUGACUUGGGCAAUUGACUCAUGAUUGGCUUACCUUGGUACGGUGGUGCUCAGAUUUUGUUCUCUCUAUGGCCAGAGAUGUGAUGACAGGACCAGUUUUUGUUUUGUUUGUUUAUUCUUGUUUUACUUUUGACUUUUAGAGACUAUAACUCGAUUCUUGAGUAUUGUCUUUGUUAUCCUUCUUUUGCAUGAUAUACUCAUCAGUUAUCCCAUUGGAUGUCUUUUCCUUUAUGGACAUAUGUUUGUGUUUUGUGAUAUGAUGUGUUGUACUUUUGACUUGAGGCAUCUCUUCACUUGCACAUUGUGGUCUUGAGGCUUGACUUGUCAUAGGGGAUAUUGAGCCUAUUAGCCUAAGAUCAGAGAUUUGACCUAGGGAGUUCGAGAUAGUGACACAUCUUCUUAUGAUCAGAGUAUGGUACAUUCCCAAUUGGUGUCUCAGCUGAUUCAUGUCCUCUCAAUGGUCCCUGACAGUGGUACCAUUUGAUUCAUGUCCAGCUGGUGUCCCUUAAUUUUGGUCCUCAGGGAGUAAUCAACAAAAUUUAUAACCUAUUACACCAUGUACUAGGAAAGCCUUAGCUAGCAUAGCAUAGUGGCUCUAGGGUCGUUCACUGGGAUGGGUUUUCACUCCACAAUUGAUAUUAAUUCAAAGAUGAAUUGGUGCCUUUUCAUUUCAAGGUUAGCUUUAAAAGAAAACAUAAAGAUGUUUGAAUGAAAAAGGUUUGGUUUUAAACUAACCAAAAAUAGUAACUGAUUUUACUUACAAAGAAAAGUGUUUCUUGGAGUUUAGAUCACUAGGCUCAGGUUCCUUGUACAAAAAGGGAGUUCCGGUCACUUGUUUCUUUUCCUCGCAUUAGAGAAUUAACAUAUAGUUAAUUCUCUAACCGGUGUAGUACAGAUGCUUCCCCUUAAUAGAUUCAAACACUAAAUCCCUCUCACUGAUGCAUCUUGCAAUGGCUCGUGCCUCUCACCUAGCAUUUGCCAUUCAAGGUGAUCUUUAACCUUGGAUUACCCGUCAAAAGCUCGCAAGAGAUAACUAAUGGAUGUCUCCUUAGAGUCCAAAAGCUUACCAAGUGUUGGCUAUUCUAGAAAAUCCUACCUUCAAACCACCUCCCAAAGGCUCGCAAGAGAUAAACUAGUGCAUCUCAAUGGAUGGAGAUCACUUGCCUUACCAAGUGUUGGCUCAGGUGAUUUAAAGGCGUUUUAAGUUAACUAAAAAGAUAAAAACCAUUAAUGGGUCACACUUUCUCUUCAUUAAACACUGAAACAACAAAAAUUCAAAUUCUUGCAUUUGGAAACUUACCCGACUUUCUUCACUCCAAGAGACGAAGAGUCUAGUCUCUCAUCCUCUAAGGAAAAAUCCUCAGAGUUUGAUUGGCUAGAAAGAAAACUAACGAGAAAACAAAAAUAUAUAUGAAGGAAAAAUAGAGCAAGUGCUCUGUAAAAUAUAUUUCUUCCUUCCACCGAUUACAUCAUGAUUUAUAAAGAAAAUUACAAAACUAUCUAUAAGAGGUUAUUCACCCUUUGUUCUUACUUAAAGACUAAGGAAUCCUAUGAUAGGUGGGUUACAAGGAGAGUUUGGGGAUUUAGACAUCAAAUAUCUAAAGCAAAAUAUCUCAAAAUGUUGGUCGCAAAUAUCAAGAAGCUUUAGGAGAACACCGCAGCCGUACGUACAAGAGGGCUGCGAAAUUUCGCAGCAAAAGGACAUCAUUUUCGCAGCCCAAGGCUGAUUUCGCAGCCGUGCAAAUUUUUCCUUCAGCUUGGAGUGAUAGGAUUCCAAUGGCUGUAACUCCUUCAUUUCAACUCCGAAUCAUACACCGUUUGAAGCAUUGGAUUGUUGACUUCCUGAGAUUCGAAACGAAAUAUAGCAUGCAUAAAUUGGACUCCAGGAAGUACUCCAAAAGUGGCUGACAUGACUGUCAUCUAGAAUGCUUCAUGGCAGAUUUCUCUUUGUUUCCCCUCCUUGCAUUCUGGAUUUGCUUAUGGAAAAGGACUUCAAAGCUUUAGUUCUUCAUGUUUCUGAGAUUUCCAUUGCUUUGCCAUGGAUUCCAAAUAACUCUCUUCAAUCUCGGAUUGCUUUGGUGAUCAAAAAGCUAUCAAAACACCAAAACUUAACACAAUUUUAUUAGAAUUGAUUGCAAGGGUCCUUAACAUGCCAAUUGAGUUAAAAGGUAAUAAAUACUACUCAAAAGUGUUUAAAAGAGUUAAUUACAAGCUAUGAAAUAGCAUUUUUUGAGUAGUAAUCAAAGUAGUACCUUGCUCACUUCCCACACCUUAACUUUGUUUUGAUUAUUAUAGAGCAUUGGGAGUACGGUUGGUGCAUGAUUCUAGAGGGUUGACGUGGUUAUAUCAGAUGGACAUUGAUCUUUAGUAUUAAUCAUUUGAGAGCUUGAGAGCACGAUGUUUGAGACCAUGGUCGUAGGAUGGGUGGCCUUUAUUUCGGUUAGCUCACACCCUAUUACAUUUAUUGACAUUUAAACCAUUGCUAGCCCUUUGAACCUCGCAUGAGCAUCAUAGCCUUUUCUUUCUUAUAGCCUUGCUCAUCCCCUACACCGAGAUAAGGGUCCUUCAGCGUAUGCAUGCAUUGUUUAAGAGUUUCAUGAGCCUUGGAUCUAGGGGCACAUUUUUCUCAUUAUCUUUUCCUAUAACCUUUUCUUUCUUAUAGCCUUGCUCACCUUCUACACCGGGAUAAGGGUCCUUCAGCGUAUGCAUGCAUUGUUUAAGAGUUUCAUGAGCCUUGGAUCUAGGGGCACAUUUUUCUCAUUAUCUUUUCCUAUCAUUGCAUCAUUGCAUUUCAUCACAUCUCGUUGGUUGUGUUCUUCAUCAUCUUCUUUAUUAUAUCUAUCACUUGUUCCGCUUCAUCUUCUUCCACCCCGAGUGGUGAUCCUCCUCAAUUCAUUGCAUGGAGGGUAGUCAUGUCAUCUUCACUAUCUAUCCUGUGGACAUUGAUCCAGAGAUCCUUAGUUUGAGCAGGUCAUCUUGUCAGAGAGAGUUUAUGCUACAUUAGAAUUUGAGAGCAUGUUUAUCCAUUUUUGACCUCAUCUUUGGAGCUUCUUUGUUUGUGUUUGAGGCAUGCCCAUUUGUAUAUAUGUAAAAAAAAAAUGGAAAAGUAAAAUAAAAAGGAUAUGUGUGUAGUAUUCUCUAUCAUUGAGUAUGUGUAUAUUGAUGUUUGAGGGUCACUUGAUUGAGUAUGCUUGUCGAUGGGAGUUCGUAUGUGAGCUUUCCGAGACCCUCCAUUCUUUGUAUUCACUUUGUCGUACAUUUUGAGAGUGAGAUGAGUGACCUUCUCUUAGGAGCUUUAGGCCAUUGCCCCUUCCAUCAUUACAUUAUUUGUUGACAUUACUUCAUUCCACUCUUGAUUUGAGCGGAUCAUUACUCCACUUCGUGCUAUUUGCUUCACUAUCAUCCUCGUUUUUGCUUUCGAUUCAUUCUAUUUGUUUCAUAUCUUAUUCUUUUCUUACAGCGACCCAUUUUAGGUUUGGUACUUUCUUUGCAUCAUUGUUACACACCUUAUUACCAAUUCGAUUUUCUUUAUUGCUUCCUCAUUGAUAUUAUAUCCGCAUCGAGCACCCUCAGGUCCAUCACUCACGAGAUUUUCUAUACAUGUUGCAUUUUAUAUAUGAGGGCAUGGGUUUUGAUCAUUGGGUAUUUGAGCCUAGUUUCCCUUCAUUUCUAUCACCCUAUCACCCUAACAUUCGUUAUGUCCUGAGUCUUAAGACCACCCUGAGGCCAUGACAUCACACAUUGGGUUUGAUAGCUCUUAUGUGAGCAAUACUUGGGAUUGGUUUGAGAGCAGUCUGAUUGUGAUGGACCAGGAGUUAUGGUAUGACCCUACACUGGGGCAUAGCCAUCUCAGAGAAUGUUUUUUAUCGGGUAUACAGUCUUUCUGCUUGAUACAUUGCAUUGGGGCACACCUUCAUUGGUCGAAGGUUGAUUUUUAGAUGACCAUUAUGCCGAGGCUUACUCCUCUCAGUCAAUGAUGGAUUUUUUUGAGUCAUGGUUAUCCCUCAGAGGAGAUCAGACAUCUUUUUUCACAUUGGAGCAUGAGACAUGAUUGACAUAUUUCAUCUAGUGUACUUUACUCAGGGGCAUCUCCCUCUCAGUCAAUGAUAGUUUUUUAGGCAUAGUUAUUCCUUGAAGGUGAUUAGAUUCCUUUCACAUUAAAGUACGAGACAUGACCGGGUGAUUUCUUUGAUGUGAUUACAGGAGCAUAGCCUUUUUAUCAUUGUUGACAGAUUUUUGAGAUGGUUGGAUCAGGACACAGACACUUAUGAGAGCUUACAAUGGAGUUUAGUCAUUUAAGAGUUUGCCCUAUAUUGGGGCAUAACCUUUUCAUCGGCUAUUGAUCUUACAGAUACCAGCUUACAUCGGGGCAUGAUCAUGUCUGAGCGCAUUUUUGUUGGGGCAUACCACCUUGCUUGAUCUUUUUCACAUUGAGACAUGAUCUUUCUUUAGAGGAGGUCAGAUACUCUCUUCACGUUACCACGAUGACUUUGAGGAGCAGAGAUCUAUUUUGAUCAGAUGAUGUAUGAUUUGUUGUACUCCUUUCAUUGAUGUUUGAUUUGGAGAUGCUUACACUAGGGCAUAGCCUACUCAUCGAUGAUGGUUUUUUGAGAUGACAAUUUAUGCUAGACACAUACUUCCCAGAGUUUAUCUUGCACUGAGGGUUUACCCACUUUAAGAUGAUGCAUUCAUACUAGGGCAUAGCCACCUUGCUGAUUUUGACUUUGAGACUCCACCUCCUGUUUAUGAUUCCUGCUUUCGACGGAUCACAAAGUCAUUGACACCCUGGGUUCAGUCUUCUCAACAUACUUGGUCCGACUUGGGUACCCACCUUCCUUUGUUACACACCUAUACAUCCUACACUGGACACCGUUAUACCUGCACCCAUCUUAUCAGAGCCUUACAUCUUUUGAGUCCACAUAUUUCAUCGUUUUACAUGACCUUAUCCCAUUAUCUUGAUCAGAGGAAGAUACAGACUAGUCUUGAGCUUUCUGGUUAAGUUUUCACAUGCCUUUGGACAUUAGGUUCAACAUCUUCCAUGAUGGUAGGGCAUGUUGAUACAUUUGUGAUGAUGUACUCAUAUUGAUAGUUGACAUGUCGUGUCUUGAUUUGCUUACAUUUCAGACUUAGAGUCUUGGUCAACAUUUUUUUUAUUCAAUAUUUUGGUUUUGCUUUGUCGGCAUAGUUUUGGUGAUGUUUGGUCUUGUUUUAGCAUUCGUUCAUUAAGGCUAUGUAUAUCUUUUUCAUUGCAUCAUCGUUGAGCAUAUCCUAGAGUGUUUUUGUAUGGUGACAUUCUGUGUCUUAUGUUAGUUACUAUCCUACAUUGGGGCAUACCUCCAUCCUUGAGUUCAUCAAAUAUUUUGUAGAUUUUUCUCACUGCUUGAUCUAUUUCUUGAUCUUUGUAGGUCGUCACACUGGGGCAUACCCCCAUUCUUGAGUUCAUAAGAUCUUUUGCGGACUUUCUCACUGCUCGAUCUAUUUCUUGAUCUUUGUGAGUCAUCAUACUAGGGCAUACCCCCUUUAGCGCUUUUCUACUGGGGCAUUCCCCUCUCUUUGAGUUUAGCACAUUUCAUGCUAAUUUCGUGGUUGUCCAACCCAUUUGUCGAUCUUUACGAGUUAUCACCUAGGGCAUCCUCCUUCCAUCAUCUUGUUUAAGGCAUCCCCCUACUGUCAACUUGUUUAAGGCAUCCCCCUAUCGUCAGUCUAUUUAGGGCAUCCCUCUUCUUUUAGUAGUUUUCACCACCAUAGAUCGGACAUCUAUGGGCAUUUCAGUUUUCACCACCAUGGAUCAGACAUCUAUGGGCAUUUCAGAUUCACCACCAUAAAUUUUCAUCUAUGGGUUUUGAUCAGUUUUCACCACCAUGGAUCAGACAUCUAUGGGCAUUUCAGAUUCACCACCAUAGAUUUUCAUCUAUGGGCUUUGAUCAGUUUUCACCACCAUAGAUCGGACAUCUUUGGGCAUUUCAGGUUCACCGCCAUAGAUCGGACAUCUAUGGGCAUUUCAGGUUCACCACCAUGGAUUUUCAUCCCUGAGCUUUCGAGAUUAUCACCACCAUAGAUUUUCAUCUAUGGGCAUUUAAGUUAUUUCACCACCAUGGAUUUUCAUCCUUAGGUUUUCGAGAUUAUCACCACCAUAGAUUUUUAUUUGUGGGCCUUUGAGAGUUUCACCACCAUAGAUUGGCAUCUAUGGGCAUUUUUUUUUAUUGUAUCACCAUCGUAGGUCUUCACCUAUGGGCCUUCUAGUUUAGUGUUUAGAGUUAGCUUUUUGGUUUGGCUUCCAAAGCCAUUAUUUUUCUCAGUUUAGCUUUUAGAGUCAGUCUUUUUAUUUAAAGUCAUAGCUCCCGACAUUCAUAUUCACUGGCAUUGCACAUCUUACCUUCAUGGUUUUGCAUUUGUCCUCAAUUUUCCUCACUUCGUUACCCUGUGCUUAUCGUGUAUUCAUCACAUAGUCUACAUAGGGCAGUCUCCUUUGGAUGCGUUCUUAUCCGUACUCCAGGAUGAUUCAACCGUUAUUUACCUUUGAUUUGGUCUUUCGAGUCACUUUUGGAGACAUCUUAGAGGGAGCCUGGGUUCUUAGUGCGGCUUCAGAGGCAUUUUGAGAUAUCCUUCUCUUUUAGGAUUAGAGCCUUUGUGUUUGUUUGCUAGCCUGAGUGACUUUGCAUUUCACUAGUGUCCCUAUGAGGGUCUCUUCGGUUCUUCGGUAGAGUUCACUUCAUUCCACUCACUAUUCACACUUCCUUUUCACUUCAGUAUUCAUAUUCUUGACACUCAUGAACUCUACCGAAGAGGGGCAUAUUUGUAGACCCCCAUUUGGGGGCUAGUUCUCAUUUUUUCUGCAGGUCAUUUUCUUUGCCAAGUGGAGGGCUCUUUCAAGAGACACAUGCUACCUUAAGAGAGGCUGCUAUGGAUUCAGCUAGUGCUAUUGAAUGAGCCAAUGAGAAUGAGACGUAGGAAAAUGAGGGAAUCUGCAGAAGCCGUUGUAGAAGAGCGUAUUCUGUUACCUGUAGCAGGCCAGUUGCAGGUAGGGGGAGGGGGUGCUUUUUAAGGUUUUGGAGGUAGAUAUUUUUUAGGGGGGUUCGCUAGUUUGGAGAGCGGGCUGCAGGGGAGAUAGGAGGUGAUUUUUGGAGAUGAGGAGAUUUUUUUUCUAGAGAAUAUUCCUUGACCUGGGGCAGCAAGCUAAGGAGGGAUAGAGAGUAUUUCGUUUAGGGGGAUUUUCUGGGGCUGGCUGUUGGCUUGAGAUGAGGGAACCUGGGAGAAGAUAGAGCUUUCACAAGAAGUCAAGAAAAAUGGGAGGAUGGGGAUUUGAGGAGGCUACUGGUGAGAGAGUUACAGAGAGGUAAGCUUGCUGGUUUCGUUGGCAUUGGAGGAGGACUUAAGGCGUUUAUAGAUGAAUAGAGCCUCAUGGGAAAGGGUUCACUCAGGUAUGGAUGCAACUGACUUAUUGUUUGAUUUGGAUUCUUAUUACUCCUCUAUGUUUCCUAUUGAUGUUGGAGUGGUUGUUGGUUUGUUUGGGGUGGAUAAUGAAGGCCACUUAUUGUUUGUUAAGAUAUAACCCUGAACUCAUGCUUGAUGUUGUUAAUCUUAAUAUGUCUUGCUUUUACUGUGAAAUAUCCCGAGAAUCAUGCCAAUAGUUGUAUUUGAUGUGGUUAUCUCACCUAACCAAAAGACUCACUGAUGAUCUGUGAAGUGAAGCCUCAUUUGAGGAUGUUUUAGUUUUUUUUUAUGCUUUGUUUCUAUUGUUUCUUCUCUGUGGUGGUUGCCUUUUGUUCUUGAGUCUUGUUCAAUGCAUGGGCUGCGAGAGAGGGGGGAAAUCUAGGAUUGAUUGUGCAGCUUGAGCCAGGUCUUAUGGUGACUGUAAGGGGAGGUGUUCAUCAGUGAAAAUCAUGGUAACUUGAUGAUGAGAACAGUUGGAAGAAAGCUCUCUGCUAAUGUUCAUGGCUCAUUUCCUGAUUUGAGCAGCCACCCAUCUUUUGCAAAUGAAUUUGCAGAAACUGGCGUUCCUAUGGAUAAAGAUGAUAAGUUGCAUAUCUUUGGUCUGUUAAUGUCUGAGAUCAGAGGCUCCCACAUGAGGUCUAGUCAGUCAUCAAAUUUACCUUCAAAUAUAGAGACACGGUCUGAUGAUUAUAGAAGAAAUAUAUGUUCUAACUCCAGUGUUCAUCAAGGUGCCAUAGAUGCCCGACAUUGAUCUCGUAUGGAGCAAGAAUUCAGUAGCUAUGACUUGGCAGAGCACCUAAUGUCACAAGAGUUGCAAAAGGAACAACUUCAAUCACAGAACCGUCCAUCUCCUCAUCCCACAUCUCAUUUCAAUGGGUCAGGUGUGGAGCAAUUUCCUGGUUUUUCUUUUAGUCAUAGCAAAAACCCUGUUCUCCAACAGUCAGUCCAUCAUCCAGCACAAGAUAUGGAACAUCUUUUGGAGCUUAAGUUACAACAGCAGCGAGAGUUUGAGCUUCAUCAACGACAUCAGUUUCAUCAACAGCAGCUUCAUCACCACCAAAUGAAAUUGCAGCAACAACAACAGUCUCAUAUUCAACAAUUGCUUCUUGAAUAGUUGUGGCAUCAUCGCAUGUCUGAUCCAGGUUUUGGGUAGUCAAAGAUGGACCUUAUGGGAGACAACAUGCUUGAUCAGGCUUUGUUGAGGAAAAACCUUCUCCAUGAAUUGUAGUAGAAUUCAUUUGCUUCAAGGCACCUGGAUCCAUCUUUAGAACGGAUCAUUCAAGCAAAGAUUGAUCAGAAUGCAUAUAGAGGAUGGUCAAAUGAUUUAUUGGAGCUCAUAUCACAAGUGAAGCAUGGGAAUGCAUUCCCUUCAGAACAGCAGCUUCAUUUUCACUAAGAACAGUUGCAUGCAAGGCAAUUAUCUCUGGCAUUGAGGCAACAGAUGGGAGAUAUAGGGAAGAGUCUUGAUACUCUAAAAGCACUAGUUCAAACUAGCCUUCAAACAUUUCUGCCUCCUGCUUCGGUGAAUGAUGGAUUUUAGAAAGAUGAUGACAUGUUGGAUCGAUCCUUUCAUAAUCAUGAGUCAAUAAAUGUCUGUAGAGACCUGGUCCCUUUAGAACAAUGUGGCCAAUGAUGUAAGACUAACUAGUGUUGGAAAUGAUGUUGAAGCAAAUUGUUCCUAUUCUGCACAUGGUGCCAAAAAGAGGGUUUAGGAAGCCUUAUUGUCUUCAUUGAAGUCUAUAAAAAGUAAAGGGAAGUCAUCAAAUUGACUACCAUGAUAUUGUUGUGAAGGAUUUCAGUUUGGGUAUCUUGCCAUGAUGCUCGUCAUGUCAUCUUCAGAAACCAUCUUCAAAUCCCUGAAGCUUUAAUAAAUGGUUUGGUUUUUGAAGUUUCGAUUCUAGUUUUUCACUAGGCUCGAAAUAUGCUAAUGGUCCUGAUGUUGAAAAGAGCCCUACACCAACAGAAUCUUCUCAGGAGAAUAUUGAAAUUACUAAGGGGCCUUCUCCAAGCAAUCAAAGUGUAGCCUCAACUGCACAAGAGGAAGAUUAUCCUGAUCAACCUCAAUCUCCUCCACAUGCACCAGUUAUUUUCUCACCUCCAGUGGGCAGUGUCUCAUCUGGUGCAGUUCCAAAGCAUGAUCAAUCGAAGCAGGAGAUGAUGUUGCCUACAGGAGGCCCUCAUUUCCCUAAUGUUCAGCCUCUCCCUUCAAGACCCUUUUCUUUCCCUUAAUAUUGAGGCACCAAGCCAUGAUGAUGUUGUGAAACUUGGACUUGCUUUUUGUGCUGCUGUUAAAAAGUAUCUUGCUCUGGACUCAUCCGCCUUAGACAGCAACACAACAUGGAUAUGGCGACGAGCUCAUCUAAUGUAGCCAUUGAAGGACUGAGGCCGCUUCUGAGUGAUAAGGAAGGUUUGGAUGACAUAGCUACAGAAAAAAUUGAGAAGUUGACCACUGAGUUGCAAGAGCAAGAGCAAGAGCAAGAUCAUGAGGAGUGUGAUCCGGUCGAGAGGAUUAAAGACAGGUUUAUUCACUUCAAAAUCCACCAUUUUGGCUAGUAUCUAGAUUACUAUAAACAACUUGAUUAGUACUCAAAAAGUGCUCUUUUAUAGCUUGUUAUAAACUCUUUUAAACACUUUUGAGUAGUAAUUAAUACCUUUUAACUCAAUUGGCACGUUAAGGACCCUUACAAAUGUUUCUAAUCAAUUUUUGGCUAGUUUUGGUGUUUUUGGUAACUUUUUUAUCAUUGAAGCAAGCCAAGAAUGAGGGAGAAUUUUGUGCAACCCUUGGGAAUAAGCUUCCAAGCCAAUCAAGAGAUGCAACGAAGAGGAUCAGUGAAAUAAAUCCAUCAUGAAGCAAUUUCACAUGGUGAUGCGAAAUCUUCACAUGCUAUGCAAAAUUCAAAAGGGCAGUAGUUGCAAGGAAAAUUUAGAGCACUUCGUAGAGUCCAUUGUCUACAUACUAUAUAUCAUUUCGAAGCUCGGGAAGUCAGGAGUCCAAUGCUUCAAAUGGUGUGUAAAUCGGAGCUGAAACGAAGAAGUUACGGCCAUUUGAAGGCAACUGUGCCAAGCUAAAAAGGAAUUUCGCAUCACCUUUCCCUGAUGCGAAAAUUUUCGCAUCACCCUUCCCUGAUGCGAAAAUUUUCGCACUGACUUUCCCUGAUGCAAAAAUUUUUGCACUAACUUUCUCUGAUGUGAAAAUUUUCGCAUCACCUUUUCCUCAUGCGAAAAUGUAAUAUUUAGAUAUUUUACACCAACUCCGUUAGAUUUUUACCUUAAGAUAUUUGGUGUAAUUAUCUAUUCUCUCCUUGUAAUCAGUUAAAGAUGUUUUAAGAUAUUUAGGAUAUCUAAUCAAAAGGUUGAAAAUAUCUCUCUUUAUAUAUCUUAAGAUAUCUCCUUGUAAUAUAUAUCUCAUAUCUCUAAAUCUCGGAAGACAUUCAGGAGGGGAUCACUUGUACAUGUUUUAGUAAGAAAUAUACAGAGUGUUACUGAUUCGUGCCCAAUUGGUGUCUCAGCUGAUUCGUGUCCAGCUGGUGCUCCUUGAUUGAGGGAGUAAUCAACAAAAUUUAUAACCUAUUACACCAUAUACUAGGGUAGCAAAGACAAAGCUACUAUAGCAUAGUGGCUCUAGGAUCGUUCACUGGGAUGAGUUUUCACUUUGCAAAUGAUAUUAAUUCAAAGCUGAAUUGGUGCCUUUUCAUUUCAAGGUUAGCUUUAAAAGAAAACAUAAAGAUGUUUGAAUGAAAAAGGUUUAGAUUUAAACUAACCAAAAAUAGUAACUGAUUUUACUUACAAAGAAAAGUGUUUCUUGGAGUUCAAAUCACUAGGCUCAGAUUCCUCAUACAAAAAAGAGAGUUUUGGUCACUUGUUUCUUUUCCUCGCAUUAGAGAAUUAACAUAUAGUUAAUUCUCUAACCGGUGUUGUACAGAUGCUUCCCAUUAAUGGGUUCAAACACUAAAUCCCUCUCACUGAUGCACCUUGCAAUGGCUCGUGCCUCUCACCUAGCAUUUGCCAUUUAAGGUGAUCUUUAACCUUGGAUUAGCCGUCAAAAGCUCACAAGAGAUAACUAAUGGAUGUCUCCUUGGAGUCCAAAAGCUUACCAAGUGUUGGCAAUUCUAGAAAAUCCUACCUUCAAACCACCUCCCAAAGGCUCGCAAGAGAUAAACUAGUGAAUCUCCAUGGACAGAGAUCACUUGCCUUACCAAGUGUUGGCCCAGGUGAUUUAAAGACGUUUUAAGUUAACUAAAAAGAUAAAAACCAUUAACGGGUCACACUUUCUCUUCAUUAAAAACUAAAACAACAAAACUUCCAAUUUAUGCAUGUGGAAACUUACCCGGCUUUCCUCACUCCAAGAGACGAAAAGCCUAGCCUCUCAUCCUCUAAAGAAAAAUCCUCAGAGUUUGGUUAGCAAGAAAAUGAAAAUGAAAGAGAAGGAAAAAACAGAGCAAGGCUCUGUAUAUUCUAUAUAUGUUAUAUAUCUAUAUAUAUCGUCGGAUUACAUGAUGCUCUAUUACAGUGGAUGCAAGGGAAUAUAUAUAUAGAGAUGUUUUUCCAACCUUCCUUGCUAAGAAAUCUUAUGGUUGGUGGAUUACAAGGAGAAGAAUGGAAAUUUAUACAAAAAUAUCUGAAGAAAAUAUCUAAAAGAGUCGGUGCACAAAUAUCGGGAAGCACUAAGGACCAUUUCACAGGUGAAAACGAGGUCUGCGAGAUUUCGCAGACGCACAAAAAGGGCUGCGAAAUCACUUCGCAGCAAAAGGUUAUUCUCGCAGGGCUGUGAAGUUGGCUUUCAUCUUGAGGUGCUCAGAUUCCAAUUUGCAGCAUAUAUCGGGCAACUUCAGGAGGGAAUCCACAACACUGUACAAAAAAGCUGCGAAAUCAUUUCGCAACAAAAGGGUGAUUCCGCAACACUUUUGCAAAAUGCUUUCUUCAGCUUAGAGUGAUUGCCUUGCAGUGGCUAUAACUUAUUCGUUUCAACUCCAAAUUGUGCACCGUUUGAAGCAUUGGAUUGUUGACUUCCUAAGAUUUAAAAUAGUAUAUAGCACGUACAAAAUGGACUUCAGGAAGUGCUCCAAAAGUGCACAAGAAGACUGCAGCUGCUGUCCUCUAUUUUCUUCACUCUGUUUUUCCUCUCUCCAUUGUUCUUUCCUUGCAUACUUUGAACGACUUUGGCAAAGGGCUAUGGAGCUCCAAAGCUUUGUUCUUCAUGAAUUUGAGCUUCCAAAAGCUUUGCCAUGAACUAUAUACAGCUCUCCCUCAUUCUUGGAUUGCUUUGGUGAUCAAAAAGCUAUCAAAACACCAAAACUUAACACAAUUUGAUUAGAAUUGAUUGCAAGGGUCCUUAACAUGUUAAUUAGGUUAAAAGGCAAUAACUACUACUCAAAAGUGUUUAAAAGAGUUAAUUACAAGCUAUCAAAUAGCACUUUUUGAGUAGUAAUCAGUUACUUUACCUUACCUACUCGUUUUAAUUGUAUUUUUCUUUCUAGCCAAACAACCUUUGAAGAUGUUUUCUCAGAAGAUGAGUGGCUAGACUUUUUGUCUCUUAGACAGAUGGAAGCUAGGUAAGGGACCAGGAUACAAAGGUAAGAGUUUUCCUUGUUUCAGUUUUUAAUGAAGAGAAGGUUGUGACCCAUUAAUGGUUUUUAUAUUUUUUAGUUAACUUAAAAUCUUUUAUAAUCACCUGGGCCAACACUUGGUAAGCUUUUCGGACUCAAUCCAUAGAGAUCCAUUAGUUAUCUCUUGCGAGCCUCUAGAAGGUGGUUUAAAGGUAGGAUUACUUAGAAUAGUCAACACUUGGUAAGCUUUUAGAUUCUGCGGAGACAUCCAUUAGUUAUCUCCUGCGAGCUUUUGAAAGGUAAUCCAAGGUUAAGGAUCACCUUGAAUGGCAAAUGCUAGGUGAGAGGUACGAGUCAUUGCAAGAUGCAUCAGUGAGAGGGAUUUAGCGUUGAAACCAUUAACGGGAAGCAACUGUAACACACCGAUUGGGAGGAUAACUAUAGGUUAAAUCCCCAAUGCGAGGAAAGAUCCGAAAUCUCCACUUUUGUAUAAGGGGCCUGAAUCUAGUGACCUGAAAAUCCAAGAGACCCUUUUCUUCGUAAUUAAAAUCAAUUACUAUUUUUUUGGUUAGUUUAAAACCAACCUUUCUCAAACCAAAGAUUAUGUUUUCUUUUAAAGCUAACUUAGAAAAUAAAAAGCACCAAUCCAAUUCUUUAAACUAAUAUUAGGUGUGAAAUGAAAACUCAUCCCAGUGAACGAUCCUAGAACCACAAUGCUAUGCUAGCUAUGCUACCCUAGUAUAUGGUGAAAUAGGUUUAUAAAUUUUGUUGAUAACUCCCAUCUGAGGACUGAAUCAGAGGACACCAAUUGGGGACGAAUCACAACUAGCAGAAGGGCAGCACCCCAAGUUUCUGGUGUUUGCGUGCUCUGACUCCCGAGUUAGCCCCUCUCAUGUCCUCAACUUCAGGCUAGGGAAAGCCUUCAUGUGCAGGAACGUUGCUAACUCGAUUCCUGUAUUUAACCAGUUGAGAUACUCAGGAGUUGGUGCAGUCAUUGAAUAUGCAGUCAAGUAUCUUGAGGUGGAGAACAUCCUGGUUGAUUCGUGGAAUCAUGGUGUAUGUCCCGUUGAUUGGUGUUCAAUCAACUGGUGUACUCUGAUUUCAGUUCUCAGACAGGAGUAAUCAACAAAAUUUAUAAACCCAUUUCACCAUAUACUAGGGUAGCAUUAGCUAGCAUAGCAUAGUGGCUCUAGGAUCGUCCAUAGGGAUGGGUUUUCAAAUUACAGCUAAUAUUAGUUCCAAAACUGAAUUGAUGUCUUUUCUUUUCAAGGUUAGCUUUUAAAGAAAACAUAAACUUGUAUGAAAAGAUUGGUUUUAAGUGAAACCAAUAAUAAAGUAACGGAAAUUAAUUACAAAGAAAAGUGCUUCUUGGAGUUUUAGAUCAUUAGGCUCAGGUUCCUUAUACAAAAAGGGAGGUUCCGGACUCUAAAUAGGAAAGAAUGACUCUGGGUCAAAAUGGAAAAUGACUCUGGGUCAAGAACUCUGGGCUCUAAAAAGAAUGACUCUGGGUCAAAUGAAAAAAUGACCCUAGGUCGAGAGCUUUAAGCUCUAGAUGGAAAAGAAAUGAUUCUGGGUCAUAAAUGGAAAACGACUCUGGGUCGAGAGCUCUGAGCUCUAGAUAAAGAAAAUGACUCUGGAUCAUGGACAAGGUGAAUGACUCUAGAUCUAGAAUAGGAUAAAAGAAUCUGGGUCAUGAGCUCAGGGCUCUAAUUGGAAAGAAUGACUCUGGGUCAAGAUGGAAAACAACUCUAGGUCGAGAGCCUUAGGCUCUAACUAGAAAAGAAAUGACUCUGGGUCAUAAAUGGAAAACAACUCUGGGUCGAGAGCUCCAAACUCUAAAAUAGGAAAGAAUGACUCUGGGUCGAAAUGGAAAGUGACUCUGGGUCGAGAGCUCCAAGCUCUAAAAUAGGAAAUAAUGACUCUGGGUCGAAAUGGAAAGUGACUCUGGGUCGAGAGCUCCGGGCUCUAAAUGGAAAGGAAUGACUCUGAGUCAAAAUGGAAAAUGACUCUGGGUCGAGAGCUCCGGGCUCUAAGUAGAUAGCCGAUCAAGAUACUUUCCGACUCAAGGUGUCGGGUCGAGGCCACUCACAAGUGGCUAGAAUGAUGAAAACGAAACAUUUCAGGGAUGUGAAUGAUGCAAAUGACUCCGGGUCGUGAGCUCAGGGCUCGGGGUGCUAUGAAUGACUCUGGGUCAAGAUGGAAAAUGACUCUGGGUCAAUGAAUAGCUCAGGGCUAUGAGCUCCGGGCUCUAUAACUGAUCGACUAGAAGGAGAAUGCGAUACGCAAACUCCAGGUCAAACCACUCAUGGGCGACCAAGUGAUGAAAGCUCAGCUAAGAGCUGGAAAGACUCCGGGUCUAUAGGAAAUGAUAGCUCAAGGCUAGCGGGCUCAGGGCCUAAGGGAAAAAGGAUAGCUCAGGGCUAUAAGACUCAGGGUCUAGAAGGAAUGGAUAGCUCACUACUACAAGGCUCAGGGCCUAAAAAAAAAAAAAGAUAGCUCAGGGCUACUAGGCUCAGGGCCUAAGGGAAAAAGGAUAGCUUAGAGCUAUAAGACUCAGGGUCUAGAAGGAAUGGAUAGCUCAUGGCUACGAGGCUCAGGGCCUAAAAAAAAAAGGAUAGCUCAGGGCUAGCGGGCUCAGGGCCUAAGGGAAAAACGAUAGCUCAGGGUUAUAAGACUCAGGGUCUAAAAGGAAUGGAUAGCUCAUGGCUACGAGGCUCAGGGCCUAAAAAAAGGAUAGCUCAGGGUUAGCGGGCUCAGGGCCUAAGGGAGAGAGGAUAGCUCAAGGCUAUAAGACUCAGGGUCUAGAAGGAAUGGAUAGCUCAUGGCUACGAGGCUCAGGGCCUAAAAAAUGAUAGCUUAGGGCUAGCGGGCUCAGGGCCUAAGGGAGAAAUGAUAGCUCAGGGCUAUAAGACUUAAGGUCUUGAAGGAAUGGAUAGUUCAUGGCUACGAGGCUCAGGGUCUAGAAGGGAAUAAUAAAGAAGACUAACUCGAAAGUGGACAUGAAAUAAAUUGGCUCAAAGCCAUAUACUCAAAAUGUCAAGGGUCGGACUACUGGAACCAAGAAGGAAAAUAUGCCCUAGUAUCCAGGGUGCUCACACUGCUGAAACAACCAAUAAACCAAUCAUCUGCUAGAAUCAAUGGGUUAAGAACCAAUACAUCAUGACAAAACCUCUGAAAAGUCAAAACUGAAAAAGGCCUCUGUGUCUGAAAAACCACUCUGUCGACGAAUCUCAAAAGGUAAACCUCAAAGCGUGUAUAUCGUGGCUCAUCUAAAAGCAAAUCUCAAAGUGCACAAAAUGGUGCUUGUUCGGAUAACCCAAUCGACAAGGUAACAAUGACGAAAAAAAAUAUGUCUCAUGAACAUCUGGCUAAAGGAUCCACCCACGCUCCUCGGGUGAAACCUGAUGCGAUCCAUCUCUAUCUCAACAAAUCCAUGUAGGGAGGCCCUGAUACAGUCGAUCGUCGGAAGCUCUGGGCUAGUACUCAAUCUAAAACCAAGCUGGUCACUAUCUCAAUCUCAAGGAUACUCAGAAAGUAGGGAAAUAUGCCCCAGUAUGAGACCUGAUGUCGAAGUCAUAAGCUAAACAACCGACACCAAUCAUCCAUCCUCAUAUCACUGCCCAAAUAAAUCUCAUGAUGGAGAGGGGAAUAUGCCCCAAUAUGGAUAAUCUAAUGUCGAAGUCGUGAGGUAAACAAACUAACAAUGAUCAUCCAUCUUCGUACCGUAUACAAUAACAAAUAAGAAUCUCGGAGGAAGGAGGGAAAUAUGCCAUAGUGUGGAUAUCUAAUACACAACCAAAGGAUGAAUCCAACAUCAUCAAUCAACUAUCCUCAGCUCAACAAUAAUCUGCUAAGAAGUCAGGAUGAAGUGUCGACCAAUGCCUCAAGGGAGACACUCUAAAUCUAAUCUCAAAUGAAUAGCCAAAAUGAUGAGGAAUGUGGUAAUCUCAAGAGUAGAAACGUGUCCAUUAUGAAACCCUGACUAAGUCUGAUAGGAAUCUAGUAACCUCAAAAUGGGGAAAUAUGUCCCAGUAUGCCAGAUCUAUACACUGCACUGAAAACUGCCUCCAACUCAGUAAUAAUCCACUAGUCUAUCUCAGAAAUACUCUGCGAAUGGAACUACUAGGGGCUCAACGAUGCUCCACUAGAACUGAUAUAAUCCCAACAUACUCCACUAGGGAUCUCUGAUCGGUGAAAAUGCCCAGACUCAAAGAAAGUGCUCCACUAGGGGCUCAUCUCAAUCAAAUGAAAGGGGAAUAUGCCCCAGUAUGGAUAUCCAAUGUACAGUAGAAGCCAGACAACAUCAAAUAUCAUCCAUAAGAUGAAGCAAUCAUCUACAUCCAUCACCAAAUCACCUCCAAGCAUCAAAGAAGCAUCUCCCAGAAGAAGAAACAUGACAACAUCUAUAUAUCAACCAAAUCCCAAACACCAACCUAAGUAGAGGCUAUCAAAGAUAACAUAUGAUCUCAUGGCCUCAGGGUGGUCUUAAGACACGGGACGUAACGUAGGCUAGGGUGAUAGGGUGAAAGAAAUGAAGGGAAACUAGGCUCAAAUACCCAAUGAUCAAACCCAUACCUUCGUGUACAAGAUGUAAUGCAUAGAAAAAUCUCAUGAGCCAUGGACCUAAAGGUAACCAAAGGAAAUGUCUAUGGCGAAAUGAGAGAAAGAUGAGUAGUCAAACCAUCAAUGAAAUAUGUGAAUGAUGUGAAAAAGGUAUCAAAUCAGUAAUGGGUAUCAAUAAGUAGGGAAUCAAUAAAAAGUGGAACGAAGAUCUGGAAAGAGGUAAUGGGAUACAAAAGAAAACAAUGAGAAAGUGGAAUGAGUGAUGAUCAACCCAUGUUAGUACAAUAAAGGAAAGUCAUAUCACCAGUGAUGGAAUGGUGGGUAAGACAAUGAUCCGGAGACCCUAGUAAAAGGUCACUCAUCUCUCAUACCUAAUACAUAUCAACCAUGGUCCAAGAAGCAUAGGAUACCAUAGAACUCUCACAUGAACCCUCAACACUCCAAAUGCAUAACAAGAGUGGCUCAAGGAGUGAAAACUCAUAUAAAAAUCUCACAAGAACCCACAGUGACAAAUAUACCCAGUAAACAGACCUCAAAAGGUGAUAUAAGUGCCCAAUGGAGCAAGAUACCAUACAUAAACAUGUCAUUGCGCUUUUUCUCUUUUUUUUCUUCUUUUUUUGUUUCUUUUUUUUUGUUUCUUUUUUUUCUUUUUUCCCUUUUUGUUUUUGUUUUUUUUUUUUGUUUUUUUUUUUUUUUUUUAGCGCAUGCUCUGAUCAUCAAUAAGUCAAACUCCAAUGGGAAAGAUACAAGAAAUGAAUAAACUCUCUCAAAUCACUGAUGAAUACAUGAACCCCAACCCAUGAGACAAUCUCUCAAACUAAAAUCUCCGAAUCAAUGCCAAAUGAUGGGAUGGAUGGAGUGAUAUGACUGCCCUCUUUGCACUAAGAUGUGAAGAAUCAUCAGCCCAAGAAAGAGAAGAGAUAAAAUGAAGCAAAUAAUGAUAAAAGCAAGAAAGAGAAUGGAAAUGUGAUGAUAGCAAAAUAGAACAAACAGGAUGAUAAGGAGAUGAUGACAAGAAUGAGAAGAUAGGCCUAUAAGUCUAAAGCUCAUGAGACUUUCAUAGCAAAGCAUGCAUAUACACCAAAGGGUCCCAACCCGGGUGUAGAAAUGGUAAUCAAGGCUAUAAAAAAGAAAUAAGGCUAUAACAUACCAUGUGAGGCUCAAUGGGCUAGCAAUGGUUUAUUAUAUCAAUAAAGAUGAUAAGGUGUAAGGCUAACCGAAAUGAUGGCCACCCAUCCUGCGACCAUGGUCUCAAAUGUGAUAUUUCUUCAACUAAUCCACAUUGGUGGGGUUUGAGAACUGGUAUCUAUCCAGAUAUGUCAAUCAUAUUUCCUCUCUGGGGUCAACUCUCUAAUGACAAGUGGUGUACUCUAAGUAAGUCCCUAGGGUCUCCUGGAAUAGAUGAAUCUCCAUGACCAUAACUGGGCUAAUAUCGUCCUCAAACAUAUCAUCAACAUAAGCGGGAUGCCCCAAUAUAAAUAAACUGAAUCUCUUCUAAACUCUCAACAAUGAAGAUCUCAAGCAUAUCAAGAGAGUGAACUAUCUCUGGCUAAUAUGUGCCAAGCAUCCAACUAUCAUCCAACACAUCCAUCUCAUGCUCGUCAUGAAGAAAAUCAUGUCAAUCAAAUCUCCCAUCUGAGAAAAACUAAAGUCCUCUACAAGAACUCUCAUCUGAUAAACUUUGAAUCAAUAUCCACUAAACUCAUCAUAUGUACGAAGUCACCCUCAACAAUGUCACUGGCUAACUGGGUGGUGGGGGUGGGUGGUAAUGAAUCAUACGACAUCUCAUCCUAAACUGGAUGCUAUCUAUCUCACUAUCCAUUAAUCCUCUAGCUCAAACCUGCUAAUGUCUCUUGAAUAGAGUCAUGGUGACUGUAAUUCGAUCAACUAUAACAUGCUGAAGAUCCAUACCUGAUUGCUUUGAAACCCUAAUCAAUUUAUCUCCAACUCUGAUCUAAGAAGUCAAAUCUGAACUGAAGCGAAUAACCCUCCUAUAAGGUACAAAGGCACGAAAAGAUAAAUGACAUGAAGGAAACUCAGAAAAGGUGGAGACACACUAAUCACUAAGCAAAAAGGUGGCCCAAUUGAAACUCAAAUAUGUACCAAUCUCUGAGCACACCAAAAGGAGACCAUGAGAGGAUAACUGAACCCAAUUGUGACCAAGGCAGCUCUGAAGUUCCACAGAUGCACCCACGUGUAGGAAUGAAAUCUUAAUUGGGUCUAGGCUAACCUACAAGGUUAAGGCAGCUCUAUAAGAUAAAAUGGGUGGGUCAAAGGAUCCCUAGUAGAAGCGAUCGUACCCUCCAGCAGUACGCAACCCUCUGCACACCUCCAAGGAGACGGGGUGCUUCCAUGCAAGGUGGUCAUCACCUCCACACAUGCACUUCCUCGCGUUCCCAGGGGGUUUCUUAAGGGUGAAGGCUCUCCCAUCUCUCAACACUCAGGGAUAAUCUAAAGUGCACAAUAAAGGAUGUGGGUGCAUCCGAAAAACCUAAGGUCUAAAGUGAGAGAGUGAACAAAGACAAGCGAUCAUACGAUCAUGCAAGAGAAAGGGUUGUCAUGCAACAAACAGUCAUACCAAGUAGAUGAAUAUCAUACAAUCAAAGUCCUAUCUAGCAUAUGUGAGAGUGAAUCAUGCUGAAGUGAGCAAACAAUCAAGUGACCAUCCAAGGCAAUCAAACAUGUCAAGAUAGUAGACCAAACAAGCAAAUCGAAUCACCUUGCCUAGGAAAAGGGGGUACCCUCUAAUCGACCAAUUAAACGCCACAUUUUCCUUAACUAGUGUUCAAGCUUGAUCCUCAAAAUCCCCCGUGGAGUCGCCAAUUUGUGGACCCGCAUUUUUCACGUGCGUCCCCACUCAAUCGGCGAGACUCGCUUUUUUUUAUUUGUGAAAAUUUUGAUUUUUGGAAAAAAAGUUGGAGUCGCCGCUUAUUUUAUUUUAUUUUUAAAAGGGAAAAUAAAACAAGAAAUAAAACCCUAAAAAAUGACUCCAUAAUUUUUGGAAAAGCGUGUCUUUGAAAAACCCGAGUCUAAGUUCGGGGAUCAGGUUACUUAUUGGGAAGGUACCUCUAGGAGGUAGCACCCCUCUAAGCCCUAAAAGGUCUCUACUAACUAAGUUGAGGGAAACGUGGCAAUUAAAUGGUUAAUCAUGGAUACUUAAGUGAGCUAGGGUGAUUUCAAAAAAUUGCAUGCUAAACAAGAUAAGAUCACAAUAAAGGAGAGUUAGGGUGCGUACCUGAACCGCUUCUUGAGCGCUAUUAUAAAACAUCAAUGCUUAGUUUAGAUGAUAUAUCUCACAAAGUGUUUUAUCCAAGCAAAUCAAGCAUAUAUCAAAACACCCAAGAAUCGCAUCAUGUAUGGAUAUAGUCAUCAGUAACAUAUGUGUCUAUAGAAUUCUCAAAAACAGGUGUGAAGGAGCGUACCUGGAUAGCAAGCUAAAACGCCUCUAUGGGAAACAAGAUUGCUUAAUGAUAGGUGCAAAAUAAUCUCACGUAUCUCAAAGAGAAAGCACAAUUAAUCAAAUGUCGGACAAACACUAUCGAAGAAGAUAUCAUGAAUGUCGGGCCCUCUCCAAAGCCCUAAUCAAUUUUGCAUGAGUUGAUUCUAUGAAUUCCAUUGUUUGGAAUCAUGAAAGUUAUUCAUGCUUGUUGAAAAUCGAGAAAAUCAUUAAAAUAGCUAAAAAUCAAAUAAAAUAGUGAAAACGCAUGCCGGAAGGAAAAUGACAGCAAAAGAUUUGUUGAAAUCUGGAUUUUAAACCUAGAAACUCCUAAAGGAGCUUAACGAAAACUAGAGUUAUUUUGACGGAAAAUGGUUUUGAAAUCUAAAUUUAAAAUGUAUAAGAUCACAAAAAGAAGAAAAAGAAACAUUAGAAAGAGUAUGAUGUGUGGCAAGGCGACCAAGCUGGAUUAGUGUCUAGGCUGCUUUUGAGAUGUCAGCCUUUGAAUGAACAGCUUCAACAGUAGCAGCAAACUUUCCCAGAUUUGAUGCACCAGAUCUCUUCACCAUUGGCAUGUCAUCUUGACAAAGCUGGCUAUAUAUUGCUAUUCUGAAGUAGAUGACGUAUUCUGGAAAACUGUGCUUGUCAACUGGAUUAAUUUCUCACGACAUUCAGAGGAACCACGUACUUCUUCAUUUGAACCUUCCCACCAAGCAUUUAAUUGAAUUCUGGAUUCUCAUAUUACCAAUAGGAUAAACAAACUAAUUCCUAUAGCUUCACUUACAAGAUCGUAAAUACCUUGCUGCCAUGUGUUCAAUAUUAGUCUUGUUUCUAUCUUUUAGAGCAUAUAUAUAAGGACAUGCUUUAGGAAGUCCUGCAUUAUUUGCAUUUCGCUUAGCUUCUUGCUCAGUAAUUCAAUCUGAAUAUGGGGUCGAGGCAUCUAGGAUGCAAAGAUGACUAUGGAUUGUGCAUUUGCUUGUUUGUCCUCUUAUCGUUUUCUGAAUCAAAUUAUCUGUUGUUGUGUCCCCUGAAGUUGUAGCCUCAUCCAACAAUCUCUCAAAAAGCAUAAACACCAGAUUCUACAGCUGUGCUGUUCUCAGAUUGCAUCAGCAAUACAAGGGGUUUUAUGCACUCAAAGGCCAUUGGUGAAGCUCGAAUUUUCGGAAUAUUUAAACAAAGCAAAGCAGAGUUGUGCAACAUUUCUCUUUUGAUCUGAGGAUGAAGUAGAAAAUGACAAAAUUUUGCAAAGACUCUCAAGGGGAUUCCCAUCCACGUCCGUCAUCAAAGAUGCUUUUUGAUGAAUUUCCCAUAGUCAACUUGAUUAAGACAACGAGAGUAGCCUGUUGCUCACUCUUCAUUUCACCGGGAGAAGUGUUAGGAUCUUCCAACUGAAUUCCUUUAUCAAGAAAACCUGAUUCAGCUUCUUAAGGGAUCUCAUCUUCAGAAUAAGGCGGAUCCGUAGAGUCAAAUCUCUCAGGACCUUUACUAGAACUGCCUGAUGUGAUAUGUUGCUCAAAUUCGGUAACUGAUACUUUCUCUGUAGCCAUGGUAGCCAACUAAUCAUUCUUACUACUGAGAUUUACCGGAAGAAUUAAAACUCUAGUGAGAGACGAACUGCUGGAAACUGAGCUACUGGGGACAGUCUCAUGAAAUUCCAACUGUCCCUUACGAACUGUUACAGGAUGAGACGCGCAGAACUCGGUUGCACCUCCAAGAUAAACCUUAUUAGAAACACCCCACUUUCUAGACCAUUACUAAUCUGAAUUGUCUCUUUAGCCACUGUUUCUCUUUCACCUUUCUUCUUAUCCUUAAGUCUAUUUUUGAAAGUUCAUGGGGAAUUCGUCUUCAUUUGGCUGUCCCAUUAUUCCACUCUGACCAGGAACCUGAAAAUCUGCCCUGCUAUCCAUUCUUACACGCAUGCUCAGGAGUGGCUUAGAGAUCCAUGCUGAGAAAUAGAAAGCUUCAAUUACGCCAAUGAAGAACAUGGAGCCAAUUAUAGAGGAGACAUUCUGGUGUCAGCACAGUACAGCAACCAGAGACAUUAGGCAGGUGGUGAUUGACAUUAUAAUUAUAACUGCCAAGCCAAAUACGUUACCUAAGCAGUUCAUGUUUCUAAAACCAAAAGCAACAGCCAAGCAUGACAGUACUAAGAUCCAGUUCCAAGUACUGAUCCAAAAGUAGUGACUUAUUGAUGCCGUUUCGAAUGUAUGGAACGCUCUCAAGAGAAAACUAUAUCCAUAGGUUAGGGUACCGAAACCUGUGCUAGGUGGUACUAUCAGCUUGGAGGAAGCCUUCUGUGGCUGCUUGAAUUCUUUCUACACCUUCCGGCUUUUCUGAACCUUUCCAAGACUAAGAACCUUUCCUUUCAAGCCCAAGGGUUCCCUUUGAAUUUCUCCUUUGCUUUUUCUAGGUGACAUGACUGGGACUUCAGAAUUGGAUUGAAUAAUAGAUGGGCACGUAGAAUGUGUAUUGAUACCAGCAUUUUUGUUCAAAGGGUCCUGCUCAUAUGAUUUCAGUUCUUUGUUUCCUGGAGCUAAGCAUGCAUCGACUACCUUCUAUCCAGGUUCUGGCCCAAAUGCCACGCUGCCUCUUGAAUUGAGCUUUGGUAAGAAGAUUCACAAUGCCAGAUUCAGUAGUAUUCCUCGCUGAGAAUUUUUGCCAGGUAGGAUCUGGACAUCAAGAGGACAUUGGUGUAAUCCAUGAAUUGAAUAUGACCGGGACAUUUGAAACAAAGUGAAGCUCUUUGUGGCGAGACUGAAUUUGGAUCCCUUAGUAUAGGGAUUCAGUGUGGAGAUUCGGCGUUGACUUUUCUGAAGACAAUGGACUGAUGAGCUCGAUGAAUUGGUUUUCAUAAGCAUUUGUAGAAUGGGAAUGUCUUCAGCUACAACCAUGGCUUGGGACUUGGCAAUAUCUAUUGGCGUGAUUGACCAUGAAUGUUUUAACUAGCAUAAGAAGUCCAAGACAGAUUCUUGAACAGCAUCACUUCCAGACUCAAACGCCCCUACCAAAUGGGGGGAAUGCACAAGGUAGUUGCUUCAGAAAUAUGGAGCUUAUAAAAAUUGGCAAAUAUUAUAUUUAUAGUUCUCAGGACCUCUUCGUUGAUGGUUGAUGUAGACCACAACUCCUCUAAUGCAGCUGUCAAUAAUCUGAUGAGCUCAUCUGACACGUAUUCUUGAAGCAUGUGAUUGGAAUAUAAAAAUUUGAUCAGCAAUGAUGCCUACGCAGCAACAUCUGAAUAAGGAGAAAGUAAUGGUUCUUGAACUACCGAUAUGCCACCUGCUUCAGCAAUAGCUCGAUUAAUAAUUCUACUGCACAUCGCAAAGUUCUGUAAUGCCCAAAUUGCCACCAUUUUAAUUUCUUCUGUCAGAUGAUCUUCAAGCAAGCUUAUCAGUGUACGACAUGCUGAUACAGAAUCAUCAAGGGCAAGAGUUGCGAGGGACCUAACAUAUUUUGGAUCUGUACUAAAACAAUAGCUGAAAGACUGUGUCAGAUGAUUUAACACCAAGUUGGACAGUUUGGCGUAUGUAUAUGUCUCGGGAGGCCUGAUCAAGGGUGGAUCAGGCAGCGGGACUCACGGGAGAUCCAAAUUCCUUCUAGAAAAGCCUCACCUCUUAGAGAACACAAAACACUGGUGAUAAUCUCAUAACACUGUUCAAGCUAAGCAAGUGCAUGUUCUCGAAUUUCUGCAUCAAGUCGCUCAUUGGAAGCAUCACUUACAGGGACGAGCUCGUGUCUUUUUGUAGUGGUAAGCGAACCACAACUUCAUGAAAUCUCAAGUCCUCAAACCUUUUGCAAACUGCUCACAAAUCUGCAGGUUCUGGAACUUUAUUCAAGAGAUUGAAGGCCUCUCUAGCAAGGUUUUCCUUCUCUUUGGUGUCAAAAGUUACAACAGCUCUCUCAAGAAACUCCACAGCUAAGUAAAGUUUGUGAUCAGUCUCCUUGUAAUAGCCUAGCAAACCCUCUCACAAUCUUGCGCUAAUAUCAUCAACAGUUUUCUUGUCAUUAGGACCAAUGUAAUACUCCAUUAAGGGAGAUAUUAACCUAGUAGCAAGCCGAUCAUCUUCCUCGGAACAAACAGGUUGGGGGAGUGUUAAUUGAACUAAUUCUUGUCGUAGAUUAACAUCGAAACCCUGAACCAAGCGUGUCGCAUGAUGCUGACAAAAAAGUUGGAGCAAAAAAUAGAGCUUCAACAGAUCUAAGAAAUAACUGCCUAAAACAUUCCAUGACCCUCACCUCCAUAGCAGUCACUUCUGCAGGACUGAAUGGGAGCCGCUGCCUUUUAUUUAACCUUCUUCCAUCUCCAGGUUCAAUACCCUGAGAGUAAGCACCAAAUAAGUUUCUAACCCUACUAUUGUCACUAGCACCCAAGUGUGAACCGUGGACUGAUCUCUUGUUGCAGGCACUCAGUGGGUUCCAGUAUAGAGAUGACCUGAUGCUCUUUUUCAAGUAUCCCGAUUCACCACAGGCCAUAAUUUCAUGAAACGUAGAAUCCAAAGAAAGUAACAGAACCACAUCUAGCCUUUGCUCAAAGAGAACCAACACUUCAUCAUAAAACCCAAUUGAUCCAAAACAGGAAGAUAAGGAAUUAAUCAAAUCAAAUCUCUGGACAUUUCUUCAAACACACCGUAAGCACCUCAAAUAGAUUCAAAUACCGUAUAGGAAGAGGGAUAGAGAACAAAUAAAAAAAAGAUGUAAAACCCGGAGAAGAAGAGAGUGUAAGACUUUGGUCAAUAAACAGAAAUAGCUCCACUUCAAAUAUUGAAUCCGUGGGCUAAGGACAGAGAGCAAAAUGCAGAAUGGGAUUUAAACAAAAAAGAACAUGAUAAAAUUCAGGCAUGGAGUCAUGAAUUUCAGACGACAUCAAUGACACAUAAGAGAAUCAGAAUCCAAAACAGGGCAAACAAGUGAGUAACCAAUCUCAACAAAUCAAUUUGUGGCCCUUUUCGUCCACACCAAUCAACAGUAUAUUAAAUAUUCAGAAACAAACGCACGGAGAAAUUGAAUAUGGGUAAGAAUUCCAAGAGUGGCGAGAAUCAUACCUGGGCAGCCUUGGUUGCAAUUGCUCUCUUCUCCAAUUCCUUUGUGCUUCUCCUCAAGACGAUCCCUGAAUCUCCUAUCUUCCAGCCCCCCAAAAAAAAUCCUCAAAUCUGCUCCCAAUCCUCCAACGCGUGCUCUGCCCCCAAGAAAAAUCCUCCUUUUCUCUUUUCCUUUUCUCACCUAUAUAUAUCACCCCUCAAGACCUAAAUUUCUUUCCAAAAAGGAAAAUUCUCCUAUUUCCUUUCUUCUUUUCUUCCUUUUUUAAAUCUUUCAAUCAAAAGCAAUCUUCUCAAUUUCAAAUUCCCCUCCAAAACCUUCCAAGGAGAGUCCCACCUUCCUUAAACUCCAAUGGUAAGUUUCCUUGCAAAAACAUGAAAUUCUUGAAGUUAAAUCAUUGAAUGAAUAAAUAAGCAAGUAAAUAAAUUAGGAAAUGGUAAAAAUAAAUAAAUAAAUAAAUAAAAAUAAAUAAUAAAUAAGUUAAGGAAAAUAAUAUAAAGAGGAAAAUAACUAAUAAAAAGUGAAUGAUAAUCAUAAAACUAAAACUAAAAUAAAAUAAAAUAAAAUAAAUAAAAUAAAAUAAAAAUAAACCAAUAAACAAAAAGUCGAGCCCAAAAGCCAUGUAACCAUGCAAGUCAUACAAGUCACGCUAAAAAUGUCCAAAUGGGCCAAGUGUAUCUAAAAGUUAUCCUAAAAAAAACAAGAAAAACCUAAGUCUAAAUUAGGGCUGCCAAGGGUCACAAUAAGGGGUUAGAUAAUCCUUCAACCAAAGUCUCCGAGGUGGCUCAAAAAAAGGUAAGUAGUAUGAGUAGUUAUGGGCCACCAAGGAACUAUUUUGAAGCACUAAAAACGAACUUAAAGUCAUGUGCUAAAGGGACAAAAUUGAGGGUCUACAAGAGGCUCGGCAGAAAUGAACAUAUCUCCCAUAGACUGCACCACGAUGACCUAGCCAUCAUGAAUAAACUUCACCUUCUAAUGAAGGGAAGAAGGAAUGGCCCUGGCUCUGUGGAUCCAAGGUCGGCCCAAAAUCAAGUUAAAUGAUGUAAGAAUCCUCAAAGCCUAGAAUACAGUAACGAAAGUGGCCGAACCUAUCAGCAACUCGAUCUCUAGAAUGCCUAUAACCUCCCUCCGAGUGCUGUCAUAAGCUCGAACUGUCUGAGUUUAGGGAUCAAAAUCAGAAGGUGCAUCGCCGAGGGCAAUGGCGGUGGCCAGAGAACAGACAUUCAGGGCCGAGCCAUUGUUCAGAACGACAGAUGGGACUUGGCUGCCCAAACAACCGACAGAUAUGUAGAGUGGACGUGUGUGGUCCGAACCCUCUGGUGGCAAGUCAUCAUCGGAGAAUACGAUGCAUGUGGCUCUGCCAGUCGUCAUCAUAUGAAUCAAUCCCUCAGGAGAGGUACUAGUCUUGACUCUAAUUUGGCUCAAGGCUAGAAUCAAUGCAUCUCGGUGAGUGCUCGAGGAUGCUAACAAGCUCCAGAUAGAGAUGUGAGCAUGUGUGCUCUGUAGCUGCCUCAGAAUCUCAUCCUCUCUCCUGACCUCUUCGAGAACAGAUGUACCCUCAACUGGUCUGGUUGUUGUGGGAGGCGGUUAUCGUAACACUCUACCUCCUCAGAGAAUAUACUGAACAUUUGGAGUCUGAAAAACAUCAAUAUGUGGAGCCUAAACCUCCUCAACAUCUGGGAUCAAGAUGAAUGGUGUCUAGACACUAUAAUGUGUGAAAGUCAGAGGCUCAAUAGUGGCAGUCUGUACUGAUGCUACCUUGGGAAAUAGUUGGAAUAGAGCGAGCAUCCGAGGCCCAAAGUCGCUCCGUCCAUCUCAUAAAUCCCAUCUGACACUACGGGCUCUGGCUUAGUGUCAUCCCAGCUCAACAUAUGGAUAUGAUCGUCAAGAUUAGAGAACUCCAGGAAAUGUAUGCCAUCGGUCGGUGGGGGGACCUCAUGUGUAGUGUGGGCACGUAAUAGGUUUGUGGUUACACUCGACUGACCCGAAUGUACCAAACCGUGGUCGAUCAAAUCCUGGAUGGCAUGUCUGAGAGCGGUACAGCGAUCGGUCUCAUGUCUAGGUCCUUAAUGGUAUGCAUAGUGCAGAUCCAUCCUGAACUAAGGUGGAAUCAACUGAGAUAGUGGCCUGGGAGUGAGAGCAGUCAAUAACCCAGCCUCUGUAAGCUUCUGAAGAGCCUGGCUCAACGGCAUGCCUAACUAUGAAAAUUAUCUCUGCUUCCUCAAAACAAAAGGAGCAGAGGUUUGUUGGGCUCUAGGCUUGGGAUGGGAAAAUGUAGGUCUCGUGGCGAACUGUGCCACAUAACAUGGUUGUCUUGUGGCCAAAUAUGAAACAGGAGGUCUCUCCGUGCCCUAGGUGGCAUAUUAAGGCAAAGCUAGUGUCUGAGGCAUGUAAGUCUAAUCAUAAGUUGAACGAAGUACCCGUGGCCUGUACUGAUGAGGUGGAUAUGAAGAAUGAGCCUCGGGAAGUUGUGGGACUAGCUGAUAACGCAUGGGAGGUCUUUGACUGGAAGAACUAAUGGCACUCACAUCCACUAACCUCUGUCCCCGGAAGGGCUUCUUCCCCUUAACAUCACUAGGAGAAGAAUUUGUCCACAAUCCUCUCAAGAUGCCAUCCUCGAUAUCAUACAAAGCCAAAACCAGAGAACCAAAAUCUAUGAAUGGUACCCCAACUACAUGCCUGGCAAUCCUGGGUUGUAAACUCCUCAGAACCAUCUGUAUCUAAUCCCUCUCUGAAGGCCUGUCAAUGAUCUCGACAAUCUUCCUGCACCAGCGGGAGAUGAAUGAUGAAAUAGACUCGUCUAUCCUCUGUCUGAAAGCCUCGAGCUCUCUUCCCGAUACAUCUACAACAGUGUUAAAUGAAAAUUGUCGUAAAAACUCCUAGGCCAAGUCGUCCCAUGUCCGAUGUCUCGAGGACUCUAAAGAAACAAACCAUCGUUGGGCCGCCCCACUCAGAGAUAGUGGGAAUAAAGUGAUCAUCUGGGACUUGUCCAAACCAUGGGCUCUCAUCACCGUGCUAUAGAGUCAAAGGAAGAUGUGAAUGCAACCAAUGCCCGUGUAUCUCUCUAUGUUAAGCAUCCUGAAAUUAACCGGUAAACUAGCCACCGGCAUACCCUCAAGAUCAUCCCAAACAGCUAAUCCAUUAGACACUCUCAACUGCCUCAUGCGCUACUCAAUAUGGUCCAUACGUGCAUGAGCAUCAUCAAUGAUUGUGGUCUGAACAAUUGUAGGUGAAGCAACCUCAGAAUGCCCAUGCAAUACAUAAGGUGGGGCCUCAGGCACUAUCGAAACAAGUGGUGGCGGUGGAGGUGGCAACGAAUCAUAAAGUGUCUCAUCCUGAACUAUAGGUGGUCUGCUCUGCUAGCUGCCCAUCUCCUGCCUGAGACUAGCCAAAGCCUUCUAGAUAGAAGCCAUGGCAGCCGUAAACUGAUCAACUAUGACGACUUGCUGAUCCAUACUCGAUCUCUCUGAAAACCGAACCAAUCUCCCCUCUACUCUUAUCCAAGAAAGUAAACCCAGGCUGAGAACAAAGAUCUGAUCCUGUAAAGCAUGAAGAAAUGAAUGAGGACAUGGCCUGGGGAAAGCAUGGAAGAAAUGAUGAUCUGAACAGAAACAAGCAAGAUAUCCAAGUGAAGGUGGACUGUCCGACCAUACUCAAACUCAUACUGAUCUCUCUGUACUCUCAACUGGAGACUAAAGAAGGAGUAUCGGAAUCCAAACUAUGACUACAGAGGCUCUGAAGGCCCUCAGAUGCACCCACGUGUAGGAAGGAGUCCUAAUCGAAGGAUUUACGGCUCAACCUACAAGGUCGAGGUGUCUUUAAAAUGAUAAGGGUGGACUUUAAAAGAUCCCUAGCAGAAACGAUCAUACCCUCCAGCGGUACGCAACCUUCUGCACGCCUCCGAAGAGACGGGGCGCUUCCAUGCAAGGUGGUCAUCACCUCCACACAUGCACUACCUCGACAUCCCAAGGGGUUUCCUAGGGUGAAACCUCUCAAACUCUCAACUCUCAAUAGUUAACUAGAGUGCACAGUUAGCGGUGUGGGUGCAUUCGAAAACCCUAGGAAGCUAAAGCGGAAAGAUGAAACACAUUGGCCACACAAAUAUCCAUGAAACCUAGGUCCGAGCUAUACAGGUCUUCAAUGAUCGGACUCCAAUCGACAUUAGUGUGUCGGACACCUCCUGAAUGCUCCUAAACAUCAGUAUAGCCCGUCGCUAGACCCUACUCCUAAUCUUUGGCUCAGUAAGAGAACAAGCACACAGAAGGCCUCACACUUGCAAUAGUGAGAACUGGAAUGAAGGGAAUGACUGAAACCAAGAGAGUUGGAGGUAAGGGGAUAGAUGUGCGACCCACAUGAACAAGCGCCAUGCAAUCAUGCAGAGGGAGGGCAGUCAUGCAACAUACAAUCAAGCAAAGGGAAGGCAGUCAUGCAACAUACAAUCAAGCAAAGUAUAGGUAUAUCACCAUGUCCACACACAAGAUAUGACAAUCAAGAUGAAUAGUGAUACAGAUGUCAUGCUCGAAGACGAUCAAGAUAAUAUACAGGCAUGAGAAUCAACCCAUCAAGUCAAAUGAUAUACAACAAUGAAUCUAUACAUGCGAGGUGAUCAAAACAAUCAUGGAAAAAUCAAAGUCGAUAUGAUAAGCAAGGUAAGAUAAUCAAUCAACAACAAUCCAACAUGUCAAUGUCUCAAACAAAUAUAGCAAUGAAGCAUAGAAAAAAACACGACAUUGAAAGCCCCAAUCAAGAUAAUCAAUCAUAUCAAUGUCCCAAUACAAUAUCCAAGCAUGCAUAAAAAACUCUCAAUGUGCAAUCAAGAGAUAGGCAUCCACUGAUCAACCAAUCAAAUGCCACAUUUGCUUCAUCCUAAGUUCAAGCUUAACCCUCCAAACUAUUCCCAGUGGAGUCACCAUUUUGUAGUCCCCGUAUUUCGGCUCAUGCGCUUCCACUCGAUGGCGAGCUCGAUUUUUAUUUGAAAAUGAUUUUAUUUAUUAAGAAAAUGAUAAAUAGUCACACUUAGGGUUUUUCUUUCUUAUUUUGUUUACCUUUUAAAAAUAAAACAAAAAUAAGUGGCGACUCCAAGUCAUUUUCUUAAUAAAUAAAAUUAUUUUCAAAUAAAAAUCAAGUUCGCCAUCGAGUGGAAGUGCAUGAGUCAAAAUGCGGGGUCCACAAUAUUAGAAUGUCCUAUAAGCCAAAUAUCAUUAAGUGAAAUUUCUCAAGUAUUUAAGACAUUUGAAUUCCUAUUAGUCGUUUAGUAUAGACUCAUCAUCAAACUCAACUAUUAUAGGUUUUUUAAAAUACCUAAUUUAUAUAUAUAUAUAUAUAUAUAUAUAUAUUCAUAUAUACAUAUAGAGAGAGAGAGAAAGAAAAAGAGAGAGAAAGAGAGAGUAGCUUGCAAGCUAACUAAGAGUUACAAUGAUGUUAUAAAACCUUCUUUUGUGUUUGAAACAAUCUCUUUUAUAGAAUUUAUUUUAUCAUAGUCUUUGUGAAACCGCUUUUAUUUUAUAUCUAUUAUCCACUAAAAUAACGAACUUGAUAACAUUAUUAUUGACGAACAAAAUCACGUACUUAAAAAUGGCUAAUUUUGAACUCUCCAAUAUACAAGAGAGGGUUUAACCAAUGAGGUGUGGCUAUUAUCUUUAGGUAUUCAUGAACCUCCUUUUACCUUAAUAUGAGUUUAUUGCUUCGAUGAAUUAGUUUGUUUGGGUAAGAAAUUUGAAUAUGAUCCUUAAUUUUUAUUAGACAUGCUUUUUUUUUCUUCUUUUAUUCAUCCCUUAACAAGUAAUGUUAGACAUUUCUCACAACUUUUACUUGCUAAAAAAUAUCAGGAAAAGAUGUUUUAGCUUGUAUAAGUUAUUUUGAAAAAAUAUAAUUGUAAACAUCUUUACUUACUUUAUUUUGAUUUCGACUCAAGAUAUCCACCUUCAAAAGAUAUGUAAAAUUUAGUAUUGUACGUCUAGGGGUGUACUGCUUUCAAUUAUUUUCAUAUGUUUUUAUUUAUUUUUAUUUUUUAUUAUUUAUUUAAUUUUUUUAUUAUGGUAAACAAAAAAUUCUAACUUUAUAUAUAUAUUUGUAUAAUAUUUUGCAUACACACUUGUGCAAACCAAGCGCAAACAUGGUGGUGUCUACUUAUAUUCAAGAACAUCUAAGGUUGGAAACUUAUCCAAAACUAACCAAGUUCAAAACAAUGUAACUAGUGUACAGAGUUACAAUGUUGCAGUGUGAUUACUACUCAAAAAGUGUUAUUUGAUAGCUUGUAAUUAACUCUUUUAAACACUUUUGAGUAGUAGUUAUCACCUUUUAACCCAAUCAACAUAUUAAGGACCCUUGCAAUCAAUUCUAAUCAAAUUGUGUUAAGUUUUGGUGUUUUGAUAGCUUUUUGAUCACCAAAGCAAUCCGAGAUUGAGGAGAGUUCUUUGGAAUCCAUGGCAAAGCAAUGGAAAGCUCAGAAACAUGAAUAACCGAAGCUUUGAAGUCCUUUUCCAUAAGCAAAUCCGGAAUGCAAGGAGUAUGGGCGUCCGGACACACCAUCGGAGGACGGCGGAACGUGGGCUGUGGUAGGCUGUCGGAAUGACGUAGCAAGGCUUGUGCACUUUAGUUAAUGAUCCGGACAACAUAUCCGGAUAGGAUAUGCUAUCGUCCGGGUGUGAUGAUCAUGAGUGUCGUGUGCUUCUCCCUGAGGGAGUCCGGAUAGGGGAGUGCGCCACGUGUCCUCUUGAGGAAUCCGGAUGAAAUUGCUCCGGAAAGCGAUGCGCACUCCGUGUCAUCAAGGGGAGGGGUCCCUACACCAUGCACACGUAGACGGUCCCCCUUGCGACGUUCCACCUUCUCCGGAUUUCUCACAUUCGGAAUUCUGUCCAGGUGACGUUCCACCUUCUCCGGAUAUUUCAUAUCCGGUGCCUGACGCCAGAUGGGAGAGGAGGGCAUUUCAACUUCCCCGGUCAGACAUAUCCGGAUCCUCUGAUAGCGCUUACCCGGAGAGUUUUGCAGCCAUUUUGCACAGUGCCGCAGUUUUCUCCUAAAGCUUCCCGAUAUGUGCGACCGACAUUUUGAGAUAUUUUUCUUUAGAUAUUUGAUGUCUAAAUCCCCAAAGUCUCCUUGUAAACCACCUAUCAUAGGAUUCCUUAGUCUUUAAGCAAGAACAAAGGGUGAAUAACCUCUUAUAUAUAGAAUCAUGUAAUCGGUGGAAAAGAUAAUAAUCGAAUCUCGGGAGCUUGUUCUUGGAGACAACCUUUUGUAUAAGGAAGAAAUAUAUUUUACAGAGCACUUGCUCUGUUUUUCCUAUAUAUUUUUGUUUUCUCGUUAGUUUUCUUUCUAGCCAAUCAAACUCUGAGGAUUUUUCCUCAAAGGAUGAGAGGCUAGGCUCUUCGUCUCUUGGAGUGAAGAAAUCUGGGUGAGUUUCCUCAUGCAUAAAUUGGAAGUUUUGUUGUUUUAGUGCUUAAUGAAGAGAAAGUGUGACCCGUUAAUGGUUUUUAUCUUUUUAGUUAACUUAAAACACCUUUAAAUCACCUAGGCCAACACUUGGUAAGGCAAGUAGUCUCCAUCCAUUGAGAUACACUAGUUUAUCUCUUGCGAGCCUUUGGGAGGUGGUUUGAAGGUAGGAUUUUCUAGAAUAGCCAACACUUGGUAAGCUUUUGGACUCUAAGGAGACAUCCAUUAGUUAUCUCUUGCGAGCUUUUGACGGGUAAUCCAAGGUUAAAGAUCACCUUGAAUGGCAAAUGCUAGGUGAGAGGCACGAGCCAUUGCAAGAUGCAUCAGUGAAAGGGAUUUAGUGUUUGAACCCAUUAAGGGGAAGCAUCUGUAUCACACCGGUUAGAGAAUUAACUAUAUGUUAAUUCUCUAAUGCGAGGAAAAGAAACAAGUGACCGGAACUCUUUUUUUUUUUUAUGAGGAACCUGAGCCUAGUGAUCUAAACUCCAAGAAACACUUUUCUUUGUAAUUAAAAUCAGCUAUUAUUUUUUGUUAGCUUAAAACCAAUCCUUUUUCAAACAUCGUUAUGUUUUCUUUUAAAGCUAACCUUGAAAUGAAAAGGCACCAAUUCAUCUUUGAAUUAAUAUCAAUUGUGAAGUGAAAACCCAUCCCAGUGAACGACCCUAGAGCCACUAUGCUAUGCUAGCUAAGGCUAUCCUAGUACAUGGUGUAAUAGGUUAUAAAUUUUGUUGAUUACUCCCUGAGGGCCAAAAUCAAGGGACACCAGCUGGACAUGAAUCAGUUGAGACACCAAUUGGGAACGAAACACAGUGGUAGUGGCAAUAGUGCAAAGAGCAAUGGAAGAGUAUAGGGAGCAGAGUAAUCAGCAGUGUGGUUUGAGGCUCUAAGGGGUUUUGAAUUUGUAAGCAGAGUCUACUGGGACUCUCCUAUAAAACGGCCAAUAAAAAUAAUUAAAGCUAAAUGGUUAUAAAUUAAAUAGGGUUGAAUAACCAUAAGUUAAAUAUAAAAUAAUUUUAGUAGAGUAGGAUGUUGUAGUGGCAAUGGCAAACAAGGGACUGCAUUGGCGAACAAUGGACUACGUACAUUGGUGAACAAAGUUACAAUGUUGCGAUGGUAGUGGUAAUAAUGCAAAAAGCAAUUGGAAAGAAGAGGGGGCAAAGCAAUGAGUCGUGUGGUUUGAGGCUCUGAGGGAUUUAAAAUUUAUAGGCAGAGUCCGACAAGACUAUCCUAUAAAAUGACCCAAAAAAAAAAAUAAUCAAGUCUAAAGGGCUAUAAAUUAAAUAGGUUGAAUGACUAUAACUUGAAUAAAAAUUUAUUGUUAGACUUGCGCAUAUCAUGCGAAUGACGCGUAUUAAGGUUUAAUGGACCGGGUCACCAUAAAUCCCAUUAGAAUGGGUUUGGGUUCCUUAUGUGUGUGAAAUUCCCACUUCCUUUUCCACAAACCCAUAAAAAUAAGGAAGUGAGUAUAUAAACCUAAAAAGGUUUCAAUCCUUUUCUAACAUGGGUGUGACACCUUGUACUUUUUCAUUCUAAAACACACUCGCGUGUUCUUCCAACUAUUAGGAAGUUAAAGAGAGAGAUCUAGAGUAUUCACGUGCUAAGGUUAAAAGAUUUCUCCACGAUAACAAUCACCACUCAACAAUAAUAACAACCUAACAAGAAUGAACAAUAAUAAUCCAAGAACAUUCAACCCAAAAAGGACAUCAAAUAUAACGUGGAAAAAUCCUCCAAAUGGAAGUAAAAAACCACAAAGAAAUUUUUUUCCACUUCAAUAAAAUGGGAAUACAAACAAUCAAGUUCUCAUUAGUUUCUUCACUUUUAAAACUUAUAUAAAUAUAUAUCAAUACUUGAUGUGGGAAUCUAUCACCGUAGAAAACAAUGAAUAGAAAGAGAUCAAGAAGAAAUCAUACCAUAAGGACUUUCCCAAAAAGUUGAUGAAAGAACCUUAACUUCAUUCUUAAACCCUAUAACAAUGCCAAAAAAACAACCCUAACUUUUUUUUUUUCCUUUUCUCAAUCACCGUUGCUUCUUUCUCCAAUAUAUCAAAACCAUAAUCCUAUUUAUAUCUCGACUUAAAAAAAUACCUAAAUAUAAAAUAGUCUAAUACAUGGACACAUUGGUCAGACAAACUUAGCCCAACACCAACAACUUAGGCCCUUUUCAUUGAUUCUUCUUGAUGAGUAAAUCAGGUAUGACCCUAUCCAUAGUGCUAAGCUGUAGGCCCUCCCACUCUAAUGAUGUCAUCUUCGCUGAGGAAGCUGUAGUAUUAUUUAGGAAUAAGUAUUAGAUAUCUAUGGGAAUUUGUUAUAAAAAGAUAUGCAAUCACCGAUCUUUAUGUUUUUAUUCUAAUUGCAUUGCCUAUAAUGAUGAUAUUUUAGGUCAAUCAAUUGCAAUCUAAAGCUUUAAAACUACUUCUUGACAACAGCUAUUGUCAUCCCCUAAAAAUGAUGGUUUAUGAAUUCAACGUGGCUGGAAAUCAUCUAUGGGAUUGGACCAACCCAUCCAAGUUGCUCCCUUAGUUGCGCCUCCAAGCCAUUGUUGACUCCAUCACUACAUGAUAUUAUUUUAUUUUAUUUUUUUUAGUAAUUAUUAAUAUUGAUUUUUUUAUUAUAAUAUUUUUCUUGGUAAUUAAAUUGUGAAGUAAAACUAAUUAAAAACUGUGAAAUCCAUAUAAUAAUAAACAUAAUGAUUUUGUUACUUCAUCAUAGGAAUGAAAGAACAAUUUGUAUGUGGUAUACUCUUUUUUUCUUUUAAAUGCUUGUAGAACUUAUAAAAUAAAUGAAAAAAAAUACCUAUAAAAGAGAACUUCCUCCGUGUCUAUUUGGAUUAAAAAAAAAAAAAACUUACAAAUAAAUUAAAGCUCAUUUCUAACAAAAAGUGGUGGCUCACCAAAAAUUCCUUGUUUUUGUCCUGUCAUUCUUAGAAAAGAAGAGCUUUUAGAGUAGCACCAAAUAAGCAGUCAAAAGUCUAUGAAAUGAACAAAGUAACUAAUGCGCAUUAUUAAAGUAAAUAGUAAAUUAUUAAUAAUAUAAAAUAUUUUAUUUUAAUAUAUAAUAUAUAAAAUAAAAAACUAAUUAUAAAAUAUUUAGAUUUUGAUGGCUGAUUGACUCAUGAAACAAAAGGCAAAUCAGACGGAACUUCUGACAAAAGUUUUGAGAAAAAAUGUGAACAUGCAAUUGACCUCAAUAUACUCCCUAACACACGUCAAGAUUUUGAAAGUUGACCACCGGUGGGUUUCCAUUAGCUCCCAGUGAAUGUAUUUGUAUUCAGGAUUAUUCCUUCAAAGGAAAAAUGUUAUUUGGCAUUGGCGAUGCAAAAAUAAGUUACCCGGAAGGGGGUAUAUGGUCAUAGUUCGUUCCCAGAAAGGAAAGAUCUUAGUUUGACACCACCCCUGAUGAAGUGUCUUCCUAGCUCAUUACCUCCAAGAUCAAGCCAAGUCAUGACCUGGCCGUUAGUAGGGUCGUCUUGACAAACCGCGUUGUCUCUUUAACAUUUAGUCAAAAAGUCUAUAAACGACCCAUGAUAACACAUGAUCUCUUUACUCCACACACAUGACUAUUAUAUAAAAGGAAUGCUCUCCCUUACAUAAAAGAUAAAAAAUAAAAAAUAAUAAUAAUAAAAAAAAAAAACCUGUAAAAAAUUAUACAUCUUCAAGUACUAUAUCAAAUAUAUUAUUUAGGUGAUAAAAUUCAAAUCAUUAAAUAAAAAUUCAAAUAUAUGGAACAAAAUAUAAAAUAAUAAGAUCACUAGACAAGUAUAAGUGGACAUUAUAUUCAACGUACUUCAUUCACCCUCCAAUAAAUCAAGAGAACUGAUGAUAAUAUAACAUUAUUUUUGUCUCUACUUUUUUCAACGGCUCAAAAUCUUGACCAUAAAAACUGCUUAAUGAGUCUUUGUUCAUACACUUGCUGCUAGUCAACCAAUGAGUCGCAAAGUGGAAAUUUACAUAAAUGAAGAGUAGGAAUUUUUUUUACAUAGAAAAAAUUGUAUGAAGUAAAAUCCACGUUAUUGAUAUUCAAAUUACUUAGUCACCUUUUCUUAUUCAAAAAGGAGUACCUCAAAAUGGACCACCACCGAACAAUAGCAACAUUUCUAAGCCACAUUAUAAAUGCCCCACUUGGACUUGAGUUAUAUUCAAAUUUUGUUUUCUUUUCUCUACAUGAGCCACAUAUGUGGGGCAGGUGCUUUCCCCUUGCCACUUUAGUUUCUUGCUCUACUUUUGACAAAAGAUACCUCAAAAAUAAAAAAUAAAAUAAAAUAAAAUAAAUAAAAUUAAAAUAUGUAUAAUUUUAGAUUAUUAUUGUUAUUAACAUCAACCUUGAAUGCACUUAAACUAUGUUUUGGUUGGUGGGAUAUGAUAUCCUAAGAUAUGGUAUUAGAUUAGAUUGUUAUUGUUAUUGUUAUUAACAUCAACCUUAAAUACACUUAAAUUAUGUUUAGUUGGUGAGAUAGGAUAGGAUAGGAUAUGUAUACCUUAAAAUAUCAUAUCUCAUUAGAUAGAAAAUAUAUAUUCUAGGAUAUGAAUUCAAAUGAAAUAUAAUAUCAUUAAAUAUACACAUCCAAUAAACAUGAUAUUCUAAGGUGUAUUAUGUUUAACUUUAAUUUAUGAAAUGAAUGAAAUAUAUAUUAUUUUCAAUGUUUAAAAUAAAAAUUAUAUCACAUUCCAAUAUUUUUUAUUUAAAGAAUUGAAAUUUCUCUUAUAUUUAAUAAUAUUCAAACUUAAAUAUUUAAAUAAAAAAAUUUAUAUUAUGUUAUUCAAUAUAUAAAAAUAAUUUACAUAUUAUAUAUUAUAUAUUGAUAUUAGUUUAUAAUUUUUUUUAGUUUUCCUUUUUUAACCAUAAAUUUAAUUUAUAAAAAAAAAUUAUUUUUCAAAAUGAGAAUAUAGAAAAAUAAAAAAUUGUUAAAAAUAAAUAAAUUUAUUAUAUAUGGGAUAUAUACAUAUAUCUUAUAUCUUGGUAUGAGAUUAACUUAUCUUAUGUAGAAAAGAUAAACAUAAAAUAAAAUAAAAAAUGUAGAUAAUAUAUCUCAUCGAUUAUCAUAUCUCAUAUUUGAUUGAAUAUGAGAUAGAACAUGAGAUAAAAUAUAAUAUCUUCUUUCUUAUAUCCUAACCUAUACUAUAUCCGCCAAGCCAAACAUGGCCUUAAGGUAGAUGAAAACAUUUGUAUGUCACAUUUUUAAUUAACUUUUAUUAGUCUUGGUCAAAGCAUUUAUUUUAUUGUGGAAAUAUUAGAAUUUCAUCUAAACGAUGAUUAAAUUAAAAUUGCAUUAAACAAAUAAUUAAAUGAUGACAUGUGACAUGCAAGAACAUUAGGAAGUGUGAUCGCUAUUUAAAAGUCAACUUCUUGGACAAAGUUUAACAAUGGUUAAUUAAUAAAGCUACAUAAUUAGGUUAAAAGAAUUGACAUUUUUUUUUGGUCAAAGUUGAUUUUUGAAAUCAGAUGGCAUGGAUUUUUUGUGAGACACGUAUCAUGUGACACAUAAGCAUGUGGUGUGAGUAGUAAGCCUAAAUGGAAAUUUUUGGUACAAAUAGUUUUAUUACAAAAAUAAAAAAUUUAUUAUAAAAUUAUUAACAAAAAAUAAAAUACCUUUUCUUAAAAUAUGGAUAAAUUUUUUUGAUAUUUUUUACAUUAUUUUUAGAAUAUAUAAAUUGAAAUUAAGCAAAAUAAAAAUUAAAUUUUAGUCAUCGAGCAUAGGUAUUGUUGAUACUUGGUCAACUAAGGAUGGAUUCCUCCCUUAGACGUGUCAGUGAAAACUCUUGUUUAGAUGAUGGACUCUAGACGUCUUGCUUCCCUGCACAAAAAUGUCCAAACGGGUUUUCCAGACACAUCCUCAGAAGCUCAAGUCAGCCUAGAGACCUUUAGAGAGAGAGAGAGAGAGAUUGAGUCAGAGAACUCACCAUCCCCUUGUUCUAUUACAGUAGGGUUUUUAUAAUGUUUAGAUGAGGAGCCAGGUUCCGCAAUGCUGAUUUGGCCUUUGUGGUGAUGAUUGCGUAGUGGUGAUAGGGCAAUCAUCAUGUUUGCAAAGCAGCUAAGGGUUGUGUCAGACGGCGCGUCAUGACACAGUUUGUCGUCCCUUCAACCUUGCUAAUGACGUGAGACUGAGCAUGCCUACCUACUAAAGUAGACGUGAGGAUGGAAAGAGUUUCAUCAGUCAAUCAGGUGUCAGCUAGGCACAGUCUUGCAUAUCAGGGAAGAUUUGAGGCUAUCAAGGAGAUGUAGGCCGCUUAGCAGCGUAAAUGAUCCAGACAGGAUGUUUCUGGAUACCUCGAAGCUUGUCUGAGCAAAGCAAUGAUGAAAGAAGUGACAUGUGGCGUAACUAGAACGAUGCCACAUGGACAGACGUGUGGAAGCAUUCGUGGGUGGACACGUGGGAUAAGGCCCCCACAAUGCCCCCAUUUAGCACGUGCACUUGUGUCUGGGUAGGAGUGGACAUGCUGAAAUUGUUCCUUGGAGUCCUCUAGUGCAAGUGAGACACGUGUCAACUGCUUACCGAAGGGGCACUUCCAUAGAGGUGUUUUGUCAGGCGGCGUGUCGCUUCGGGUUAUGUAUCCUGAUGGUUGCCUUUUAGGAUUCGUAGGGUUUUGGUCUCCUAUAAAUUGGAAAACCUCAAGCCUUUUGGGAUUUUACUUGGACGUUUCUUGCUCUGAAGGCUUUUUUUCUCCUAUCAUCACCCCUCUGCAUUCUACAAUCUCCCGUUACAGUCGUCUCGUCGCCCAACCAUUCGUCUUCUCUAACAGCACUUGCAUUAUGUACUACUGCAACUUCGGUGGUCGUCCAUCUUCCCGAUGGUCCUGUCAUUUUCACUAGUUUUGGUCUAGGAGGGCUUAGCUUUUUCCAGCAGUGUUUCUUCUGACUUUCGAUAGCCUUCACUCCUCAUACUAGUUCUUUAUCUUUACUGUUGGAUUGGUUGUUGUUGGCGAUUUUUUUUUUUUCGAGUUUGGAUUAUUUGCUUGGUUGCAAUGUACAGGAUGUAGAAUAUUUUCAGUUUCUUUCUAGGUAGGGGGACCACUGCCAGUGACAGGUUUGGUGAGGCCAUAAUAGGACCAGGGCUUUUGUAGUUCAGUUUCUAGUUGGGGUCAUGACCCUUGUGGAGUAUGGCUAAGAUGGAGGUCUUUGGCUGAGGUUUGCCUUGUAGGUUGGGCCAAGAGCUUCGCAUAGCAAUGGUCCUUAGGUUAGUGCAGGUUGAUCCCUGCAUAGUGGGGGUACUGCUUAUAAGUAGGAGGGCUAAGUGAUUACCUUCUAAUGUUCAGUCACUGUGCCGUGCAGGUCUUACUCUGCCCACCGCUUCAGAAUGGCAUCUCUAGGGGGUGAUGUUUCUACCAGUGCGGCUGGUAAGGGUAAGAAGAGUGUCCAACCAAGAGAAGGUGUCGGACUGGCAGAUACGCAAAAGUCCAUUGAACAACUUAAUGCCCGGGAGUUCAAGGAGCGUUUCCACGUUCCGUAUGGGAUUGCAAUCCACUUUUUGGGUGGUGACCGAGUGUCAACCGAGCAUGAGCCCUUUAAUGACAUUAUUUUUAGCAAGGAGAAAUUCAAUGUCGGUGGACAAAACCUCCUUUGACUAGCUAAACAAAUUAUUUGUAAUCUCGGCUAGUGAGCAGGAUCACGAGACCUUACUGACUGAUCAAAAUUUGCUAUCAUUGGUCAGGGAUUCCCAAUCAUACGUUGUCCCCUCUCUUCCUUGUUUUGCUCCCAGAGUGUUGGUGCCUGGCGAACACUAUGUGGUGAAGGAUCUCCCCUUCUACGAAGAAGCUCGGGCAGCAGACACGAAGGCAAGGCAAGAUCAGCUUGCUAAGAGAGCAAAGAAACGCAAGGAGGGCACGCUGAGACAAGCUCUAGGUGGGAGUCAUCUGGCCUCUAACUCCACUACUCACCCUUCUUCCAAGAAAAAGUCUAUCACCGGCCUGUUGAGAAGGCCUUAAACUUGUCCCCGUCCUCUUCAUCUCAUUCUCCACCCUCUGAGGAGGUUGGCCUUGGUUAGGACUCAACCGGUUUGCCAUAUGUGGAGGGCCGCUCGGACCAGGAGCCUUGAUUCGUGCCCAGCUGGUGUAUGUCCCGUUGAUUAGUGUUCAAUCAAUUGGUGUGCCUUGAUUUCGGUCCUCAGACGGGAGUAAUCAACAAAAUUUAUAAACCUAUUUCACCAUAUACUAGGGUAGCAUUAUGUCACAGGAUGCUUCAAAUGACCCUCCCCAUGGGCUUAUAUAGGAGAAGGGAAGCUUUUGGAGACUCCUAGAGCCAUCUACACUAAGUCAUUGGUGGGAAGAGUGUGGAAGGUUCUAGAGAUGCCUAGAGAUGUCCACACAUCUCUACACUAUGGUGGAAGGCAUGAGAGGAGUCCAAGGCUUCCUAGAAGAUUCUAAAGAUCUCUUGUAUAUUCUUGUACAUAGGGUUGUACAUAGAUUAAUGUAGAGAGUUCUAGAAUAUUAUUGAUUUGUAAGGAACCCUCCAAGAUUCCAGAGAGUUCCGUUGGUGCCUAUAAAUAGGUGAGGGCCUCAUUUGGCCAAGGCACCACCCAAAUCACUUCCUAACCAAACAAGUGAGCUUCCAAGCACUUGUAAAGGAUUUUUUAAGUUAAUAAAAGCUUCCAUUCUUUAAAGAGUUGCCUACUAAGCUUCUUAAGCUUUUGAGUCGUGAGCGUCUUAGCCUAGCAAGCUAAGCAUUGGGAGCAAGGCUGACUUAGCAAGAUCAAGCGUCUUGACUUGCCUAAGUGCCGCAUGAGCUUAGUGAACGACUAAGUCCGUGACAAUUAGAGCAUAGCAUAGUGGUUCUAGGAUCGUUCACUGGGAUGGGUUUUCAAAUUACAACUGAUAUUAGUUCAAAAACUGAAUUGGUGCUUUUUCUUUUCAAGGUCAGCUUUAAAAGAAAACAUAAAGAUGUUUGAAAAGGUUGGUUUUUAAGUGAAACCAAAAAUAAAGUAACGGAAAUUACUUACAAAGAAAAGUGCUUCUUGGAGUUUUUAGAUCACUAGGCUUAGGUUCCCUAUAUAAAAAGGGAGUUACGAUCACUCGAAUCUUUUCCUCGCAUUGGGGAUUUAGCAUAUAGUUAUUUCCCGAACCGGUGUGGUACAGAUGCUUCCGCUUAAUGGAUUAAAACACUAAUUCCCUGUCAUUGAAUCAUCUUGCAAUGGCUCAUACCUCUCACCUAGUAUUGGCCAUUCAAGGUGAUCCUUAACCUUGGAUUACCCGUCAAAAGCUUGCAAGAGAUAACUAAUGGAUGUCUCCUUGGAGUCCAAAAGCUUACCAAGUGUUGGCUAUUAUAGAAAAUCCUACCUUUAAACCAUUUCCCAAAGGCUAGUGAUUACUACUCAAAAAGUGCUAUUUUAUAGCUUGUAAUUAACUCUUUUAAAUACUUUUGAGUAGUAGUUGUUACCUUUGAACUCAAUUGGCAUGUUAAGGACCCUUGCAAUCAUUUCUAAUCAAAUUGUGUUAAGUUUUUGUGUUUUUGAUAGCUUUUUUAUCACCGAAGCAAUCCAAGAAUGAGGAAGAUCUUUAUAUAAUCCUUGGAAAAGCAAAUGGAAGCUCAUUUACAUGAAGAAUCCAAGCUUUGGAGCUUUAUAGUCCUUUGCCAAAAGCAAAUCAAGAAUGCAAGGAGGAAAAACAGAGAGAGAAAUCUAACAUGAAGAAAUUCAAGAUGAUAGCAACUAUUGGACACAUUUAAAGCACUUCUUGGAGUCCAUUUCAUGCAUACUAUAUGUCGUUUCGAAGCUCGGGAAGUCAGGAGUCCAACGCUUCAAACAAUGUGCAAAUCAGAGCUGAAAUGAAGAAUUUAUGGGCAUUGGAAUCCAAUCACACCAAGCUAAAAGACAAUUUCGCAAGCUACGAAAUCACAAAGUGCUAGCUGCGAAAUGGAGACUUUUAGCUUGCGAAAUUUUCGCAGCCCAUGUUGCAUGCUGCGAAAUCCACCUAAGUGCUCCCAGAUAUUUGUGACCGACUCUUUUAGAUUUUUUCUUCAGAUAUUUGUUGUUUAAACCCCCCAUUCUCUCCUUGUAAUCCACCAAUCAUAGGAUUCCUUAGUUAGGAAGGAAGAACAAAGGGUGAAUAACCUCCUAUAUAUCGUUUGUAAUUUUCUUUACACAAGACAUCUCGGGAGCUUGUUCUUAGAGACCAACUUUUUGUAUAGUUUUAAAGGAAGUAAUACACAGAGCUUUGUUCUGCCUUACCUACUCAUUUUGAUUGUAUUUUUUUCACUAGCCAAACAAGCUCUGAGGAUGUUUCCUCAGAGAAUGAGUGGCUAGGCUUUUUGUCUCUUGGAGUUAAGGAAGCUGGAUAAGGUGCCGAAUGCAAAAAUUGGAAGUUUUGUUGUUUCAGCUUUUAAUGAAGAGAAAGUGUGACCCAUUAAUGGUUUCUAUGUUUUUAGUUAACUUAAAACACCUUUAAAUCACCUGGGUCAACACUUGGUAAGGCAAGUGAUCUCCAUCCAUUGAGAUACAUUAGUUUAUCUCUUACGAGCCUUUGGGAGGUGGUUUAAAGGUAGGAUUUUCUAGAAUAGCCAACACUUGGUAAGCUUUUGGACUCUAAGGAGACAUCCAUUAGUUAUCUCUUACGAGCUUUUCAAGGGGAAUCCAAGGUUAAGGAUCACCUUGAAUGGAAAAUGCUAGGUGAGAGGCACGAGUCAUUGCAAGAUGAAUUAGUGAGAGGGAUUUAGUGAUUGAAUCCAUAAAAAGGAAGCAUCUGUACCACACCGGUUCAGGAAAUAACUAUAUGCUAAUUCCCCAAUGCAAUGAAAAGAUUCAAGUGACCGGAACUCUAUUUUUUGUAGUAGGAGCCUAACCCCAGUGAUCCAAAAACUCCAAGAAACACUUUUCUUUAUAAUUAAAAUCAGUUACUAUUUUUUGUUAGCUUAAAACCAACCCUUUUUCAACCAAAGAUUAUGUUUUCUUUUAAAGCUAACCUUGAAAUGAAAAAACACCAAUUCAACUUUGAAUGAAUAUCAGUUGUAAAUUGAAAACCCUUCCCAGUGAACGAUCCUAGAGCCACUAUGCUAUGCUAGCUGAGGCUAUCCUAGUACAUGGUGAAAUAGGUUAUAAAUUUUGUUGAUUACUCCCGUCUGAGUACCAAAAUCAAGGUACACCAUUUGAUUAAGCACCAAUCAAUAGGACAUACACCAGCUGGGCACGAAAUCAGCUCGCAAGAGAUAAACUAGUGUAUCUCAAUGGACGGAGACCACUUGCCUUACCAAGUGUUGGCCCAGGUGAUUUUAAAUAGGGCUUUCCAUCCUCUCUUUGACCAAGAAUAGCUCCUAUAGCAAAGUCACUAGCAUCACACAUCACUUCAAAAGGUAGUUGCCAAUUAGGAGCCCUCACUAUUGGAACGGUUGUCAAGAACUACUUCAAUUGCUCAAAACUCUUUUGACAUCUCUCAUCCCAUAUAAAUUUAGCAUCCUUACCCAAUAGUUCACAAAGAGGCUUUGAAAGCUUAGAGAAAUCUUUAAUAAACCUCCUGUAGAACCCAGCAUGGCCAAGGAAUUGCCUUACUCCUUUUAUAGUUGUUAGGGAUGGCAAUUUGAUAAUAAGUUCUACCUUUGCUUUAUCAACUUCAAUGCCUUUCUUGAAGAUGAUGUGGCCAAGGACAAUUUCUUGUUGUACCAUAAAAUGACAUUUCUCCCAGUUAAGCACUAAGUCCUUUUCAAUGCAUCGGUUCAGAACCGCUUCCAAGUUGACUAAGCAGCCCUCAAAUGUAAUUCCAUAUAUGGUGAUAUCAUCCAUAAAAACUUCCAUAAUACACUCCACCAUAUCACUGAAAAUGCUUAACAUACAUCGUUGGAAUGUUGCAGGUGCAUUGCAUAAACCAAAAGGCAUUCUUUUGUAGGCAUAUGUUCCAAAUGGACAUGUGAAAGUGGUCUUCUCCUGGUCUUCAACAUCGAUUUCUAUUUGAAAAUACCCGGAGUAGCCGUCCAAGAAACAAUAGAAAGGAUGGCCUGAGACUCUCUCCAACACUUGAUCAAUAAACAGCAAUGGAAAAUGAUUCUUCCUUGUCACAGCAUUCAAUUUUCUAUAAUCAAUACACAACCUCCAACCCGAAGUGAGACGUGUAGCAACUUCUUCUCCCUUUUCAUUUUGCACCACUGUGAUCCCUGAUUUCUUUGGUACUACUUGAGUAGGACUCACCCAUGGGCUAUCUGAUAUGGGGUAGAUAAUACCAGCUUGAAGUAGCUUAAGAACCUCAGCUCGCACUACCUCUUGCAUAUGAGGAUUCAAUCUUCUUUGAGGUUGACGAAUUGGCUUAGCUUCUUCUUCCAUGUAUAUAUGAUGUGUACAAACUAAAGGACUGAUGCCUUUCAAGUCAGAUAUUUGCCAUCUUAUUGUUUUCUUACAUCUCCUGAGAACUUCAAGUAAACACACCUUCUAAGGAGUAGUAAGAGAUGAAGAUAUAACAACAGGGCACUUUUUAUUCUCUUCUAGGUAUGUAUACUUCAACUCCGUGGGUAGGGGCUUCAGAUUAAGCUUUGGGGGCUCCUCUUUAACAGCUUCUUGUGUCUCCUCUUUAUUGAACAAAGGUAGAAUUUCUUCUAUCCUCCUCCAACUUGGUAGAGUAGCAAGCAAAUCUGAGGGUUCAGGCAACCCUUCAUCAAGAUCCCCAAGACAUUCAUUCAACUUCUCUUGCAUUUUCUUAUUACAAUGCUCCUCCACUAAAGUGUCAAUGAUGCACACCUCUUCUGGACCUUCAUCUUCUUCUGGAUUGAUUGGCUUUUUGGACAUAUAGAAGAUAUUGAGCUCCAAUGUCAUGUUGCCAAACGUGAGUUGCAUGAGUCCAUUCCUACAAUUUAUGAUUAUGUUUGAUGUAGCUAGGAAUGGUCUUCCAAGUAUGAUAGGAACAUAAUUAGUUUCCUUGACAAUUGGGUCUGUAUCAAGAACAACAAAAUCCACUGGAUAGUAGAAAUUGUCAACUUGGACUAAGAUAUCUUCAAUUAUCCCUCUUGGAAUUUUUACUGAUCUAUCUGCUAGAGAUAGAGUGAUUGAUGUUGGCUUCAAUUCACCAAGUCCCAAUUGCUUGUAGACAGAAUAUGAUAGCAAAUUCACACUUGCCCCCAAGUCCAAAAAAGCUUUCUCCACUACAGUUCCUCCAAUCAUCACUAAGAUGGUAGGGCAACCCGGAUCUUUGUACUUCACUAGAGACUUGCACUGUAUGAUGGCGCUUACUUGCUCAGUCAAGAAGGCUUUCUUAUUCACAUUCAACCCUCUUUUGAUAGUACAUAAGUCCUUCAGGAAUUUUGCAUAAGUCGGCACUUGUUUGAUCAUAUCUAGCAAUAGGAUGUUGACCUUCACUUGUCUCAAUACUUCAAAAAAUUUUUAUGCAUUUCUGAUUCCCUUUUUCCCAUGCAAAGCUUGAGAAAAAGGUGGAGGUAUGUGUUUCUUCAUCACAUCUCCCUUGAUAACUAUUUUCUCCGGAUUUUCAUUCACUGUUGAAUCAUGGUCCUCUUUCCUUUCAUUGCUACCUUUCUUCUUUCCUUUGAUUUCCUCUCUCUUCUCUGUCUCUUCUUCUUCUUCCUCUUUUUCAACAUGUGGCUUGGGUGUUGGCAGCUCAACCUCUUUACCACUCCUUAGAGUGAUCAAGGCUUUGACGUCCCUCACCUGUGAAGAUUCUCCCUCAUGAGCUUCCACUUCAUGGAUACCUUUGGGGUUUUGGUGAGGUUGAGAAUGAAACCUCCCUUUCUCUUGCACUGUGUUAAGGUUAGUGAGCCUUGAGAUUGAGUAUUGGAGAUUAUCUAUCUUUUAAGAUGAUCAUUUUGCAUUCCAUCCAUCCUUUUAUUCAAUAUAUUCUCUACACCGUCAAUUAUUUGACUGAGUUGAGCAUUAAUGGAUUUCUGAUCUCCAACAAAAUCUCCCACGACCUUACUUAGAUUCACUAUUGCUUGCUCAAGAUUUGAAGCUUGUUGAGAUGUUUUGCCUGGUUGUGUGUACUGAAGUGCUCUUGGCUUCCAAGAGAAAUUUGGAUGGUUCCUCCAAUCUGAAUUGUAAGUAUUUCCAUAUGAAGCGUUGUUGUUGGGCUUGAAUUGUCCAAUGACAUUCGCUUGAUCUCCAAACAUUUCUCUAACAGUUGGAAUUGUAGGACACUCCUCCACCAAGUGCUCAUAAGAUUGACAAAUAUAACAAGGCAUAACUUGCACUGGUGUUUAAGAAACGGCUUGCACUUCACGUAUCUUUUUCAGUUCUAGCUCCUCCAAUUUUCUUGUCAUAGUUGCAACUUUUGCUUUCAUGUUAAUAUCUUCAUUCAAGGUAUACAUCCCAGCCUUAGCAUUAAAGGCAUUUGGUUGAGACUUCGUCUUCCCCACUUCUCCUUUGUUCGAUUCAUCCCAUCCUCUUGAGACUUCAGCAACAUAAUUCAAGAAAUCCAUGGCUUCCUCCGGAUUCUUACUCAUGAAAUCUCCUCCACACAUAGUCUAGAGGAGUUGCUUCAUUAAAGAAGACAUACCAUCAUAAAAGUAACUCAACAAUAGCCAUGUAUCAAAACAAUGGUGAGGACAAGCAUUGAUAGCUUCCAUCUAUCUCUUCCAACACUCAUAGAAUUUCUCAUUCUCUUUAGCUGAGAAGUUUGAAAUUUGCCUUUUCAAGCCAUUUGUCCUAUGAGUAGGGAAAAAUUUCUUGAGAAAUUCAGCUUGCAAAUCAGUCCAAGUUCGGAUACUCCUUGGCCUUAAGGAAUUAAGCCAAAUCUUGGCCUUAUCCUUCAAAGUAGAAGGAAAUAGCUUUAGCCUCAUCAAAUCGAUUGAAGCUCCUCCCUCUUGGAAUGUAUUACAAACAUUUUCAAAUUCCUUGAUAUGCGCGUAGGGAUUCUCACUUUCCAUCCCAUGGAAAGUAGGUAGAAGCAGCACAAUAUGCGGUCUGAUUACUAGCUGCUCUGUAGGAGGCACUAUACAUGAUGGUGCACUCACACGAGGUGGAUGCAUGCGGUCCCUUAUUGAUCUGAAUGCAUUGGGAUUGUCCUGGUGACCAUGGUGACUAUGCUGAUCUUUAGGUGUAGCUUCCAUGAUGUUCAAGCACAAUUCCAACUCUGUUUUGUGAGGUGCUUCAAUUUUCACAAGUCUUCCUCCACUAUCUCGUAUCCAAUAUGGCAUACACAACUAGUAACAACUGUAACAAAAACAAUGAAAAAAAAGAAAACAAAACUACAAAAAACUAAGAUUAACUAAAAACUAAAUUAAAAGAUAGGCUAAAAUAUGAACAAGUAAACGAAACAAUUAAAAAGAGUUAGUAAAAUAAAAGAAAAAAUCACCAAACUUGUGAUGAAGAUCACAAGUACUCUGAAAAUGUGAUAUCACUGUAAAGUUGGCACCAUCCCUGACAACGGCGCCAUUUGAUUCGUGUUCAACUGGUGUAUGUCCUGUUGAUUGGUGUUCAAUCAACUGGUGUGCCUUGAUUUCGAUCCUCAGACGGGAGUAAUCAACAAAAUUUAUAAACCUAUUUCACCAUAUACUAGGGUAGUAUUAGCUAGCAUAGCAUAGUGGCUCUAGGAUCAUUCACUAGGAUGGGUUUUCAAAUUACAACUGAUAUUAGUUCAAAAACUAAAUUGGUGUUUUUUCUUUUCAAGGUUAGCUUUAAAAGAAAACAUAAAGAUGUUUGAAAAGGCUGAUUUUUAAGUGAAACCAAAAAUAAAGGAAUGAAAAUUACUUACAAAGAAAAGUGCUUCUUGGAGUUUUUAGAUCACUAGGCUCAGGCUCCCUAUAUAAAAAGGGAGUUACGGUCACUUGAAUCUUUUCCUCGCAUUGGGGAUUUAACAUAUAGUUAUUUCCCGAACCGGUGUGGUACAGAUGCUUCCCCUUAAUGGAUUGAAACACUAAUUCCCUGUCACUGAAUCAUCUUGCAAUGGUUCAUACCUCUCACCUAGUAUUGGCCAUUUAAGGUGAUCCUUAACCUUGGAUUACCCGUCAAAAGCUCGCAAGAGAUAACUAAUGGAUGUCUCUUUGAAGUCCAAAAGCUUACGAAGUGUUGGCUAUUAUAGAAAAUCCUACCUUUAAACCACCUCCCAAAGACUCGCAAGAGAUAAACUAGUGUAUCUCAAUGGACGGAGACUACUUGCCUUACCAAGUGUUGGCCCAGGUGAUUUUAAGGAAUUUUAAGUUAACUAAAAAGAUAAAAACCAUUAACGAGUCACACUUUCUCUUCAUUAAAAACUGAAACAACAAAACUUCCAAUCUUGCAUUCGAAACCUUACCCAACUUCCUUCACUCCAAGAACCAAAAAACCUAGCCACUCCUCCUCUGGGAAAACAUCCUCAGAGUUUGAUUUGCUAGAAAUAAAAAUAGAAGAGAAAACAAAUUGAGUAGGUAAGGCAGAGCAAAGCUCUGUGUAUUACUUUCUUCCCAAAAAUUAUACAAAGGGUGUCGUCUCUGAGAAACACUCCCGAGAGAUCUUUUAAAAGAAAAUUACAAUAGAUUAUAUAGAAAGGCUAUUCACCCUUCCUUCUUACUUCCUAACUAAGGAAUCCUAUGAUUGGUGGAUUACAAGGAGAAAAUAGGGAUUUAUACAAAAUAUCUGAAGAAAAUAUCUAAUAUAGUUGGUCACAAAUAUUUGGGAUUACACAGGUGGAUUUCGCAAGUUGAAACAUGACUUGCGAAAAUUUCGCAAGUUGAAAUUUUGAUUUCGCAAGUUGAAUUUGUGAUUUUGCAACUUGCGAAAUUGUCUUUCAUCUUGGUGCGGUUGUCUUUCAAUGGCCAUAACUUCUUCAUUUCAGCUCCGAUUUGCACACCAUUUAAAGUGUUGGACUCCUCACUUCCCAAGCUUUGAAACAAUAUAUAGUAUGUAUAAAAUGGACUCCAGAAAGUGCUCCAAAUGUGUCUUGUAGCUGCUCUCCUCUUGAAUUUCUUCAUGUUAGAUUCCUCUCUCUGUUUUUCCUCCUUGCAUUCUUGAUUGGCUUUGGCAAAGGACUACGAAGCUCCAAAGCUUGGAUUCUUCAUGUAAAUGAGCUUUCAUUUGCUUUUCCAUGGACUAUACAUAGCUCUCCCUUAUUCUUGGAUUGCUUUGGCGAUCAAAAAGCUAUAAAAAACACCAAAACUUGCCACAAUUUGAUUAGAAACACUUGCAAGGGUGCUUAACGUGUCAAUUGAGUUAAAAUGUAAUAAAUACUACUCAAAAGUGUUUAAAAGAGUUAAUUAAAAACUAUAGAAUAGAACUUUUUGAGUAGUAAUCAAGUCUGAGCCAAUGGUUCCUUACAUAAACCUUGAGCCAGAAGAAGAAAAAGAAGAUGCACAGAUGGCUCCAAACCUGAAGGUCGAUUUCAAGGAGAGGUAGCAUAAGCGCCUCUCUGAAGCACUUUCGACUACACCUCCGCCUGCCAAGAAGAGUCGUUCAGAGGCCCCUCAUGAGGAACCAGUUCCAGACGUCCCUAUGGUGUAGGUGGCCCCUUCUAAUAUUGUCAGGUCCUGUCAAGAAUUGGUAAUGAGACCUUCUGCAGAGGACACUUGCCCGGUAGGAUAUAGGGGUCAUGUAGCCACUCCAGGUGGCAAUGCCAAGGAGAAAGACAUUUCGGCUACUCCUUCAAGCUGGGAGGAAAUAGCAGCGCUACUAAGAGCAGUUCUUUGCUUUAUUGCGUCUGAUUACUACUCAAAAAGUACUAUUUCAUAGCUUGUAAUUAACUCUUUUAAACACUUUUGAGUAGUAGUUAUCAGCUUUUAACCCAAUUAACAUAUUAAGGACCCUUGCAAUCAAUUCUAAUCAAAUUGUGUUAAGUUUUGGUGUUUUGAUAGCUUUUUGAUCACCAAAGCAAUCCAAGAUUGAGGAGAGUUCUUUGGAAUCCUUAAGCAAAUCUAGAAUACAUGGAGUAUGGGAUCCUGCACAUUACACCCGGCUGCCAAAAGCUUUCCACCCAGUUGCGCCGCCAUUUACACCUGGCUACCGCCAUUUACACCCGGCUGCUGCCGCGCCAUUACACCCGACGACUGCCAAAAGCUUUCCAUCCAGCUGUGCCGCCAUUUACAUCCAGCUGUCGCCGCUUCCACCCAGAUGUAUUACAUCCUAAAAUCUACUGCCACCAUUCCAUUACAUCCGAAAAUCUACUGCCACCAUUCCACCCAGAUGUAUUGCAUCCGGAAUUCUGACGCCGGAUGGGAGAGGAGAGCGUUUCAACUUCCACGAUCAGAUAUAUCUGGAUCCGCCGAUAGUGCUCACCCGGAGGAUUUCGCAGCAAUUUUGCACAGUGCUACGGUGUUCUCCUGAAGCUUCCCGAUAUGUGCGACAGACAUCUUUAGAUAUUUUUCUUUAGAUAUUUAUCUUUAGAUAUUUGAUGUCUAAAUCCCCAAACUCUCCUUGUAACCCACCAAUUAUAGGAUUCCUUAGUUAUUAAGUUAGGAAAAAGGAUGAAUAACCUUGUAGAUAUUAUUAUUGUAAUUUUCAUAUAAAUAUCUCUCGGGAGCCUGUUCUCGAGGGGGACGCAACUUUUGUAUAGUUUUCUAAGGAAGAAAAAUACAGAGCUUUGCUCUGCUUUUACCUUCUCAUUUUGAUCGUAUUUUUCUUACUAGCAAAACAACCUCUGAGGAUGUUUUCCCAGAGGAUGAGAGGCUAAACCUUUGGUUUCUUGGAGUGAAGGAAGCUAGGUGAAAAGUCCAGAUGCAAAAGUGGAAAACUCUCGUGCUUUAAAUAUAGGUAGUUGGAGUUCAUAAAUGGCUUUUAAAUCUAAAGUUUUGCUUUAAAUCCCUUAUAAUCACUUUGAAUGGCCAAUACAUGGUAAGCUUUUAGGUCUCUAUGGAUACUUAUUGCUAGAUCCACAUAAGACCAUUAGUUAUCAUGUACGAGCCAUUGGAAAGUGGCUCAAGGUGAAGACCCAUAGUGUCUAAAUCCAUUAAUGGAACUUGACUACCAUUUAUAUUGACUUUUUAUGGAUUAAAUCUUCAUUGUUAAACCUAUACCGGUUCGGGAAACAAUCAUCCUUUAUGUUGUUGUCCUCAAUGCGAAGAGAAAAAUCCGGAAUUUCCCACUUUGCAUUCUGAACUUGAUCCUAGCAACUUUUAGCUCCGAGAGACUUUCUUUCUUCCAUUUUUACCUAGUUCUAUGUUAGUUUAGUUUCAAACACCACUUUCAAAACAAAUUUUCUUUUCUUUUAAACUUUAAGUUUUUGACAAAGGAAAUCAUCAGAUUCAAUUUCUAAUCUUGAGUCUAUCACUAGUAGAGUGAAAACCCAUCCCAGAGUUCGACCCUAGAGCUACUAUACUAUAGUAGCUUUGCUACGCUAGUAUGAGGUCAUAGGAUUUAUAAAUAUUUUUUAUUAAAAUACCCAACUGGGCACGAAUCAGCGUCCGAGCCUCCAGCAUCUGGCGUGGACGAAUUCUUCUCGUUCUCCCAUCAUCACUUCGUCGACCUGCGUGGCGAUCCUAGCAUUGCUGGCGUGGUUUGCCCCUCCCAUGUCACUUCUGAGUCUGCAUUCCGGUGUACUUUUCCGUUGUUGAAGUAUAUUAUGGAAGAGAUGACGGAAGUAGUAGGUUUUACUCCUUUUUGACCAAGUUUGCUUAAUUGUCUAGCUCUAAUACCUUUUUUACCGUUGUUUCAGGGGGUGGCUGCUAUUCAUAACCUGAUGCGGCAGCGAAGCUCGCUCCUUAAAUGGCUAGAGGUUGUAGAGAGUAUGUUGGUAUUUCUUACCCGGUAGAUAGAUAACAGUGAAAAACUCCACACUCAGUUUGUGCAGGUAAAGAACGAGCUGGUCGUUGGUCAGAUAGCCGCCGCAGAUGCGAAGAAGAUGCUGAAGGAGUUGCAGGAGGAGAUGCAGAUGACGAAAGUUGAGGUUUUCCAGAUGGGAGAGGAAAAAGAGGUUGCAGAGGCUAAGUGCAAGGACGUUGAACAGGAGAGGAAUCAACUAAAGAAGGAGCUCGAGGAUCUUCGGGCAGUGUCAGAUGCUUAUAAAAAACAGCUUGAGGAGCUCUAGGUCAGGUUCACUACUGAGAAGGAAACACUGACUGAGGAUUAUCAGAAGCAAGUGGAUGAGAUGUUCUUGUUGGUCAUCCGAGCAUUGUUCGAUAAGCCCACAGGACCCCGGGUAGUUCAUCUACCCACCUUCCUUUGGCUUUUUCCAGCCUUUUCUUUAGUGCAGAGAACAUGGUCUUGUUCAUUGCUUCUAUUUGCCCGUUGCUUUGGGUAGCGUGGAGUGGAGUACAGAUUUUUUAUCUUUAGUUCCGAACAAAAGGUCCUAAAAGCAAUGCUCUCGAAUUGUGGUCCAUUAGAAGCUACGAUCACUUGUGGGAUCCCGAAUUGACAAAUGAUGUUAUUCCAAAUAAACCUGAAGACGUCUUUGUCUUUGAUGUUGGCAUAAGCUUCGGCCUCUACCCACUCGUUGAAAAAGUUAGUGGCCACACGAACGCACUUUUUCUGAGCAGCAACAAUAGGUAGGGGGACCAACUAUGUCCAUUCCCCACUACACGAAUGGCCAAGGGCUUGUGACCGGAUUAAGGACCUCUAAGGGCAUGUGAGGAAUGGGGGCAUGCCUUUAGCAUCGAUCAAAUCUCUUGACAUAGUUUGUAGCAUUUUGUCUCAUGCUGGUCUAAUAGUACCCUUGCGAAUGAGCACAAUGUGCUAAGGUUCAUCUCCCUAUGUGAUUGCCACAUACACCUUCAUGUAGCUCUACCAACACAUAAUGUGUCUCCAUGUCAUUUAAGCAUCUGAGGUACGGACCUCCAAAUAAUUGCCUGUAGAGGUUAUUCCCGAUCAGGGUGAAGCGGGCAGCUUACACCCGGAUUUUAUGAGCUCAUUUUCUUUCUUUAGGAAGAUCUCUGGUUUGAAGAUAUGUCUCGAUUUCGUUCAUCCAACCGACAUCUGCCUCAUUGUAUUGCACACGGGUGCGACUACUAUGGACGACGUGACCUAGAGGUAUACGGGCAAUAAUAUUGUUUCCUUUAUAGGGAGAGUGGCAGUUAUUCCAGCUAAGACGUCAACCUGUGUGUUUUUUGAGAGGGGGAUUCUCUUGAUAGCCCACUUGUUCAACUUGUCUAGGCCAAUUCGGACUUUGAAAGAUACCGAGCCAUGCACUCGUCCUUGGCUUCAUAUUCUCCUUGAAUUUUGUCCAAUGACGAGCUAGAAGUCACUGCAUAUUUCAAUCUUGGAUUCCGACAAAGUUAGGGUAAGGCUCAACUCGACGAGGAUAGCCUCAUAUUCAGUUUCAUUAUUAGAGGUUGGAAAUCUGAGUUGGAUAGCCUGUUCUAGCUAUUCUCUAGUUAGGGAUUGCAAGAGGAGGCCCAUUCUGGAUCCUGAGGCCCGGGAUGCUCUAUCAAUGUGCAAUAUCCACCACCCUUUUUUGGGAGAAUUGGUACCCUAAUGAAGUUUCUGGGGUGUUUUGGCUAUAAAGUCAAUCAGGACCUGCCCUUUUAUUGCCAACUUGGGUUAAUACUUAAUUCCAUACUCACUAAGUUCAAUGGCCGACCUCACCAGUCUUCCGGAUAGGUCAGGUUUGUGCAGAAUGUUUCAGAGUGGUUGAUUCGUGAGUACAGUCACUUGAUGAGCUUGAAAAUAGGGGCGGAGCUUUCGCACAACACUCUUCAAGGCCAAGGUUUUUUGCUCCAUCUUUGAGUACCAGGUUUUCGCGUCAACCAUCGUUUUACUUACGUAAUAGACAAACCUUUGCUCCUUGUCAUUUACGUAGUGAAACAAAACAGCACUAACAGCACAGUUAGACACUGCCAAAUACAAGUACAAUUGCUCUCCGGGUUGAGGACUGCUCAGAAUGGGUGGCUGGGUGAGGUAGCAUUUAAUCUCCUCGAAUGCUAGCUCACAGUCAGUUGUCCACCCUAUCGCGCUAACUCCUUUCAAUGUGAGGAAGAAUGGCCUUAAUUUUUCUAUAAAUCAGUCUAUAAAGCGUUCCAACACAACUAGGCGGCCCGUGAGGUGUUGCAACUCUUUUUUGGAACUUGGAGAGAAUAUCUCCAUGACGGCCUUGAUUUGGUUCAGAUUGACCUCUAUUCCUCUUUGUGUAACCAUGAAUCCUAGGAACUUGCCUGCAUUGACUCCAAAGGCGCACUUGGCUGGAUUCAGCUUCAUGUUGUAUGUUUUCAUCAAAUGAAAUGUUUCUUUUAAAUGUCGAGUGUGCUCGCUCCUGGUUUUGCUUUUUAUCACAAUGUCGUCGAUAUACAUUUCCAUACUCUGACCGAUUAAUGGCCUAAAAAUCUUUGUCAUUAGCCUUUGGUAGGUGGCUCUAGCUUUUUUAAGUCAAAACGGCAUGACCUUGUAGCAAUAUAUCCCAUGUGGUGUCACAAAGGAAGUCUUCUCCUCGUCCAAUUGGAACAUGAGAAUUUGAUGGUAACUAGAGAAAGCGUCUAUGAAAGAGAGCAUAUCGUGUCUGGUAGUGGAAUCGAUUAUCUGGUCUAUCUGAGGUAAUAGUCAACUAUCCUUUGGGCAAACGUCAUUCAGGUUGGUGUAAUCGACACAAACUCGCCAUUUGUCUCCCUUUUUUGGGACAACUACCACAUUUUCCAACUACUCUAGAUACUCUACUUCCCUUAUAAAACCGAUCGUCGGUAACUUUUCUACUUUGGCUUUGAUAAUUCUUUGCCUAUUUGAGUGGAAGCGUCGGACCUUCUGGCAGAUAGGUCGUGAGGAAGAGAUUACACUAAGCCGAUGUGAGGCUAUUGAUGGAUGGAUUUCGGGCAUAUCCGAAGGAGUCCAUGCAAAAACAUCCUUAUUCUACUAAAGUACACCUUCAAGAGCAUUUGUUUCCUCUGAUGUCAAGAGGGAGCUAGCAUAGGUAAAGUGAUCAUUCUUUUUUGAGAUAUGCAUGAUCUGUAGGGCGUUAACAGCUGGUGGAUCUUUCUUCGUCGAGUCCUAUAAUUGCUAUUGCUCCAAGGUGCCCGCCGGUUUGGUGGGUGGCUCACCAUCACUAGUGGAUUUGGCCUCUCGUGCUACUUGUUAACACUGACGUGUGGCCAACUGGCUCCCAUAAAAGUUAAUAUGUCCAUCUUUAGUUAAGUAACUUACCAUUUAGUGAUAUGUAGAGAGGAUGGCCUUCAUGCCAUGCAACCAUGUGCGCCCCAUGAUGGCAUUGAAAUGAGACAAGUCUUCUACCACUGAAAAUUGCACAUUCAGGACAAUUGGCUCGACUUGGACGGGCAACACGAUGUCUCCUAGAGAGGUGGUUGAAGCUCCAUUGAACACUGAUAGUAUCCGCCCGAGAUUUUAUAAAGUAAAUGGUGGAAACCCCACCUAUUUGAAUGUGGACACUUGUAACAAGUCAGCUGAACUGCCUGGAUCGACUAGGAUCCGUCUUACAUCAUACUUUUUUAUCCCUAAAGUCAAGAUUAGGGCAUCUUCAUGGGGCUGUAAUACCCGAUUAGGAUCUACCGAGGGAAAAGUGAUUACCCCAUCUAUUGGGAACGUGCCCCCUUGAGGUAAGCCAGGUUGGACAGAUUUAACCUGCUCUCGUAUGGAAGCGGCUCAGAGUAGUCUUUGCCUCUUUUGUUUAGAGUUGUAUUUCUCAUCAAUGGGUCCUCCAUGAAUGUAGUUGAUUACGGCUCUAAGAGCCGCUAAAGUUGUAGGGGCUUGAGUGGUUAGGCCUUGGGCUGUCUCCUCAAGUCUCCCCUUUGAGGUGUCCAGCAUUGACCAGCUUUUCCACUAGGUAUGGAGACUUCUGCAUUGCUCUGUGGUGUGGCCAUGUUCCUUGUGAUAGGCACAUUUUCUGCUCUGAUCUCUUUUAGUCGGAUCCGUCCUUAUUGGCUCUGGCCAUCUGAAGUCAGAUAGAUCUCGGAUUAUAGAGAGGCGUUUGUCGUACGAAAUGUUGAGGGGGGUGAGGCUAGCUUGGCCUGACUAUUGUGGUCCGCCUUGCCCUUUUCCCAUUUGCCUUUGUUGGCCCGCGAUUUUGGAGCUCCUAGCUGAGUCAUUCUUGGCAAGCUGGUUGGUUACCAAGACCUACUAAGUAGCUGCGUGAACGUCAUCCUUGAGCAUAGAGUAUUUAUUUGCUCAUAUGUACAAAUCGUCCAUAAUCGUCGGAGGCUUCUUGGCGAGGGAUACAAAAAAAGGGGUACCCGGGUAGAUACUCCUUUUAAAAAUUUGCAGGACGACGUUCAUGCUGUAAGAUUCAACUUGGAGCAUGGCCUACCCGAACCGCUUCACGAAUUCCCUCAAUGACUCGUUUUCCUGCAUCUUUAUGUUCUGCUGGAUACUACUAAUAUUCUGGUUAUGUCUUGUUGAGCAUAGGUAUUGUCCCACAAAGGCCUCUAGAAGAUCCCAGAAGUUAUUCAUGGAGUUCGUCAGGAGGUGGUGGAACCAUGAAAGAGCCUGACCUUGGAGGUUAGCUAGAAAGACCUUGCACAGUAACGCCUCAUUCCCUAUGUCAAGGGUCAUGAGUUGUUUGUAAUGCAUGAUAUGGUCAAACGGAUCGCUAGUUCCAUCAUAUGUAGAGAAUUUUGGAACCAUGAACCCUCUUGGGGACUCAUAGUUGAUGAUAUCAAGGCUAAAAGGCAUGAAGAGCAUGUCAUCCAGUCACCUACUGAUAGAGUCGAAGGCAUGAAGAGCAUGUCAUCCAGUCGCCUACUGAUAGAGUCGGGGGGACCCCUGCUGACCAAAUCCCCCAUUGGUUGUUUUUACUGGCGGGUGAGCGAACUAGUCGGUUACGGAUGGUGUAGCUGAGGGGCCAGGACAUGCCUCUUGGGUCGUCGCUAUAUGCGGUUUCCUCCCAUACUAGGCAUCUGAGGCCCUAGCCUUGCGCGCAUUGCAUCAGACAACUGAGACUUUCUGUCGCGUUUCUUUUUUUAUGAGAUGCGAGUGGAAUCAGAGCUCUCAUUUUGCUAUGUGUGGCAAGUUGGUGGGGAUCUUUGGUCAGGCUGCAUUCUUUAUUUAGCAUGAAGGAAAUCUACAUUUCUAGGAUACGUCGCCUCCUCGUGUUGCCUGGAGUUAGCGCGUUGACUUCUAGGUUGUGGACUACGAGGAGGAGCUGAUGAAGAUACCUGAAUACGCAACACUUCGUUCUCUUCCCUGAGUCUCCUUAUCUCCUGGAGCAGGGCUUGCAUCUGUCUCUCACUCUCGUGCUGACGUCUUUCCAUAUUUUCGUGCCAAUUGAAGUAAUCUUCGUUACCCAUGGCCGGCGAUCGACUUUUGGAAGGUGUUGACAUUUGUAUUUCGUUCCCACAAAUGGCAUCAAUGUUGAUACUUGAUAAAUUGAGGAUGGAUUCCUCCCUUAGAUAUGUCAGUGAAAGCUCAUGUUCAGAUGAUGGAAUUUAGACAUCUUACUUCCCUGCACAAUAAUGUCCAAACGAGUUGUCCAGACACACCCUCAGAAGCUCAAGUUAACCUAGAGACCUUUAAAGAGAGAGAGAGAGAGAGAGAUCGAGUCAAAGAACUCACCAUCCCCUUGUUAUAUUACAGUAGGGUUUUCAUAAUGUUCAAAUGAGGAUCUAGGUUCUGCAAUGCUGAUCUAGCCCUUAUGGUGAUGAUUGCGCAACGGUGACAGGGCAAUCAUCAUGUUUGCAAAGCGGUUGGGGGCUGUGUUAAACGGCGCAUCAUGACACAGUUUGUCGUCCUUUCAACCUUGUUGAUGACAUGAGACUAAGCAUGCCUACCUACUGAAGUAGACAUGAGGAUGUUAAGAGUUCCAUCAGUCAAUCAGGUGUCAGUUAGGCACAGUCUCGCGUAUCAAGGAAGAUUUAAGGCUAUUAAGGAGAUGUGGGCCACUUAGCAGCGCAAAUGAUCUGGACAGGAUGUUUUCGGAUACCUCGAAGCUUGUCCGAGCAGUGAUGAAAGAAGUGACACAUGGUGUAGCUAGAACGAUGCUACGUGGACAGAUGCGUGGAAGUAUUCGUGGGUGGACACGUGGGAUAAGGCCCCCAUAGGUAUAAAUAAUUAGAUGACAUUUUAAAAGCACCAUUUAUGGGGUGCUAUGCCCCAUUCAAUAGAGUGCGUGAUAAAUUCGAAGUUUUGAAACCCUAGGUAGGUGACUAGAAAAUGAAGCAAACUCCCUAAGCCACAUGUGACAAUAGGAACCAUUAUCCAUGACACAAUGUCGACAUGUGGGUUUAUAGGGUAUGAAGAGACGUAGGCAUUGUUCAUGCAUGAGGGUAGUAACAUAACUAUAUUCCUCCAAUACUUGGGACAUAGCAUUAAAUGCAUUCUCAUCUUUAUUGAGAAUUUUGAAUCUUAUUUAUUAAUAUCCAACAUGAAACUAUUUUAAAGGGAAAGAUUAAGAGGGUAUUUGAUAAAUCAAUUUAAUGAUUUAAUAACUUAAUUUAAGUCGUUAAAAAAAUUAACUAUGUUUAGUAAAAUAAUUUAAUGUUAUAACUUAAAGUUAUUUUUAAUUUUAAAUAUUAAGUCUCAAUAGUUAACUUAUUUUUAAUCUUAAAUUCAUUUUGCCUCAUUUGUUUAUUUGAGUAAAAUUAUAUUUUAAAAUUAUGAUUUCAUAUUGAUAACUCAUUUUUUAUAAUAAAUAUUUUAUAAUUAUCUUAUGUAUCUAAAAUAUUUUAAAUAUAGAUAUUUUACAAAUAAAUUUAUUGUUUAAACUUAAUAAAAAUAACUAUGAAUUAAAAUUAAUGAGGAUGAAUAUUGGUUAAAAUUACUAAGGAUAAACAUGUCAAUUUAAUUAUUUAGAAUAAAUUUUAAGUUAAUUUGACCAAACAACCUUAAUACUUAAAGUGAAAAAUAAAUAAUAGUUUCAAGCUAGCAAUUUAAGAAUAAUUUAACUUAAAAUCAACUUAAAUUAUUAAGUAAUAAGUAUUAAAUUUUAUCAAACACUCUAAAAAUUUGAUCCAUCUUAAAUAAAAACAGAUACUUCUCAAUCAUACUAUCUAUACACUAUUGAAGAAAACGCUAUUAUUUAAAAAGCCAUUUGAACAAACCCGUAAAAGGUUUAUCCAACCAUGGGAAGAAAUUAGAAAUCAAUUAUUAUAAAGUUGAUACUCUACACCAAAGCCUAUCAAAAAAGUGCAAUUUUAUGGAAAAUCCUAAUUAAGAAGCUUAUAAAUACCUCAAUCCAACCAAGACAAUGAUAAAUCUCCUUGCUUUAUUGAAUUCUCUUACAUUAGUAAGAGGGUGAUCUUUCUUUAUAUAUUCCUUAAAUAAAGAGGUUUAUUAAAAAAAACGGUCUUUAUUUUCUCCUUGUUCUCAUUCUAUUCUCUUUAAAUCAUUUGAAGAAAUUUAUUAUCUUCACUUAUUACUACUCAAAAAGUGUUAUUUCAUAGCUUGUAAUUAACUCUUUUAAACACUUUUGAGUAGUAGUUAUCACCUUUUAACCCAAUUAACAUAUUAAGGACCCUUGCAAUCAAUUCUAAUCAAAUUGUGUUAAGUUUUGGUGUUUUGAUAGCUUUUUGAUCACCAAAGCAAUUCGAGAUUGAGGAGAGUUCUUUGGAAUCCAUGGCAAAAGAUGUCCGGACAGGGCGUCCGGACACACCAUCGGAGGGCGGCGGAACGUGGGCUGUGGCAGGCUGUUGGAAUGACGUAGCAAGGCUUGUGCACUUUAGUCAAUGAUCCGGACAACACAUCCGGAAUUCUGCUCCGCUGACAUUCCACCCGGAUGUCUCACAUCCGGAAUUCUGCUCCGCCGACAUUCCAUCCGGAUAUUUUGCAUUCGGCGCUUGACGCCGGAUGGGAGAGGAGGGCAUUUCAACUUCCCCGGUCAGACAUAUCCGGAUCCGUUGAUAGCGCUUACCCGGAGAGUUUCGCAGCCAUUUUGCACAGUGUCGCGGUGUUCUCCUGAAGUUUCCAGAUAUGUGCGACCAACAUUUUGAGAUAUUUUGCUUUAGAUAUUUGAUGUCUAAAUCCCCAAACUCUCCUUUUAACCCACCAAUUAUAGGAUUCCUUAGUUAUUAAGUUUGGAAAAAGGGUGAAUAACCCCUUAUAUAUAGUUUGUAAUCUUCUUUAGAAAAAGAGAAUCUCGGGAGCUUGUUCUCAGGAACGCAUCCUUUGUACAGUUUUGCAAGGAAGUAAAAUACAGAGCACUUGCUCUGCUUUUCAUAUAUAUUUUUGUUUUCUCGUUCUUUUUCUUUCUAGCCAACCAAACUCUGAGGAUUUUUCCUCACAGGAUGAGAGGCUAGGAUCUUCGUCUCUUGGAGUGAAGAAAGCCGGGUAAGUUUCCACAUGCAUAAAUUGGAAGUUUUGUUGUUUUAGUUUUUAAUGAAUAGAAAGUGUGACCCGUUAAUGGUUUUUUAUCUUUUUAGUUAACUUAAAACACCUUUAAAUCACCUGGGCCAACACUUGGUAAGGCAAGUGAUCUCCGUCCAUUGAGAUGCACUAGUUUACCUCUUGCGAGCCUUUGGGAGGUGGUUUGAAGGUAGGAUUUUCUAGAAUAGCCAACACUUGGUAAGCUUUUGGACUCUAAGGAGACAUCCAUUAGUUAUCUCUUGCGAGCUUGAGAAGGGAAGUCCAAAGUUAAAGAUCACCUUGAAUGGAAAAUGCUAGGUGAGAGGCACGAGCCAUUGCAAGUUGCAUCAGUGAUAGGGAUUUAGUGUUUGAACCCAUUAAAGGGAAGCAUCUGUACCACACCGGUUAGAGAAUUAACUAUAUGUUAAUUCCCUAAUGCGAGGAAAAGAAACAAGUGACCGGAACUCUCUUUUUUGUAUGAGGAACCUGAGCCUAGUGAUCUAAACUCCAAAAAACACUUUUCUUUGUAAGUAAAAUCAAUUACUAUUUUUGGUUAGUUUAAAACCAAACCUUUUUCCACCAAAGAUUAUGUUUUCUUUUAAAGCUAGCCUUGAAAUGAAAAGGCACCAAUUCAACUUUGAAUUAAUAUCAAUUGUGAAGUGAAAACCCAUCCCAGUGAACAAUCCUAGAGCCAUUAUGCUAUAGUAGCUUUGUCUUUGCUACCCUAGUUCAUGGUGUAAUAAGUUAUAAAUUUUGUUGAUUACUCCCUCAAUCAAGGAGCACUAGCUGGACAUGAAUCAGCUGAUACACCAAUUGGGCACGAAUCAUUCACUAAGACAAGAAAUUGAAAGUUAAACAUGAGCCUAUGUUUUGCCUAGGUUAAUUUAAUUGAUGGAAUGAGACUAUAAGUGCUAAACCCAAUCUAAACAUGCUAAAAACAACUUAAUAGCAUAUAUCGAAUGUGGAAAUAAAGGAAGAACAAAAACAUACCUGAUUCGUUCCCAAUUGGUGUCUCAGUUGAUUCAUGUCCUCUCAAUGGUCCCUAACAGUGGUGCCAUUUGAUUCAUGUCCAGCUGGUGUCCCUUGAUUGUGAUCCUCAGAAGGGAGUAAUCAACAAAAUUUAUAACCUAUUACACCAUGUACUAGGGUAGCAAAGACAAAGCUACUAUAGCAUAGUGGCUCUAGGAUCGUUCACUGGGAUGGGUUUUCACUUCACAAUUGAUAUUAAUUCAAAUAUGAAUUGGUGCCUUUUCAUUUCAAGGUUAGCUUUAAAAGAAAACAUAAUCUUUGGUGGAAAAGGUUGGUUUUAAGCUAACCAAAAAUAAUAACUAAUUUUAAUUACAAAGAAAAGUGUUUCUUGGAGUUUAGAUCACUGGGUUCAGAUUCCUUGUACAAAAAGGGAGUUUCGAUCACUUGUUUCUUUUCCUCGCGUUAGAGAAUUAACAUAUAGUUAUUUCUCGAACCGGUGUGGUACAAAUGCUUCCCUUUAAUGGGUUCAAACACUAAAUCCCUCUCACUGAUGCAUCUUGCAAUGGCUCGUGCCUCUCACCUAGCAUUUGCCAUUCAAGGUGAUCUUUAACCUUGGAUUACCCGUCAAAAGCUCGCAAGAGAUAACUAAUGGAUGUCUCUGUGGAGUCCAAAAGCUUACCAAGUGUUGGCUAUUCUAGAAAAUCCUACCUUCAAACCACCUCCCAAAGGCUCGCAAGAGGUAAACUAGUGCAUCUCAAUGGAUGGAGAUCACUUGCCUUACCAAGUGUUGGCCCAGGUGAUUUAAAGGCGUUUUAAGUUAACUAAAAAGAUAAAACCAUUAACGGGUCACACUUUCUCUUCAUUAAAAACUAAAACAACAAAACUUCCAAUUUAUGCAUUUGGAAACUUACCCAGCUUUCUUUACUCCAAGAGACGAAGAGCCUAGCCUCUCAUCCUCUGAGGAAAAAUCCUCAGAGUUUGGUUGGCUAGAAAGAAAAAGAACGAGAAAACAAAAAUAUAUAUGAAAAGCAGAGCAAGUGCUCUGUAUUUUACUUCCUUGCAAAACUGUACAAAGGAUGUGUCUCUGAGAACAAGCUCCCGAGAUUCUACAUAUUCUAAAGAAGAUUACAAACUAUAUAUAAGGGGUUAUUCACCCUUUUUCCAAACUUAAUAACUAAGGAAUCCUAUAAUUGGUGGGUUACAAGGAGAGUUUGGGGAUUUAGACAUCAAAUAUCUAAAGCAAAAUAUCUCAAAAUGUCAGUCGCGCAUAUCAGGAAUUUAGACAUCAAAUAUCUAAAGCAAAAUAUCUAAAAAUGUCUGUCGCACAUAUCGAGAAGCUUCAGGAGAACACUGCGGCACUGUGCAAAAUGGCUGCGAAACUCUCCGGGUAAGUGCUAUUAGAGGAUCCGAAUAUGUCUGACUGGGGAAGUUGAAACGCCCUCCUCUCCCAUCUGGCGUCAAGUGCCGGAUGCAAAAUAUCCGGAUGGAAUGUCGGCGGAGAAGAAUUUCGGAUGUGAGACAUCCGGGUGGAAUGUCGGCAUAGAAGAAUUCCGAAUGUGAGACAUCCGGGUGGAAUGUCGGCGGAGCAGAAUUCCGGAUGUGAGACAUCCGGGUGGAAUGUCGGUGGAGCAGAAUUCCGGAUGUGAGACAUCCGGAUGGAAUGUCGGUGGAGCAAAAUUCCGGAUGUGAGACAUCCGGGUGGAAUGUGCAAUGCCACACGUUCUGCCGCCCUCCAAUGGUGUGUCCGGACGCACUGUCCGGAUGAUAACAUAUCCUAUCCGGACAACUUUUCAUUACUUUGCCAUGGAUUCCAAAGAACUCUCCUCAAUCUCGGAUUGCUUUGGUGAUCAAAAAGCUAUCAAAACACCAAAACUUAACACAAUUUGAUUAGAAUUGAUUGCAAGGGUCCUUAAUAUGUUAAUUGGGUUAAAAGGUGAUAACUACUACUCAAAAGUGUUUAAAAGAGUUAAUUACAAGCUAUGAAAUAGCACUUUUUGAGUAGUAAUCAAUACCUCUAGCCAUUGAUGGUUUGGAAAUCCAGAAAUCAAGUUUAAUAUUCAAAUGGAUCGAGGUGCUUCUAAACCCUUAAUCAAUCUCAAAACGAUAAUGUAUAUGUGUUUGAAUAGAGAUUGGAGGCUUAGGGACUUAACCACGAAGGCUCUAUGUAUAUUUACUCUACUCAUCACAAAGUCAAUGUCAUAAUUUAUGGUUGUUAAUGGCAAUCAAAAAGGAAAACUUAAUCAAUGGAAAUCCCAAAAUAGUAUAGUCCACAUUUCUAGACCUAUUUAGGAAAGUCUAGCCUUAUUCCCAAAAUUGAUAGAUUAUUAUGGGUCAAAUUUCUGGACCCGUUUAGGAAAAUCUAACAUUCUCCCACUUGGUCCACAUAUUCCAUCAUUCAUCAUAGUAAGAAACAAAAUGUAUGAAUCAUGGCAAUAGGUUCUCUAAAACGAGUAUUAUUUUCCAUGUAUAAAAAUGCAUUAUGUCUUUUAAAUACUUGUCUUCAUUACUUAAUGAAUAAACCCUAUAUUUAUUCUAGGUCCAAACAUUAGCAAUAUUUCUUAAAUGAAUAGAGAUUAGAGGCUUAGGGACUUAACCACGAAAGCUCUGUUUAUAUUUACUCUACUCAUCACAAAGUCAAUGUCAUAAUUUAUGGUUGUUAGUGGCAAUCAAAAAGGAAAACUUAAUUAAUGGAAAUCCCAAAAUAGUAUAGGCCACAUUUCUAGACCUAUUUAGGAAAGUCUAGCAUUAUUCCCAAAAUUGAUAGAAGAUUAUGGGUCAAAUUUCUAGACCCAUUUAGGAAAAUCUAAUAUUUUCCCACUUGGUCCACAUAUUCCAUCAUUCAUCAUUGUAAGAAACAAAAUGUAUGAAUCAUGGCAAUAAGUCCUCUAAAACGAGUAUUAUUUUCCACGUAUAACAAUGCAUUAUGUCUCUUAAAUACUUGUCUUCAUUACUUAAUGAAUAAACCCUAUAUUUAUUCUAGGUCCAAACAUUAGCUAUAUUUCUUAAAUGAAUAAAUGUGUACACAAAUUAGAAAUAAAUGCGAGAAAAUAUUAUCACAUAAAUAGAGUUUCAUCACAAAUAACAUUCGUUCUUACAAUGAAAAUCAUACAAAGGAACCAAGUCCCAUUUUAUCCACAUGAUCCUUGAAUUUCAAUGGUGGCAUACCUUUUGUCAAAGUACCAAUUAUCAUAAAUUCAAUGUUGAUGUGUUCAAUAACCAAUGUUUUCUCCUUAACAUGUUUCCUUAUGGCUAAAUACUUGAUGUUGAUGUGUUAGUUUUGACUACUACUUUUGUUUUUUUAGCCAUAAAAAUUACAGUUGAAUUGUUGCAAUAUAUCAUCAAUGGCCUAGAAAUUGAAGCCACGAUUCUAAGCCCAAAAAUGAAACUUUCCAUCCAUACAUCAUGCGAGGUAGCCUCAAAACAAGAUAUGAACUCAACAUCUAUAAUGGAAGUAGCAAUCAAAGUCUGUUUUGCACUCCUCUAGGAUACAACUCCAUUGAUGAACGUAAAAAUGAAUCCAAAUGUUGAUUUUCGUGAAUCAACAAAACCAACAAAGUCUGAAUCUGAGUAGUCAAUCACUUUCAAAUUAUUAGCACGUCUAUACAUAAGCAUGUAUUCCUUUGUCCCUUAAAAGUACCUUAACACCUUCUUUGCAGCUCUCCAAUGGUUUGUACCUGGAUUACUCUUAUAUCUUCCUAACAUCCCAACAACAAAUGCAAUGUCAGGUCUUGUGCAGACCUGAGCAUACAUUAGGCUUCUAACAACAAAAACAUAUGGAUUGUUCUUCAUUUUUUUCCUUUCAAGAUCAUUUUUUGGGCAUUGGUUCAAAUUGAACUUAUCACCUUUCACAAUGGGAGUUAUAAUUGGUGAAUAAUCUUUCAUCUUAAAUAUCUCUAAAACUUUGUUGAUAUCGGUCUUUUGAAACAAACCCAAAAUUCCUCAAAAUCUAUCUUUAUGUAUCUUAAUACCAAUAACAUAAGAUGCAUCACCCAUAUCCUUUUUGUCAAAGUUUUUAGAUAGAAAUUGUUUCAACUCAUGUAGCAAACCCUUAUUAUUGGUUGCAAAUAAAAUGUUAUCCACAUGUAGAAUAAGGAAGCAGAUGUUACUCCCAUUGACCUUAUGGUAUAUACAUUGAUCCAUAAUGUUCUCUACAAACCCAAGUGAAGAGAUAACAUCAUGGAAUUUCAAGUACCACUGACAGGAAGUUUGUUUCAAUCCAUAUAUGGAUUUCUUGAGCUUGCACACCAAAUGUUUGCCAUCUUUAGAGGAAAAUCUUUAUGGUUGUUUCAUGUAAACUUCUUCCUCUAGAUCUUUGUUGAGGAAAACCAUUUUCACAUCCAUUUGUUGCAGCUCUAAAUUAAAAUGUUCAACAAAUUCCAUAAUAAUAUGAAAAAAAAUCUUUCUUAGAUACAAAAGAGAAGGUCUUCUUGUAGUUGAUUCAUUUCUUUUAAGUGAAUCCUUUAGCAAUGAGCCUUGUUUUAUAUCAUCCAUUGUUGCCUAAUGAGUCUUUCUUUGUCUUAAAGACCCAUUUCCAUCCUAUGGCUUUUGCGUCAUCAAGUAACUCAACAAAAUUCCAAACUCUGUUAGAUAUCAUAGAAUUCAUCUCAUCUUUCAUGGCAUUAUACCAUAAAUUUUAUUUUUGCAACUCAUGGCUUGUGAAAACAUUUUAGGAUCAUUUUCGGCUCUAAUGUUAUAGUUCGAUUUUUGUAGAUACACAACAUAAUCACUAGGAAUUGUUGAUUUCCUUGCUCUAGUUGAUCUCCUUAAUGUUGAAUCAACAUUUUUCUAAGGAUCAUGUUGUUCAACUGGUUGUUCAACAAUUUUUGGCAUUUCCUGAACAACUUAAUCUAUUGGAUUAUUCUCAGCAACUUGUGAAAUGAUUACUACUCAAAAAGUACUAUUUCAUAGCUUGUAAUUAACUCUUUUAAACACUUUUGAGUAGUAGUUAUCACCUUUUAACCCAAUUAACAUAUUAAGGACCCUUGCAAUCAAUUCUAAUCAAAUUGUGUUAAGUUUUGGUGUUUUGACAGCUUUUUUAUCACCAAAACAAUCCGAGAUUGAGGAGAGUUCUUUGGAAUCCAUAAGCAAAUCCAGAAUACAAGGAGUAUGGGAUCCUGCUCAUUCCACCCAGACGGGAAUCAUAGCUCAUUCCACCCGGGUAGGAAUUCCAUCUGGCUGCCGCCACUUUCCACCAGGAUGUAUCACAUCCGGAAAUCUGCUACAGCCGCCAUUCCAUCCGGAUGUCUUACAUCCGGAAUUCGGGAGCCGGAUGGGAGAGGUGGGCGUUUCAACUUCUCCGGAUAUACAUAUCCGGAUCCUCUAAUAGCGCUCACCCGGAGAGUUUCGCAGCCAAUUUUGCACAGUGCCGCGGUGUUCUCCUGAAGCUUCCAGAUAUUUGCGACCGACAUCUUUAGAUAUUUUUCUUUAGAUAUUUUGCUUUAGAUAUUUGAUGUCUAAAUACCCAAAGUCUCCUUGUAACCCACUUAUUAUAGGAUUCCUUAGUCUUUAAGUAAGUACAAAGGGUAAAUAACCCCUUAUAUAUAGUUUGUAAUCUUCUUUGAAAGAAAGAUCGGAUCUCGGGAGCUUGUUCCCAGAGACGCAUCCUUUGUACAGUUUUGGGAAGAAAGUAAAAUACAGAGCACUUGCUCUGCUUUUGUUUUCUCGUUAUUUUCUUUCUAGCUAAUCAAACUCUAAGGAUUUUUCCUCAGAGAAUGAGAGGCUAGGCUCUUUGUCUCUUGGAGUGAAGAAAGCCGGGUAAAUUUCCACAUGCAUAAAUUGGAAGUUUUGUUGUUUUAGUUUUUAAUGAAGAGAAAGUGUGACCCGUUAAUGGUUUUUAUCUUUUUAGUUAACUUAAAACGCCUUUAAAUCACCUGGGCCAACACUUGAUAAGGCAAGUGAUCUCCAUCCAUAGAGAUGCACUAGUUUAUCUCUUGCGAGCCUUUGGGAGGUGGUUUGAAGGUAGGAUUUUCUAGAAUAGCCAACACUUGGUAAGAUUUUGGACUCCACGGAGACAUCCAUUAGUUAUCUCUUGCGAGCUUUUGACUGGUAAUCCAAGGUUAAAGAUCACCUUGAAUGGCAAGUGCUAGGUGAGAGGUAUGAGCCAUUGCAAGGUGCAUCAGUGAGAGGGAUUUAGUGUUUGAACCCAUUAAUGGGAAGCAUCUGUACCACACCGGUUCAGGAAAUAACUAUAUGUUAAAUCCCCAAUGUGAGGAAAAUAAACAAGUGACCGGAACUCUCCUUUUUGUAUGAGGAAUCUAAACCCAGUGAUCUAAACUCCAAGAGACAGUUUUCUUUAUAAGUAAAAUCAGUUACUAUUUUUGGUUAGUUUAAAACCAAACCUUUUUCCGCUAAAGAUUAUGUUUUCUUUUAAAGCUAACCUUGAAAUGAAAAGACACCAAUUCAGCUUUGAAUUAAUAUCAAUUGUGAAGUGAAAACCCAUCCCAGUGAACGAUCCUAGAGCCACUAUGCUAUAGUAGCUUUGUCUUUGCUACCCUAGUUCAUGGUGUAAUAAGUUAUAAAUUUUGUUGAUUACUCCCUCAAUCAAGGAGCACCAGCUAGACAUGAAUCAGCUAAUACACCGACUAGGCACGAAUCAAAUGGCGCUGUUAUUGGGGACUCGAACCCGGUAUAGGCGGAUGCAUGCAUGUGCCACACCAAUUAGGAACGAAUCAUGAAACUUCAACGAUUAGUUGAUCAACUCUUAUUUGAACUUGAGGAGUGUUGUGAAUGAUAACCAACUUUUCACUUAAGGUGGAAGGUUGAUAUUUGUUAGAGACUAUGCUCUAGGAUUGAUAACUCCCACUAAAUAAGUUAUUAUCAAGAAAUUUUGCAUUUCUUGAUUCUACAAUCCUAAUGUUGUGGAUGGAUAGUAGAAUGUGUACCCUUUAGACCUUUUAGUCUAUCCAACGAAAAAUCCACUAAUGAUCAUUGGGUCCAAUUUAUUUUCUUGUGAGUUAUAAAUUCUUACUUUAGACGGGCAUCCCCCAAAUGCAUAUAUGUCACAAACUCAGUUUCCAACCUUUCCAUACUUUUAAAUGGCAUCUUUGGGACAACCUUAAUUGGAACUUGGUUCAAUAUAUAUACAUUUUUGUUUUAAGAGCUUCAACCUACAAGGAUUUAAGAAGCUUAAAGCUAUUAAGCAUACUCCAUAUCAUGUCUAAUAACGUUCAACUUCUUCUUUCUACUACACCAUUCUUGUCUAGGAAACUAGGCAUGGUAUAUUGGGCAACUAUUCCAUGCUCUUAAAGAAACUUCGCAAAUGGAUCAGGUGCUUGUCCAUCUUGAGUGUAUCUAUCAUGAUAUUCUUUACCUUUGUCCAUUCUUAGUAUCUUAAUUUUUUUCAUCAUAAACAAUGAAGAUAAAUUUUUCAUAUUUUCCUAAUGAAAAGGAAAAUAUUUCAAAUAAAAUAAAUUUUAAAUGAAUUAUUUUUCAAAAAUCAGAUGAAGACUUAAGAGGUGUUUAUAUUUUGACUGAAUAGAAAAAAACCAAAAUAUUUGAUUUUUUUUAUUAAAUUAAAAGUAAUUUGUUAAUAUCAACUAACAUAAUUAAAUUGAACAUAUCGAUAAUAAAUUCAUUUUAAUUAUAUUCAUUGAUAUCAAUAAGUUAUUUUUAAUUUAAUAAAAAAAAAAAAAAAAGCAUCAUUUUAAAAACCAAAAAGUUGAGGCGAGUGGUCCUCGGUGGGCCUUUCUCACUAACUCAAAAUAUUAAAAAUGGAGACCAUCUAUAUUUAUUUUGAACUACUAAUGGGAUGGAGGGUCUUGAAGAAUAUCACUUUCAAUGUUAUGAUCACUCUAAAUCCUAUGGUCUAAAAGUUGUCCUUGGACCAUUGGUGCUGUUUAAGAUAAAUGCAAAUCAACACGUACAAGAUAACUACUUCAUUUAAUUUGGUGGUUAGGAGCUUAGGAUAAAGUCAUGAUAAGAAUAUAAUAGACAAUAGUAACAAGAACUAUCAUCUCACAAUGGUCAACUUUACACUUCUUUUCAUGUAAAACUUAAUGACUAAGGAUUAAUGAUUUUAAAUUAAAUUUAUACAAGGGUUGUUUCCUUAACAUUUAUUACCUAAUUCGAAAAUUUGAUAUAUUUAAACUUAUAAAUUUUAAGUAAUAAGAUUGUCAAAGAGAAAUAAGAGAAGAAAGAAAUAGACUUUAAUAUAAAAGAUACUUAAACUUUAGGGAAAAAAAAGUAUUUAUUUUAAUUUUAAGUUACAAUAUUAAUUAUUUUAUAAAAUACACUUAAUCUAUUUAAUAAUUUAAAUUAAAUUAUAAAAUUAUAUUAAAUCAUUAAAUUAAUUUUUUAAACACCAUCUAUGAUUUGGACUAAAGUUGAAUUAUCAUAGGAAUUAUUUAGGCUGGUUGGAUGUCUAAUUCGGUUCAAAGGUAUUGAGAUUUUAAGCUUCAUCUGGAUAUUGUAGCAAAAUUUCAUUGAAAUAUCAUCUCUUCAUUUAAAAGCUAAUAACCUUGUUUAUGACAUAUGUGCUUCGUAGAUGAUAUCCAUACACUGUUUUGAUCUUGCAAUGAAUUGAUAAGGAUUUGGAAUUUUGGGAGAUGAUAGUUCUUAAAAUAAAAGUAUAUUUAAGAACCUGAAAUAUUUUAAUUUAUUUUUAAUUUUUUAAUAUAUUUUAAAAAUAAAUUUUGUAUUUAGUGUUUUAUCCUAAAUUUUUUAAUAUAUUCUUAUCAUGACUUUAUCCUAGGCUCCUAACCACCAAAUUAAAUGAAGUAGUUAUCUUGUACGUGUUGAUUUGCAUUUAUCUCAAACAACGCCAAUGGUCCAAGGACAGCCUUUAGACCAUAGGAUUUAGAGUGAUAUAACAUUGAAAGUGAUAUUCUUCAAGACCCUCAAUCCCAUCAGCAGUUCAAAAUAAAUAAAGAUGGUCUCCAUUUUUAAUAUUUUGAGUUAGUGAGAAGGGCCCACCGAGGACCACUCGCCUCAAUUUUUUGGUUUUUAAGAUGGUGUUUUUUUUUUUUUUAUUCAGUUAAAAAUAACUUAUAGAUAUCAAUUAAUAUAAUUAAAAUGAAUUUAUUAUCGAUAUGUUCAAUUUAAUUAUGUUAGUUAAUAUUAAAAAAUUACUUUUAAUUUAAAAAAAAAAAUCAAAUAUUUUGGUUUUAUUAUUAAAAGUUAAUCUCUUGAAUUUACUUUUAUUAUUAAAAGUAGUUAUUAAAAACUAUUGAAACUAAUUAUGUCUUGGAUGACAUCAAGGUCGUGUUUGGUAACUGUUUUCAAAAGUACUUAUGAAAAACAGAUUUUAAUAAUACUUUUUGAAAAUUAUUUUUUGAUAUUUUGUAAAAUAAAAGUAUAUUUAAGAACCUGAAAUAUUUUAAUUUAUUUUUAAUUUUUUAAUAUAUUUUAAAAAUAAAUUUUGUAUUUAGUGUUUUAUCCUAAAUUUUUUUAAUAUAUUCUUAUCAUGACUUUAUCCUAGGCUCCUAACCACCAAAUUAAAUGAAGUAGUUAUCUUGCACGUGUUGAUUUGCAUUUAUCUCAAACAACACCAAUGGUCCAAGGACAGCUUUAAUUAUAUUAGUUGAUAUUAACAAAUUACUUUUAAUUUAAUAAAAAAAUCAAAUAUUUUGAUUUUUUUUUUCUAUUCAGUUAAAAAAUAAACACUUCUUAAGUCUUCAUCUGAUUUUUAAAAAAUAAUUCAUUUCAAACUUCUUUUAUUUGAAAUAUUUUCCUUUUCAUUAGGCAAAAUUUGAAAAAUUUAUCUUCAUUGUUUAUGUCUCUUGCCUCUUUUUAUUUUUGAUACCUAUUCCUCAAGGGAAUAAUUUCCUUACCAUGUAGGCCAUGUACAUUAAUGCUAGUAGAGAGGAUUCAUAAAGGAGAAGAGCAAAUGGUUGGGUGCAUGGUGUCUUUAUAUGCAAUAAAAUACAAUAAUGAAGAAACAUGAUUUAGUCAAAGUUAAGCAUGUAUUAACACUUAAUAGUGCAAUAUUUGUCUCAAUGGAAGCCAAUGCAUUACAUGGACACAAAGUUUAUACUAAGGCAUCUCAUUGGCAUGCCAUUUUAAAGAUCCAUUUGGAAUAUGUCAUAGACAACUCUAAGCCACUCUCCAAAAAGUUGAUACAUGUAAAAUGCUUUUAAAAAAAAUCUGUUUUUUUGCUAUGUCUAAAAAUUUGGGAAAUCUAUAACUGUUUAGACUGAUAUAAAUACAAUAAAGACUGAAAGAAGAGUAUCGUCUUUAAACCUUUACAAAAUAUAUUCUUGGAUGCUAAAAAGAAUGUUGUUUCAAAGACAAACAUGAUUUUAAAGAGUGAUUGGAUACAACUUUCAAAUAUGGAUUUCUCACUUCCCAUUAUCAUUUAUCUACAUUUUUUUAAAAAUAAUAACACAUACUUUUUAUCAUAUCCAAAGAAACAAGUUUUUAUUUCAUUACAAUGUUUAAAAAUAUUAAAGUUAUCGACAUUUUUAAAUUUUCUAGGUAUAAAGUUAAUCUCACAACAAAACAAUUAAUUUACAAUUGAAUUUACUUUUAUUAUUAAAAGUAGUUGUUAAAAACUAUUGAAACUAAUGAUGUCUUGGAUGACAUCAAGGUCGUGUUUGGUAACUAUUUUCAAAAGUACUUAUGAAAAACAGAUUUUAAAAACACUUUUUGAAAAUUAUUUUUUGUAUUUUGUAAAAUAAAAGUAUAUUUAAGAACCUGAAAUAUUUUAAUUUAUUUUUAAUUUUUUAAUAUAUUUUAAAAAUAAAAAUCAGCCAGGACCUGCUCCUUUAUUACCAACUUGGGUUAAUACUUAAUUCCAUACUCAUUAAGUUCAAUGGCCGACCUCACCAGUCUUCCGGAUAGGUCAGGUUUGUGCAGAAUGUUUCGAAGUGGUUUAUUCGUGAGUACAGUCAAUUGAUGAGCUUGAAAAUAAGGGCGGAGCUUUCACGCGACACUCCUCAAGGCCAAGGUUGUUUGCUCCAUCUUUGAGUACCGGGUUUUCGCGUCAACCAUUGCUUUACUUACGUAGUAGACAGGCCUUUGCUCCUUGUCUUUUACGUAGCAAAACAAAAUAGCACUGACAGCACAGUCAAACCCUGCCAAGUACAUGUACAAUUGCUCUCCGGGUUGAGGACUGCUCAGAAUGGGUGACUGGGUGAGGUAGCAUUUAAUCUUCUCGAAUGCUAGCUCACAGUCAGUUUUCCACCCUAUCGCGCUAGCUCCUUUCAAUGUGAGGAAGAAUGGCCUUAAUUUGUCUGUAAAUUAGGCUAUAAAGCGUCCCAACACAACUAGGCGGCCCGUGAGGUGUUGCAACUCUUUUUUGGAACUUGGAGAGAAUGUCUCCGUAACGGCCUUGAUUUGGUCCAAAUUGACCUUUAUUCUUCUUUGUGUAACCAUGAAUCCUAGGAACUUGCUUGUGCUAACUCCAAAGGCACACUUGGCUGGGUUCAGCUUCAUGUUGUAUGUUUUCAUCAAACGAAAUGUUUCUUCUAAAUGUCGAGUGUGCUUGCUCUUGGUUUUGCUUUUUACCACAAUGUCGUCGAUAUACACUUCCAUAGUCUGACUGAUUAAUAUCCUGAAAAUCUUUGUCAUUAGCCUUUGGUAGGUGGCUCCAGCAUUUUUAAGUCCAAACGACAUGACCUUGUAGCAAUAUAUCCCGUGUGGUGUCAUAAAGGAAGUCUUCUCCUCAUCCAAUUGGAACAUGAGAAUUUGAUGGUAACCAGAGAAAGUGUCUAUGAAAGAGAGCAUAUCAUGUCUGGUAGUGGAAUCGACUAUCUAGUCUAUUUGAGGUAAUGGUCAGCUAUCCUUUGGGCAAGCGUCAUUCAGGUUGGUGUAAUCGACACAGACUCACCAUUUGUCUCCCCUUUUUUGGGACAACUACCACAUUUUCCAACCACUCUGGAUACUCUACUUCCCUUAUAAACCUGGUUGUCAGUAACUUUUCUACUUCAGCUUUGAUAAUUCUUUGCUUAUCUGAGUGGAAGCGUCGGACCUUCUGGCGGAUAGGUCAUGAGGAAGAGAUUACACUAAGCCGAUGUGAGGCUAUUGACGGAUGGAUUUCGGGCAUAUCCUAAGGAGUCCAUGCAAAGACAUCCUUGUUCUACUGAAGUACACCUUCAAGAGCAUUUUCUUCCUCUGAUGUCAAGAGGGAGCUAGCAUAGGUAAAGUGAUCAUUCUUUUAUUAGAUAUGCAUGAUCUGUAGGGGGUCAACCGCCAGCAGAUCUCUCUCCAUUGGGUCCUAUAAUUACUAUCGCUCCAAGGCACCCGCCGGUUCGGUGGGUGGCUCACCAUCACUAGUGGACCUGGCCUCUCAUGCUACUUGGUAACACUGAAGUGCAGCCAACUGGCUCGCAUAAAAGUUAAUAUGUCCGUCUUCAGUUAAGUAACUUACCAUUUAGUGAUACGUAGAGAGGAUGGCCUUCAUGCCAUGCAACCAUGUGCGCCCCAUGAUGGCAUUGAAAUGAGACGAGUCUUCUACCACUAAAAAUUGCACAUUCAGAACAAUUGGCCUGGCUUGGAUGGGCAACAUGAUGUCUCCUAAAGAGAUGGUUGAAGCUCCAUUGAACAUUGAUAGUAUCCGCACGGGAUUUUAUAAAGUGGAUGGUGGGAACCCCAUCUAUUUGAAUGCAGACACUUGUAACAAGUCGGCUGAACUAUCUGGAUCGACUAGGAUCCAUCUUACAUCAUAAUUGUUGAUCCCUAAAGUCAAGAUUAGGGCAUCUUCAUAGGGAUGUAAUACCCGAUUGGGAUCUACCGGGGGAAAGGUGAUUACCCCAUCUAUUAGGAGUGUGCCCCCUUGAGGCAAGGCAGGUUGUACAGAGUUAACCUGCUCUCAUACGGAGGCAGCUCAGAUCAGUCUUUGCCUCUUUCAUUUAGAGUUGUAUUUCUCAUCAAUGGGUCCUCCAUGAAUGUAGUUGAUUACGGCUCUAAGAGCCACUGAAGUUGUAGGGGCUUGAGUGGUCGGGCCUUGGGUUGUCUCCUCUCUGAUCGGAUGUACUAAUUCAAGUGUCCAGCUCUAACUAGCUUUUCCACUAGGUAAUGGAGACUUCUACAUUGCUCUAUGGUGUGGUCAUGUUCCUAGUGAUAGGCACAUUUUCUGCUCCAAUCUCUUUUAGCCGGAUCCGUCCUUAUUGGCUCUAGCCAUCUGAAGUCGGAUAGAUCUUGGAUUAUAGGGAGGGGCUUGUCGUACGAAAUGUUAAAGGGGGUGAAGCUGGCUUGGCCUAGCUGCUGUGGUCCGCCUUGCCCUUUUCCCGUUUGCCUUUGUUGGCUCGCGUUUUUGGAGCUCCUAGCUGAGUCGUUCUCGGCAGGCUAGUUGGUUACCAGGACCUGCUGGGUAGCUGUGCGGACGUCAUCCUCGAGCAUAGAGUAUUUAUUUGCUCAUUGGAACAAAUUGUCCAUAGUCGUCGGAGGCUUCUUGGUGAGGGAUACAAAAAAUGGUGUACCCUGGUAGAUACUCCUUUUAAAAAUUUGCAGGAUGGUGUCCAUGCUGUAAGAUUCAACUUGGAGCAUGGUCUGCCUAAACCGCUUCACGAAUUCCCUCAAUGACUCGUUUUCCUGCAUCUUUAUGUUCUGCAGGAUACUGAUGUUCUAGUUAUGCCUUGCUGAGCAUAGGUAUUGUCCCACAAAGGCCUUCGAUAGAUCCCGGAAGUUAUUCACGGAGUUCGUCGGGAGGUGGUGGAACCAUGAAAGAGCCUGACCUUGGAGGUUAGCUGGAAAAACCUUGCACAGUAACGCGUCAUUCCCUAUGUCAAGGAUCAUGAGUUGCCUGUAGUGCAUGAUAUGGUCAAACGGAUCGCUGCUUCCAUCAUAUGUAGAGAAUUUUAGAACCAUGAACCCUCUUGGAGGUUUGUUGUUGAUGAUAUCAAGGCCAAAAGGCAUGAAGAUCAUGUCAUCCAAUCGUCUACUGACAGAGCCGAAGGGAGCCCUACUAACCAAAUCCCUCACUGGUUGUAUUAGCGGGUGAGCAGGCCAGUCGGUUACGGCUGGUGUAGCUGAGGGGCCAAGACAUGCCUCUUAGGUCGUUGCUAUAUGCGGUGUCCCCCCAUGUCAGGCAUCUGAGGCCCUAGUCUUGCGCUCAUUGCAUCUGACAGUUGAGACUUCCUAUCAUGUCUCCUUUUUUAUGAGACGCGAGUGGAAUCAGAGCUCUCAUCCUGCUGUGCGUGGCAGGAUGGUGGGGAUCUUUGUUCAGGCUGCAUUCCUUGUUCAGCAUGGAGGAAAUCUACAUUUCUAGGAUAUGUCGCCUCCUUGUUUUGCCUGGAAUUAGCGUGUUGACUUCUAGGUUGUGGACUACGAAGGGGAGCUGAUGAAGAUACUUGAAUACGCAACACUUCGUUUUCUUCCCUAAGUCUCCUUAUCUCUUGGAGUAGGGCUUGCAUCUGUCUCUCACUCUCGCACUGGCGUCUUUCCAUAUAUUCGCGCCAAUUGAAGUAGUCUUCGUUACCCAUGGCCAACGCUCGACUUCUGGAAGGUGUUGAAAUUUGAAUUUCGUUUCCACAGAUGGUGUCAAUGUUGAUACCUGGUCAACUAAGGAUGGAUUCCUCCCUUAGAUAUGUCAGUGAAAGCUCAUGUUCAGAUGAUGAAAUCUAGAUAUCUUGCUUCCCUGCACAACAAUGUCUGAACGGGUUGUCCAGACAUACCCUCAGAAGCUCAAGUCAACCUAGAGACCUUUAGAGAGAAAGAGAAAGAAAGAUUGAGUCAAAGAACUCACCAUCCCCUUGUUAUAUUACAGUUGGGUUUUUAUAAUGUUUAGAUGAGGAGUCAGGUUCCGCAAUGCUGAUCUAGCCCUUAUGGUGAUGAUUGCGCAGCGGUGAUAGGGCAAUCAUCACGUUUACAAAGCGGCUGGGGGUUGUAUUAGACGACGCGUCAUGACACAGUUUGUCGUCCCUUCAACCUUGUUGAUGACAUGAGACUGAGCAUGCCUACCUACUGAAGUAGACGUGAGAAUGUGAAGAGUUCCAUCAGUCAAUCAGGUGUCAGUUAGUCACAGUCUCGCAUAUCAGGGAAGAUUUGAGGCUAUCAAGGAGAUGUGGCCUACUUAGCAAUGCAAAUGAUCCGGACAGGAUGUUUUCGAAUACCUCGAAGCUUGUCCGAGCAGUGAUGAAAGAAGUGACACAUGGUGUAGCUAGAACAAUGCCACGUGGACAGAUGCGUGGAAGUAUUCGUGGGUGGACACGUGGGAUAAGGCCCCCAUAGGUAUAAAUAAUUAGAUGACAUUUUGAAAGCACCAUAUAAGGGAUGUUAUGCCCCAUUCAAUAGAGUGCGUGACAAAUUCGAAGUUUUGAAACCCUAGGUCGGUGACUAGUGAUUACUACUCAAAAAGUGUUAUUUUGUAGCUUGUAAUUAACUCUUUUAAACAUCUUUGAGUAGUAGUUAUUACUUUUUAACUCAAUUGGCAUGUUAAGGACCCUUGUAAUCGUUUCAAAUCAAAUUGUGUUAAGUUUUGGUGUUUUUGAUAGCUUUUUUAUCACCAAAGCAAUCCAAGAUUGAGGAGAGUUCUAUAGAAUCCAUGGCAAAGAAAAUGGAAGCUCAUUUACAUGAAGAACCCAAGCUUUGGAGCUUUAUGGUCCUUUUCCAAAAGCAAAUCAUGAAUGCAAUGAGGGACAACAAAGAGAGAAAUCUAACAUGAAGAAAUUCAAGAGGACAGUAACUCUUGGACACAUUUCGAGCACUUCCUGGGGUCCAAUUCAUGUAUACUAUAUAUCGUUUUGAAGCUUGGGAAGUCAGUAGUCCAACACUUCAAACGGUACGCAAAUCGGAGCUGAAAUGAAGAAGUUAUAGCCAUUGGAAGCCAAUCACACCAAGCUAAAAGCCAAUUUCGCAGCUGCGAAAUCAGCCUUUUGUGCGAAAUGGAGACUUUCAGCUUGCGAAAUUUCACAGCCCAUGUUGCACGCUGUGAAAUCCACCUGAGUGCUUCCAGAUAUUUGCGACCGACUCUUUUAGAUUUUUUUUCUUCAGAUAUUUGUUGUUUAAAUCCCAAUUUUCUCCUUGUAAUCCACCAAUCAUUGGAUUCCUUAGUUAGUAAGUAAGAACAAAGGGUGAAUAACCUCUUAUAUAUAGUUUGUAAUUUUCUUUACACAUACAUCUUGGAAGCUUGUUCUCAGAGACCAACUUUUUGUAUAGUUUUGAAGGAAGUAAUACGCAAAGCUUUGCUCUGCCUUACCUACUCACUUUGAUUUUAUUUUUCUUACUAGCCAAACAAGCUCUGAGGAUGAUUCCUCAGAGAAUGAGUGGCUAGGUUUUUUGUCUCUUGGAGCUAAGGAAGCUGGGUAAGGUGCCGAGUGCAAGAAUUGUAAGUUUUGUUGUUUCAGCUUUUAAUGAAGAGAAAGUGUGACCCGUUAAUGGUUUCUAUGUUUUUAGUUAACUUAAAACGCCUUUAAAUCACCUGGGCCAACACUUGGUAAGGCAAGUGGUCUCCGUCCAUUGAGAUACACUAGUUUAUCUCUUGCAAGCCUUUGGGAGGUGGUUUGAAGGUAGGAUUUUCUAGAAUAGCCAACACUUGGUAAGCUUUUGGACUCCAAUGAGACAUCCAUUAGUUACCUCUUACGAGCUUUUGACGGGUAAUCCAAGGUUAAGGAUCACCUUGAAUGGCCAAUACUAGGCAAGAGGUAUGAACCAUUGCAAGAUGCAUCAGUGAGAGGGAUUUAGUGUUUGAACCCAUUGAGGGGAAGCAUCUGUACCGCAUCGGUUAGAGAAAUAACUAUAUGUUAAUUCUCUCAUGCGAGGAAAAGAUUCAAGUGACCGGAACUUCCUUUUUGUAAUAGGAACCUGAGCCCAGUGAUCCAAAAACUCCUAGAAACACUUUUCUUUGUAAGUAAUUUCCAUUACUUUAUUUUUGGUUUCACCUUAAAACCAACCCUUUUUCAACCAAAGAUUAUGUUUUCUUUUAAAGCUAACCUUGAAAUGAAAAAGCACCAAUUCAUCUUUGAAUUAAUAUCAGUUGUGAAGUGAAAACCCAUCUCAAUGAAUGAUCCUAGAGCCACUAUGCUAUGCUAACUGAGGUUAUCCUAGUACAUGGUGAUAUAGGUUAUAAAUUUUGUUGAUUACUCCCGUCUGAGGACCGAAAUCAAGGUACACUAGUUGAUUGAGCACCAAUCAACAGGACAUACACUAGUUGGGCACGAAAUCAAAUGGCGCCGUUGCCGGGGACCAUUGAGAGGACAAGAAUCAGCUGGUACACCAAUUAGGAACGAAUCAAAUGACGCCAUUACCGAGGACCAUUGAGAGGACAAGAAUCAGUUGGUACACCAAUUGGGAACGAAUCAACUAGAAAAUGAAGCAAACUCCCUAAGCCACAUGUGAAAAUAGGAACCGUUAUCCAUGACACAAUGUCGACAUGUGGGUUUAUAGGGUAUGAAGAGAUGUAGGCAUUGUUCAUGCAUGAGGGUAGUAACAUAACUAUAUUCCUCCAAUACGUGGGACAUAUCAUUAAAUUCAUUCUCAUCUUUAUUGAGAAUUUUGAAUCUUAUUUAUUAAUAUCCAACAUGCAACUAUUUUAAAGAGAAAGAUUAAGAGUGUAUUUGAUAAAUCAAUUUAAUAAUUUAAUAACUUAAUUUAAGUCGUAAAAAAAUUAACUAUGUUUAGUAAAAUAAUUUAAUGUUAUAACUUAAGUUAUUUUUAAUUUUAAAUAUUAAGUCUCAAUAGGUAACUUAUUUUUAAUCUUAAAUUCAUUUUGCCUCAUUUGUUUAUUCUAGUAAAAGUACAUUUUAAAAUUAUGAUUUCAUAUUGAUAACUCGUUUUUUAUAAUAAAUAUUUUAUAAUUAUCUUAUGUAUCUAAAAUACUUUAAAUAUAGAUAUUUUACAAAUAAAUUUAUUGUUUAAACUUAAUAAAAAUAACUAUGAAUUAAAAUUAAUGAGGAUGAAUAUUGGUUAAAAUUAAUAAGGAUAAAUAUGUCAAUUUAAUUAUUUAGAAUAAAUUUUAAGUUAAUUUUACCAUACAACCUUAAUACUUAAAGUGAAAAAUAAAUAAUAGUUUCAAAAUUUAAGAAUAAUUUAACUUAAAAUCAACUUAAAUUAUUAAGUAAUAAGUAUUAAAUUUUAUCAAACACUCUAAAAUUUUGAUCCAUCUUAAAUAAAAACAGAUACUUCUGAAUCAUACUAUCUAUACACAAUUGAAGAAAACCCUAUUAUUUAAAAAGCCAUUUGCACAAACCCAUAAAAGUUUUAUCGAACCAUGGGAAGAAAUUAGAAAUCAAUUAUUAUAAAUUUGAUACUCUACACCAAAGCCUAUCAAAAAAGUGCAAUUUUAUGGAAAAUCCUAAUUAAGAAGCUUAUAAAUACCUCAAUCCAACCAAGACAAUGAUAAAUCUCCUUGCUUUAUUGAAUUCUCUUACAUUAGUAAGAGGGUGAUCUUUCUUUAUAUAUUCCUUAAAUAAAGAGGUUUAUUAAAAAAAACGGUCUCUCUUUUCUCCUUGUUCUCAUUCUAUUCUCUUUAAAUUAUUUGAAGAAAUUUAUUAUCUUCACUAAGACAAGAAAUUGAAAGUUAAACAUGAACCUAUGUUUUACCUAGGUUAAUUUAAUUGAUGGAAUGAGACUAUAAGUGCUAAAACCAAUCUAAACAUGCUAAAAACAACUUAAUAGCAUAUAUCAAAUGUGGAAAUAAAGGAGGAACAGAAACAUACCUCUAGCCAUUGAUGGUUUGGAAAUCCAAAAAUCAAGUUUAAUAUUCAAAUGGAUCGAGGUGCUUCUAAACCCUUAAUCAAUCUCAAAAUGAUAAUGUAUAUGUGUUUGAAUAGAGAUUGGAGGCUUAGGGACUUAACCAUGAAGGCACUAUUUAUAUUUACCCUACACAUCACAAAGUCAAUGUCAUAAUUUAUGGUUGUUAAUGGCAAUCAAAAAGGAAAACUGAAUCAAUGGAAAUCCCAAAAUAUUAUAGGCCACAUUUCUAGACCUAUUUAGGAAAGUCUAGCAUUAUUCCCAAAAUUGAUAGAAGAUUAUGGGUCAAAUUUCUGGACCCAUUUAGGAAAAUCUAACAUUCUCCCACUUGGUCCACAUAUUCCAUCAUUCAUCAUAGUAAGAAACAAAAUAUAUGAAUCAUGGCAAUAGGUUCUCUAAAACGAGUAUUAUUUUCCACGUAUAACAAUGCAUUAUGUCUCUUAAAUACUUGUCUUCAUUACUUAAUAAAUAAACCCUAUAUUUAUUCUAGGUCCAAACAUUAGCAAUAUUUAUUAAAUGAAUAAAUGUGUACACAAAUUAGAAACAAAUAGGAGAAAAUAUUAUCACAUAAAUAGAGUUUCAUCACAAAUAACAUUCGUUCUUACAACGAAAAUCAUACAAAGGAACCAAGUCCCAUUUUAUCCACAUGAUCCUUGAAUUUCAAUGGUGGCAUGCCUUUUGUCAAAGUACCAAUUAUCAUAAAUUCAAUGUCGAUGUGUUCAAUAACCAAUGUUUCUCCUUAACAUGUUUCCUUAUGGCUAAAUACUUGAUGUUGAUGUGUUAGUUUCGAAUACCACUUUUGUUUUUUUAGCCAUAAAAAUUACAGUUGAAUUGUUGCAAUAUAUCAUCAAUGGCCUAGAAAUUGAAUCCACGAUUCUAAGCCCAAAAAUGAAACUCUCCAUCCAUACACCAUGUGAGGUAGCCUCAAAACAAGAUAUGAACUCAACAUCUAUAAUGUAAGUAGCAAUCAAAGUCUAUUUUGCACUCCUCUAGGAUACAACUCCAUUGACGAACGUAUAAAUGAAUCCAAAUGUUGAUUUUCGUGAAUCAAAAAAACCAACAAAGUCUGAAUCUGAGUAGUCAAUCACUUUCAAAUUAUUAGUACGUCUAUACAUAAGCAUGUAUUCCUUUGUCCCUUAAAGGUACCUUAACACCUUCUUUGCAGCUCUCCAAUGGUUUGUACCUGGAUUACUCUUAUAUCUUCCUAACAUCCUAACAACAAAUGCAAUGUCAGGUCUUGUGCAGGCUUGAGCAUACAUUAGGCUUCCAACGACAAAAACAUAUGGAUUGUUCUUCAUUUGUUUCCUUUCAAGAUCAUUUUUUUGGGCAUUGGUUCAAAUUGAACUUAUCACCUUUCACAAUGGGAAUUAUAAUUGGUGAAUAAUCUUUCAUCUUAAAUAUCUCUAAAACUUUGUUGAUAUCGGUCUUUUGAAACAAACCCAAAAUUCCUCAAAAUCUAUCUUUAUGUAUCUUAAUACCAAUGACAUAAGAUGCAUCACCCAUAUCCUUUUUGUCAAAGUUUUUAGAUAGAAAUUGUUUCAACUCAUGUAGCAAACCCUUAUUACCAGUUGCAAAUAAAAUGUUAUCCACAUGUAGAAUAAGGAAGCAGAUGUUACUCCCAUUGACCUUAUGGUAUAUACAUUGAUCCAUAAUGUUCUCUACAAACCCAAGUGAAGAGAUAACAUCGUGGAAUUUCAAGUACCACUGACAGGAAGCUUUUUUCAAUCCAUAUAUGGAUUUCUUGAGCUUGCACACCAAAUGUUUGCCAUCUUUAGAGGAAAAUCUUUAUGGUUGUUUCAUGUAAACUUCUUCCUCUAGAUCUUCGUUGAGGAAAACCAUUUUCACAUCCAUUUGUUGUAGCUCAAAAUUAAAAUGUGCAACCAACGCCAUAGUAAUAUGAAAAAGAAUCUUUCUUAGAUACAAAAGAGAAGGUCUCCUUGUAGUUGAUUCAUUUCUUCUAAAUGAAUCCUUUAGCAAUGAGUCUUGUUUUAUAUCAUCCAUUGUUGCCUAAUGAGUCUUUCUUUGUCUUAAAGACCCAUUUACAUCCUGUUAUAGUCCGAUUUUUGUAGAUACACAACAUAAUCACUAGGAAUUGUUGAUUUCCUUGCUCUAGUUGAUCUCCUUAAUGUUGAAUCAACAUUUUCCUAAGGAUCAUGUUGUUUAACUAGUUGUUCAACAACUUUUGGCAUUUCCUGAACAACUUGAUCUACUGGAUUAUUCUCAGCAACUUGUGAAACUUCAACGAUUAGUUGAUCAACUCUUAUUUGAACUUAAGGAGUGUUGUGAAUGAUAACCAACCUUUCACUUGAGGUGAAAGGUUGAUAUUUGUUAGAGACUAUGCUCUAGGAUUGAUAACUCCCACUGAAUAAGUCAUUCUCAAGAAAUUUUGCAUUUCUUGAUUCUACAAUCUUAAUGUUGUGGAUGGAUAGUAGAAUAUGUACCCUUUAGACCUUUUAGUCUAUCCAACUAAAAAUCCACUAAUAGUCAUUGGGUUCAAUUUCUUUUCUUGUGAGUUAUAAAUUCUUACUUUAGACGGGCAUCCCCCAAAUGCAUAUAUGUCACAAACUCAGUUUCCAACCUUUCCAUACUUUUAAAUGGCAUCUUUGGGACAACCUUAAUUGGAACUUGGUUCAAUAUAUAUACAUUGUUGUUUUAAGAGCUUCAACCCACAAGGAUUUAAGAAGCUUAAAGCUACUAAGCAUACUCCAUAUCAUGUCCAAUAACGUUCAACUUCUUCUUUCUGCUAUGCCAUUCUAGUCUAGAGAACUAAGCAUGGUAUAUUAUGAGUGUAUCUAUCAUAAGAUCUUUACCUUUGUCUAUUCUUAGUAUCUUAAUUUUUUUCCGCAUUGGUUCUCUACUUUGGCUUUAAAAACCUUAAAGGCAUCUAACCCUUCAUUCUUGUUAUGAAGCAAGUAGAGAUAUAUGUAUCGUGAGUAAUUGUCUAUGAAAGAGAUGAAGUAUUUCGAACCAUAUGAGUCCAUGUGUGGACUACAAAUGUCUAAAUGUAUGAUCUCCAAUAUGUUUGUACUCCUCUUUUCACCUUUCUUUGAAUUUUUGGUCUGUUUUCCCUUAAUACAGUCCACACAAGUGUCAGAAUCAGUAAAAUCCAAAGUGCUAAGUACUCCAUCAUUUACUAGUAUCUUAAUUCUUUCUAUAGAGAUAUGCCCCAAUCUCCAGUGCCACAACAUAGAGGAAUCUUAAUUCAUAACACAUCAUUUAACACUAGUGUGAACAUGCAUAGCAUUAUGAGUAGUAUCCUUUUGGAAAUUGAUAGUGAAAAUACCAUCAAACAAUGUACCAUUUCCAACAAAAUUAGAUUUAUAAAAUAAACUAAAGGAUGUUUCUGAAAAGUUAAAGGAAUAACCAAAAUGUACAAGUCUUGAAACCGAAAUCAAAUUCAUAGAAAAACUUGGAAUAUAAAAUGUCUUUUCCAAAUUUAAAACAAAACCACUACUUAAAACUAAAGUGCAUGUUCCAAUGCCUCCACAUGUGAAUGCAUCUUGUUUCCUGAAUAGAUGCACUGCUCACUUCCCACUAGCUUUCUUAGGUUUUACAUACCUUGUAAGGUAUUUGAAAUAUGGAUUGUGGAACCAAAAUCAAUCCACCAUGUAUUAUGAUUAACAUCAACCAUAUUAGAUUCAUAACAAACAAAUGAGAUUGGAUUAUCUUUUUUCUUAAGCCAUUUUAAAAUUUUAGAACAAUCCUUCUUCAUGUCCCUUCUUUUUGCCAAAAAAAAAAAAACACUAGGAUUCCUUUUUUAUUCCUCCUUGGGGCACUAUUCUACCUUUCCCCUUUUGUUUGGCUUGUUUCUGGUUUUUUCCUUGUGUCGCCAGUAAUGUACUCAUUUCCAUUUCCAUUACUAGCCUCCCUUCCUCUUGAACAUACAUGGUUAGAAGUUCAUUGAUUGACCAUUUAUACUUAUAUGUGUUGUUACAGAUUUUGAAGGGUCCAUAUUGUUGUGGAUUGUUCAGUAUGUAGUGCACAAAGAAAGAUUCAGACAACUCAACCUCAAGAGUUUUCAGCUGAGCUGCAAUGUCCCUUAUUUACACGCACACCUCUCACAUUGGUGAGCCUUAAGGAUGAAAAUCAUAAUCAAGGUGCUGACAAGUGUCUUAUCUAAAGUCUUAAACUGUUCAUCAAUAGCCUUUAGUAAUGCCUUAACCUUAUCAUGUUGAUCUAUUGAACCUCAAACACUAGCAGAAAUUUUGGUCUUUAUGAACAUCACACUAAGGCGAUAUCUCUCCCAUCGUUCACAAAGAGCCUUUUCAUCUAUAGUGUUGGUUGCAAUAAUGAUCGAUUUGUCUUUCCUAAUAGCAUAAUCAAUGUUCAUCCACUCCAAAUGAAGAGAGUUCUCUUCUUCCAUACUUUAUAGUUGUCACACUUUAGUUUGGGAAUAUCACAUCUUAUAUCAAAAAAUUUUGCAAGUUGCAUGACUGCAUAAAAUUAAACAUACAUGCUUAUAUAAAAAUAAUUUGAGGCUAAUGAACAUAUAUCAUGUUUUACCAAUGUAAAUCAUGUUACAAAAAUAUGAAUCUAAUGACUUAAAACUUAUCUAUGGGCUAAAGUUCUAAUUUAGUUAGAUCCAUUUAACUUUAUGAUAAAACUAUAAAAUUAUGUUCAUUUCCUAAUUCAUGUGGAUAAAUUAAGAAUAUAAUUUGAUAUUCUAUCCUAAUUAAUCAUACAACUAUAAUAAAAAUUCAUGUGGGAUAAAAUUUAUUAUAUUUAAAUAUGAUUAAUUACAAUCAAUGUCAUUUUUUUAUAUGUGAUCCUAAAACACUUAAUAUAUAAUUUUGCAUAAUUAAAGAUGUUGUGGCUAAUCCCUAAUUAAUUAAAUUAUAUGGAUCACUAGACAUUUAAUUUUAUUCACAAAUUUGUUCAUACAAAUUCUAUGCAACCAUAAGCAAAAUUUACAUAUAUGAACAUUGUCUAAAUUUAUGUACUAAAAAAAAACUCAAAUUGCAUGUAUAGGGAAAACAAUAAAUUACACAUACAAAAAUGACAUAAUUUUAAGCACAUAAUUAUCCAAAUCUCAAUUCCAUAAAAUAGUAUUCAUAAAAUGCCAAAUUUAUGAAUUUUUCAUAAAAACACCAAAAAUAUGAAAUUUUUUCACAAAAAGUACCAAAUUUAUGAAAUUUUCACAAAAAAAAACCCGAAUUUUUAAAUUUCUAGAAAAAAUUCUUUUUUUUUUUUUUUGUUGUAAACUUGACCUCCUAACACUUCGACCAGAAAAAGAGUGCCAUGGACACAAAAGGAACCAAAAGGAGAAUUAAUAAAAAUAAUCAAGGCACAUAAUUAAUUUUUCCGGAUUGUAGAUAAUCAAGGCAAGAGACAAUAAAAUGGCUCUAAUACCAAUUCCAAGUGCUAAAAUCAAUCUAAACAUGCUCAAAAAAACUUAAAAGCAUAUAUUAAAUGUGGAAGUAAAGGAAGAAUCGAAACAUACAUCCGACCAUUGAUGGUUUGGGAAUCUGGAAAUCAAAUUUGAUAUACAUAUGGGUUGAAGUGCUUCUAAACCCUUAAUCAAUCUCAAAACGAUAGUGUAUAUAUGUUUGAAUAGAGAUUGGAGACUUAAGGACCUAACCACGAAGACUCUAUUCAUAUUCACUCGGCCGAUCACAGAGUCAAUGUCAUAAUUUAUGGUUGUAAAUGACAAUCAAAAAUGAAAACUAAAUCAACGAAAAUUCCAGAAUAUUAUAGAUCAUAUUUUUGAACUCAUUUAGAAAAGUCUAGGAUUAUUCUCAAAUUUGAUGAAAGAUUAUGAGCCAAAUUUCUGAACCCAUUUAAAAAAUAUCUAGUAUUAUUCUCAAAAUUGAUGGAAGAUUAGGGCCAAAUUUCUGGACCUGUUUAGGAAAAUCUAAGAGUGAGGAGAUUUUGUACAAAUUAAUGAUUGUCUCCGCUGUGUGAUAACUCAAUCUAGUUAGUAAGGCAUGGGUGGGAAAAGAAUAUUAGUUUGUUUGAACUCCAUGAUGGAAAAUGUUAGGAAGUACGAAAGGCCGUCUUUCUUGAUAAUUUUUUUUUAUAGUUUCUAUCAACUUCAAAUGUUGACAUGGACAUGUUGGCCUGCAUGAUGUUUGAGUUGAAAUUUGAAACCCUCCAACUUGGAAUGGAAAUGAAUAAUUUCAAGGAAUCAACAUAGGUUUCAAACCAUAUUUUCCCACUUGCAACUUUAUUUCGCACCAAUUUUUUUAUGCCUAUUUUUAUAAUAUAAGGUUCUCCUUUUCCCUUGUGGAGCACCUUUACCCGCUUUCCAAUCAAGAAAUUUGUUGCAACAAAAACUUUUGAGUUUGCAUUCAUGCAAGUCGAUUCUGUUAGAUGGGAACGCAUUAUAUCAACGUCCAAAACUAACGAGGCAAUUGUGUCACACAUCAUUUUAUUUGUCUUAUUAUUUUGGUAUCAAUCGCAUUAAUCUGUCACGAUGUUAGUUGGCUCUCAAGAAAUUAAACUCACUUUUCUUCUCAAUCCCUUUAUUUCAAAUUUAGGUAGCCUAAUUCUCUGGCAGUUGACGGAUGACCAUUAACUAGGCUUUUCCACACUUGUUGGUCUUCCAUUAUGAAUGAGAAUUGGUGGAAUUCUGGCUCCUCCCAAAAUUCCAAAUCCUUAUCAAUUCAUUGCAAGAUCAAAACAGUGUAUGGAUAUCAUCUACCAAGCACAUAUGUCAUAAAUGAAGAGAUGAUAUUUCAAUGAAAUUUUGCUACAAUAUCCAGAUGAAACUUAAAAUCUCAGUACCUUCGAACCGAAUUAGACAUCCAACCAACCUAAAUAAUUCCUAUGAUAAUUCAACUUUAGUCCAAAUCAUAGAUGGUGUUUAACAAAUUAAUUAAUGAUUUAAUACAAUUUAAUAAUUUAAUUUAAAUUAUUAAAUAGAUUAAGUUUAUUUUAUAAAAUAAUUAACAUUGUAACUUAAAAUUAAAAUAAAUACUUUUUUUUUUCCUAAAGUUUAAGUAUCUUUUAUAUUCAAGUCUAUUUCUCUCUUCUCUUAUUUCUCUUUGACAAUCUUAUUACUUAAAAUUUAUAAGUUUAAAUAUAUCAAAUUUUUUAAUUAGGUAAUAAAUGUUAAGGAAAUAACCCUUGUAUAAAUUUAAUUUAAAAUCUUUAAUCCUUAGUCAUUAAUUAGUUUUACAUGAAAAGUUACUAUUGUCUAUUAUAUUCUUAUCAUGACUUUAUCCUAGGCUCCUAACCACCAAAUUAAAUGAAGUAGUUAUCUUGUACGUGUUGAUUUGCAUUUAUCUCAAACAACACCAAUGGUCCAAGGACAGCUUUUAGACCAUAGGAUUUAGAGUGAUCAUAACAUUGAAAGUGAUAUUCUUCAAGACCCUCCAUCCCAUCAGUCGUUCAAAAUAAAUAAAGAUGGUCUCCAUUUUUAAUAUUUUGAGUUAGUGAGAAGGGCUCACCAAGGACCGUUUGCCUCAAUUUUUUGGUUUUUAAGAUGAGGUUUUUUUUUUUUUUUUUUAGUUAAAAGUAAUUUAUUGAUAUCAAUUAAUAUAAUUAAAAUGAACUUCUUAUCGAUAGUUCAAUUUAGUUUUGUUAGUUGAUAUCAACAAAUUACUUUUAAUUUAAUAAAAAAAUCAAAUAUUUUGAUUUUUUUUUCUAUUCAGUUAAAAAAUAAACACUUCUUAAGUCUUCAUCUGAUUUUUUUAAAAUAAUUCAUUUCAAAUUUCUUUUAUUUGAAAUAUUUUCCUUUUCAUUAGGAAAAUAUGAAAAAUUUAUCUUCAUUGUUUAUGUCUCUUGCCUCUUUUUAUUUUUGAUACCUAUUCCUCAUGGGAAUAAUUUUCUUACCAUGUAGCCUAUGUACAUUAAUGCUAGUAGAGAGGAUUCAUAGAGGACAAGAGCAAAUGGUUGGCUGCAUGGUGUCUUUAUAUGCAAUAAAAUAUAAUAAUGAAGAAACGUGAUUUAGUCAAAGUUAAGCAUGUAUUAACACUCAAUAGUGCAACAUUUGUCUCAAUGGAAGCCAAUGCAUUACAUGGACACAAAGUUUAUACUAAGGCAUCUCAUUGGCAUGCCAUGUUAAAGAUCCAUUUGGAAUAUGUCAUAGACAACACUAAGCCACUCUCCAAAAAGUUGAUACAUGUAAAAUGCUUUAAAAAAAAAUCUGUUUUUUUGCUAUGUCUAAAAAUUUGGGAAAUCUAUAACUGUUUAGACUGAUAUAAAUACAAUAAAGACUGAAAGAAGAAUAUCAUCUUUAAACCUUUACAAAAUAUAUUCUUGGAUGCUAAAAAGAAUGUUGUUUCAAAGA
rnacentral:lncRNA from 1 species